UGGUGGCUUCUCUCCCUUAGGUGGUUUGCCAACUGGGGUUGGUGGCUUGUGUUCCGGAAGUGGCUUCUCUUUGUGUUCAGGAGGUGGCUUCUCCACUGGAGGCUUGUGUUCAGGAGGUGGCUUCUCCACCGGAGGCUUGUGUUCAGGAGGUGGCUUCUCCACCGGAGGCUUGUGUUCAGGAGGUGGCUUCUCCACCGGAGGCUUAUGCUCUGGUGGUGGCUUCUCCACCGGAGGCUUAUGCUCUGGUGGUGGCUUCUCCACCGGAGGCUUAUGCAAUGGUGGUGGCUUCUCCACCGGAGGCUUGUGUUCAGGAGGUGGCUUCUCUACCGGAGGCUUAUGCUCUGGUGGUGGCUUCUCCACCGGAGGCUUAUGCUCUGGUGGUGGCUUCUCCACCGGAGGCUUGUGUUCAGGAGGUGGCUUCUCCACCGGAGGCUUGUGUUCAGGAGGUGGCUUCUCCACCGGAGGCUUGUGCUCUGGUGGUGGCUUCUCCACCGGAGGCUUAUGCUCUGGUGGUGGCUUCUCCACCGGAGGCUUGUGUUCAGGAGGUGGCUUCUCCACCGGAGGCUUAUGCUCUGGUGGUGGCUUCUCCACCGGAGGCUUGUGUUCAGGAGGUGGCUUCUCCACCGGAGGCUUAUGCUCUGGUGGUGGCUUCUCCACAGGAGGCUUGUGUUCAGGAGGUGGCUUCUCCACCGGAGGCUUAUGCUCUGGUGGUGGCUUCUCGAAUGGGGGAUGCGUAGGGUAAUCAGCUAGUGAGGGGGCGGUGAGAACCACCAGGCCAAGCAACACUACUAGCAAGUAUGUAGGAGACAUCUUUGGGUUUGGGCUCAGAUGGUGCAAAACUAGGAGAAUUGGCUAGCCUUUUAUAGCGGAUCGUACCCAAUAAUGAAAUGACACGUGUCAUUAUGACCCAUGUGUCAUGUGGUCGAUUUGGGUCCUACAGUGUUGAAAACUUCGACAUCCACUUUUUUGGCCUUUUGCUUUCUCUACAGUCGCCUUGCUUUUUCCCUCUUUUCUUUUGUUUUCCUCCUGCCCCAUUCUAUCAACUAAUCACAAUUAUGUAGUUGUUUAAUUCUUAAAUGAGAUAUUAUCCGUCAAUCAUAUUAUCUUUUAUCAAGAGAGAACGGAGUGAAAAGUGGCAAUCCAAAGAAAGAAGAUCCAUAAUGCAGCUGUAAUUUUAUCGUUUACUUUUAUCUCUAGGACCACUGCAUUUUUGUUGAGAGGUGCAAUAAUACACGUCUUUAUCUGCCAUUCAAUGUUUACAGUAAAGAGAGGGCACAAAACUCUUCACUGCUCUGCAUGUGCCCCAAAAAUGCAAUUGGACAAAUUAUGAUUUGCAUGCUAAAAAGAGGCAAAUGAGGUUAAUUAGCACCAAAAUUAUUUUGUUUUCUGGACACCCCGGGGCCCUUUGGUUGGUUUGGGGGUCAGAAAAUGAACAUCAUAGGGGGUUUUUCCCUAAUGUGCAUUUGCAUUUGUAUCUGAUGGCUUUAACUCGCCUUGUUACUACAAAGAAAUUGUCACAGAUAGGAACUUAUUCCAGGCUGAGUAUCUCCGCAUGGACCCUAUAAAAGAAGACAAGUCAUAAUGAACAUCUAACCUUUGUUCAAUUUGAUUCAAUGCCCCUAUUGUGUCCAUCUCACAAAUCUGAAUUAUUAUAUCCAUUGAAUACAUAAAUUAAUGAAGAAAAUAUGAAACCCAAGAUACAUCUCUGCACAACCUCAACCCUGGUUGCUAUGUUUCACUUCUAUUCACAUGAGGAUAUUGAUUACGGAAUAAGGAAACCUAGCAAGGGUUUACUCGGCUCUGGUUUGAUGCUAAUUGCCAAACUUGCAACAAGCCCUGAGUUUGACACCUAAUCGAUGGGCGAAUUAAAAGUCUCCUCCAAACAUAUAUUCCACAGCUUGAAGCUCACAGAAGAUGCUAUACAGGCAGGGAAAAACCUUCAGAGUUAGCUACCAAAGAUAAUUAUCAAGGAGAUAUCACCAAGAGAAUUCCAUGGAGUCUGAAUCAAAGACAAAUUGCUCGCUCGUGGGGGUUCUUACUUAAUUUCUUUUGGGUAUAACUCACUGAGGGCACUGGCUUUGUUAUUUGCAUUUCGCAUUUAGAGUUCUGUUCUGGAAGGUUUGUUCUGGAAACAUAUAAAAGGAGCAUCAUUUUGUUCUAGGGUAACCCAUAGUUGUGAGUGGGUCCAUUUGCAUGCUACUUAGUUGAAAAGUUGGACAAUUUGCUCCGACGCCUACCUCCUGGAUUCCAUGCUCGGAUAAAGCAAGAAUAAUAAAAUAUUUAUAAUUUACAAAUGGGGGAAAGAAAAAAAUGUCAACAACAAACUAGGAAAAAAGAGUAGUAAAAUUUAUGCCACAUGCUAUUGAUAGAAGGGGCAUGUAUUAGAUCCAUCACCAUUUGGUAAGAUUUUAGUAUUAUAUUUUUCAAGGUUCAUUAUUUGAGGGUGUGUUCUUCAUCUCUGUUGCAUUGCUUCUUACUAGGCCCACUGAGGUGGGUUCUUCACCUUUUGUAUAUUCUCUGCACUAGAUCAAUGAGAAAGGGGGAAUUUUGGUGAAUUUGCAGCCGUUGGAUGAUUGAUUCUAGGCUCAGUCCACCAAUGAUGCUCUCUUCACUCUUUCUCAUCUAGUGUCAUUCACAACUAUGUUUUGAUUCAUAUUUGUACUAUCAAAGAUAUCUCAUUAUUCUAGCUCAUUAGGUAGAGUUCCUAAUCUUCCUCCUUUUUGGUCUAUGGACAGUAUUGGCUUCAUAUUAAGAUCAUGUUUCAAUAAUUGCACAUUAAUGAAUGGAUCAUGACCCACAUAAACAGAGUCAGGGUUGAGUCAGUGAACCCUAAAAUUUCACAAUUCUAAAUUUGGGUUCUUUAACAAUGCAGGGUCAAGGACGCGUGGUGAUGAAGGAAAGCUGGUAAGCUCAGUGUUACUUCAAUUCCUGCCAUGUAGGAUGGUGAGGAGAUAUUCACUAUGCAAUUAAUAAUAGACAAUAUUCACUAUGCAAUAAUAAAGCAUAAAUUAAGUUGAAUGAAAAGCAUUUUCUUUGCAAGGAGUUGAUUUUGGUUUCAUAGUUUGUUCAACUGCUAUUUUGGAUAGGAAAGUGUGAGGAGAAGAAAAUAAAAAAUAAAAAUAAAACAAAAAAUAAAAAAUAGAUUUUAUAAAUUCAUUUAAUUUAUUUUUUUUUUAUAAAAAUUAACUAAUUUAAAAUAUAUGUAAAUUUCUAAUUAAUUUAAUUACAUUUUUUUUUUCAGUUUUUCAUAAUAAACCAAAUAUUAGAAAAUUAUUUUUAUUAAGACACCCAAGAUGAGGUAAUAUGCAAUGAAAACAUGAAUUAUAUUAAAAUUCAAAACAAAUUAAGAGAAAUCGGAAAAUAUACAUAGAUAUCUAAACAAAGAAAUUUAAAGAGAAGGAACCACAAACUUUAUUUACAUAAUUUGAAAAUAAAAAACAUAAAACAUACUUAUAGUAAGGAGAAAUUGAAUAUCUUACAAUGGAAGAAGGGAGAAAAGCUUUGAAGAAAGCUUUUGCUUGGAAGCUUACAUGGUGAGAGGUAGAGAAAGGAGAGAGAGAGAAGAAAAUGAAAAAUGAGAAGUGGAGAAAAUUGGAAGUUUUGUGUGCUUACAACUGAGGAUAGAGCCUCCUUAAAUAGCAAAAAAUGGAAUAUUAAAUAGUACCAAUCAGGAGACAAAAUAUUGUUUGCUUUUGAAACCCGUGCAUGAAUAGUAAUCCCGUGAGUGAAUAGUGAAUAAUAAAAGUGAAUAGUAAAAGUCACUUUCUACUAUAGCACUUUAGACUUUUUCAUCGAGAAUCUUACUUUCGGCUGAGUGAUGAUAGCUGAUAGGUUGCUUUGGAUUGUGGAGUCAUAUGUUUGAUGUUUUCGGUGCUGAAACCGCUUAGUUGGAGAAUAAUCUCGUCAGUAGAGCAUCAUGAGAAGCUUGAAUGGAGAGAGCUUAAUGAUGCCAUAUGAUUGGAAGGAAUCCUAUUUUAAUUUCCUUAUUGGAGGGAGAAUACCCUCACAAUCAUCUUCAUUAUCUUGAAGGUAGUUUGAUAUAGAGUCAUCUGACUCAGCAUAAGAGUCCUCUUGGGAGAAGCUUGAACUGCUUUUGUCAAGGAUUUUCUGAAAUUCUUGAGGGGUUUUUGCUAUUGCUAACAUGGUUUGGAGUUGCUGUUUCUUAAGAAGAAACUGUGCAAUAUCAUAAGAUGAUGAAGCUUGUGUAGGAUGCUUUAGGAAAUAUUGCUUUAUUGCUUGUAGUGAGGUAUCAUUUUUCAAGGCAUCCCACCACUUAGACUUGAAAGUCCUUCCAAGGGUUGGAAAGGCUGCUGAUUCAUCUGCUAUAAUGAUAUAAUCCCACUGGACUAUCCAGGCAAGGCCAAAUUCACUAAAAAAGAAUAAUAAUUGGGGAAAACUGAAAGUUCUCUAGGGAUAACAAAAGAACUUUGGAAUAGCUCAAAGCCAUCCAAAAUGGGUUUUGGGAGAAUUUUAAUAGUUGGACCAAAAUAUGUCCACCAAUUGUGGAACCAAAAUGGAAAAGAGGGGAGUUGAUGCUUAGAUGGGAAAUAGAACAUCCCUGAAUGAUGGAAGUCCUUGUUCUGGAUCAGAAAAGCAUUGAACCAUACUCUUUGGUAGUCUCAAUAAUUGAAAAUUUUAGGUUUUGAAGGCUUAGAAAAUUCUCUUGAAAAAUUAGGAUUCCCACCCCACUGCUUAACUGUAAGGAUUUUAUAAAUAUGGUAAGUGGAGAAUGCCAAAUCCAAAUUGCUGAAUUUAUCAGCAUUGUGCUUGAUUUUAACAGAGCCGGUUUCCAUAAGGAUUGCUUCAUAAAAUUCUCUUGUUUUUAAAAGAUCACCAAAGGGAUAAUGAAAAUUUUCAUGAAAAGCUUUUGCUGCAAUAUCUCUAGGGUUUUUAGAGAAAAACUCUUUUUCAAUAACCAAAAGAGGUUGAUUUAAAUCUUUUUGCCAAUAUCUUGCUUUUGCUGAAAGAGGUGUGGGGUUGGCUACCACCACAAUUUGCUUAUUUGAAAAAGAAGAGCUUGAUGCUAAUUCAUUUUGAGAGGGAUUAGCUUUAGUAACCUGCUUAAAGGUCUGAGACACAGUAAUAGUUGGAUACUGAGUAGCCUUGACUGGUUUAGAAGGAUUCGAAGGAUCAUAGUACAAGGACAAAAUCUUAUUAGGCAUAUGGUCAGAAGAAUGAAGCCUUGCUUCUUCUUCUAGCUCAACUUGUUGGCUCCAAAGUAUUUUAUGGGGAGAAGGUUCUUUGCUGGUUUUAGAAGACUAGGAUUCUGGAAGUUUAGGAGCUUGGGUAUUCUUUUUAGGGGCCAUGGUUUCGUGAAUCCUGUAAAAUUCACAAGUUAAGAAAUCAGGGCUCGAAGAAUGUUCUCCUUUAAUAUACUCAAUUUGUAAAUUAAAAUUGCUUAAAAUAGCUUGAUAUAUAGCAAAAAUAUGCUUAGAAGUUAUAUUCUUAACAUCCUUUUGUAAAACUAAUUUUGCAAAUUUACAAUCAACUCUUAAUAAAAACUUUUGAUUCAAAAGAUCAUCUUGAAAUUUUGAAAUGCAUAAAACAACGCUUAAAGUCUCUUUUUUAAUGAUGUUAUGAAUGAGUUGGGUAGUAUUCCAGGUUCUUGAAGUAUACCUAACUAACAUCUCAAGGUUACCAACACUUUGCUUAAGAAUCCCACCAUAACCUAUGUCUGAGGUAUCGAUCCCAACAAACUCAAAGGUUUCUGGAUUGAUAGAGCCUAAACAUGGUAGGGUCUUGACUUUGGACUUAACAUCAAUAAUGAAAACAAUGGUGAAAACAGAAAACUGGUUAAAGUUUUCAUCCAUUAUAUUCUGGAAUUCUGAGGUGCAUUCUUAAGAUCAAAGGGCAUUAUGAACCAUUCAUAAUGUCCAAGAGAUACCACAAAGGUGGUCUUAUUUGGAAUAGGACACCUAAUCCAACUUAAUGUAUCAUUAAGAGGCAUGUAGUUGACGACUAGUCUAGGUGUUCCUUUUUCUGAUUCAACUUGUUCCUGAACAUAGAAGGUUGAACAACUCCAAAGGGACUUAGACUUCCUUAUCAACUUUUUAUCAAGAAGAUCCCAAAUCUCCUUAUCACAAUAGCUUAACAAACCCUUGUUCAUCUGGAUAGGUCUUGAUUUAGUGGGAAUAUUCUUGUCACUAAAGUCUAGUUCAUAAGGUAAUUCUACCUCAUGUUGUUUCCUAUGCCAAAAUGCAUUAGGAAUGUUAGAGCAAACUUCUUCAACAAUCAGAUUAAUUUCUUGCUCAUGACUUUCCUUAGCUUGAAUCACCUGAUCCCUUAAGGUGUUUAUAUUUUUCUUAUUAGGUGGUUGGCAAAUUCAAAAAUAAUUUCCUUAUCUAAGAGCUUUGUUCUUAUACUUUGGUCAUCUACCCACAUGGGAUAGAUGGAGCUUAAAAAGGGGAUUCCAAGGAGAGCUUUCUCCUUAAGAUCCUUAACUAGAAUGAAGGUUUGCUUGAUGCAAAUGCCUUGGUUAUUUAUGUGAGCAUCUGACAGCUUAUACUCAAUGUCAAGCCUUUUACCAUUAGCUCCAAAGAGAGAUUCUUUGGUUUUCUUACAAAACUUAAUAGGACCUAGACCUUCUUGUAGGCAAUUCAAAGCUGUUCCUGAAUCAAUCAAAGCAACAAUAUCAAUGACAAAUUUACUCUUAAUUACUAUAGUAAGGGAGACUUUCCACCUCUGGAAAAUAACCCUACUAACAGUAUUUAAGUAUCCAUCCGUCUUUUCAUCAUUAGCAUGUGAAGAUUCUAGAACCUCUUCAAGGUUUUCCUAGUUAUCAACAAGAUUUUCUAUAACAAUCCUAUUUAUUUGUUCUUGGAGAUCUGAAAAACCUAAGCUUGUGUAUUGUCUUAAAUCUUUAAUUUCCUUCUUAUACUGUCUUACUUCUUCUUGAAGAUCCUUAAUGGUUACGUCUUUGGUAGACUACUGGUUAAAUCUUCCUAAGAUUUCAUUUAAGUUAUAAGAAUUUACUGUCUUCUUAAUCUCUUGCUUAUCGACAAAUUUCUUAAAAACUUCAUAAAGAUCUUGUUUAGUUUUUUCAUCUUCAACUUUCCUUAAAACAUCUAGGACAAGUUCUUGAUCUUGGCUUAUGACAUUUAUAGUCUUAGGUUGGCAAUCACAAUUAUCCUUAAUGUAUUCUUCUUGGUCACUAGAAGUUUGGCUUGAGAUUUCCUCACCACUACUAUCUAGUUGGUUAAUACCAUUUUCAUUAUCUGAAUCAAUCCUUGAUUCAGACUCUGUGGAAUUUAACAUUACUUUACAAAGCAUAUCUUUUAAGUCUUCUGUGACAUUUAAGUUAUUAAUUUUCUGCUUAACCCUACAAUCUUUCUUAUAGUGGCCUAUCUUACCACACUUAAAACAAACUGGCUUAGAUUGUGAAGGAGCUUCUAGCUUUUUAUGGGCUUCUUUGUUCAUCAUUCUUUGGAUGUGCCUUUGUUUCUUAGUUUCAUUCAUCCUAUAGUUGCCAUGAGUUCCUCUCUUGUUGUGAUAGGACUUUUCCUUACUAGGCUUUGUACUUACUUGUUUCUUACGUUGCUUAGAGGGGGGCUUAGUUUCUUUUUGGUUGAAUCCAAACUAGCUACAAAAUGAACCAAACUCAUUCUUGUAGAUCCUUUGUUCAUUUUUCAUCUGUUGCUUAAGCUUAAAGUCAUUGCACAGUUUAAUUGCUUCUGAUGUGACAAUGCUUAUAAUUUCUCCAUAAGAAAGCUUAUCAUAAGGGAUUUGUCCAUUAAACUGUUCCCUUAUCUUAAUCCUAAUCCUCUCAGAGAAAAGUCUAGGUAGUCCUAAGAUGAAUUUUUCUUUCCAAAAAGACUGGUUAUAGUUUGAUCUUAGUAUGACUUUGGUUAGGAAAACUUCUCUAUACCAUCUAAAGUCAUGAAGCUUGGGACACUUAAGGUUGGUUAAGAGAUCUACAAUCUUAUCCUUAAUCUUUGCAGGAUCUCCAAUGAAGUGCUUUGAAAUUGAAUAGAUUAGAGUAGCCACUACAUCCUCUAUAUCUUGUCCAUCUUCAUCCUUAACCACUUCAUUUUCCUCAUUAAUCCUAUAGGCUUUUAGGAUACCAUUUCUAUCCUCAAAGGUGAGAUAAUUAUCCCACCAACCCUAAAGUUGACCUGUAAACCCAACAACAAUUGUUUGAGCUACAGCAUGGCCUGACAAUCUAUUGUUUAACUUAUAGGUUGUACUAACCAUGGUCAUUUCUUGAAGCUUAGUGAGUAUGUUGUACUCAAUCAUACCAUCUAUGUUCCAUUCAUAGAUAGUGUCACUAGUGUAGGAAGCUUGAGUAUGCUGGUUUCUUUCCUCAUACUACAUAUCAGGAAAAGUUGGUCUAGGGUAGUAAUUCCUAGUUCUUGGUUGUUGAUAAUCCUCAUAACUGUUUGGUUAGGAGGUUCCUUAAAAAUCUUAAUUAGUUCAUCAGCCUCUGCUUCAGAACUAAUUUCUCCUUUAACCAUAUUGAUUCUCUUGUGAGAUGGUUGAGGUGUCUCAGAGACAACAAGGCUAUCCUUAACCUUUUGGCUUAUCCUAUCAAUGAGGGCUUGAUCAAUAUGGAGAUUCUCUAGGAAUUUCUUAGAGAAUUCAAAAGGCUUAAAUAAAGACUUAUUAUCUUUCUUAACAAACGUAGUCUUAAUGUAGUCUUGUGUUUCAAUGAUAUCCUCAAACUUGUUGAGUUGAUCGCCUGUAGUCUUAAGAAACAUGUUAGUGUAGUUGUUUUGUUCCAUGAUUCUUCUAACGUCAACAACACUAUCAAUUCCUUUAUUCUUUGGCCUAGUCUUAAAAGGUGAAGCUUUGACUAUGGUUCAAUUAAUGUUCUUUUAUAUCUUAGCUUCUAGAGGGUGGAUGGAUUCUAUGAUAGUAUCGUCACUAGUUUUCCAUAUCUUAGUUUUUUUGGAUGUGUCAUUGACACGCUUACUAGGGUAAUCUAGAUAUUCCUCUUGUUUGAAGAGUUCAAACCAGAUCCAAUACUUAAUGUUCUUCUUUUCUUGUCUUAAGUAUGUGUAGAAUUCUUCUUGGUAGAGGGUUCUAAUGUCUUUAAGGACCUUGCUAAAGAACCAAACUCUCCUUUUCUUAUUGACUUCAGAAUAGAAGUCUUUCCUUAAGAGGUCCUUGUUGAUUCAAAGUCUUCGUUAAUUAGGCUUACAGUGUUAAUCAACUGAGAAUAAGUAGGAGACAUAUCAGGAGAUUCGUCCUGAUGUGAUUCUUGAGUAAACUCAUUUUCCUCCAUGUAAAAGGGUUUGGCCACGUUGGUGUGACUUCUAACACCUGUUAGCUUAAUAUUCUUAGGAUUUGCUGAACUAGAUCCUUCCUCUAUCCUAGUGGUUCUUAUUGGGAUAGAUGAACUUGAAGCUCUAGAGGGCUCAUAAUAUGAAAUUCUAAGGCUGCUAGAAUGAUGAAAAGAGUUGGAGAAAAUUAGAUCUCGUUCUCCAUCAGGAUAUUGAACAAUCUGUUCAAUUCUUUCAGAUCUUUGCUCUAUGGCUGGGACAACAUUAGCAAAAUGCCAAUUUUCUGGAAACUCAACCUCAUUCCACUUGAUUUUCAUGGGGACUAUGAAAUUAGACUUGUUUAUCAUAUCUAAGUGGAAGAUAGUGGUUUCACCCUUGGGACUGGUGCACAAUGCUCCAAAUCCAACGCUUAUGGUCAUGCUCUUAUAGGCAAAUCUGGUGAUGAUGGAAACAUGAUUGUUUCCUUGCUUGAACUUAAAGUCAUGGGUCUUAACAUGAAGGACAACUGAAUCUAAGAUGUUGACAUCUCUUAGUCUAACUGUGAAGUUAGGGAAACACUGGAAAUAAACAGGACCAUCAUUUAAUCCUGCUUGGGUAGCUCCAAUAAUAGAAUCUCGGUAAUCAAGAUGUCUAUUAUCUCUUAAACACAUGACAAUAAAGGUGUUUAGACCUAGUCUUGUCAAGGGCUUAGCUGCAACUUGAAUCAUGCCAAAGUGUAUGAAGUUGUAGUCUCGCUUAUGCUUAUCAAUGGACUUACUAUCCAAGAGUCUUAUGACUUGAUCGUCGUGUUCUAAACUUACUGACAUUUCAGGGGUUUUAAUGGUGUAAUCUGUAAAGAACUUAAAGGUUCCUUUCUUAUAAAUUUCUUGAUUAGGUACCUUGGGUAACUUCCAAUCAUCUAAAUCAUCUUGGAUCUUAGGAUAAUUGAUCUCUUCAUUGUUUACUCUUGAGAAUUUGUGGAUUUCCUAGACAUGGUUCUGAAAAUCAAACUCAUUUUAAGGUUUUAAUCUAGAGCCUAAUAGCAGAUUAACAGACCUAGUGAGUAAUCACCCCAACCCUUUUCCAACCUUAACAAACGCCUAUCUCCAGCUAACAAUGGGCUCAACUCGGCAAGGAUCGCACUCAGGCACACUACUAUCUUUCCUAGGAUAGAUCAAAACACCCAAAACAAACCCGACUUCCUUUUCCUAGGAUAUAUAUAGUAUUUUGGGUUUGAGUAGGAGUUCAUGUUUUGUAUGUAAUUGUAGUCUACGUUGGACUAGGUUGUUUGCUCCUAAUUGAAAUAGGAAUGGUUGGUGUCACAUCUCAUUCAUUUUCUCAUCUAUUUCCAUGUUUAGAUAACUCAAGUAAUCAUAGGAAUGAAAUUAAGAAUGAUUUGAGGGAAAUGAAAUCUCACUUGUAAGUGGGAUCUCAAUUCAUCAUUAAUAGAAGGUAUUUUGAUUACAUAGUGCAAGUUAUUUUUAAAAACACUUUUCAAAAAUUGAAAAACCAAAAACUCUCUUGGAUAAGUUGUUUUUAAAAAGAAUUUUUGUAUUUUUAUUUUGUAAAAAAAAAAAAUAGUAAUUCAAUUUAUAUAAUAUAAAUAGACUUUAAUUUUAUUAAAAAUAAAAAUAAUUUUUUAAUUACAAAUAAAUUAAAAAAUAAAUAUUUGUAAUAAAAUAUGAAUAGUAAUAUUAUAAUAAAAUCAUAAAUAAAUUAAAAAUAUUUUUAAAAACAAAUAAGUUUAAUUUUUUUGAGGUACAAAUGAGCCAAAUUUUUCAUUAGGUACACAACCAACAAUUUUUAUUGGAAACAUUCCUCAAAAAAGAAUUCGUUUCCCAUAUAGCAAAGAUAUUUAUUAUUUAGUAUCUAACCAUCCGUAGUAAUCAUAUCAAUUCUACUAAGUUAUUUAAUAAUUCAUUUAUAUAUAGUACUCAAUUAUGAAUUUUUUUAUUUGAUGUAUAAUUAAUUAAUCAAUGUUUUGAAUUUUGAAUUAUUCUUAAAAUUUAAAACAUUAAUUAUGUCUAUUACUUUUUAUAGUCAUUAUAUAUAUAUAUAUAUAUAUAUAUAGAGAGAGAGAGAGAGAGAGAGAGAGAGAGCUUAAAUUUAUCUUUAAAAAUUAUUAAAUUUAUUAAUAAAUUCAAUACAAAGACUCAUUUGAUUUGAAAUUCAUUUCUUUAGUGAAAAUUUUGAAACUAAAUAGUACUUUGUUUUACUUUGUUUUUAAAUCAUACUCACAAAUAAGUUUUUAUCAUUUAGCCAAAAAAUCUCAAAGAUGUUUCUAAUUUUAUUUAUUUAUUUAUUUGUAAAUGAAAAUAAAAAAUUAGUUUAAACUAAAUAUGCGGAUAUUAUUGUUAAUUUAUUUCAUUUUUUAUUUCCAUUGUUAUUUAACAUUGAAACGGAAACAAAUAAUCAUUCCAAUCUUACAUUCUUAUAUGCAUCUAAACACAAGAAUUGAAAUCACCAAAUUCAUAUUCAAGGCAAAAUAGAAAUGGAAAAAAAAUAUUCAUUUUCAUUCCUCAUUCUCAUGUGCUAAACAUGACAUUAGUUCUACUACCUAUUUCACCAUUCUUCUUGAUAAAUUUGGUAUAUGCAAUAUUGAUCUAAGUGUGAGGUGAAUAAGAAUGAUGAUGGGAUGGGCUUGGAAAUAAGGGCAAAGUUUCUAGGUGCUAUCUAGAGGGGCAACGCGACUUUUUCAAAUUUCGAAUAUUUGUUCUCAACAUAAAGCAAAACUUUACUCACACAAUAGAUAAGACUCUGUUUGUUUUCUUCAUCCACGACUAUAUAAUGUAUAGCUCUUACUCAAGGGAUGAGCUACUUACUAUUAAGGAUUGGGUAAGAUAUUGCCUAAUGGCCAAGAAGGCAUGUCAAAAAAUAAAUCUAAUCACCAUAAAAAAUAAUAGGGGAAAAUUAAUAUAUUAUGAAUGAUGACUUUACUAUUUCUCUAUAUACAUAAUUAUAUAUUUUGAAUUUUCUCACUAGGUAAUGAGAUUCUAAAUCAACUGAAACAUAAUUAAUAAUUUAUAUUUUUAAUGAAUCUUUUAAUUUUUAAAAAUAAUUUAAAAUUUUAAAAAACAAUUCAAUUAAUUACAUAUUAAAUCAAAACAUUUCAAAAUAUUGUGUUUGUAGAUGAGUACUAAAUGCUUGCAUAUAAUAAUAAUAAUAAAAAAAUUGACUCAUUUAGAUGUUAAAAAAGUUAAAUGUUUUUCAUUAUUCAUUUUAAGUAAAAUAUUAUUGACAUUAUUAUUAUAAAAUUAUUAUUAUUCAUUUUUAACAAAAAACAAAAUAAGUUAUUCUUUUACCAAGAUGUCAAUAUCUAUAUUUUUCUAACAUAUAUUAAAAUAGUAUACUUUUCUUUUAUUAAAAAUAAUAAUUAUUAUUAUAUUAUUAUUCAAGUUUUAUUAAAAAAAUUUAUCUUUUAAUUCAUUUGUAAUUACAAAAUAAUUUUAUUUUAUUAAGAAUUUAAUUUAAUUACGCUUUUUUUUUUUAUAAAAAAAACAGUUAUGCUUUUACCAAGAUGUUAAUAUUCAUAUUUUUCUAGCUAACAUAAAUAGAAUAGUACACUUUUUCAUAUAAAAAAAUAAUUUAUGAUUUUAUUAUAAUGUUACUAUUCACAUUUUACUAAAAAUAUUUAUUUAUUUUAUUUAUUUUUAAUUAUAAAAUAAUUUUAUUUUCAAGAAUUUAAUUUUAAAAAAAUAGAAAUCAUUUAUUCUUUUACCAAGAUGUUAAUAAACAUAUUUUUCUAACAUAUACUAAAAUAAAAAAGUUUACUUGUUCAUUAAAAAAUAUAAUUUAUGUUUUUAUUAUAAUACUACUAUCUAUGUUCUACUAAAAAUAUUUAUUUAUAAUUAAAAAAUAAUUUCAUUUUUAAUAAGACUUGAACUAAAUUAAAUUUAUAAUUUUUUUUUAAAAUAAAAUAGAAAAUUAUUUUUUAAAAACAACUUAUUGAAAGAAAUUUUUUAUUCUUUACUUUUAAGAACUGUUUUUAAAAGCAACCUAUAAACCCCUUUGGGUCUGUUUGGCUAUGUUUCAUGCAACUUGUUUUUAAAAAUUGUUUUUUAUUCUUUAAUUUAAUUUUUUUUAAGUUAAAGAAUAAAAAACAACUUUCUAGUGUUUUAUAAAAAUGAGAGCUUUUGACAAGUUGUUUUUAAAAACCAUUUUUAAAAAUAAAAAAUAAAAAACUUAUUUAGAUAAAUUGUUAUAUAUAUAUAUAUAUAUAUAUUUGUAAAAACAUUUUAAAUUCAAUUUAUAUAAUAUAAAUUUAAUUUAAUUUAAGUCUUAUUAAAAAAAAAUUGUUUGGAUAAGUUUUUUUUUUUAAAUAGUUUAUUAUUUUUGUUUUGUAAAAACAUUGCAAAUUCAAUUUAUAUAAUAUAAAUUAAUUUAAUUCAAGUCUUAUUAAAACCAAAAUAAUUUUAUAAUUACAAAUAAAUUUAAAAAUAAUUUUUUUAGUAAAACAUGAAUAAUAAAAUUAUAAAUUAUAUUAUUGUGGACCCUGCAUUUAUGCUCAUGCGCUUCCACUUGUUGGCGAACUCAUUUUUUAUUUGAAAAUGAUUUAUUUUUUUAGAAAAUGACUUAGAGUCGCCACUUAUUUUUGUUUUAUUUUUAAAGGGCAAGCAAAAUAAGAAAGAAAACCCUAAGUGUGACUCCUUAUUCGAAAAAGGUAGUCUGUGUAAAACCGGAUCAGGGUUCAGGGAUCAGGUUACUUAUUGGGAAGGUAUGACAAUGACCGUAGCACUCCUCUAAGUCCUUAAAAACGGGCCUCUACUAAAAAAAAUAAAGUAAUCAUGGCAAUCAGUAAGGAAAUCACUGGAUACCCAGAACAAUUAUGCACAUGUGAGAAUUAAAACAUGCAUAAGAAUGGACAAAGUGAGAGUGGGUGCGUACCUUGACAACGAACCACAAUGCGUUAUCAAGAAAUGGGGUUAGUGCACGAUCAAUGAACAUAAAACACGUCACACAUGUCACUAAGCAGAGUGAGAAAUCAUCAGAUAUUACAAUUCAAUCAAAUUUAUUUUUAGAAGAAACAUCUGUUGAUGUAGAGCCCCUACCAAAGCCUAAUUUAUUUUUGCAUGAAUCAAUUUCAUAAAUUCAAUCGCUUGGAAUUACAGAAUUAAAUUCAUGCUUAUUUUAAAACAUCUUUUUAAAAUCAUGGAAGAUGUGAAAAUGGUUUUCCAAAGAGAAAAUGACAACUGAUUUUAUUGAAAAUGGGAUUUUGGGGACCUAAACGUUAAAGAGGGAUUAGGAAUUGAAAAUUAAAUCAUUUGAAAAUUGAAUUUUUCAAAAAUCAGUUUUGAAAGCAUGCAUGCAAGUAUGGACUGUGAAAGUGGGCCUAGGGAGGGUGGCCAUGCAAAAUGAGGUCAUACACGUGGGCCUUGGGUACAAUUGGGACUACUUUGCUGGUGCCAGUGGUGCUUGCAGCUGUCAUCCAUGAUUUCUUCAUUGGGAUCAAUUUCCAUUCUUACUGCCAAACAUUCCAUAACAAUUGACCAAACUAGUAACCCUGACCUUGCAUGAAAAUGAACGUUACCUAGAAACUCACUGCCAGUGAGAUUCAUUGCUCUUUCAAAAGGUCUCAUUUUCUUUCUCAUCCAAUUGCUUUAAGGAGCAUUCUAGCGUCACGAUUGGUGACUGCGCAUCAUCUAGAGCCUUCUUUCUUCUCAGAAUCAGGUUUGCGUGCAGAGGCCUGUGCUUGUUCAAGGUUGACCUAAAUUCAUCUAGGUUUAGAACCGACCAGUUGAGCUUGGGGAGCAACGACAAGAAUAUCAGUCACUUGCGAAGAGAAAACUCGAGAUCUUUCAAGUAAUGCCUGACAUAGAUUCCUCCAACCUGUGGCCAAUAUCUCAUUCCUUGUUGGCCAGACGCCUAUUAGGGCGUAUCUCAAUCAAUAAUAUGAUUUUUCGUUUGUUCACAAUAAAGACCGGAAGCCAUGGUUGUGAUUUAUGCAGUACAGAAGAAGUUGCCAUGGCUGGUAUCCUUACAAAUUCUGGUGUUUCUGCUAUCUGUUCAAGUGCAAAACACAACAGCUUUAUCAAGUUUGUCCCUAACAACUGAUAUUGAGCCCUCUGGAGGAAACCUUGAUAAAUUCAUAAUCACUUUUGACUCAUGCAUGGGCUGCCCAUCAAAUUUUCCUAGCAACGAGACGACUGCUGUCAUCUACUGCAAAGAGAAUUUCUUCUCGCAAAGACAAGAGGAGUUUAAGAAUACACACUAUUCUGCCAUUUCAUUUCCUCUUUCUCCACAACCAACAUAAACCAUAGUGUCUACAUUAGAGUACUUAGAAAGAGCUUAACUGAUGACCGUUUUUCCACAACCAAAUGCCCCAGGUAUGGCACAAAUUUCACCGAAAACAGAAGGGAAAAGGGCAUCAAGAACACGCUGUCCUGUAAGUAGUGGGGUAUCAGGACUACUCUAGGGAAGUUAUUUCUGUCAUUUUGAAAAAGAAAAAUUAAAGAAUGUACACAUGCUUUCAAGUGGACUGGAGCAUUCUACAUAUCAGGUGGUCUGUAGCCACAUGUGCCACUUUGUGGAAGUUGGAACAGUCGAUCACUAGGCUAUUUAGUGUGGCCAAGCCACGUUAAUCAAGGACAAGUCUUCAUACUUAAAAGUCAAAUGGUGCCUUUAGUCUCAUUACACAUGGCUAUUUAAAGAUGAACUAAUCUUUAGUGUAAUGUGAUUAAGACAGUACUAACUGAUCAAUAUUUUUUCUAAUUUUGGAUGCAAAUGCUUGCUGGCUUCAUCAUUGGAUGGGAUAAAGGUGCAUUCAUGACUCUGAAUACUUGCAGUAAUACUUGCAGUAAUACUUCAUUCUCUUUUUUCUCGAUGAGACUUCUUGGCACAAUUUUGCUUCUCAGCAACCUACCUCUCCAUGGAAAAUGAGUUGCGAUUGAUGGUACUGGAUAUUUUCUAGGAAGCUAAAUAUAGAUAUAUAGCACUCAAUGUCAACGAUAUAUAUAGCAUUAACAGUAUAUGUCUCAAUGCUCAUCAGCUACAAGCAAGGGACAAACACUUACAAUGAAUAACUCACGUCAACAUUCCUAAACAGGACAUAGAAGUGACAGAUCUAUAUAUAGAACACUGCAUAUGAGUCACAAGAAAAGAUAAUACGGGUGCAUAGCAGCUCUUAUAUUACAUAUUACUCAUACCGUUCAAAUUCACUCAGUUGGGAUGGGUGGGAGAAGGAGGCCUCUGGGGUGGCUUGUGCGUGUGAGAAGUGGAAGAAAGUUGAAUGGAAUGAAACUGAAAAACAGGGUAGAAUAGAGGUUUCUUGAAUCUUCUGAAAUCUUUAUUUUUCUGAGAUUUAUUCUCUGUUUUUGUGAGUCGUGACUCUACAUAUAUACAUGUAUUUAAAGUUAGUUAUGCCUUAUAACUAAUUAUCUAACAGUACCAAAACUAAUCAUCUAGUUGCAUGUUUCUAAUUAAUGCUAUUUAGUUACAACUAUAUAUGGCUUAACAUCCUCUCUCAAACUCAAAAGUCUAGCUAGAACAGUGAGUUUGCUUCAUAGAUUGAGAAAUUGUUGAAUAGGUAAGGCUUUGGUAAGAGCAUUAGCAAUCUGGUCAUAAGAAGGAAUGUGUUGAACCACCAAAGUCUUAUUGAGCACCUUUUCCUGAACAAAAUGGCAAUCUAGUUCCACAUGCUUAACUCGAGAAUGAAAAUAGGAUUGGCAGCAAGAAAGGUGGCUGAAAGAUUGUCAUAGAACAAAACAAAAUAGGAGAAUAAGAAGAUGAGAUAGAAAACUCCUGAAGAAGAUGUUGAAUCCAUUGAAGUUCAAAAGCAACAUUUGCUAAGGCCCUAUACUCAGCUUCAUUGCUGGAACGAGACACAACUUUCUGCUUACUGGAGUUCCAGGAGACUAGAUUAGAGCUAAAAAAGAUGCAAUGACCACUUGUACUUCGACGAUCAUCAGGGCAACCAACCCAAUCAACAUCAGCAUAAGCAGUAAGUUGAAAAUCAGGAGAAGAAUAAAAGGAAAGACCAAAGGAAGUAGUGCCCUUAAGAUAAUGCAACAAUCGUUUAACAACUUGCCAAUGAAGAUCAGUUGGUUAUUGCAUGAAUUGGCAAAGUUUAUUGAUAGAGAAAGAGAUGUCAGGCCUUGUAAUGGUACAAUAUUGCAGGGCUUCAACAAUGUUGCGAUAUUGAGAAGGGUCAGCCAAGAGGGAACCUUUAGAGGCAGAUAAAGUGUGAGAGGUAGUCAUUGGUGUAUCAAUAGGUUUAAAAUAUGGAAGACCAGCACGAGUUAACAAGUCCUGAAUAUAUUUGGUUUGGGAAAGAUGAAGAGAAGAUCCUUGCCAACAUACUUCUACACCCAAGAAGUAAUUCAGAAUACCAAGGUCCUUGAGAGCAAACUGAAAGUGUAAAGACGAAACCAUUUGGUGGACUAGCACGGUAUUAAGACCACUAACAAUAAUGUCAUCAACAUAGAUGAGAAUAAUGAUCAUGUCAGUCCCUUUCCGAAGAGGAGCUUGCUUCAGACCCUACAAGGCUUUGCGAAGUUUACAGAAAAAACCGGGUUUAGAAUGAUCAACAAAGCCUGGAGGUUGAACCAUGUAAACCUCUUCUUCUAACUCACCAUUGAGAAAGGCAUUAUUAACAUCUAAUUGUUCCACUAACCAACCAUGAGAAAUAGCAAGAGAAAGAACAAUUCAUAUAGUAGUUGGUUUAACAACAAGGCAAAAGGUUUCAAAAUAAUCAAUACCAUAUGUUUGAUUAAAACCCUUUGCAACUAAGUAGGCUUUAAAACGAUCAAUUGAGCCAUUAGCUUUGAGUUUCAGCUUGUAUAUCCAUUUACAACUAAUAAUGCGUGUAUUAACAGGUUUAGGAACCAAUGUCCAUGUGGAAUUGGUGAGAAGAGCAUCAUACUCAGUCUUCAUAGCAGCUUGCCAAUUAGGAUGCAAUAUUGCUUCUUUGAAAGAGGAGGGUUCGACAACAGUAGUUUGGAUAGCAAGGCUAAAUAUUUUUUUGGGUUUAAAAAUACCAUUUUGGCUACGAGUAACAAUAGUUCGGUUUGGAAGUGAAAGAGGAUCAGUGGAGGAGGCUGGAACAAGGGAUUGUGGUAAAGUAGGAAAGGAAGGUGGAUGAGAUGGAACAAAAUCAGUAGGGACAAUAAUGGGAGAAGAAAAAUUAGGUGGAGAAUGAUGAGGAUUCCUUGAAGAUGGUGUAGGAAUAGAGAGAAUACCAGAAUCAAGAAGUGUUAAAGAAGAGUUGGAUGAUGAUACUGGUUGACAGGAUAAAGACUUUGUUAAAAAUGGAAAUCGAGUUUCAUCAAAUACAACAUGACGAGAAGCAUAUAUCCGAGAGGAAGCCAUAUCCAAACAGAGGAAUCCCUUGUGUUUAGCACUAUAACCCAAAAAACAGCAAACAACAAAUAUAUUUGCUAGCUUGUGAGAAGCAUAAGGGCGAAGAUAAGGAAAACACAAGCAUCCAAAACUUCAAAGAGAUGUAUAAUAAGGUAAACGAUUAUAAAGAACUCCAUAAGGAGAAUUUUGUGAAAGAACAGCAGAGGGAAGGCAAUUUAUGAGAAAAAUGGCAGUUUGAAAUGCAAAUGACCAAUAUUUGAGAGGGUAUACCAGCUUGUAUUAACAAAGAAAGACCAACUUCCACAACAUGACGAUUCUUUCUUUCAACUCUUCAAUUUUGCUAAGGAGUAUAAUGACAAGAGACUUGAUGAAGAAGACCAUUUGUAGCCAAAUAAUUCUGAAAAGCUGAAACUGAAACUCAUCAAAUUGAUUUUUAGUAUCAAAUUUUCUUCAGACUGAACACAUUGAUUUUUAGUAUCAAAUUUUCUUUCAACCAUGGCUUGAAAAUGUUGGAACAUAAGUAAAGCUUCAUCUUUAGUUUCCAAAAGGUACAACCAUGAGAAUAUGCUAAAAUCAUCAAUUAGCAAGAGGAAAUAUUGAGCAUUACCAUUGACAGAAACUAUAGGAGUUGCACCCCAAAGAUCAACAUGGAUGAGACCGAAUGGUUUUAUUGCUCUAGAAGUGGAUAUUUCAAAUGGAAAACGAUGGCUUUUAGCCAACUGACAAGACUCACAUACAGAGUUAUUAUUGUCAUGUUUCAAAGGUAUUUUAUAAAGAGAUAAGAUUUUGGAAACUACAUUAAUAGAGGGAUGACCAAGUCUAUUAUGCCAAAGCCUCAAAGAACCAACGGCUAAAGUACUACUAGUAGAGUAAAAUACUAGUGGAUGACCAACAACUCUUGGUGUAGCAAGAAGUUUAUAGAGACCCUUCUCAAUUUUUCCUUGAAGAAGAGCAAGUCUCGUUUCCUGAUCCUUUACCACAAAAUGAGAAGAACGAAAUUCAAUAAAGGUGCCAUUGUUUGAGUAAAAUCGUUGCACGCUAACUAAGUUGGUGGUAAUAGAAGGAACAUGUAAGACAUCAUUGAAAAACAAAGAACCACUUGAAGAGGCAAGAGAAAAUUUACCAAUAUUUGCAAUGGAUAAACCCUUACCAUCUCCAACAAUUACUUUGUCACCACUGGUAAAUGGAUUAUGGAUUGUUAAAUUGUUAAGAUCAGAUGUGAGAUGAUGGGUAGCCUUUGUAUCAAGAAACCAAUAAGUGUCUCCCAUUGUUGCAGAAGUUGUAGUCAUAGCCUCAGGAUUGUUAGAGGUGGAAUGUUUAGAAUCUUUUGGCUGAUAAUCAGAGUUAAACCGAUACCAGCAUUGUAAAGCGGUGUGUCCGAACUUACAACCGAGAGAAAUAAUCUUUACUUAUUCUCUAAAAACUGUUCUUUAUUCCACACAUUAUUUCUAAAAACUGUUUCUAGAUAACAAUGACAAAAUAGUAUUAGGAAUUUUUAAAAAUAAAAAUUGUUUUUAAAUUACAUGAUCUAUAUCAUUCACAUUUGACCAUUAUAGCUUUGUUCAGGAAAACACUUGAAAGUAACCUUAUCGUGAUAAGAGAUAUAAGUUGGCUGUAGUUUCAAACUGAAAACAGAGGAUGGCAAUAGAAAGCAAAGCAUUAGUUAUCUGCAAUCAGUGGUGAUCAUGCCCCAUGUCAAUUUCGGACCCAUAUCUUAAAACCGUAUAAUUUGCAUUUCAACAUUUCUGAUUUCUCAGAUGUUUCAUACUCCACAGAAGAACAUUGUUUGUGAAAGCAUGCAUUUAUGCUGGAUUUUGGAUGAUGUGGGAACUGGGGCAAGGAUCAUAUGGAAGAGUGGUCGAUUUUUUCUGUACUUUAACAUUUGAAAUAGGAGCAGCACGGGCAUUUGUGGGGCUUAAUUGAUUUUGAAGCCUGAAAUUGCGUUUCUGUCAUUUUGUAAAAAAUAUGGCAGAUUCCAUGCUCUCAUAUGUUUGGUCUGUGGCCAUGUAUAGAUGCCACUUAGUGACCAGUUUGUAACUGUCAAUCAUAGUGUUUUGACUCUGGCUCAACAACAUCAGCCAUUGACGGAUUUUCAUACAUGCAAAUCAAAUAGUCUUCUUCCUCCCUUAGGAAUUUCGGUUUAAAUGUUAUUAAGCAUACAUUUGGCUGACAAUUAUUAACCACUUCAUGAUAUGGUUUCUUACCCUUAAUCAAUGGUUUCUAAGUGAAUAUAUGCAGAAGGAAAUCUGAACUGUAGACAGCAGUAUUGAUAAUUAUCAAUAUUCUUUAUAUAAGAGAAUAAACAACGUCAUAGUGAUCGUCGCCUACAAGAAAGGUACAUUUCCCAACAAGAUGUAGUUGUGACUGGUACAUGGACGUAAUUAACUCGUAGAAAAGGAUAAGACCAGUGCACGGCAGCUCUUAUUUUACAUGCUAAUUAUGCUAACCAAAGUCACUCAGUUGGGAUGGGAGGGAGAUGGAGGUUUGUGCGGUGGCUUGUGGGGCGGAGUUGGUGGCUUCUUUUCAGGAGCUUGUGGCUUUUUCGGAGCUGAAGGAGGCUCAAUCUUAUGAGGCGGCUUGUACGAGUCUUCUUUACUCUCGACAGGAGGGUGGCCAGGGUUGUGACCAUAAUGUGGUGGCUUCUCUCCCUUAGGUGGCUUGCCAACUGGGGUUGGUGGCUUGUGUUCAGGAAGUGGUUUCUCUCCCUUGGGAGGUUUACCAAUUGGGGUUGGUGGCUUGUGUUCUGGGAGUGGUUUCUCUCCCUUGGGAGGUUUAGUGGGUGACUUGUGUUCUGGAGGUGGCUUCUCCACCGGAGGCUUGUGCUCCGGUGGUGGCUUCUUGGUUGGAGGGGGCUUGGGGUAAUCAGCAAGAGAUGGGGGGGUGAGAACCACCACUCCAAGGAACAACACUAGCAAGUAUGUGGGAGACAUUUCUGAGUUUGAGCUGAUCAGAUGAUGCAAAACUAGAAGAAUUACGUGACCUUUUAUAGCAAGUAGCUCCCAAUACCCACAUGACACGUGUUACUGUGACCAUAAAUAUUAUAGGGUCCAUUUGUGCCCUACCGGGUUGAAAACUUGGACGCUUGGCCGAGGACACACCGAACUAUGGAGGACUAUUGACGUGUGAUCACAGCUUUUGGAUUUUUCUUCCUGUGCAGCUGUCUAGCGGUUGGCAUUAUUUUUUUAAUCUUAAAUAAAGGCAUAGUUAUAGAGUACAUUUAUAUAUCUUCAGAUAGCCAUUAAUAUAUUUGAUGAAGAAAGACAAGUGCAUACAACAUGUAUACGGCUUGCUUCAAUCGAGUACAUUUAUGAUCAGUUUUCCAGUGCAAGUAAACCAGUUUUUUGUUCCACAACUAUUUUGGAAUCUUGUUUAUCAGUUUCUAUCAUUAUAAUGUCACAUAGGCUGCAAACUUGGGCACCCAAAGAUCUAGUUGGGCAAAUUUGUUUCAGAAUUUCAAUGGUGGAUUCAGUAAUUGUUAAAAGGUGUUUCUUCAUUAAGGAAAGAGUCCUGUAAAAAUAUUGUUAAAAGGUGUCAUAGAAACUAUAAUAAUUAAAUAACUUCUUUUCCCCGUGGGUGGUGUUUCUUCUGGGGAUACCCAAAAUGAGUUCAGAUUAAAAUUGGUUCGAGUCAAAGCUGUCUCUUUUGUCCAGAAAUCAACUAUUUUGCGCAUUGCAUGAAUCGAUAAAGAAAAAAUGAAAGCCAAAUCACACCUCCCCUGCAAAACCUAAACCCCGGUUGCUAACUUUCUAUGUUUCAGUCCUAUUCAUACAGGAAUAUUGGUUCAAGUUUGAGAAAAAUGGCAACUUACCUAGGGAUUACUUGGUUGUGGUUUGCGACGACUAUUUACGCAACCAACCAUGAGUUUGACUUUAACGUCAUGGGUUGAAGCCUCCUACAAUCGUGUAUGAUAGUUCAAAGCUCGUAGUAGAAAUUAUACAGGAAGGAAGAAACCUCCAAAGCUAGCUCCAAAAGAGAAUUAUCACAUCGAUAGCUCCAGAGAUUCCCAAGGGGACUGAAUCAAAGACAAGUUCCUCACUUUUUCUUCUUUUGAGGCCAAAUAUGAACCAAGGAUCACACGACCUCAUUCAACUUCAUAAGUUUGAUUUCAUGCAGUUGAACACUGGGUGAAGGCCAUGACAAGAAUUGAUUAAAAAAUUCUACCACUGUUUUAAGUAAUGGAAGAUUAUUAUCUCUGAUUGGCACCACAACAGCACAUGCUGCUAGAUCUUUCUAGACACUCCAUGCAAUGAAAGUACAAUGGAUCUUGUAACGAUAGAAACUAAGCCAUGCUACAGUACUAGAUGACGAGGUAAAACUAUUAGACAUGGGUGGCAGCCUAUAUGGGAGGGACACAAGUCUAAUUGAUUUGCAUUUCAGCGUUCUAGAUGGGUAUGUUUUGGAAGAUUUGUUCUGGAAAUACCGCACCAAGUAGGAUUCUUUUUUCUCUUGAGUGGGUCCACUUGCAUGCCAAUUAUCGAGUUGAAAAGUAGAGCACCUACCUCGUGCUCGUGGAACCGAAGGUCAGUGAAGUGGGGCUCCUUUUGGCCUCUUGUGUUUCUGUUCCAACCAAGGCGGCGGAGGGAAAAACAGCAAUAUGUCUCCGCUAAAUAUCAACGCAUGAUAGCGAAUGAGGGAGAAAAAAAGUAAUUGGCAUCUCAAUCUCACAAACUUGGUACAGUAGUGACAUUAAUAGUCUUCCACAUGGUUUUUAUUUUAUUUUAUUUUAUAUUUUAUAUUUUCCAUUUUUUUAUUUUUUUGUAUGUCAAGGCUAAUGAAUAAAAUGCGUUAGCUUGUUUUGUGAUUGGAACUGCAAAUGUCCAAAUUGGAGUUUCUCCAUUUCUCAGUUCGGAUGGUUAACUUUAUAAACAAGAUAUAGGAAACAUGUGAACGUCUUGAGGAACAAUUCGAAUUAUUGAUUAGAACUCCUAGGUUGAGUUCCAAGAUUUAAAUCAGACCCCUCUAGCAGCUUCAGGGGUACCUAGCAAUUAGAACAUAUUAAUGAAGAUUUAGGAUUUAGACUCCGGAAUACAAAUUAAUAUGUAUCUUAUGCUCUGACUAGCUUCCCUGCAUAUGCACAAAAUGGAGAUGACCCAAAAAAUAGCAGAAUCGCCUUAGUUUAUGUGGUUAAGGUGAUUCUCCGGUUAAUAUCCACAUUGGCUCAUUAUGCAAAUCAACUGAGCUAUUUUUUUUUUAAUGUCAAAUAGGAACUCCUAAUUAACCUAACCAUUGGCCUGUGUAAAUUGAUUUCACAUGCACAAUGUUGUAGUAGAAGUCCACAUUUUGAAUUUUAUUUUUGGAAAGGUAAGGAAAAUGAAGCAUUGUGUAAUUAUAAAAAUAACUUCAUUGGAAUUCACAAGGUUCACCCAAAAUGGAGCUACAUCCGUAUUCUAUCUUACAGUAGACUAUAUAGAUUGUACAAUAGUAAAUUGCAAAUACAAUUAAUAAGUCUUGUGUUUCCUUACUAAUAAUCCUUUGACAUAAACAUUGCAGCACUAAGGUCCUCUUGGGCAGACACCUUGCACCCAUGAGAGCACUAAGAGGAAGCAAGGCGGAGUCAUGGGUGCAAUGUCAUGACUUGUUGCACUAAGAGAGGCUUGGUGAUGGCAUAGUGCUGCAGUAGCAAGAAUGUUGCCUUGGCAGGGACACGAUCUAGGGACAGAUGCCAAGAAAGGCUUAGCACUCACAUGAGUUGCACAAAGAUGAAUGAAAUAGAACAUCAAAGAGACAUCUUGGCAAGCUCAAGAAAGACAUGUGGGUUGGUAAAUGAAUGGAUGCAAGAGGCAACAACAUGAGGAGUUUCAAAUGGAUAGGGAAUGAGUCAAAGACAUUUGAAAGCUACAAGUUGGAUUCUAAUUACGAUUGCAAUUUGAGUUUGAGUAGGAGUUUAUAUUAUGAUUGUAAUUGUAGUAUGAGUUGGACUAGGAUUGCUUAUCCCUAGUCAAAAUAGGAGUUGUUCAUGCCACACCCUAUGAAAAGAGUUUGAGUAGGGACUAGGAUUGCUUGCUCCUAGUCAAAUAUGGAGUAGGUGGUGCCACACCUAUAAAAAAAAAAGGGACAACAUGAGAGAGAGAGAGAAUGAAUUCACCAAAGAUAUUGUGGGAGUUUUGCUUUGUUACAUCUUGUAUUAUUAUUUAGAAUAGUAAUAAAAUACAAGUUGGGGCUAGAGCCCCAUAAUCUCGUGUGCCUUUGUGGGUUAUUCUUUAUUUGCCAUCUCGUGUGGAUUGGAUUAGAUUGAUGAGGCGAAAUAUUAUGUGGGAAAUUUAUGUUGGGACACUUACCAUAACCAGGUAAAAUCUACCAAGUCUUUUGUAAUAUCUUCUACAAAUAUUUUAGACCAGUUCUUCACAAAACAUCAUAAUAUGUUUUGUGUUUCUCUUGGAUUUUGAGUUGAAUUGUCUUAGAUCAAUUGAAUGCAUCUCAAUAUUAUUAUCUUGUUUGAAGGCUUGAUGAUUUUCCAUUUAACUUUACUUUCUUUAGGUUAUGCUUGAUUCCUUAAAAGUACUAAGGAAAACAAAAAAUAAAAAAAAAUAAAAAAUGCAGAGGGUUAGGACAUGUGUUAUCUAAUUGUCCUAUCCAAAGAUAUUAAGAAAGUCAUGUAGGAAAGUAAUUGAAAACUAGGUCAAGAAAGGAGCAAAAGGGAAUUGUUUUGGUAUUUUCUUUUUUAUUCUUGAAGGUGGCAGAGCUAAAAUUUGAGAAAUCAAGCAAAACAUACUGAAAUUACAUUGAAAGAAAGAAAAUGGUAGUUAAUGUCUUGCAGUACAUGAUAAGGACUUCAUGCAUGUAGUGUGACGACCCAUGUCUUGGACUGAUGCCACACUCACGGUUACACUUAUACCCUUGGUUCUCUCUUUACUACCUUGGCUAACCUAGAUCAGGCUAUGAGAUAGGCUCCUCACCACACCAUCACUUGCCCAGUAAUUAGUGACAUUUUCAAGCAAUGAGGUAACAUGGUGACACCAAGAGGGUUUAUCCCUCGCCCCAACAAGUCUAGACUCGGUCUCAAAAAAAUGGAGAAAAAUGAGGUGUCGUUAUGCAGAAAUACAACAACCAUGCCUUCCUUAUUACUUAGAUUCAGAAUGUGAAGGUGAAAUUGAGAAACAGAAACUCUUGAAACCAGAAUGAAAAUUGAUACUUUUACGAAGAAUUACAACAUUAGAGGAAGACUACAUUCUUCCUCUAUAUUCCUACGUUUCUACACUACUUCUACUCCACUCCAUAUUUCUACAUACAUCUUUAAUCAGUUUUCCCUCCUUUAUAUAGAGCCAUCUUCACACAAAUUCCGCAAGGUAGAAAAGAGGAAUGAAACUUGGAGCAAGGUUCGACUACUGGUUGUCGCUUGUCAAGGCUGGAAUUGAACUUUUUUUCUUGGCUUUUCUGGGCAUAGGUAGUAACUUGUGGUUCCUUUUUGGAAUGAAAAUGGUACAGCUAGAACAUGUGGCACUCUCUUGUUGGAUUAUGUGUCAAACAUGUGGCAGCCAUCUAGUGGAGAUUAUUUCAAUUUUGGGAUGGAGAGUUGGCAUCCAAUUGCAAAGAAAUAUGACAUCUACCAACAUGCAAUGUAAACCUAUAUAGAUCAUAUGGAGAUAGAGAGGAAACAUAUAGAAAUGGAUAUAUACCUAGAACUAGCUUUUUAUUAAAUGAGACGGAGAGCCAACAAUGAAGGAAAAUCAAAAUUUUUGGCUCAUAUCAAAGAAUUCACAUUGUGUUACCCUAGGUUUUCUUAAAGCUUGCACAAAGCCAAAAAGCACACAAAAAAUUAUAUUUUCUAGCUCUCUACCUUGGAUGGUCUCUUGAUCCUACUUGGAGAUGUGCAUAAAUAAAAGGAUUUGAAAAUGACAAUUGACUAAGUAUGUAGUCAAUCAAUUACUCAUUAAUUGACUAGUUGAUCAAUUAACUUUGCAACAUCAUAUGCAAUCCUAAUAGCUAGUCAUCUAAUCAACUAGGUAGUAAAUCAAUAGGCCAAAAAUAUGUUUAUAAUGACUAUUUUGUACAAAAACCACCUAUAUGGUUAAAUAUAAUGCAUUUCAUUUAUAAAUCUUCUAAUUCUUGAAUAACGAUCCUAUCAUCCUUUGAAAGUUUUUAUUACACCUUUUAUACUUUUGUUCUAAAACUUACACAUGUACAUCACCCUUAAUUGUACCAUGAGAACCUAGCUUUUUUUUUUUUUUUUUUUGUAAUUCAUCAAAGUUAGCUUUUGUAUUCAUUACUGUACUAUUUUUAUUGUAACUUAGAAAGCGAGUGUUUUCAAGUGAGUGAAAUUGACUUAUAAAUAUUGUAAAGAUUCAUUGAUGUGUAUCUUAAACUAAGUGUACAAGUUGAAACAUUUGCUAGUAGAUUUUCUCAAGAUUUAGAAUAGAGCUUGAGGCUAUUGAAAUAGGUGGGGUUGCACCAAACCACAUCACAUUGUUGUUUGCACCUUUUUUUCACUCUCUUUUACUUAGUUGCUCUAUAUUUGUUGUCUAGUAAUAUCCUAUAGGCUUGAUGGGUUAGGGAGCAUCCCUUUGUGAAAAAUUUUCAUUCAAUCCUUAGUUGUAUCACGCAUAUAUAAAAUGCCUCAUUGUUUUAAUGGUAUUCAGUCGUGGCAUCACAGAUAUGGGCAUCUAAAUUUUAAAAGUUUGAAACUUUUAUCUAAAGAAAAUAUGGUGCUUUGCCUUUUUGUAAAGCAUGUUGAUGAAAUCCAUGAGAAUUGUGUACUUGGGAAGCAACAUCGAGAUGACUUUUUUUUUUUUCAUUUUUUAUAAUGCGACACCUAAGUCCGGUUUCUAAAUGCUGAAGUGAAAGGGUAGGUAUGGACCAUUGAAAUCUGAUCACAACUUUUGGCCUUUUCCUUUCUCUGCAGCCAUGUUGUCUCUUUUUUCUUUUGCAUGAUUUUCUUACCUAAACAGAAUCAUAGACUUGUUUAAUCUCUAAAUGGUAUUUCAUCCAGCUUUAAGCUACUGUAUUAUAUCUUGGUGGAGGACUUUUAAGAGUGAAACCGACAUAGAGCACAUGCAAGUGGGUAUAUGGGACAUGAAAUUUCUUCUUAUAAAGACUGCAUGGUUUUUAUAUUAGAGUUGUUGAGGCGCAAUGUAUUUAGCUUGUUUUGCAGUUAAAUUAAUUGGAUAAGUAGACAUUGUCGUUUCUAAAUUUCCCACCUAAGAUAGUGACCUUAUCCUUGACUGCUUGAUGAGAUACACAAACAAUUAUACCUUCAAAAUCUACUGUGAAGUGCUUCAUGUAUGUGUGAAGUAUUAGAAAUUUCUUUCUUGGCAACUUGUUUUUUCUUUGCCCUCUACUGAUAGGUUUGACUCAAAUUAAAUUCCCUGUCAUGCUAAUUAAUUUUCACGUGCAUGCUCAAAAGGAUCACGUCAACUCUGGUUUCUACUAUUCAGGUCCAUUCCCAGAUAAACUGGUUCAAAUUUGAGAAAAUGGCAACAGCCCUUUAGUGAUGUUGGUUUGGAGCCAGUAGCCAAACCCGCCCUGAGCUUUACCACUAAUGUCAAGGGACAAAGCCAUUUGAACAAAAACAAUAGCUUCAAGAGACUGAAUCGUGGAUGAAAUCUGAUCCACAUUUCUUCUCAUUUUGGGAACAAAUGAGAACUUAACUACAAAGAUUCUACUGCCUCAUAGUGCUUUUCCUGAUCUAAGGUUGGUUCGUUUCCCAAAUUGUGAGGUACGUGCCAUUCUCACGCUCAGGAGUGUAUCCACGUGGUGGACAUAAGAUGGUGGCUUAAUAUCUGGUGUCGGUGGCUUUACUUUACUAGGAGAGUAGUGUGUCUUCAUCUCAUUCACUGCCGGAGGGUGGCGUAAGCAGUGACGCUAAGGUGGGGCACAGUCAAUAUCAUUUGCAUUUGACCAUUAUAGUUUUCUCCCGGCUUGAAAGUAACCUUAUCGUGAUAAAGGAUUACUAGCACUAGUUCAGAUGACAGUCAUGUUAAAUUCGGACCAUGUUUGUGUCACAUUAUCAGCAACCAUGUGUUUAUGGUUCAUGCUAUCUGCAACUAAACUUGAUAUAUAACCACGUGAACUUCAAUCUAAAUUCUGGAAGUACUCUUGUGAUAGAUGGUGCCUGUCUGCAGAGUCCAUCAAUUGAAAAAUGGAGUGAGUGUAUCUAUAAGAGGGAAGGCUUGGCAAAUGUUCAGUUUUCUGGGAACUCAACAAGGAUCUAAAAUAGAUUGUUUUCUUUGCUGAUUUCAAUGGUUGAAAUUUGAGAAGAUUGUGUCCACAUAACACAACUAUUACUGGUCCUUCUGUUGCAAUUUAUCCUCUAAGGCUCUAACAUGUCUUCCAAUUCCCACUUCCCUGUUACUCCAGGAAAGCUAUUUCUGUCAUUGUGAAGAAGAAAAGAGAAUGUACAUAUCGAUGGUUUUAAGUGACUGGGGCAUUCAUAUCAGGUGGUCUGCAGCCAUAUAUGCCACUUUGUGAAGGUUGGAACAGUCAAUCACCAGGCUAUAUUAGUGUGGCCCAGCCACUUCAAUCAAGGACAAGUCUUCAUACUUAAAGUCAAAUUCUGCCUUUAGUCUCAUUAUAAAUUGCUGUUUAAAUAUUAAGCAAACAUUUGUUUAAUGCGAUUAAGACAGUACUAACUCAAUACUUGUUCUAUUUUUGGAUGCAAAUGCUUGAUGGUUUCAUCAUUGGAUGGGAUAAAGGUGCAUUCAUGAUUAUGAAUACUUGUAGUUAUAUUUUCAUUCUCUUUUUUCUCAAUGAGACUUGUUGGCACAAUUUUGCUGUUCAGAAACCUACCUCUCCAUCGAAAAUCAGUUGUGAUUGAUAGUACUGGAUAUAUUCAAGAAAGCUAAAUAUAGAUAGCACCAAAUAUUAUCGAUAUAAAUAGCAUUAACAGCGUACGUAUGUCUCAAUGCUCAUCAGCUAUAAGCAACGGGCAAACACUUACUAUGAGCAACUUGCGUCAAAAUUCCAGAAUAGGACAUAGAAGUGACAGAUCUAUAUAUAUAUAGAACACUGCAUAUGAGUCACAAGAAAGGAAAUUACGGGUGCAUAGCAGCUCUUAUUUUACAUCCUACUCAUACUGAUCAAAGUCACUCAGUUGGGAUGGGUGGGAGUAGGAGGUUUGUGGGGUGGCUUGUGCGGAGGAGUUGGCAGCUUCUUUCCAGGACCUGGUUGCUUCUCUGCUGGAGUUGAAGGAGGCUUAAUCUUCCGAGGUGGCUUGUAUGAGUCUUCAGCAUUCUCAGCAGGAGGGUGACCAGGGUUGUGACCAUAAUGUGGUGGCUUCUCUCCCUUAGGUGGUUUGCCAACUGGGGUUGGUGGCUUGUAUGAGUCUUCAGCAUUCUCAGCAGGAGGGUGACCAGGGUUGCGACCAUAAUGUGGUGGCUUCUCUCCCUUAGGUGGUUUGCCAACUGGGGUUGGUGGCUUGUGUUCUGGGAGUGGCUUCUCCCCCUUGGGAGGUUUUUCCAAUGGGGUUGGUUUGUGUUCAGGAGGUGGCUUCUCCACUGGAGGCUUGUGUUCAGGAGGUGGCUUCUCCACCGGAGGCUUGUGUUCAGGAGGUGGCUUCUCCACCGGAGGCUUGUGUUCAGGAGGUGGCUUCUCGAAUGGGGGAUGCUCAGGGUAAUCAGCAAGUGAGGGGUUGGUGAGAACCACCAUGCCAAGCAACAGGACUAGCAAGUAUGUAGGAGACAUCUUUGGGUUUGGACUUAAGACAGUGGAAAACUGCGAGAAUUCUCUAGCCUUUUAUAGCGGGUCGACCCAGUACUCACAUGACACGUGUCAUUAUGACACAUGUGCCAUGGGGUCGAUUUGGGUCCUACAGUGUUGAAAAGUUGGGCAUUUGAGGUGUGAGCACAACUUUUGGCCUUUGCUUUCUCUACAGCCGCCAUGCUUUUCCCUUUUUUCCUUUUCCUUUUGUUUUCCUCCUGCCUCGUGUUCUCAACUAAACACAAUUAGGUUGUUUAAUUGUUAAAUGAGAUUUUUGUCUGUCAAUCAUAUUAUAUCCUAUCAAGAGAGAACAGAGUGUAAUGUAGUACACAUAACACGAGGCAGUAGUAAUUUUAUCAUUUAUUUUUAUAGCUUGGACCACCGCAUUUUUUCUUCUAAAAUAUUCUGUCUUGUUAAGAGACGCAAUAAUACACAAUUUUAUCUGCCAUUCAACAUUUACUGUAAAGUUCUUUUAUCUCUUUGUAGUUCUAGAAAAGUACAAAAUGGAACAUCAUGUAUAUGGUGCCUUCUGUCCUAAAAAAGAAACUGGACAAAUUAUGAACUGCAUGCUAAAAAGAGGCAAAGGAGCUUAAUUCGCAGCAUAAUUAUUUUGGUUUCUAGAGAGCCCGGGGCCUUUUGGUUGGUUUGGGGUCAGAAAAUGAACAUCAUAGGGAUUGUGCCCUUAACUGGCCUUGUUACUACAAAGAAAUUGCCAUAGAAAUUUAUUCCAGGCUGAGUAUCUCCGGAUAGACCCCAGAAAAGAAGAGUCAUAAUGAGAAUCAACCUUUGUUGAGUUUGAUUCCAUGCCUCCAUUGUGUUCAUUUCAUGAAUCUGAUUUGCAUUUAACAUUACAGUUUUGUUCUGGAAACAAUCAAAGGAGCAUCGUUUGCUUCUUGGGUGACCCAUAGUGGUGGGUGGGUCGAUUUGCUUAGUUGAAAAUUGGACAAUUGGCUCCAUCGCCUACCUCUUGGAUUCCAUGCUCGGAUAAAACGACAACAAAUAAAUAUUUAUAACUUACAACUGGGGAAAGGAAAAAAUAGUACUAAAUUCAUGGUACAUGAUAGUGAGAGAAGGGGGUGUUACACUCAGCUAAAGUUCUUUUCUAAAUAUUGCAUGGUGUUUAAUUUUAUGUGUCGGCGCGCGUGUGAAUGGAACCUGCAAAAGUCCAAAUUGGCGUUUCUCCAUUUUCCACAUAGGAUGGUGACGUUAAUAGACAAAGAUACAAUAUCUGUAGACAUUGCUUAAAAAUCGAUGUGAAGUAUUAGAAAUUACAGGCCACUGUACUGGGGGAGCGGCUGCCCCGCCAAAGGAAGAAUGUAGCAAUUUCUUCUGUUAGCCAGGCCUUAGGAUUUAUGCAUGGGAUGCCUAAUAACAAACAGAGAAAAUAUGCUUUUGGGGAAGGUAUCCAACAACAGACACCAUCAUUCAGAUGGUGGGAAGGUAUCCAACAGAUGCCAUCAUUCAGAUGGUAACAUAUAUAUACAUUUAUUAGUGAGUUUUUUUAAUACCUAUAAAAAAAAUAUACACUUUGAUAUUGUGGCUGAAUCCAUUACAUACUCAACUAACCUUGCUCAUUAGGGAUUUGACGUAACAAGGGCAACGUUGCAGUAAAAGCUCGAAACUUUAUGCAGGUGACAUUACAUUUGGUAAAGAAGAGGAAAAUAAGGAAAGCCAUCCAUAAAAGCAAAAUUCCUCAUGGGAUGAAAUUCACAAACUUCAUUUACGUUAGAGUCGCAUCCAGGCAAUUAAUUCCACAUUAGACCGCCUUUUGACAUGUGUACGGAUCUUUUUUCAAAAAUUAUUUAUAAAUAAUUGAUACUUACAAAAAUAAUUUAAGAUUUAUAAAGGAUAAAAAAAUAUUUUCAAAUCUAUGACAAUUUAUAAAAUAUUAAUAAAAAAUUAUCUCUUAAACUUAGUAUAGUUUUAUCGUAUUAAACUUUUAUUUUGAACAAAUAAUUUUAAUCUAAGUUUUAAAUUCUAAAAUUAUUUCCUUAAAAUAAAAUUUUAAAAUUCAACACUUCAAUUGAAAUUGUCUUUUAAAAAAAAUAUCUUCUUAUUUUAAUCCUUAUAAACUAUAGUUGAUUGAAAAUACUAUUGAAGUUCUCUCUUCAAAAAAAGUCUUAUUUUAAUCUUCAUAAAUUGCCCUUGAUUUGAAAAUAAACUUUGGGUUAUCAUAUUUUAAAUAAUAUAUAUAUAUAUAUAUAUAUAUAUAUAUAUAUAUAACAAAUACUCUAUUUUUUUUUUAAAUGAACUAAUUUUAAUUAUAUUUUAUUUUAUUUUUUUAUAUAUUUUUAAUGAUAAACCAAACAUAGAAAAUCAUUUUUCUAAAUAUUUUAAAAUUUCUAAGCAACCAAACAUAAUCUUCAAAAUAAAAGGAGAAUAAGGAGGGACAAGUGAGAAAUGGCGAUUAAAAAAAAGUGUACAAAAGCUCAAUUAAUUUUCUUCUAGUCUUUUAUAUAAAAAAGUAUUGGUAUGUAAAUUAAUAUUUGGAUUUUAAUAGUAUUUUAUUUGUCUUUCUCUAUCUCAUGUAAAAGAGAAUUUAAGAUAUUUCCUAAAGCAAAGCAUUAGUUAUCUGCAAUCAGUGGUGAUCAUGGUCCAUGUCAAUUUCGGACCCAUAUCUUAAAACCGUAUAAUUUGCGUUUCAACAUUACUGAUUUCUCAGAUGUUUCAUACUCCACAGAAGAGUAUUGUUAGUGAAAGCAUUUUGUAACUGUUACUCAUAGUGUUUUGACUCUGGCUCAACAACAUCAGCCAUUGACGGAUUUUCAUACAUGCAAAUCAAAUAGUCUUCUUCCUCCCUUAGGAAUUUCGGUUUAAAUGUUAUUAAGCAUACAUUUGGCUGACAAUUAUUAACCACUUCAUGAUAUGGUUUCUUACCCUUAAUCAAUGGUUUCUAAGUGAAUAUAUGCAGAAGGAAAUCUGAACUGUAGACAGCAGUAUUGAUAACUCUCAAUAUUCUUUAUAUAAGAGAAUAAACAACGUCAUAGUGAUCGUCGCCUACAAGAAAGGUACAUUUCCCAACAAGAUGUAGUGGUGACUGCUACAUGGACGCAAUUAACUCGUAGAAAAGGAUAAGACCAGUGCACGGCAGCUCUUAUUUUACAUGCUAAUUAUGCUAACCAAAGUCACUCAGUUGGGAUGGGAGGGAGAUGGAGGUUUGUGCGGUGGCUUGUGGGGCGGAGUUGGUGGCUUCUUUUCAGGAGCUUGUGGCUUUUUCGGAGCUGAAGGAGGCUCAAUCUUAUGAGGCGGCUUGUACGAGUCUUCUUUACUCUCGACAGGAGGGUGACCAGGGUUGUGACCAUAAUGUGGUGGCUUCUCUCCCUUAGGUGGCUUGCCAACUGGGGUUGGUGGCUUGUGUUCAGGAAGUUGUUUCUCUCCCUUGGGAGGUUUACCAAUUGGGGUUGGUGGCUUGUGUUCUAGGAGUGGUUUCUCUCCCUUGGGAGGUUUAGUGGGUGACUUGUGUUCUGGAGGUGGCUUCUCCACCGGAGACUUGUGUUCUGGAAUUGAUUAAAAAAAUUCUACCACUCUUUUAAGUAAUGGAAGAUUAUUAUCUCUGAUUGGCACCACAACAGCACAUGCUGCUAGAUCUUUCUAGACACUCCAUGCAAUGAAAGCACAAUGGAUCUUGUAACGAUAGAAACUAAGCCAUGCUACAGUACUAGAUGACGAGGUAAAACUAGUAGACAUGGGUGGUAGUUGAUUACUACUCAAAAAGUACUCUUUUAUAGUUUGAAACUAACUGUUUUAAACACUUUUGAGUAGUAGUUAAUAAAUUUUAACUCAAUUGGCACAUUAAGGAACCUAGCAAGGGUUACUAAUAAACUUUUGGCAAGUUUUGGUGUUUUUGGUAGUUAUUCGAUCAUUGAAACAAGCCAAGAAUGAGGGAGAAUUUUGUGAAGUCCAUGGCAAUGCAAGUUAAAGCUCAAAUACACGAAGAAUCCAAGCUUUGGAGCACUACAUAGCCCUUUGCCAAGCCAAUUAGAGAUGCAAGGAACAAAACCAAAGGAAGAAAUCCAACAACCAACAUUUUCGCAUGGUUGUGUGAAAUUUCGCACACCAUGCGAAACCACAAGAGGUAGCCAAAGAAUUUCACAUGGUAUGCGAAAUCUUCUCAUGCACCGACUCCGUUAGAUUUUUAUCUUCAGAUAUUUUGUGUAAUUUCCUAGUUUCUCCUUGUAACCAACCUAGAUAUUUUCUUUUAUAUCUUUUUUUAUAUUUUUUAGGUAACAUCAUAUAUAAGGGGAGAGACAUAAGGAGGAUAUGGAUGUUUUUCAUAGAACACUUGUAAAUUUUCAGUAGUAAGAAAUAUACAAAGCUUUUUGCUAUGCCUUACCUUCUCAUUUUGUUUUCACCUGUCUUUCUAGCCAAACAACCUCUAAGGAUGAUUUCUCAGGGGAUGAGUGGCUAGGUUUUACGUUUCUUGGAGUGAGGGAAGCUAGGUGAAGGACCUGAAUGCAAAGAUGAGAGUUUUCCUUGCUUUAAAUGAAAGUAGUUGUUAAACAUUAAUGGUUUUUAUUUUAAGGUUUAGCUUUAAAUCCCUUAAAAACACCUUGAAUGACCAAUACUUGGUAAGCUUUUCGGAUUCUAUGGAUGCUUAUUGCUAGAUCCAUGGAUGUCUAUUAGUUAUCAUUUACGAGCCUUUGGAAGGUGAUUCAAGGUGAGGGUCUUUAGUGUUUGAAGCCAUUAAUGGGAAGCAAUUACCAUUUUUUCAUGAAUCCUUUGGAUCAAAUCUUAAUUGCUAAAUAUAAAACCGAUUUGGGAAAUAACCAUCCUUUAUGUUAUUAUCCCCAACGCAAGGAGAAGAUCCGGAAUCUUCCCUUUUGUCUAAGGAACCCGAUCCUAGUGACCUAAAGCUCCAAGAGACCUUUUCUUUGUAGUUAACUUCAUUUAUUGUUUUUGCUUAACUUAAAAUCAAUCUUUGCAACCACAAUUCCAUUUUCUUUAAAAGCUAAUUUUUAUAAGGAAAAACACCAUUUUAUUUCCUUCACUAAGUCAACUGUACGAUGAAAACCCAUCCCUGUGGACGAUCCUAGAGCCAUUAUACUAUGUUAGCUAUGCUACCCUAGUGUGAGGUGAUUUAGGUUUUAUAAAUUUUGUUGAUAACACCCAUCUGAGCCAGAAUCAAAUGGCACAACUGAACCAGGGACGAAUCAAAUGGCGCCGCUAUCGAGGAUGGUGCCAAAGUACAUUGACAUGACUUUUGGUGAACACUUGUGAUCUUCAUCACAAGUUUGGUGAUUUUUCUAUUACUAAUUUUUUUCUUUGUUUUUAUUUUAGCUUAUCUUUUAUUUAGUUUUUAGCUAACCUUAACUUUUUCUUAGAAUUGUAUUUCUUCUAUUUUCUUUGUUUUUGUUUCAGUGAUCUUUAGUUGUGCAUGCCCUAUUGGAUAAGAAAUAUUGAGGGAAUACUUGUGAAGAUUGAAAAUCCUCGAGAAACUGAGUUGGAAGUGUGAUUGAACAUCAUGGAUGUUCCACCUGAAGACCAGAAUAGCCAACAUGGUUAAGAGGAUAAUUUCAAAGCAUACCGAUCCAUGAGGGACUGCAUGCAUCCACCUCGUAUGAGUGCACCGUCAUGCAUAGUGCCUCCCACUGAGCAACUAGUAAUCUGACCUCACAUUGUGCCACUCCUACCUACUUUCCAUGGGAUGGAGAGUGAGAAUCUCUACUCGCAUAUUAAGAAAUUCGAGGAGGUUUGUAAUACAUUCCAAGAAGGAGGAGCUUCAAUUGACUUGAUGAGGCUCAAGCUAUUUCCUUUCACUUUGAAGGAUAAGGCUAAGAUUUGGCUUAAUUCUUUAAGGCCAAGGAGUAUCCGAACUUGGACUAAUUUGCAAGCCGAUUUUCUUAAGAAGUUCUUCCUUACCCAUAGGACCAAUGGUUUGAAAAGGCAAAUUUCGAACUUCUCAGCUAAAGAGAAUGAGAAAUUCUAUGAGUGAUGGGAGAGGUACAUGGAAGCUAUUAAUGCUUGUCCUCACCAUGGCUUUGACACAUGGCUCUUAGUGAGUUAUUUUUACGAUGGUAUGUCUUCUUCAAUGAAGCAACUCCUAGAAACUAUGUGUGGAGGAUACUUCAUGAGUAAGAAUCCGAAGGAAGCCAUGGACUUUUUGAGUUAUGUGGCUGAAGUUUUAAGAGGAUGGGAUGAACCAAAUGCUAGAGAGGUGGAAAGAAUGAAGUCUCAACCUAAUGCUAAGGGUGGGAUGUAUGUUUUGAAUGAAGACAUUGACAUGAAAGCAAAGGUUGUAGCUAUGGCAAGGAGAUUGGAAGAGCUAGAAAUGAAGAAGGCACAAAAAGUGGAAGCCAUUUCUGAGACAUCAGUGCAAGCUAUGCCUUGUUCCAUUUGUCAACCUAAUGCUAAGGGUGGGAUGUAUGUUUUGAAUGAAGACAUUGACAUGAAAGCAAAGGUUGUAGCUAUGGCAAGGAGAUUGGAAGAGCUAGAAAUGAAGAAGGCACAAAAAGUGGAAGCCAUUUCUGAGACAUCAGUGCAAGCUAUGCCUUGUUCCAUUUGUCAAUCUUAUGAGUACCUAGUGGAGGAGUGUCCUACAAUUCCAGUAGUGAGAGAGAUGUCUGGUGAUCAAGCAAAUGUUAUUGAUCAAUUCAAGCCUAAUAAAAAUGCUUCAUAUGGCAACACCUACAAUUCAAAUUGGAUGAACCAUCCAAAUUUCUCUUGGAAACCAAAGCUACCUCAAUACACACAACCUGCUCAAGCACCUUAGCAAUCCUCGAAUCUUGAACAAGCUAUUGUGAACCUUAGUAAGGUUGUGGGAGAUUAAAAGUCCAUCAAUGCUCAACUGAAUCAGAGAAUUGACAGUGUAGAGAGUACAUUGAACAAAAGGAUGGAUGAGAUGCAAAAUGAUCUGUCUCAAAAGAUAGACAAUGUCCAAUAUGCAAUCUCAAGGCUUACCAACCUCAACACAGUGCAAGAGAAAGGAAAGUUUAUUUCUCAACCUCAUCAAAAUCCCAAGGGUAUCCAUGAAGUGGAGGCUCAAGAGAGAGAAUCUUCAAAGGUGAGGGAAGUCAAAGCAGUUAUCACCUUGAGGAGUGGUAAAGAGGUUGAUCAACCCACAUCCAAGCCAAAGCAUAAUGAAGAGAGUUUUGUAGAAAAAGAAAAGAGAGGAAAAUAAAGGAAAGAGAAUAGAGAAAAGUACAAAGAAAGAUGACCAUGAGUCUAGUGUGGAUGAAGAGCCCAAGAGGAUAGUGAUCAAGGAAAAUAUGAUGAAGAAACACAUGCCUCCACCUUUCCCCUAAGCUUUGCAUGACAAAAAAGGAACCAAUAAUACAUCGGAAAUUUUUGAAGUAUUGAGGCAAGUGAAGGUCAAUAUCCCUUUGCUAGAGAUGAUCAAACAAGUGCCGACAUAUGCAAAAUUCUUGAAGGACUUGUGCACUGUAAAGAGAGGGUUGAAUGUGAACAAGAAAGCUUUCUUGACCGAGCAAGUGAGUUCCAUCAUACAGUGCAAGUCUCCAGUGAAGUACAAAUAUCCGGGCUACCCUACCAUCUCAGUGAGUAUUGGAGGUACUUGUGUGGAAAAAGCUUUGUUGGACUUGGGAGCAAGUGUGAAUUUGCUACCCUACUCUGUCUAUAAGUAGUUGGGACUUGGAGAGUUGAAGUCAACAUCCAUCACCCUAUCUCUGGCAGAUAGAUCAGUGAAGAUUCCAAGAGAGAUGAUAGAAGAUGUCUUGGUUCAAGUUGACAAAUUCUACUAUCCAGUGGAUUUUGUUGUUCUUGAUACGGAUCCGAUUGUCAAAGGAACUAAUUAUGUUCCUAUCAUACGAAGACCCUUCCUAGCUACAUCAAAUGCAAUCAUCAAUUGUAGGAAUGGAGUCAUGAAACUCACGUUUGUCAACAUGACAUUAGAGCUCAACAUCUUCCAUUUGUACAAGAAGCAUAUCCAUUCAGAAGAAAAAGAAGGUCUAGAGGAAGUGUGCAUGAUUGACACUUUAGUGGAGGAGCAUUGUGAUCGACAAUGCAAGAAGAUUUAGUUGAGAGUUUUGGGGAUCUUGAUGAAGGGUUACUUGAACCCUCAGAUUUGCUUGCUACCCUACUCCAUUGGAGGAAGAGAGAAGAAAUUCUACCCUUAUUCAAUGAGGAGGAGACACAAAGAGCUGCUAAAGAUAAGCCCCCAAAGCUUAUUCUUAAGCCACUACCCACAGAGUUGAAGUAUGCAUACUUGGAAGAAGACAAGAAGUGCACUGUUGUUAUAUCUUUAGCUCUUACCAUUCAUCAGGAGGAUUGUCUACUUGAAGUCCUUAGAAGAAGUAAGAAGGUAAUAGGGUGGCAAAUUUCUGAUUUGAAAGGGAUCAGCCCUUUUGUCUGCACCCAUCAUAUUUACAUGGAGGAUGAAGCUAAGCCAAUUCAUCAACCUCAGAGAAGGUUGAACCCUCACAUGCAAGAAGUGGUGAGAGUUGAAGUUCUUAAGCUACUUUAGGCUGGUAUUAUUUACCCCAUAUCAGAUAGCCCAUGGGUGAGUCCUACUCAAGUUGUGCCAAAGAAGUCGGGGAUCACGGUGGUGCAAAAUGAUAAGGGAAAAGAUGUCUCUACAUGUCUCACUAUAGGUUGGAGGGUGCGUAUCAAUUACAGGAGGUUGAAUGUAGUGACAAGGAAUGACCAUUUCUCGUUGCCCUUUAUUGAUCAAGUGCUUGAGAGGGUCUCUGGGCAUCCUUUUUAUUGUUUCUUGGAUGGCUACUCGAGGUAAUUUAAGAUAGAAAUUGAUGUUGAAGACCAGGAGAAGACCAUUUUCACAUGCCCAUUUAGAACCUAUGCAUAUAGGAGAAUGUCUUUCGGCUUAUGCAAUGCACCCACAACUUUCCAAAGAUGCAUGUUAAGCAUUUUCAAUGAUAUGGUGGAGCAUAUUAUGGAAGUCUUUAUGGAUGAUAUCACCAUAUAUGGAAGUGCAUUUGAUGAAUGCUUGGUCAACUUAGAAGUUGUUCUGAACCGAUGCAUUGAGAAAGACUUAGUGCUUAAUUGGGAGAAGUGCCAUUUCAUGGUACACCAAGGGAUUGUCCUUGGGCACAUCAUCUCCAAGCAAAGCAUUGAAGUUGACAAAGCAAAGGUUGAACUCAUUGUUAAGUUGCCAUUCCCAACAAAUGUCAAAGGAGUAAGGCAAUUCCUUGGCCAUGCCGGGUUCUAUAGGAGGUUUAUCAAGGAUUUCUCUAAGCUUGCAAGGCCUCUUUGUGAAAUAUUGGUGAAGGAUGUUAAAUUCAUAUGGGAUGAUAGAUGCCAAAGGAGUUUUGAAGAAUUGAAGCUAUUUUUGACAACCUCACCAAUAGUGAGGGCUCCCAACUAGCAACUGCCCUUUGAGGUAAAGUGUGAUGUCAAUGACUUUGCUAUAGGAGCUGUUCUUGGGCAAAGAGAAGAUGGAAAACCUUAUGUGAUCUACUAUGCGAGCAAGACAUUGAAUGAGGUGCAAAGAAACUACAUAACCACCGAGAAAGAAUUGUUAGCUGUAGUUUUUGCCUUGGAUAAGUUUCGUGCUUACUUGGUGGGAUCCUUCAUCGUGGUUUUUAUUGAUCACUUUGCUUUGAAGUAUCUAUUGACUAAGCAAGAUGCUAAAGCAAAACUGAUUAGAUGGAUUUUCUUGCUUCAAGAGUUCAAUCUCCAGAUCAAAGACAAGAAAAAAAUGGAGAAUGUGGUAGUAGACCACAUUUCAAGGCUAGCUAUCGCACAUAAUUCCCAUGCUUUGCCCAUUAAUGACGAUUUUCUAGAGGGGUCUCUCAUGUUGGUGGAAGUUGUCCCUUGGUACGCUCACAUUGCUAACUACCUGGUCACAAGAGAAGUUCCAAGUGAGUGGAAAGCACAAGAUAAGAAGCACUUCUUUGCAAAAAUUCAUGCCUACUAUUGGGAAAAGCCAUUUCUAUUCAAGUAUUGUGCGGAUCAGAUAAUAAGGAAGUGAGUUCCUGAAGAAGAGCAACAGGGGAUCCUCAGUCAUUGCCAUAAAAAUGCAUGUGGAUGCCACUUUGCUUAUCAGAAGACAACCAUGAGGGUGCUGCAAUCGGGUUUCUGUUGGCCAUCACUUUUCAAAGAUGCCCACACCAUGUGCAAGAGUUGUGAUCGAUGCCAGAGGCUUGGGAAGUUAUCAUGUAGGAACAUGAUGCCUUUGAACCCCAUUUUAAUAGUUGAUCUUUUUUAUGUUUGGGGCAUUGACUUCAUGGGACUUUUCCCUAUAUCUUUUGGCUACUCUUACAUCUUGGUGGGAAUAGAUUAUGUUUCUAAGUGGGUUGAGGCAGUCCCAUGCAAACACAAUGACCAUAGAGUGGUUCUCAAGUUUCUUAAGGAGAACAUCUUCUCAAGAUUUGGGGUGCCCAAAGCCAUAAUUAGUGAUGGGGGUACUCAUUUUUGCAACAAGCCUUUUGAAACUCUCCUAGCCAAGUAUGGGGUGAAGCAUAAGGUAGCUACACCUUACCACCCUCAAACUAAUGGGCAAGUUGAGUUAGCAAACAAGGAGAUUAAAAACAUAUUGAUGAAGGUGGUGAACACAAACAGAAAAGAUUGGUCAGUCAAGCUCUUCGAUUCACUAUGGUCAUGUAGAACAGCUUACAAGACCAUUAUCGGGAUGUCUCUUUAUCACCUAGUCUAUGGAAAAAAUGCCAUCUCCUUGUGAAAUUGGAAUACAAAGCUUGGUGGUCAAUCAAGAAGCUCAACAUGGAUUUGAGCAGAGCUGGGUUGAAGAGGUUCUUAGACCACAAUGAGAUGGAGGAAUUGAGAAAUGAUGCCUACAUCAAUUCAAAAAUUGUAAAAGAAAAAUUGAAGAGGUGGCAUGAUCAGUUGAUUUCCCGCAAGAAUUUUCAAAAUGGAUAAAGAGUCUUGCUCUAUGACUCUAAACUCCACAUCUUUCCGAGCAAGCUGAAAUCAAGGUGGAUAGGUCCUUUUACCAUUCACCAAGUGCAUUCAAAUAGAGUAGUGGAACUACUCAACUCCAACAACAUCGGGAGCUUCAAAGUGAAUGACCAUUGUCUCAAGCCCUUUGUAGAGUCUUUUUUCUCGCGACAAGGAGGAAUUCAUCCUCCUUGAUCCACAUCAAGCUUGACAAGACCAGUUUUUUUUUAUGGACUUAGUCUUUCUAAAGACUAUCGAGUCCAUAACUUUUUAUUUUAUUUUUUAUUUGAGAGUUUUUCGGUAUUAUUACUUGUUUUGUUUUUUAUUUUUCGUUUUACUUUUAUUUGGUUUGAUUUAACUUAGAUUUUUUAUGAUCAAUUGCAGGGGGGAUUUCAAAUAGAGGAAAAACCAAGAUAAUUCGCACACCCUGCGAAAAUUUCGCAAGGCAUGCGAAAUUUAUGGCUCAUUUCGCAUGGGAUGCGAAAUUUCGCACACCCUACGAACCAAUUUCGCACACUUUGUGAAAAUAAACCAACCCUACGAAAUCAUUUCAAAUACUCUACGAAAUUUUCGCAGAGCAUGUAAAAAAUUUCGCAGACCAAACACCAUUUCGCAUACUAUGCGAAAAUGUAAGGGGUCUACAAAACCAUUUCGCACCUCCAAAGCCAUUUCGCACAUUGUGCAAAAAUGAAAAGUCGCCCUAUCAUCCAUUUUUAAACCCCUUGAGCCCUGAAAUCCCCAUUUCGCAAGCACCCCUGUCCUUGCGAAUCCCUCAUUUUCCUCUGCCACCUUGCGACCUUGUCCCUCUCCAUUUGAUAUCGUGCCCUGCGCACAUCUCAUUUCAAAGACUCGCACUCUGCGCCCUCUCAAAGCACGAACCCAAGGCUCACAUUCCAUUUCCGACAUGGCACAGACCCGAGGAGCCCUUCCCGCCCCUUCAUCGAGACGCACACCAAGGUAGAGAGCCUCUUUUGCUCAGAUGCCAAGUGAUUCUCCAUUUCAGGCCACGGAGGCCCUGCGGAUUCCACAUUCCAAGGGUAGAACAGCCACUGGUCCUUCCUCUUCUAUUCCUCAGCGUAGAUAUGAGACGAGGAGACCACCUACUACACAAAGGGCGACUACUUCGCGCCAUGAGAAUUCGGUACGACACCCUCCUGCCAAGAGGGCCAGGACUUCAGGCCCAGGCGAGUCAUCCAAAGCUUCACAGCCUGAGCCUCCUGCAGAUUCCGAGGUUCCUACUGACAUAUCAUCGGAGUCUAUUAUCAAACGCCCGAUGCUCACAGCACCGCCCAUUGAGGGCAACUCUGAUUGUAGAGCGAGACCUUUCCACUUGGAGCUAUAUUUUAAUUAAGAGGCCAUGCCACAGCAGCCUGAGCUCCAAGACUCUUAUGGCUUACUACAGAGGUACCAUCUUGAGGACCUUAUGACUCCUCGUGAGUUCUUUUAUCCCAGAGUAGCACUAGACUUUUACCAGUCCAUGACUACUCGUGGCGUCCCGAGUCCUACCGCGAUGCACUUCACCAUUAAUGGACGUCAUGGUAUCCUCGAGGCCAGACAUAUUGGAGAGGCUCUACAGAUUCCUUUCGAGCUAGAGGACCCAUCUGUUUUCUGCCAAUGGUCCCCAAUAUCUCAGAGGGACAUGGUCCAUAUUUUAUCCAGGGGGACAUCUACAUAUUCGAUCCUUCUACGGAAGGAGCUUCGACCUGGGAUACUCCUCGUAGAUGUGGUGCUACUUUCCAACCUCUUUCCCUUUUAGCAUUCGAUACAUAGGCGAGGAGCUAUUUUGGACGCUUUAUUCUGUAUAUCAGAGGGCUUCUACUUUGGCCCGCACCACUUGAUCAUGGUUUCCCUCAUCCAUUUUGAGGAGAAGGUCCAUAGAAAGAAGCUUCAGAGGGCGAACACCAUUCCAUUACUAUUCCCGAGGUUGCUCUACUAGAUCUUGGAGUACAUGGGCUUUCCUACUGAGCCUCGGCUUGUGUGCCGCCGCCUUUGUCAAGAGCGAUCCACUCUCGACAAAUGGAAUCAGUUGGCGGGCUAUUCUACACCUCCAGGAGCCCCUCCCAUGGUAGCACCUCUAGUGUCCCCACAGGCAGAGUAGGGCAAGCUCCCGGUAGAGACUGCACCCCUAGUGCCCACACCUGAGGCUACUUCUGCUGUUCCGCCUACGACUCCUACUGUUCCACCAGUUGGUCCUUUUACAUCUGAGUCUUCCAUCAACAUCUCGACUUCGGAGUUUCGCGCCCUUGUGCAUACCUUUCAGACACUCACCACCACACAUACUGCUCUCUUCUAGAAAAUGGCUGAGAUGCGUGCCCAUCAGGACCAGCAGACUACUAUACUCCGCCAAAUUCAACAGCACCUGGGACUUCUGCCUCUGCCUCAGCUUGACCUUCCCACAUCAUCAGAGCCUCUAGCUCCAGUUGAGGAUACUAUUCCACCUGAGGACACUACCACAGUAGAGGUUCAGAUUCCACCACCUCAGGAGGCCACCACAGCUACAUUAGAGGAUGCAUCAUCUCCACCUGAGGCUCCCACUACUUGAUCAUAGGACAUCUCUUUAUCUUAUUGUAUUUACAUAUUAUAUUACUGGAGAUUUGUCUUUGUUUUGAUACUUUAUAUUCUGGCAUUGAAUGUAUUGCCUAAUGAUAUCUCAAUUGUACUUUCUCAUAUUAAUAUAUAGACAUCAAUUUUUUUUAGUAUACUUAGGAUUUUUCUAUUUACUCUACUCAUUACUCUUUUGUUUUUUUUUUUUUACUCAUGUGGUUUCUCCUAUACGACUCAGACUCCAUUUCACUCAGGAGGUACCACUUCUUCCCUUUAUUUUCAAUUGCUCUUGAAACAUUGAGGGCAAUGUUGAUCUUGGUUGGAGGGAGAGUUGAGGAAGGAAGUGAUUACUACUCAAAAAGUGCUAUUUCAUAGCUUGUAAUUAACUCUUUUAAAACACUUUUGAGUAGUAGUUAUCACCUUUUAACCCAAUUAACAUAUUAAGGACCCUUGCAAUCAAUUCUAAUCAAAUUGUGUUAAGUUUUGGUAUUUUGAUAGCUUUUUUAUCACCAAAGCAAUCCGAGAUUGAGGAUAUUUAUUUGGAAUCCAUGGCAAAAGAUGUUUGGACAGGACGUCCGGACACACCAUCGGAGGGCGGCGGAACGUGGGCUGUGGCAGGCUGUCGGAAUGACGUAGCAAGGCUUGUGCACUUUAGCCAAUGAUCGGGAUAACAUAUCCGAAAUUCUGCUCCGCCGACAUUCCACCCGGAUGUCUCACAUCCGGAAUUCUGCUCCGCCGACAUUACACCCAGAUGUCUCACAUCCAAAAUUCUUCUCCGUCGACAUUCCAUCCGAAUAUUUCACAUCCGACGCUUGACGCCGGAUGGGAGAGGAGGGCGUUUCAACUUCCCCGGUCAGACAUAUCCGAAUCCUUUGAUAACGCUUACCCGGAGAGUUUCGCAGCCAUUUUGCACAGUGCCGCGGUGUUCUCUUGAAGCUUCCCGAUAUGUGCGACCGACAUUUUGAGAUAUUUUGCUUUAGAUAUUUGAUGUCUAAAUCCCCAAACUCUCCUUGUAACCCACCAAUUAUAGGAUUCCUUAGUUAUUAAGUUUGGAAAAAUGGUGAAUAACCCCUUAUAUAUAGUUUGCAAUUUUCAUAAAAAAGAUAUGUAGAAUCUCGGGAGCUUGUUCCCAGAGAGACGCAUCCUUUGUACAGUUUUGGAAGGAAGUAAAAUACAGAGCACUUGCUCUGCUUUUCAUAUAUAUUUUUGUUUUCUCGUUCUUUUUAUUUCUAGCCAAUCAAAGUCUGAGGAUUUUUCCUCAGAGGAUGAGAGGCUAGGCUCUUCGUCUCUUGGAGUGAAGAAAACUAGGUAAGUUUCCACAUGCAUAAAUUGAAAGUUUUGUUGUUUUAGUUUUUAAUGAAGAGAAAGUGUGACCCGUUAAUGGUUUUUAUCUUUUUAGUUAACUUAAAACGCCUUUAAAUCACCCGGGCCAACACUUGAUAAGGCAAGUGGUCUCCAUCCAUUGAGAUGCACUAGUUUAUCUCUUGCGAGCCUUUGGGAGGUGGUUUGAAGGUAGGAUUUUCUAGAAUAACCAACACUUGAUAAGCUUUUGGACUCUAAGGAGACAUCCAUUAGUUAUCUCUUGCGAGCUUUUGACGGGUAAUCCAAGGUUAAAGAUCACCUUGAAUGGCAAGUACUAGGUGAGAGGUAUGAGCCAUUGCAAGAUGCAUUAGUGAGAGGGAUUUAGUGUUUGAACCCAUUAAAGGGAAGCAUCUGUACCACACCGGUUCGGGAAAUAACUAUAUGUUAAAUCCCCAAUGAGAGGAAAAGAAACAAGUGACCGGAACUCCCUUUUUGUAUAAGGAACCUGAGCCUAGUGAUCUAAACUCCAAGAAACACUUUUCUUUGUAAGUAAAAUCAGUUACUAUUUUUGGUUAGUUUAAAACCAAACCUUUUUCAUUCAAACAUCUUUAUGUUUUCUUUUAAAGCUAACCUUGAAAUGAAAAGGCACCAAUUCAUAUUUGAAUUAAUAUCAAUUGUGAAGUGAAAACCCAUCCCAGUGAACGAUCCUAGAGCCACUAUGCUAUAGUAGCUUUGUCUUUGCUACCCUAGUUCAUGGUUUAAUAGGUUAUAAAUUUUGUUGAUUACUCCCACAAUCAAAGGAGCACCAGUUGGACAUGAAUCAACUGAGACACUAAUUGGGCACAAAUCAGGAAGUUUUGUUAAUAAUGCUAGGUUAAUUUGUUAAUUUAGUUACUUUCUGCUUAAUUUUAAAAGUUUUCACUUUACUUUCCAUAGUUAUUAAGGAAAAAUUCUCAAAAUGAAAUGGGAGAAAUUGAAUUCUUACAUUUUUACUUGAAUUUUAGAAUUUGUAUUAUGCUUAUUGAAGCUGAUGAAUUAUUGAAACUCCUAUUGAAUUCAACCUUAUUUCUUCCACUUUAAUCUUACCACACACGGUGCACAUUAGGUUCCGAUUAUAAGAGGUGCGUUCUUAGCCUAUUGGAGGUUGGUCAAUUUGUUAAAGUUUGAGAAAGAUCUAGGUUAGGGGAGAGAGAAUAGUCUGACAUACUAUAAUCGAAAACUAAUAAACUUAACACUUAGAUCUUUGUGGAAGAGUAAGGAUUGGACCUUUGGGAGUGGAAAUUCGUUUGAUGCUUAAAUUUGCAUAAUGCUUACACUUUAUAAAUUGUGAUUAGGCAAGAGAUUUGAUGACUCUUGUUCAAGGUUGGGUUUUGCCUCUUUGAUGUUCCAUGAGAGAGUAUAAUCCUCAUCAUGCCACUUGAAAUUUUUUUUGGAGUGAUUAACAUGAUUUUGUAAAUUACUUUACUGUCUAUUUUUUUUUUAUCUCUCCUUCAUUGCUAAUGGACUAGCAAUAUGUCAGUUGAGGGGAGUGAUUACUACUCAAAAAGUACUCUUUUAUAGCUUGAAACUAACUGUUUUGAACACUUUUGAGUAGUAGUUAAUACCUUUUAACUCAAUUGGCACAUUAAAGAACCUAGCAAGGGUUACUAAUUAGUUUUUGGCAAGUUUUGGUGUUUUUGGUAGCUAUUUGAUCAUUGAAACAAGCCAAGAAUGAGGGAGAAUUUUGUGAAGUCCAUGGCAAUGCAAGUUAAAGCUCAAAUACAUGAAGAAUCCAAGCUUUGGAGCACUUCAUAGCCCUUUCCAAAGCCAAUCAGAGAUGCAAGGAAGAAAACCAGAGGAAGAAAUCCAACAAUUAGCAUUUUCGCAUGGCUGUGCGAAAUUUCGCACACCAUGCGAAACCACAAGAGGCAGCCAAAGAAUUUUGCACACUAUGCGAAAUUUCGCAUGGUAUGCAAAAUCUUCUUGUGCACCAACUCCGUUAUAUUUUUAUCUCAAAUAUUUUGUGUAAUUUCCUAGUUUCUCCUUGUAACCAACCUAGAUAUUUUCUUUUAUAUAUUUUUUAGGUAACAUCAUCUAUAGGGGGAGAGACAUAAGGAGGAUAUGGAUGUUUUUCAUAGAACACUUGUAAAUUUCCGGUAGUAAGAAAUAUACAGAGCUUUUUGCUCUACCUUACCUUCUCAUUUUGUUUUCACUUGUCUUUCUAGCCAAACAACCUCUGAGGAUGAUUUCUUAGGGAAUGAGUGGCUAGGUUUUACGUUUCUUGGAGUGAGGGAAGCUAGGUGAAAGACCCGAAUGCUAAGGUGGGAGUUGUCCUUGCUUUAAAUGAAAGUAGUUGUUAAACAUUAAUGGUUUUUAUUUUAAGGUUUAGCUUUAAAUCCCUUAAAAACAUCUUGAAUGGUCAAUACUUGGUAGGCUUUUUGGAUUCUAUGGAUGCUUAUUGCUAGAUCCCUGGAUGUCUAUUAGUUAUCAUUUAUGAGCCAUUGGAAGGUGGUUCAAGAUGAGGGUCUUUAAUGUUUGAAGCCAUUAAUAGGAAACAAUUACCAUUCUUUCAUGAAUCCUUUGGAUCAAAUCUUAAUUGCUAAAUAUAAAACUAGUUCGGGAGAUAACCAUCCUUUAUGUUAUUAUGCCCAACGCGAGGAGAAGAUUCGGAAUCUUCCCCUUUGUCUAAGGAACCCGAUCCUAGUGACCUAAAGCUCUAAGAGACCUUUUCUUUAUAGUUAACUUCACUUAUUGUUUUUUCUUAACUUAAAAUCAAUCUUUGCAACCACAAUUCCAUUUUCUUUGAAAGCUAAUUUUCAUAAGGAAAAUCACCAUUUUAUUUUCUUCCCUAAGUCAACUGUACGAUGAAAACCCAUUCCCAUGGACGAUCCUAGAGCCACUAUACUAUGUUAGCUAUGCUACCCUAAUGUGAGGUGAUUUAGGUUUUAUAAAUUUUGUUGAUAACACCUGUUUGAGCCAGAAUCAAAUGGCGCAACUGAACCAGGGACGAAUCAACAACUUAUAUGGGAGGGACACAAGUUUAAUUGAUUUGCAUUUCAACGUUAUAUAUAGGUAUGUUUUGGAAGAUUUGUUCUGGAAAUACUGCACCAAGUACGAUUCUUUUUGUCUUGAGUGGGUCUACUUGCAUGCCAAUUAACGAGUGGAAAAGUAGGAGCACCUACCUCAUGCUCGCGGAACCGAAGGUCAGUGAAGUGGGGCUCCUUUUGGCCUCUUGUGUUUCUAUUCCAACCAAGGCGGCGUAAGGAAAAACAACAAUAUGUUUGUGCUAAAUAUCAACGCAUGAUAGAUGUUUUUGUUUUUUGGUAUGUCAAGGCUAAUGAAUGAAAUGCUUUAGCUUGUUUUGUGACUGGAACUGCAAAUGUCCAAAUUGGAGUAUCUCCAUUUCUCACUUCGGAUGGUUAACUUAUAAACAAGAUAUAGGAAACAUGUGAACAUCUUGAGGAACAAUUUGAAUUAUUCAUUAGAAGUCCUGGGUUGAGUUCCAAGAUUUAAAUUAGACCCCUCUAGCAGCUUCAGGGGUACCUAGCAACCUAUAGCAUAUUAAUGAAGAUUUAGGAUUUAGACUCUAGAAUACAAAUUAAUAUGUAUCUCAUGCUUUGACUAGCUUCCCUACAUAUGCACAAAAUGGAGAUGACCUAAAAAAAUAGCAGAAUCUAGCUUCCCUACAUAUGCACAAAAUGGAGAUGACCCAAAAAAUAGCAGAAUUUCCUUAGUUUCUGUGGUUAAGGUGAUUCUCCGCUUAAUAUCACAUUGACUCAUUAUGCAAAAUCAACUGAGCUAAUUUUGUUUAUUUAUUUAAUGUCAAAUAGGAACUCCUAAUUAACCUAACCCUUGGCCUGUGUAAAUUGAUUUCACAUGCCCAAUGUUGAAGUAGAAGUCCAUAUUUUGAAUUUUAUUUUUGUAAAGGUAAGGAAAAUGAAGCAUUGUGUAAUUAUAAAAAUAACUUCAUUGGAAUUCACAAGGUUCACCCAAAAUGGAGCUACAUCCGUAUUCUAUCCUGCAGUAGACUAUAUAGAUUGUACAAUAGUAAAUUGCAAAUACAAUUAAUAAGUCUUGUGCUUCCUUACUAAUAAUCCUUUGACAUGAACAUUGCAGCACUAAGGUCCUCUUGGGAAGACACCUUGCACCCAUGAGAGCACGAAGAGGAAGCAAGGCAGAGUCAUGGGUGCAAUGUCAUGACUUGUUGUUGCACCAAGAGAGGCUUGGUGAUGGCAUGGUGUUGCAGUAGCAAGAAUGUUGCCUUGGUAGGGACAUAAUCUAGGGAUAGAUGCCAAGAAAGGCUUAGCACUCACAUGAGUUGCACAAAGAUGAAUGUAAUAGAGCAUCAGAGAGACGUCUUGGCAAGUAAAUGAAUGGAUCCAAGAGGCAACAACAUGAGGAGUUUCAAAUGGAUAAGGAAUGAGUCAAAGACAUUUGAAAGCUACAAGUUGGAUUCUAAUUACGAUUGCAAUUUGAGUUUGAGUAGGAGUUUAGAUUCUGAUUGUAAUUGUAGUAUGAGUUGGACUAGGAUUGCUUAUCCCUAGUCAAAAUAGGAGUGGUUCGUGUCACACCCUAUGAAAAGAGUUUGAGUAGGGACUAGGAUUGCUUACUCCUAGUCAAAUAUGGAGUAGGUGGUGCCACACCUAUAAAAAAAAAGGGACAACAUGAGAGAGAGAGAGAGAGAGAGAGAGAGAGAGAGAGAGAGAGAGAGAGAGAGAAAGAGAUAAUGAAUUCACUAAAGAUAUUGUGGGAGUUUUUCUUUGUUACGUCUUGUAUUAUUACUUAGAAUAGGAAUAAAAUACAAGUUUGGGCUAGAGCCCCAUAAUUAAUCUCGUGUGCCUUUGUGGUUAUUCUUUAUUUGUCAUCUCGUGUGGAUUGGAUUACAUUGACUUAGAGGGCUUCUAAGCACCACCUUUGUGGGUUAUUAUUUAUUUUCCAUUUCUUGUGGAUUAGAUUAGGUUGACUUUGAGGGCUUUUAAGCACCACCUUUGUGGGUUAUUCUUUAUUUUCCAUAUCGUGGGGAUUGGAUUAGGUUGACGAUGAGAAAAAUUAUGUGGGAAAUUUGUGUUGGGACACUUAUCAUAACCAGGUAAAAUCUGCCAAGUCCUUUGUAAUAUCUUCAACAAAUAUUUCAGACUAGUUCUUCACCAUAAACAUCAUAUUGUGUUUUGUUUUUCUCCUGGAUUCUGAGUUGAAUUGUUUCAAGUCAAUUGAAUGCAUCUGAAUAUUAUUAGCUUGUUUGAAGGCCUGGUGAUUUUCCAUUUAACUUUACUUUCUUUAGGUUAUGCUCACUAUAAGAAAAAUGAGAAAUAAUGACGCUUUUUACGCGUUAAGAAAGGCAACAGAUGAUGCUUCUCUAAAGCGUCCUCUUCGGCUCUGUCAUUAUAUGUGUUAGCCAAUAAUGACGCUUCUAGGAAGUGCCAUCUUUGAAUAAUGUUAAUAACGACACUCGUAAAAAGUGUCAUCUUUAAACAUAUUCUGGUCAAAUAAUUUUUACAAAAUUAGUAAUCUUCAAGCCGUUUCUGAAUCAUAUCUGAGCCUAUUUCUGGGGACCAGAAAACCAUCUUUUUUCCAUUCGCCUGAGAGGUCUGAUUAGCAUUUCUGGAAUCAAUCUCUAAACCCAAGCUUCCCUCAUCUACCCAUUUAACCCUCAUGCCCUCCUGUUUGAACAACUUUCCCACUAUAUACACAAAUUUUUUACCUUCUGUUGUUGGUAUUCGACCUCUUCCCAUUCCCAGCACAGAAUCCACCAUUAGUGCCACUUUGUGAAUAAAAUCAUCGAACCAGAUCUUUCGGGCGGAAGAUGAGCUCCAGAGAAAUAAAAUUUUUGGGGUCUUCCCAGCAUGAAAGUCAUAGGUAGCAUUAAUGACAUCAAGAAAUGGGGCACUGUUGAGAAAAAACAUGUUCCCAUCAACCACCCAAGAAUUGUACCAGACUCCAAACACUUCUGGAUUACAUAUGCCUUUACUAAGAUAUAUUUCUUGAUCUCCAUAUCAGAAUCUUGGAGACUCUUCAUUUUAUGAGCUCUGACACUACUGUGAAAUUGGUCCACAUCAAUCACAGGAUGACCCCUUCUAGCAAGAUCAAGCAGGAAGUCUGAAUUCGGGCCCAUAAAAAUGUAGUUCUGAAUAUUGAAACUCUCAAAGUGGCACAACAAAUUCCUUAUGACUCUUUCAGAUGCUCCAAACAGGCUCACAAGUAUAAUGGUAUCCUGUUUUUGCACAGAGUAAAGAAAAUAUCCGAGUUCUUCAAAACUCCUUACAACUAUUCCAGGAUGUACUUCUUUGAAACAGAAAUCGUACCACUUUAGCUUAGUCAGAGGUUGAAUCUAAAAUAACAAAACCCAAACUGAAAUCAAAAUCGAAAUCAACCCUAAUAGAUUUCAGAAACAACAAAUUAAAAGAGUAAAGCACAAAAGGGGGAAAACACAUAUGAAGCAAUCUCCAUACAAGCCCUAACCUUAGAUAAACCCAAAAAAAAAAAUCAAAGCAGAGAGUUACCAUAGAGCAUCUCUGUUUCAAGCUUAGAAAAUGUUUAAUGCCAUUGAUAACUAGUUGGCUAGUGGUGGACUUCAAGCUUCUCUAUUUCGGUGUUAGUAGCUCUCAAUGGCUAUGGUGAGAACAAAGAAAUGAGAGGCUUAGGGUUUGGGAUGUGAGGUUAUUGAUGAUGAUGAGGAUAAAGUUAUGGGCUCUUGGAGGGGUUAGGGAAAUUGAAGAUGGCUGAGAGUAAAGGCUAGGGUUUUUGAGAUAGUUAAUAGCUUUUUAGGGUGUGACUGUCCAUAGAUAGAAGAUAAAUGAGGGUGUGAGAAUUUAUAGAUCUCUAGGUGAUAUGGCGGGUGUGAGAAUGAAAUUUUAGAGGGAAUUGUGUGUUUGGUAGAAAUUUCACACAUGCAUAUAUAAUGUUUCAGAACAUGGCACUUUAAAAAUACGACAAGGAAGAAAUUAUUUAUUGACGCUUAAAUAAAGCGCCAAGGUCUCCAACAUUUUUGCAAUCAAUGACGUUUGUAAAAGGUGCCAUUGAAUAGGAGUGCCAUUGCUUUCCCACAAAGCAUCAUUGUUAAUCAAGCCUUUAAAAAACGCCAAGAUAUGUUGCCACUUAGGUUAAAUAUUGACGCUUUUAAAAAACGCCAAGGAAAAAAACGUCAUUAUUCAUGUUUUUUGUAGUAGUGGCUUGAUUCCUAAAAAGUAAAGGAAAGCAAAAAGUAAAAAAAUAAAAAUGUGGAGAGUUAGGACAUGCGUUAUCUAAUUGUCCUAGUCCCAAAUAUAUUAAGAAAGUCAUGUAGGUUACUUGGAGUAACGAGUCAAGUAAAGCAAGCCUUCUAGUGUUUAAGACAUUAGAUAUUACCGAACUGAUUAUGUCAUUAAUGUAUUGCAUUUGUUGUUUCUAAUAUAUAGAAGAAGAUGAAAUUAUUGGAAUAAGUGGGAAAUAGGAAUAAAUCCAAGGUACCAAAAAGUCACUUUAUCUUAGAUGUUGUUGGAAACAUAAGUGAUUUCACAAUAACGACUAUGAGACAAUCAAGGAUUAAUAAGAUAGACUUUAUAUGAUAUACCUCCCAAUUAGAGCCUAAAAAUAUGGAUGAAGCACUUAGAGAUGAAUCUUCAAUUUUUGUACUAUAGGAAGAAUUAAAUCAAUUUGUUAGCUAUUCUUUGGAUAUUUGAUUCAUCACAAGCUACAAAUCACUUUUGAUGACCAAACACGAAACUAAGAGGAUUGGGCCCAAUUCGAUGCCUAUCAACAAUGAUUUGUAUUCCACCUCAUUAAUUAUUCAAAGUUGGGAAGCUAGGUCUAACCACUUUCUCUACCUGUUCACCCUUAGAGGAGCAGAAGAAAAUUCUAACUUUGGUGCCUAAUGCCUUUGACAAUCUUUCGACAAAGAGAGUUCACUAAUUACUUUGAUUAUUUCUCUGUUGGUCACUGGGGGACAAGACUUUUGUAAUGAAGUCAACUAGAACUUGCCCUUUGAGGGCCAUUCAUGGACGAUAUUACACCAUGAAUUCCCUUAGGUCAUGUUUGGUAUGUGAGAAUGAGGAGUGGAAUGGACAUCUUAUUCAUUUUUUCAUCUAUUCAAAUGUUGGGAUAACUCAAGUGACCAUGAGAAUGAAAUCAAGAAUGAUUCAAGGGAAAUGAAAUCUUACUUAUAAGUGUGAUUUCAAUUAAUCUCUAAUAGAAAUUAUUUUGAAUCAAUAGUGCAAGUUAUUUUUAAAAACAUUUUUCCAAAAUUAAAAAAAUCAAUUUUUUUUUUUUCGAUAAGUUGUUUUUAAAAGGAUUUUUUUUAUUUUGUAAAAAGAAAAUUGUAAUUCAAUUUAUAUAAUAUAAACUAAAUUUUAUUUUAUUCAAAAAGAAAUAAUUUUUUAAUUAUAAAUAAAUUAAAAAUAAAUACUUUUAAUAAAAUAUAAAUAGUAUUAUUAUAAUAAAAUCAUAAAUAAAUUUAAUUUUUUUUAUAAAUAUUAUAAAAAUAUGGAUAUUAACAUUGGAUAAUUGAUUUAUUUUGUUAAAAUAAAAAAUAAUAAUUUUUAAUAUUAUUUUAUGUUAAAUGAAUUUUAAAAUAAAGAAAGUUUAAUUAUUUUAAGGUAUAGAAGAGCCAAAUUUUGCAUUACAUACAUAACAAACAAUAUUUAUUAGAAACAUUUCUCAAGGAGAAUCUUAUUCCAUCUCACAAAGAUACUCGUUUAUUCGAUGUUUGACCAUCCGUAACAAUCAUGUCAAUUCUACUGAUUUAAUAAUUCCUUUACAUUUAUUACUCACUUAUGAACAUGGUAUUGUGAUUUAUUUAUUUAUUUGAUGUAUAAUUAAUUAAUCAAUUUUUUAAAUUUCAAAUUAUUUUUAAAAACUAUUCAUUAAGGAAUUUAAAGCAUUAAUUAUGUCUAUUAUUUUUUAUAGUCAUUAUAUAUAUAUUGAGUUUUAAUUUAUUUUUAAAAAUUAUUAAACUUAUUAAUAAAUUCAAUAUAAAGUCUCGUUUCAUUUGAAAUUCAUUUCUUUAGUGAAAAUUUUGAAAAAAAAAUUGUUAUUUAUUUUACUUUGUUUUAAAAAAAUUGUUUCUAGAGAACAAUAAUCAAAUAAUGGUAUGAAUUUUUAAAAACAAUUUUGUUUUUAAAUCAUAUGCCCAAAUAAUUUUUUUUUAUUUAGCAAAAAACUUUGUUGUAGUAUGUGGCUCAUAUUGAGGGAAAGACAUAUAUGGAGAAAAAUGUGCAAAUGUUGGAGUGGAGCGGAGUGGAAUGACGACAUUUGUCAUUCAAACUUGUAUUUUUAUUGUUAAGGGUGACCGAUAGGUUGGUACGGUUUAGGGGUAUUUUUGGAAUUUCAUUACCUGAGGGUUAGUAUAAAUACCAUUUUAUGUAACCCUAAUUUUACAUAUAAUGUAAGUUUUCUUCCUUGUUCUUGUGGACAUAGGCAAUCCGUCGAACCACGUUAAAUCUGUGUGUUUUUUUUUCUUUUUUCUUUUUCUCUAAUUUCUUCACCAGGAAUCGUUACACUAAGAUCAACAAACUCUCAAAGAUGAUUUUUAAAAUGAAAAAAAUAAUGUAUAGUGUGAGAAUUUUUUAUUUUUUAUUUUUUUAAAAUGAAAAUAAAAAAUUGCUUUAAGGUAAAAGUGUGGAUAUUAUUGUUAAUUUAUUUCAUUUUUCAUUUUCAUUUCCAUUGUUACCUACAAUUGAAAUGGAAACAACUAAUCAUUACAACCUUACAUUCUUAUAUGCAUCCAAAUACAAAAAUUGAAAUCACCAAAUUCAUAUUCAAGGCAAAAUAGGAAUGAAAACAAAUAUUCAUUCUCAUUCUUUAUUCCCACGUGUCAAACAUGACCUCAAAGUUAUAAACAUGAACAAGAAGUCCUUGAAACACCAAUGAUCUCUUCUGGUAUAUAUAUGAGCUUGAUUGACAACUGUUUUAAAUACAGUUUUUUUUUUUUUUGUUUUCAAAAUCAAAACAAAUUUAUUUUUAUUUUUUAUAAAUAGUAGUUUUUUAAUAUUUUUUUUAAACCUUAUUAUGAAAAUAGGAUGUUUUCUAAUAUCAUAUUUUAAUUAUUUUCAAUUAUUUUCCCUUCUUUUAAGGAGGGCUAUUUUAAAAAUAUGAAAAAUGAUACAAAAUAAAGCAUUACAAAUAAAAAUCAUUUUUAAGAAAUAUAUGAAAAUAAUUUGAGAACAUUUGAAGUUCCUUAAUUAAACUUUUGUUCUAGAAAAUGCAAGAAAACUGUUUUUGAAAAUUGUUUUCAUAAUGAUAUGCAUUGAUCGUUUAAAAUUUAAUUACAUGAUAAAAAGACCUAUGUAAAAACCAGAGUUAUAUAAUCAGUCAUAGAUCAAAUCUACUAAAUAUGAAAAGUAAGUACAUAGUUGUAUAUGACUUAGAUGGAGCCUUCUCCGAAUGACAUUCUUUAGUCGGUACUCAUAUUUUUUUGUUUCGUGUCUUCAACAUAACACCUCAUGAUCCUUAAUAAAUCACCUGAAAACUAUAUUAGCACCUUAUUGUUUAAUAUUUCUCUAAAUUUUUUUAUUAAGCAAAUAAAUUCCAAAUUUAAAAUGACAAAUAAAAUUUAUUAAUUUUUAAAAAUAAUUUAAAACUCAAAAACCAAUUUAAUUGAUAUUAAAAGUCAUGAAACUUAAUAAUAUUAGAAAGUCAUGUAUCCAAAUUUAUUUUAAAUGACUUGUUUAAUUUCUUGUUUAUAUAUAUUAUAUUUUUAUAAUUUUUUUUACUAUACAAAUAAAUUUUAAAUUAAACAAAACUUAAUGCGUUGAAUUCAUUAACGAGUCUAAUAAUUUUUAAAAGUUACUUAAAAUUUAAAUACUAAAUCAAUUAGUACCACAAAUUCAUGGAAAAAAAUUGAUUUAUUACUACUAUAUUGUUUCUCUAUUGCAUAGAACCAUUAUUUUUCAAUUUUUUCAUUUGGCAAAUGAACAUCAAAUUAAACAAGACUAAGUGUAUUAAAUUCAUUAAUGGGUCUAGUAAUUUUUUAAAAUAAUUUAAAAUUCAAAUAUUGAUACUCCAAAUUAAACAAGACUUAGGUGGUGUUUGUUUUUUGGUUGAAUAGAAAAAGGUAAAAUAUUUGACUUUUUCUAUUUAGUUAAAAGUAACUUGUUGACAUCGUCCAAUAUAAUUAAAGUAAACCUAUUGAGGGCAAGUUCACUUUAAUUAUGUUGGACGAUGUCAACAGGUUACUUUUAACUCAAUAGAAAAAAUCAAAUAUUUUGACUUUUUUUUUAACUCAAAUAAUAAAUCCAUUAAUACAAAAAAAUUAUGGAUAAUUUGAAACUUUCUUUCUUUUUUUUUUUUUUUUUGCUACACAUAGCUAUAUUUUUAUAAAUUUUAUCAUUAGAGAAAUGGAUUUCAAAUCAAGUGAAACUUUGUAUUGAAUUAAUGGAUUUAACAUUUUUUAAAAAUAAUUUGGAACUAAAAAAAAAAGAUUUAAUUACUAAGAAAAUCAUAGAUCAAAACUAAUAUAUUCUGAUCCAUGAUUUUAUUAUUUUUCCUAUACAUACAAUUAUAUUUUUAUAAUUUUCUCACUAGGUAAAGAUAUUAUAAAUUAAGUGACACAUAAUUAAUAAUUUAAAUUUUUGAAUGAAUCUUUUAAUUUUAGGAAUAAUUUGAAAUUUAAAAAGUUGAUCCAAUUAAUUGUAAAUUAACUUAAAAUAUUAUAAAAUAUUAUGUUCAUAAUUAAGUACUAAAUGUAUAUAUGUAAUGAAAACUUAACUAGUUACAUGUUACAAAAGCCAAAAUUUAUUCAUUCUUUAUUUUAAAUAAAAUAUUAUUAAUAAUUAUUUUUUUUAAAAUAAUAUUUAGUAAUUAUUGUUUUUAAAUUAUUAUUAUUAAUUUUUAAUAAAAAAAUUGCAAAGUUAUUAAUAUCAUUAUAUUUCUAACAUAAAUUUAAAUAGUAUAUUUUUUAAUAUAUAUAUAUAUAUAUAUAUAUAUAUAUAUAUAUAUAUAUAUAUAUAUAUAUAAUUUAUGAUUUCAUUAUAAUAUUUUUAUUCAUGAUUGACGAAAAAUUAUUUAUUGUUUAAUUUAUUUGAAUUGCAAAACUAUUUUUCAAAAUUCAAGCGAGAAAAUAGGCCUGGAUUUGAAUUUCCUGUAGAAGAGAAGGAUGUGGAGAAUAUGUUGGGAGUAUUUGUGGAUAAAGAAAAGGCCAGGGUACUGAGAAAGGAGAGAGAACUUGCUCUUGCCAAAAGAGCCCUGCACAGGUAUUCUACUGAUUCUAAUUAUCGGUUCUUACAUGAUCAGAUUUCAGAUUUAUUUGCUGAGCUUCUGAAAUCUGAUACAGUAUUUAAACUCCGGUGAGCUUUACAAGAUUAGUCUCGCAUCCAAUUCCAAAUGGUGUCCCACAAUUGAUUCUUCUUAUGAUAAAUCCACCUUGAUAUGUGAAAAUAUUGCUCGAAAGGUUUAUCCUCGCGAGGAAUAUCCAGAAUACUAAGGAAUUGAGGAGGCUCACUAUGUUUAUAGAGUCAGGGAUAGGUUGAGAAAACAAGUAGUUGUUCCAUUACAUAAGGCCCUGGAGUUGCCAGAGGUUUUCAUGUGUUCGAACAAGUGGGGAUCACUUCCCUACAACCCUGUGGCUUCAGUGGCCAUGAAAUCAUACAAGAGCCUCUUCUCAAACCAUGAUACAGAGCGGUUUGGUGAGUAUCUUGAGAAAGUGCAAACUGGGAAGGCUAAGAUUGCAGCUGGUGCAUUACUUCCCCAUGAGAUUAUAGCUUCAUUGAAUGAGGAGGAUGCCGAGAGAGUUGCCGAGCUUCAGUGGGCAAGAAUGCUGGAAGAUUGAUCAAAGAAAGGGAGGCUCACAAAUUGCAUUGCAGUAUGUGACGUAUCAGGAAGUAUGAGUGGAACUCCAAUUGAGGUGUGUGUGGCUCUGGGGCAGUUAGUUUCAGAGCUCAGUGAAGAUCCAUGGAAAUUAAGGUAAUGUAAUUACUUUCAGUGCAAAUCCUGAGCUUCACAAGAUCCAAGGAGACAGCCUUGUAUCCAAGACUGAAUUUGUGAGGAUGAUGGAAUGGGGUGCCAACACUGACUUUCAGAAAGUUUUGACAGAAUCUUACAAGUAGCAGUGGAGGGAAAUAUGAGUGAAGAUCAAAUGAUAAAGAGGGUUUUCGUUUUCAGUGAUAUGGAGUUCGAUGAAGCUUGUGGGAGGUAUAACUAUUGUGACUAUGACUAUGAUAUGGAGGAAAUUGACGAGAGUCAGAAGGCAUCUCAGAAGUGGGAGACAGAUUAUGAAGUGAUACAGAGGAAAUUCCAGGAGAAAGGAUACAGAAAAGUUCCAGAGAUAGUGUUUUGGAACCUUAGAAACUCAUCAGCGACUCCAGUGACGGCCACAGAGAACGGGGUGGCCUUAGUAAGCGGGUUUUCAAAGAAUCUGUUGACCUUGUUUUUGGAAGGAGGUGGAAUUCUGAUCCCUCAGGAUGUGAUGGAAUUCGCCAUCUCUGAUGAAGAUUACAAGAAACUUGUUCUAUUUGAUUAAGAUAUCAAGAGAUUUAUCAAUAAUAAUAUAUUUUUUUUCUAUGUGAAAUACAUAUAAUAUUAACUGUGGAGUUAUCAAAGUUCUGGAGGUUUAAUUAUUUCUUCUUUUCAAGUUUUGUUUAUUUAAGGUUUUCUUUGUCUUUGUUAGGAAUUCCCCUUGGGUGGACCCAGCUGGGGAGUUGGAUUGAGGAAGUAAGCAGGCGAACUUGUGUUCUUCUAUGGACAGAGAAAAAAAAUAAAAUAAAAAAAUAAAAAAGGAGGUUAUUUGCAUUUGGAUGUCGUGGUUUGAGGGUACAACUACAAGCUCGAAAUUGUACAUAAUGUGAAAACUCCUGUGUCCAUUGCUGAGAACAGCAUAAAUGAUGGUGAUUUUCAAGUUGUGCCUGGUAUUCUACAGGAUGAAACAAGAAAGGAUCCAGGUGGUAUAUUGAACAAUAUCCCAAUCAUGUUGGUGGCAUCUUUAUUUAGUUAAUGGUAUUCAUUUGGUGGAAGCUGGUUGUUUAUGAUGUUUUUAAUUUUUUUUAACAUGAAGUUCGAUCAAAUACGUAUCUUAGUAUGUUUUGUUUGAGCUAAUUGGCAAAUGCGCUUUAAACAUGGUCACAUGGAUGCAGUUUUAUUUGUGAAAUGAUAAUAGUCGAUUACUUGGUCAGUAAGGUUUAUAUCUCUAACUUCAACAUCUUAUUGUAGUCUUUUAAAAUGUCAAAAGUUUAAUGCUUGAGAAAUUUUGGAAUGGAGACAUUCUAAACAAAGUUAAUAAUCCACAAGACUUGGUAAAACCGAUCAGAUGAUGCUUACGUACAUCAAUGCCUUCUUUAAGCCAUAUCCUAUUUUCAUUGAACGGGAUGUGCCAUCUAGUUUGGUUCUUUAAGCCUCCAAAUCCUAAACCUAGUCUCAAUUUAGAGCAAAUUUAGGGUGCAGGGCCUGCAUGCCUCCCCCUCCCCCUUCCACAAAUAGUAGUGACCUUGCUAUGCCUAUGCAUUGUCAAUGCCUCAUUUUCUAUGGUCUCCAAUGUAAUAUCUUAGUUUCAAUGUCUCUUUCCUUACUAUCUCCAAUGCAAUAGAUUGAUUUCAAUACCUCUUUACAACUAAGACCUCCAAAUUUUCUUGGUUCAAACCUACCAGAAUUUUUCUUCUCCUUUGCUUUCUAUCAAUAUUAGUUCCCCUAAUUUAAUAUAUACUUCUUUAUUACCUUCAACUCUACCUCUCUUUCUUUCUCUAAAAGCUUCCUCAAAGAUUUAAUUGCUUUCUUGCAUGUUUUAAGAAAACAAACAUGCUCAUAUUACAUUACCUCUACUUGAGAUCUACCUUAUACUCUACCUUCUUUCUUUACCUCCUAUAUCAUCUACUACAUUAGCUUCAAAAAUAUUAUUUAGUUUGAUACUAAAUAAGGCUCCUAAUCCUACUCUUCCUUCAACAAACUUUCUUUUUACAAGUUCCUUAAACUUUAUUUUUUAUUUUUUAUUUUUUGGAAAUUCGGGUUAGAAAGAUUCCAUUACUCUUACCUAAUAUUUCAACCAUCAAGUUGAAUCCACUUAUUGCCUAAAUCCAAGGAGUCUGCCCUCCACAAAAACAAGGAAAUUGAUCCCACAAUAACAAGGAGAUUGCCUUCCACAGAAACAAAGAGAUCUCCCUUCACAGAAGCCGAAUACAUUGCAAUCUAUUUUCUUUCUUGUAAGAUCAAAUCUUCAAUCGAGCUCCAUCUUAUGGGGGCAUAUUAGAGAAAUUUAAUAUUAUCCUUAAUUUACAUAUUAAUAUUUAUCUAUUUAUUAUAUAUUGAAUUAAAAUAGAAUAUAGAAUUUGAAUCAUAGUAGAAGUUUACUAUAAGAUUGAAUUACAAUAGUUAAUAGAGUUUAAAUUAUAAUAACUCAAAUACAUUUAUAUAUAUUUGACCUUACGAGAUUUUCUAUUUAUGUAUUUGAACUACAAUCCUUAUGAUCCUUAGGUCUCUAUACCUUCGUGAUGGGCUCCUUGACAUUUCAUAGGUUGUGCUACACAUGCAUUUGAAAUUUAGAGUGCAUUUGACAGUGAUUCUGGGAAGUGUUUUUGGCAUUUCUAACACUUAAAAUUUUUUAUUUUUCAAGUAUUAGAAAUGCUACAAACACUUUUGAAAAUUACUGUCAAACACACUCUUAGGAGCGCAUAUAGUAGAAAACUAGAAAUUGUGGUUUUUUUAGGAUUUACUGUAAUGUCAUUAGGAGGGUAGUAAGUUGAAACUGAGUAUGAAUAAAUAUUUCUUUCUUUGGGAUGUUCUUCUGGUAGGUGCUGAUGAAACUGUUCUUUUUACUGCCAAUGUCACAUAUCAGCCAGAAAUUGAAAAUUUCAGUCAAGGUGUCCUCGGUUUUAGUGGUGAGGAAAGCUAGAAAUUUUAAGGUGAAGUUCUGUUAAAAACCUUAAGUAGCUGGGAUAUCAGGCCUGUUUUGCUUGAAAAAAAAAGUUGCAAGAUAACUCAUAUGCCAAACAGGUUCUGAUAUUGUGAAUCUAUCGGCAGACAUCAGUAAUCUCAUCUUCUGAGAUGGAUGUUGGGGGUGCAUGUGGUGGUGGAGGGGCAAGGUUUCAUUUGGUUUAUUUUGUUGAUGGAUAUUGUCUAGCCCCCUGCGCCAAGUUUGAGGGGUGGUGGGUUGUGAUGGCCCUACAAUUACUAUUAAUUUCUUCCUCUUUUACCGAUUAAAGUGUCCGAACAGUCGAAGUUACCCUUAUGCAUGUCAACUUGAUCACUUACCUCUUCAAUGGAGUUUAUGCUGGUUCAUUUAGGAACUGAUUUUUAUUGUUAUGCAUUCUAUGCUGAUGUUUAGGCCUCUCCAUCAUCACUAUAUACAAAAAUUCUAGGUUGAUACUAUAGGUUGAGAUUUAUUUUUUAAAUAAAAAAUAAUAAAAAUAAAAAUUAUGGUGAUGUUUAGUUGUUUUAUGGAAAAUUUUAACAAGUUAUUUUUGGGCAAGUUUUCAAACAAAAAGAAAAGUAAAAGUUGUUUUGACAAAAACAUAUAGAAAAAAAAAAUCAUAGAAAAGAAAUAAUUUCCCCAUAUUCUAACUUUUUUUAAUUUUUCUCAAUGGGCAAAGGAAUAUCAAAUCAAGUUUGAGUAGGAUUUCUUAAUUUUUAAAAUAACUUACAAUUAAAAAAUUUUGGUGUUUUCAUUUUUGGACAAUUUUUUAUUAAGCAAAUGGACUCUGAGUCAUGCAAGAGAUAUGGUUGAUUAAUGGGUCAAACAAUUUUUUUAAAAUAAUUUAAAACUCAAAUACAUAAUCAAUGUCACAAAAUUUAUAAACAAAAAUAGGUUUAGAGAAGAUCUACACAUAAUUUUACUUUUCUAAUUUUAUUUUAUUUUAUUUUUUUGUUGGAAAAUAGUCUUCAAAUCAUGUAAGAUUUAAUAGGUUAAAUUUGUUAACAAUAAAUUUUAAAUUAUAAAAUAUAAUCUGGAACUUAAAAAUCAAUUCAAGUAAUGCUAAAAAAAAUCAAAUUUGGUAUAGAAUGACUACGUAAAAUUUUUUACAAAACAAAUGAAUUUUAAAUCAAGUGAGAUUUAAUGCAUUAGAUUUUUAUCAAAUAUAGUAAUUUUAAAAUUUAAUUUGGAACUCAACAAUAGACACAAUAAAUACCAAAAAAUAAUGAACCAAAAUUGGUUUGGAAUAACUCCACAACCUCUUUUUUUUUUUUUUGGUGCACACGAAUUUUCUUACUAGGUAUAUUGCUUUCAAAUUGAGAAAGAUUUACUAUUUAGAUUUUUUUUUUUAAUGAGUUUAAUGGUAUUUUAAAAUAAUUCAAAAUUUCAAAAAUUGACUAAUUACUAUUAUAAAUUCAUAAACCAAGACUAAUUCAAAAUGCAUUGGGGGCUAAGGGGGUUGAAAAUAGGGACAAUGGGAUGGGUUUGGGACAUGACACUCAUAUCUCAUUUCCAUUCCAAUUACAUAGUUAUCUCCCAUCCUUAUCCCAAACUUGUGUUGGAGCAAGUUGAUUUGUUCCCAUCUUUGUUGAUGAAAUGACUAAUAACCUCAUCCCCUCCUUAUCUUAGAUGUACAUUUUGUCAAAUUUGAUCAGGUAUGAUUGAUCCAAGCCCUAACCCUAAUUGGUAAUGACUGGAUACUACACCUAAUUGCAUUCUUCUUUCGUCGCAAAAUAAUGAGAUUAUAAUAAUCUAGCAAAUAAGAAAAAAUAGUAUGGAAGUUCAAUUUAACACCAUAACUAUCAAUAAUUUUAAGCUUAUAGAUGACUUAAAUGAUUAAAAACUAAUGCAAAAUACCAAAAAAAAAAGUUCAUAUAAAGAAUUCACAAGAGAACAAAAUGAACAAAAACCAAAUAUGAACAUGGGUCAACAUUAGUUAUGGAUUUGGAUUCCUUUCAAGGCCAAUCUUUGAACCAAGACUUCAUCAAAUCUACUACUUCAAAGGCUUUUGUGUUCUUCUUGGGUUGUGCUCUCAAACAAAGACUUCAAGGUGAUGCUCUAGAUGAUUGCAUUACACAUAUUUAGGGUGGAGAGAUUGGAGAAGCUUGAAGAUGCCAACGAUGGGUACAAUUGAGUGGUCAAUAAGAACAAUGUAGCCUAUGACUAGUUUGAUGUCGUGGUACAAGAGUUUUAGGCAUUGAGGUUAAAGCAAGAGCAACAUGGAAUUGAUUUUGGAGUCUUUCAAUUAGUGUAAAGGAGGAAGAAGUGGUAUUGAUUCUAGAAAUAGGGUUUUAGGUGGUGCGUUAGAGGAUGAAGAAGAAGAAAAAGAAGGAUCUGUUGGAAUUAGUGUGAGUGUGAAGAGAGAAGUAUAUAAAUAAGGGGAAGUAAAAGCAAAGUUCUAAAAGCUAUAUUUUUUUUUAUUGUUGGUGUAUGGUUGCAUGAUUAUCCCUAUAAAUAAUAGGAGUUUUUUUGGUAUUCUACUAGUAGUUGAAGGAUAAUUUCAUAAAUUUAUAUUUAGAGUGGGGUGGGGUGAGUUGUGACAAAAUUCAUACCCGUCCUAAACCUUGGUUCAGAUUUUUAAAAUAUCCUCAAACUUAUCAUAUACCCAACUUUUAUAUUUCAUACUUGUCUUGAUAGAGGCAGGUUAGGCCGGGUUACUUGAGUAACCUACAUAAUUGUCAUCCCUAGUUGAAAUACACUUUUUUGGCAGUGGCCACCAACUGAGCUAGAAGCUUGAUCGAUUGACCUACAAGAUUAGUUCUCAUCAUUUUAAAAAAAGUUUUGGCCUUGGUUGUGAGUGCAAUUGAAUCUAAACUGGCAUUUCCUUAAUGCAUCUACUUCAAUCCUAAAUUUCUUACUUCCUAAGCCUCAAUUGUUGUUAGGAUUUUGGAAAGCCCAUUUCCUUAAAUUGUAAAUUUAAGAAAAAAUAAAAUAAAAGUGAGACAUUUCUUGAUUGAAUAUUGUUAAAGGUCCCUUGGCAUUAAGACUUGGUUGAAGCCUUGGAAGAUUAGUGGAACUCUCAACUUGUGUUUGAAUCUUGAGGAGAGUGGACGUAAGCCAAAAUUUUGUCAAACCAUUAAACAAAUUGAGUUUGAAUCCUCAUUUCUUGAUUUCUUAUUUAUUUGCUUUUUCUUAUUAUUACUUGAAUUGUCAUUUGCAUUCAUUAAUGUUAAAAUUGGUUAUAAUUAACCAACACUAAUUCUCUUUCCCCUUCCCUUUCUUGGGUGUAAACCUAGGUUGGAUUAACUAGAUUAAUUUAUAAAAUCUAUUAAGAUGGUAAAAGAAUAAUUAUUCUUAACACACAUAAGAUCAUCUUCAAUCAAAUGACUCAUUGGCUAAUAUGUUGAAUUUGCUUAUUACUUGCAACUCAAAAUUGUGUUCUAGUUGAUAUGUCAAGUCCCCAGUGUAUGGACAUUAAAUUUGUAGUACGUGAUGGUAAUUAGAUGGUCCAACUCCAAGAAAGUGAUUGAAAACUAGUUCAAGAAAGGUGCAAAAGGGAAUUGUUUUGGUAUUUUCGUUUUUAUUCUUGAAGGUGGCAGAGCUAAAAUUUGUGAAAUCAAGCAAAACAUACUGAAAUUACAUUGAAAGAAAGAAAAUGGGAGUUAAUGUCUUGCAGUAGAUGAUAAGGACUUCAUGCAUGUAGUAUGACCCAUGUCUUGGACUGAUGCCAACUCACGGUUACACUUAUACCCUUGGUUCUCUCUUUACUACCUUGGCUAACCUAGAUCAGGCUAUGAGAUAGGCUCCUCACCACACCAUUACUUGCCCAUUAAUUAGAGACAUUUUCAAGCACUGAGGUAACAUGGUGACACCAAGAGGGUUUAUUCCUCGCCCUCCUCGCCCUCAACAAGUCUAGACUUGGUCUCAAAAAAAUGGAGAAAAAUGAGGUGUCGUUAUGUAGAAAUACAACAACCAUGCCUUCCUCAUUACUUUGAUUCAGAAUGUGAAGGUGAAAUUGAGAAACAGAAACUCUUGAAACCAAAAUGAAAAUUGAUACUUUUACGAAGAAUUACAACAACAUUGGAGGAAGACUACAUUCUUCCUCUUUAUUCCUACAUUUCUACACUACUUCUACUCCACUCCAUAUUUCUACAUACAUCUUUAAUCAGUCUUCCCUCCUUUAUAUAGAGCCAUCUUCACACAAAUUCCGCAAGGUAGAAAAGAGGAAUGAAACUUGGAGCAAGGUUCGACUACUGGCUGUAGCUUGUCAAGGCUGGAAGUGAACCUUUUUUCUUGGCUUUUCUGGGCAUGGGUAGUAACUUGUGGGUUCCUUUUUGGGAUACAAAUGGCUAGAACAUGUGGCACUAUCUUGUUGGAUGAUGUGUCAAGCAUGUGGCAGCCAUCUAGUGGCGAUUAUGUCAAUUUUGGGAUGGAGAGUUGGCAUCCAAUUGCAAAGAAAUAUGACGUCUACCAACAGGCAAUGUAAACCUAUGUAGAUCAUAUGAAGAUAGAGAGGAAAAAUAUAGAAAUGGAUAUAUACCUAGAACUAGCUUUUUAUUAAAUGAAACGGAGAGCCAACAAUGAAGGAAAAUAAAUUUUUUUGGCUUAUAUCAAAGAGUUCACAUUGUGCUACCCUAGGUUUUCUUAAAACUUACUUUUAUGAUAACAAAAAAAAAAAAAAACAUUAUUGUUUAAUCCUUUGUUUUAAACGCAUGUUUAGCAAGUUAUAAAAUGUAAAAAUCUUUCUAAGUUCAAAUAUGAAGAUAUGACAUCAUUUCAAGCAAGAUAGUCUCUAGGAAUUAAUGUAAAGCUAAAUUAAGGUGAAAUUAAAUUAGUUCAAUGCAUUAAUUUAAGAAACUUGACCUAUCAAAAGUACAAAAUUAGAUGAAAUCCAUUUCAAUGGUUAAAAUGAUCAAAAUCAAACUUUUUCUAAGUAUUUUUUAAAAGUAUCAAUAUUGAAAGACAAUUUUAUAUUUAGUCAGAGUUUGGACAAAACCAAAAAGCACACAAAAUCCAAGCGACCAUCUCUAGCUUGGAUGGUCGCUUGAUCUCUAGCUUGUGUACUUGGAAAGCAACAUCGAGAUGAUAUAUAUAUAUAUAUAUAUUUUAUAUAAUAUUGUUUGUCCAAAUUCCCUAAAAAUUAGGCCACCACAUGUUCAUAAUUCUCCCUUCUUGAAUUUGAAAACUCGGACAAUUGGACAAUGCGACACCUAAGUCCGGUUUCUAAAUGCUAAAGUGAAAGGGUAGGUAUGGACCAUUGAAAUGUGAUCACAACUUUUCUCUGUAGCCAUGUUGUCUCUUUUUUCUUUUGCAUGAUUUUCUCACCUUAACAGAAUCAUAGACUUGUUUAAUCUCUAAAUGGGAUUAAUUUCAUCCAGCUUUAAGCUACUAUAUUAUAUCUAGGUGGAGGACUUUUAAGAGUGCAACCGACAUAGAGCACAUGCAAGUGGGUAUAUGGGACAUGAAAUUUCUUCUUAUAAAGAUUGCAUGAUUUUUAUAUUAGAGUUGUUGGGGCGCAAUGUAUGUAGCUUGUUUUGCAGUUAAAUUAAUUGGAUAAGUAGACAUUGGCGUUUCUAAAUCUACUGUGAAGUGCUUCAUGUACGUGUGAAGUAUUAGAAAUUUCUUUCUUGGCAACUUGUUUUUUCUUUGCGGUCUACUGAUAGGUUUGACUAAAAUUAUAUUCCCUGUCAUGCUAAUUAAUUUUCACGUGCAUGCUCAAAAGAAGAGUAUGACCUUAGUGCACCAAAAUCACUUUGAUUAAUUUGUGAUAGGUUUUUGUGCAUCAUGACAUUAGCCUUAUUCAUUUAGAUAAUGUUUAGUUUUUAGAAAGUAUUAAGAAAAGGAAAAUAAAUAUUAAGAAAAAUAUUCUUAUAUUUGAUUGUAUUAUGAAAAAUGUCAUAAAAAAAUCAAAUAUAAUUUAAAUUAAUUAAUAAUUUAUACAUUUUCAAAUUAUUUAAUCUUUAUAUUGAAGAUAUAAUAUAAAUGAAAUGAGUUUUAAGUAUUAUAUAAAAGUGAUUUAUUGAUCUUGCAUAUAUGUAUUUCUUUUUUUUUUCUUCUAUUUUUUUUCUUUAUUUUAUUUUCCUUAUGUUUUCCUCAACAUUUUCCGGAACCAAACAUAGCCUUAGGAAAUCCACAAUUACCUUCAACUGAGUAUAUUCGGUUGUUUUAGCAAUGUUAGGCUGCUAACUUGUGUUGGUACGAACCUGUUAAGCCUAAAGAUGUAAUUAGUUAGGAUAUUCUUUUCCCUCUAGUCUUGUAGCUCCACGUGUAUAGUUGGUUAGGACCUCAUUGUAUAUAAUGCCUGCCCUGUUAUUGUUGAAGACAACAGAGAUAAAUAAUAUUAACAUUUUUCCUCUCAUCUCUCUUUGUUUCCCUCUGUUUUCAUCUCCUCUCUCAUCUUGGUAUCAGAGCCUCCAUGGAUUCUUUCAAAGAAACCUCCGAAUCACCUUCUGCUAGCAUUGUUAAUGUGCAAAACCCAUUAUCUCAGUCAAACAACCUUCCUUCACCAGCAGCCACACCCUCUUUUUCUUUCUUGUCUAUGAAUCAACCUCUCACAGUGAAGCUGGAUAAUGGAAACUACCUCAUCUGGAAGAAUUAGCUUCUGAAUGUCAUCAUUGCGAACAGACUCGAUGAUUUCAUUUAUGGAACUCGACCCUGCCCUCCUUGAUUUCUCAAUCUGCAACAACAAACCCUCACUCCAGAGUACUCGGUCUAGCAGAGAUACAAUCGACUUCUAAUGAGUUGGCUGUACGCAUCCUUGUCCGAAGAUAUAAUGACUCAGAUUGUUGGGUAUUCAACAACUGUGGAGAUUUGGAACGUCCUUAAUCAGAUUUACUCUGCCUCUUCAAUGGCGUGGGUUACCGAGCUUCACACCAAGCUUCAAACGCUCAAGAAAGAUGGACUCUCAGUUGGUGAAUAUAUUCAAAGGCUCAAAUCCAUUUGCAAUAGUCUUGCAGCAAUAGGAGAACUAGUUUCUGAGAAAGACCAGCUUAUCUAUUUGUUCAAUGGAUUAUAUUGUGAGUAUAAUUCUUUUGUUACCUCCAUUCAAAAUCGAUCUGACCAACCAACUAUUGAGCAAAUCCAUAGCCUAUUGCUUAGCUAUGACUUUCGGCUUGAACAACAAAACUCUGUUUCUCUCCAUUAUGCCCAAGUCCGUAUGGCUCAUCUGAACAAGAAACCUUAUAAAUCAACUCCUCAACCUACAUUCAAUCAUAUUCACAUUCAACCUAGAUACUCUUCUCCACCUUUUAAGCCAACCACUAGUCAAUAUCAACCCAGGAUUUUGGGCAAACCACAACCACAACCAUGACAGCCUCAACCUCAAUGGAAACCACAUUUUUCAAUCCAGAAUCAAAAGCCUCAGUGCCAAAUUUGUGGUAAAUUUGGACACACUGCUCUUAUUUGCUUCCAUUGCACAAAUUUGAACUAUUCACCCCAACCUUCUCCUAAAUCUUUCAAUACUGUUCUCACCACAAAUUCCCAGCUCCCUAAUCCUCCAAAAUUUUCUUACCCUACAAUGGCUCAUCCUGCUGCUACGCAUAACACGAUUCCUGAUACAAAUUGGUACAUGGACUCAGGUGCUACACAUCACUUUACUCCGGACAUCAACAUGCUUGACACUGUGACACCAUUUAGUGGUUUAGAACAGGUGACAGUUGGGAAUGGUAAGCAACUCUGUAUCUCACAUCUUGGUACUGCAAAACUACCAUCCUCGUAUUCUCCUCUUGUUCUACAUCAGGUAUAUCACACUCCAAAAAUUUCAAAUAAUCUUAUUAGUGUUAGAAAAUUGUGUUCUGAUAAUAAAGUUUUUGUUGAAUUUUAUGCCACUCAUUUUCUUAUCAAAGAUCAAGUUUCGAAGAGAGUUCUCUUUCAAGGUCAACUUGAUAAUGGCUUAUACAAAGUUCAGUCGUCAUGCUCUCCUUCUACUAUUUCCUUUCAUCCUCAAGUUUUCAUAGCCAACAUCAAGGAUCAAAAUUUGUGGCACAAGAGACUAGGCCACCCAGCUUUAUCUGUUAUUAAUCAAAUCUUGGAUUCUUGUAACAUUGCUCGAACACAGAAAAUUGGUUUUAAUUUUUGUAGUUCUUGUCAAUUAGCAAAAAGCCACAGGCUUCCUUUUUCUCUGUCUCCAUCCAUUGCAGAAAAACCUUUUGAGUUAAUUCAUACAGACCUAUGGGGUCUUUCUCCUGUUCGCUCUAUUUCUGGUGCUCGUUAUUUUUUACUUUUCAUUGAUGAUCAUACUCGUUUUACUUGGUUUUAUUUGCUCAAAACAAAAGAUGAAGCAUAUCCUACUUUUCUCAAGUUUCAAGCUCUCAUUGAAAAUCAAUUUAAUACCAAGAUUAAGGUUGUCCAAUCUGAUUGGGGAGGUGAGUUUCGAUCUCUCUCCAUACUGUUUUCAAAUAUGGGCAUUGUCUAUCGUUUAUCAUGUCCAUACACCUCACAACAGAAUGAGUGGGUUGAGCGAAAAAAUCACCAUGCGGUUGAAAUGGGAUUGUCCUUUCUUGCUCGCUCGGGUAUGCCCUUAUCUUAUUGGCCUUAUGCCUUUCAAACUGCCACUUACCUUAUUAAUCGUCUCUCUACCCCUGUGCUGCACCAUCAAUCCCCUUACUUCGCACUCUAUCACAAAUUCCCAGCUUAUACUCAUCUUAAGGUCUUUGUUCCUCUUGUUUUCCAUAUUUACGCCCUUAUAAUACCCAUAAACUCCAAUACAGGUCACUGGAGUGUGCUUUUCUUGGUUGCAGUUCACACCACAAAGGUUAUCUAUGUCUUGACAUUCAUUCUAGCAGGGUGUAUAUUUCUCGCCAUGUGAUUUUUAAUGAAGAUUCUUUUACAUUCAAGAAUUUGAAAUCUUCUCUCUCUUAGUCUAUUUCUUCUUCCUCUUCUUUAUUAGUUCCUCUGUUCAUUUCCUUGCCUCCCCUCUCCCCAUAUCCUCCUAUUUCUCCAUCUAUAUCUCAUUCUUUUCUCUCUUCUUCUUCUACCUCUAGUACUUGUUCCCCUCUCGUUGCUCCUACCUCUCUUCCUCCCUCUUCACACUUUGUGUCCCAUCUAUUCCACCUCCUUCUCCACCUUCUUCGAGUGUGGACCUGCUUGUACCUUGUGUGAAUACAAAUUUACUUACUUUUUCUCGCACUCACAAUAUUCAUCCUAUGGUGACCAGAUCUAAGGGUUUGUAUCUAUAAACCUAAGUUGCUAUUGAGUGUCUCCAUAGGUUCUCUCACUAAGCCUACUUCCUUUCUUCAAGCUAUUAAAGAUCCUUCAUGGAAGCAAGCCAUGGAAUUGGAGUUUGCUGCCCUUCAACACAACAAGACCUGGCAUCUAGUUCAUUCACCUUCCUCAGGCAAAGUAAUUGGUUGUAAAUGGGUCUAUAAGAUAAAGCUUUAGCCUGAUGGCUAAUUGAGAGAUACAAGGCCCGCUUAGUAGCUUAGGGUUAUCAUCAAACUGAAGGUAUUGACUACUUCGAAACAUUCAGCCUGGUUGUCAAGCCUUCUACUACCGUAUUGUGCUCAGUCUUACUUUUUCCCAGAAUUGGUGUAUUAGACAGCUGGAUGUUCAUAAUGCCUUCUUACAUGGUGACUUAGCUGAAGACGUUUUCAUGGAACAACCACCUGGAUUUGUUGAUCCUCUCUAUCCUACUCAUGUCUGCAAGUUGGAUAAGUCUCUCUACGGUCUUAAUAGUCACCUCGGGCUUGGUAUACUAAGCUGAGUACUUCUCUACUACACUUGGGAUUUGUUACUUCUAAGAAUGACUCUUCCUUAUUUAUUUGUCAUUCGUCUCAUGGGUUACUUCUUGUUCUUGUCUAUGUGGAUGAUAUAAUCGUCACUGGGAGCCACUCUCCUCAAGUUACUCACCUUAUCCAAUAGUUGCAUCAUCAGUUUUCUUUAAAGGAUCUUGGUCAUUUACACUAUUUUCUGGGCUUGGAGGUUCAUCACACCCCUACUGGUAUUCACCUCAGCCAAGCAAAGUAUAUCACUGAUCUCCUUACCCGGGCGGCUAUGUUGGAUGCCAAGCCAUGUCCCACUCCUAUGUCCUCCAACACAUAUCUUUCUCUUCAUGAUGGAGUGGCUCUUGAAAAUGGUUCAGAUUAUUGAAGUUUUGUUGGUGCCCUUUAGUAUUGUACCAUGACACGCCCAGAUAUAGCUUUUGCAGUAAAUAAAGUGUGUCAAUUCAUGCACCAUCCCUCUGAUGUUCACUGGCAGGCUAUAAAACGUAUUCUCCAGUACUUAAAGGGCACAUCUCAUUUUGGUCUCUUCCUACAGCCUUCCUAUGACUUCAACAUCACUUGCUAUACAGAUGCCGACUGGGCUUCCUGCCUUGAUGACAAGUGUAGCACCAGUGGCUACUGCCUCUUUCUUGCCUCUAAUCUGGUUUCUUGGUCAUCUUCCAAACAAAAAGUGGUCUCCCGCUCCAGCGCCAAAUCAGAGUACCGAGGGGUAGCAAAUGGGGCUGCUGAAAUUGCUUGGACUGAAUCUCUUCUUUGUGAACUUUCCACCCACUCGACCUCCCCUCAUUGUCUGUGACAAUAUCAGUGCCACAUACUUAGCUGUCAAUCCUAUUUUGCAUGCCCGCACCAAAACAUGUGGAAAUCGACUAUCACUUUGUCUCGGAACGUGUUCUUCAACGCUCUCUCUCUCUCCAGUUUACACCUUCGGAUGAUCAACUUGCUGAUUGCAUGACCAAGCCUCUCUCCACCCAACGUUUCAUCACUCUACGCUCCAAGCUCACUGUUCUCACUAGACCAAUGAGCUUGAGGGGGGAUGUUAAGCCUAAAGAUGUAAUUAGUUAGGAUAUUCUUUUCCCUCUAGUCUUGUAGCUCCACGUGUACAGUUGGUUAGGACCUCAUUGUAUAUAAUGCCUGCCCUGUUAUUGUAGAAGACAACAGAGAUAAAUAAUAUUAACAUUUUUCCUCUCAUCUCUCUCUCUGUUUCCCUCUGUUUUCAUCUCCUCUCUCAUCUGAACCAAAUGAUCCAUGUUAACCUUGGCUUGGUUUGAUUUGGCUCUAUCUUAGAGAGCUCAAGGAUCACGUCAACUCUGGUUUCUACUAUUCAGGUCCAUUCCCAUAUGAACUGGUUCAAAUUUGAGAAAAUGGUAACAGACCUUUAGUGAUGUUGGUUUGGAGCCAGUUGCCAAACCCGCCCUGAGCUUUACCACUAAUGUCAAGGGAGAAAGCCUUUUGAACAAAAACAAUAGCUUCAAGAGACUGAAUCGUGGAUGAAAUCUGAUCCACAUUUCUUCUCAUUUUGGAAACAAAUGAGAACUUAACUAAGAAGAUUCUACGGCCUCAUAGUGCUUUUCCUGAUCUAAGGUUGGUUCGUUUCCCAAAUUGUGAGAUGCACGGGCCAGACUUCAGAACUCUCACGCUCAGGAGUGUAUCCACGUGGUGGACAUAAGAUGGUGGCUUAAGAUCUGGUGUCGGUGGCUUUACUUUACUAGGAGAGUAGUGUGUCUUCAUCUCAUUCACUGCCGGAGGGUGGCGUAAGCAGUGACGCUAAGGUGGGGCAUAGUCAAUAUCAUUUGCAUUUGACCAUUAUAGUUUUCUCCCGGCUUGAAAGUAACCUUAUCGUGAUAAAGGAUUACUAGCACUAGUUCAGAUGACAGUCAUGUUAAAUUCGGACCAUGUUUGUGUCACAUUAUCAGCAACCAUGUGUUUAUGGUUCAUGCUUUCUGCAACUGAAAUUGAAAUUGAUAUAUAACCAGGUGAACUUCAAUCUAAAUUCUGGAAGUACUCAUGUGAGCGAUGGUGCCCAUCUGCAGAGUCCAUCAAUUGAAAAAUGGAGUGAGUGUAUCUAUAAGAGGGAAGGCUUGGCAAAUGUCCAGUUUUCUGGGAAUUCAACAAGGAUCUAAAAUAGAUUGUUUUCUUUGCUGAUUUCAAUGGUUGAAAUUUGAGAAGAUUGUGUCCCACAUAACACAACUAUUACUGGUCCUUCUGUUGCAAUUUAUCCUCUAAGGCUCUAGCAUGUCUUCCAAUUCCCACUUCCCUGUUACUCCAGGAAAGCUAUUUCUGUCAUUGUGAAGAAGAAAAGAGAAUGUAGAUAUCGAUGCUUUUAAGUGACUGGAGCAUUCAUAUCAGGUGGUCUGCAGCCAUAUAUGCCACUUUGUGAAGAUUGGAACAGUCAAUCACUAGGCUAUAUAUUAGUGUGGCCCAGCCACUUUAAUCAAGGACAAUUCUUCAUACUUAAAAGUCAAAUUCUGCCUUUAGUCUCAUUAUAAAUUGCUGUUUAAAUAUUAAGCAAACAUUUGUUUAAUGCGAUUAAGACAGUACUAACUCAAUACUUGUUCUAUUUUUGGAUGGAAAUGCUUGAUGGUUUCAUCAUUGGAUGGGAUAAAGGUGCAUUCAUGAUUAUGAAUACUUGUAGUUAUAUUUUCAUUCUCUUUUUUCUCAAUGAGACUUGUUGGCACAAUUUUUCUGUUCAGAAACCUACCUCUCCAUGGAAAAUAAGUUGUGAUUGAUAGUACUGGAUAUAUUCAAGAAAGCUAAAUAUAGAUAGCACAAAAUAUUAUCGACAUAAAUAGCAUUAACAGCGUACGUAUGUCUCAGUGCUCAUCAGCCAUAAGCAUGGGGCAAACACUUACGAUGAGCAACUUACGUCAAAAUUCCAGAAUAGGACAUAGAAGUGACAGAUCUAUAUAUAUAGAACACUGCAUAAGAGUCACAAGAAAGGAAAUUACGGGUGCAUAGCAGCUCUUAUUUCACAUACUACUCAUACUGAUCAAAGUCACUCAGUUGGGAUGGGUGGGAGUAGGAGGUUUGUGGGGUGGCUUGUGCGGAGGAGUUGGCAGCUUCUUUCCAGGACCUGGUGGCUUCUCUCCCUUAGGUGGUUUGCCAACUGGGGUUGGUGGCUUGUAUGAGUCUUCAGCAUUCUCUGCAGGAGGGUGACCAGGGUUGUGACCAUAAUGUGGUGGCUUCUCUCCCUUAGGUGGUUUGCCAACUGGGGUUGGUGGCUUGUGUUCUGGGAGUGGCUUCUCCCCCUUGGGAGGUUUUUCCAAUGGGGUUGGUUUGUGUUCAGGAGGUGGCUUCUCCACUGGAGGCUUGUGUUCAGGAGGUGGCUUCUCCACCGGAGGCUUGUGUUCAGGAGGUGGCUUCUCCACCGGAGGCUUAUGCUCUGGUGGUGGCUUCUCCACCGGAGGCUUAUGCUCUGGUGGUGGCUUCUCGAAUGGGGGAUGCUUAGGGUAAUCAGCAAGUGAGGGGGCGGUGAGAACCACCAGGCCAAGCAAGACCACUAGCAAGUAUGUAGGAGACAUCUUUGGGUUUAGACUCAGAUGGUGCAAAACUAGGAGAAUUGUCUUUUAUAGCGGAUCGCACCCAAUAAUGAAAUGACACGUGUCUUUAUGACCCAUGUGUAAUGGGGUCGAUUUGGGUCCUACAGUGUUGAAAACUUCGACAUCCACUUUUGGCCUUUUGCUUUCUCUACAGCCGCCUUGCUUUUUCCCUCUUUCCUUUUGUUUUCCUCCUGCCCCAUUCUAUCAACUAAACACAAUUAUGUAGUUGUUUAAUUCUUAAAUGAGAUAUUAUCCGUCAAUCGUAUCAUAUUUUAUCAACAGAGAACGGAGUGCAAUGUGGCAAUCCAAAGAAAGAAGAUCCAUAAUGCAGCUGUAAUUUUAUCGUUUACUUUUAUCUCUUGGACCACUGCAUUUUUGUUAAGAGGUGCAAUAAUACACGUCUUUAUCUGCCAUUCAAUGUUUACAGUAAAGAGAGGGCACAAAACUCUUCACUGCUCUGCAUGUGUCCCAAAAAUGCAAUUGGACAAAUUAUGAUUUGCAUGCUAAAAAGAGGCAAAUGAGGUUAAUUCGCACCAUAAUUAUUUUGUUUUCUGGACCCCGGGGCCCUUUGGUUGGUUUGGGGGUCAGAAAAUGAACAUCAUAGGGGGUUUUUCCCUUAUGUGCAUUUGUAUCUGAUGGCUUUAACUCGCCUUGUUACUACAAAGAAAUUGUCACAUAUAGGAACUUAUUCCAGGCUGAGUAUCUCCGCAUAGACCCUAUAAAAGAAGACAAGUCAUAAUGAACAUCUAACCUUUGUUCAAUUUGAUUCAAUGCCCCAUUGUGUCCACCUCACAAAUCUGAAUUAUUAUAUCCAUUGAAUACAUAAAUUAAUGAAGAAAAUAUGAAACCCAAGAUACAUCUCUGCACAACCUCAACCCUGGUUGCUAUGUUUCCCUUCUAUUCACAUGAGGAUAUUGAUUACGGAAUAGGGAAACCUAGCAAGGGUUUACUCGGCUCUGGUUUGAUGCUAAUUGCCAAACUUGCAACAAGCCCUGAGUUUGAAGCUCACAGAAGAUGUUAUACAGGCAGGGAAAAACCUUCAGAGUUCGCUGCCAAAGAUAAUUAUUAAGGAGAUAUCACCAAGAGAAUUCCAAGGAGUCUGAAUCAAAGACAAAUUGGUCGUUCGUGGAGGUUCUUACUUUCUUUUGGGUAUAACUCACUGAGGGCACUGUCUUUUUUAUUUUCAUUUCACAUUUAGAGUUCUGUUCUGGAAACAUAUAAAAGGAGCAUCAGUUUGUUCUUGGGUAACCCAUAGUCGUGAGUGGGUCCAUUUGCAUGCUACUUAGUUGAAAAGUUGGACCAUUUGCUCCGACGCCUACCUCCUGGAUUCCAUGCUCGGAUAAAACAAGAAUAAAAAAAUAUUUAUAAUUUACAAAUGGGGGAAAGAAAAAAAUGUCAACAACAAACUAGGAAAAAAGAGUAGUAAAAUUCAUGUCACAUGCUAGUGAGAGAAGGGGUUGUUACACUCACUCGAAGUUCUUUUCAAAAUAUCGCAUGGUAUUUUAUUUUAUGUGUGAGCGCAGUUGUGAAUGGAACGUGCAAAAGUCCAAAUUGGUGACCUUUAAUAAAUAUUUAAAACAAAAAACGAAAAAAAGGAGGGAAAAGGGAUCAGAAAAGAUAAAACAAUGUGUACAAAAGCUCAAUUAGUUUGCAAAUUACUGUUUGGAUUUUGAUAGUAUUUUAUUUGAUGUAAAAGAGAAUUUAAGAUAUUUCCGAAACAAAAGCAUUAGUUUGCUCCAUGUCAAUUUCGGCAUUUCUCAUAUGUUUCACACAUACACAGAAGAGCAUCGUUUUUUAAAGCAUGCAUUUAUGUUGGAUUAAUUUGGAUUUUGUGGGAACUGGGGCAAGGAUCACAUGGAAGAGAGGUUGACUUUUUUCAGUACUUCAAUGGUUGAGACAGGUGAAGGCCUGAUUGAUACUGAAGCCUGAAAUUGCGACUCCGUCAUUUGUCAAAACAUAUGACAGCUUCCAUGCUCUCGUUUGGUUGCAUUGUUCUGUGGUCAUGCAUACAUGCCACUUAGUGAUCAGUCUGUAACUGUCAAUCAUUGGGCUUUGACUGAACAACAUCAGCCAUGUAUAAAUACUUGCAAAUCAAACGGUCUUCUUCCUCCCAUAAGGAAUUUCGGUUUAAUUAUGAAGCAUGCAUUUGGCUGACCAUCAUAAACCACUUCUUUAAAUUGAUGAAUGAUAGUUUUUCAUUCAUUCUUUCAUUCGUUCAUAUACAGAGUAUAUAUAGAGGGUAAUCAUCAUUCUAAGAAUGGGAAAGAAUGAUACAAGGAAAUAAUGAUAUAAAGAAAUAACAACUAAUAUUCUAAUAUCUCAACUUUCCUAAUAUCUAAACAUUCCUAAUAUCUCAACACUAAAUGAUAUAAAGAAAGAAUGAUAUAAGGAAAGCAUUCCUAAUAUCUCAACACUCCUCCUCAAGUUGGUGCAUAGAUGUCAAACAUGUCCAACUUGUCUAAAAAUUUUGAGAACAGUUGACUUGAGACAUCUUUGGUGAGGAUAUCGGUCAAUUGAUCUUCUGAUCGAAUCUUAGGCAAUUCCACAAUCUUAUCAUCCAACUUUUCCUUAAUGAAAAAUCUAUCCAUCUCGACAUGCUUUGUACGAUCAUGUUGUACUAGAUUAUGAGCAAUGUCACAUGCUGCUUUAUUGUCACAAAACAAUCGGAUUGGUUGCCUAGAUAGGUAACCUAAAUCCUAUAAGAGGAGUCUUAGCCAUAAUGCCUCACAAAGUCCUAAAGUCAUACCUCUAAAUUCCGCUUCUGCACUUGAACGAGCGACGACAUUUUGCUUCUUACUUUUCCAUGUCACAAGAUUACCACCUACAAAGGUAAAGUAACCAGAUGUAGAUCGCCUAUCAUCCACUGCACCGACCCAAACAGCAUUAUACUUCUAUACUCUGAUGAUCAACAUUUUUAGCGAACAAAAUUCCCUUCCUAGGAGCAUUCUUCAAAUACCUCAAAAUACGCAUGACUACAUUCAUAUGUUGCUCUCCAGGAUUAUGCAUGUAUUGACUCACUACACUCAAUGUAUAAGCAAGAUCUAGUCUUGUAUGAGCUAAGUACAUUAAUCUCCCCACAAGUCUCUGGUAUCUUCCCUUAUCGAUUGAUACUUGAUUAGGCUCAACACACAAUUUCAGACCUUCUUCUAUUGGUGUAUUAAUAGGUUGACAUCCCGACAUUCCAGUUUCCUGUAGAAGAUCUAAGGCAUACUUUCUUUGAGACAGAAAAAUUCCUUCACUUGAUCGAGAAACUUCAAUCCCAAGAAAGUAUUUCAGACGACCAAGAUCUUUCAUUUCAAAUUCUCUAGAUAGAUACUUUUGCAAAGCUUUUCUUUCUUCAGGAUCAUUUCCUGUAACUACAUGUCAUCCACAUAUAUCAUAAGUGUCGUAAUCUUACCAUGUUGCUUUUUCAAGAACAAAGUGUGAUUUGAAUUACUUUGAUGAUAGCCAAAAGCUCUCAUUGAUUUUGUGAACCUUCCAAACCAUGCUCUCGGGGAUUGCUUCAACCCAUACAAUGACUUCUUCAAUUCGCACACCUUCUGACAUUGCUUUUCUGACACCAUGCAUCCUGGUGGAAGAUCCAUAUAUACUUCUUCAGAUAAAUCGCCAUGCAGAAAGACAUUUUUUACAUCGAACUAUUGUAAUGGCCAAUCUAGGUUUGCAGCUAAAGACAAUAAUACUCGAACUGUGUUGAUCUUAGCUACAGGUGCAAAUGUCUCUGUGUAGUCAAUUCCAUAAGUUUGAAUGUACCCACUAGUCUUGCUUUAAAUCGUUCAAUACUACCAUCUGCCUUGUACUUCACAGUAUAGAUCCAACGACACCCAACUAGCUUCUUUCCUGGUGGACAUUCUACGAGUUCCCAUGUUUCAUUUUUCUGCAAUGAUUUCAUCUCUUCAUUCAUGGUUGCUUUCCACUUUGGAUCAGCUAAAGCUUCCUGCACACUAUUAGGAAUAGCUACAGUAGAUAAUUGAUUUACAAAUGACUUAUUUGAUUCAGACAAACCAUGGUGUGGACCCGCAUUUUUCACGUGCGCCUCUACUCGAUCGGCGAGACUCGCUUUCUAUUUGUGAAAAAUUAAUUUUAGAAAAGUUGGAGUCGCCACCUAUUUUAUUUUUAUUUUGAAGGGAAAAUAAAACAAGAAAGAAAAACCCUAAAAAGUGACUCCAUAGUUUUGGAAAAAGCAUGUCUUUGGGAAACCUGAGUCUAGGUCCGGGGAUCAUGUUACUUAUUGGGAAGGUACCUCUAGGAGGUAGCACCCCUCUAAGCCUUAUGAAGGUCUCUACUAACUAAAUUAAGGGAAGUGUGGCAAUAAAUCGAUUGAUCAUAGAUACCUAAGUAGACUAGGUGAUUUUAAAGUGUGGCAUGUCAAACACAAUCAAAUUGCAAUAAAGGAGAGUUAGGGCGCGUACCUGAACCGCUUCUCAAGCGCUAUCAUAAAACAUCAAUGGUUAAUUUAAAUAAUAUAUCAUCCAGCAUGUAUUUUAUUAGAAAUAAUCAAACAAUGAAACAUGUAUAUCAGAACACUCAAGCAUUAUUAGACAUAAGCAUUAUUUCACUAUUCACAGAAUUCAGAAAGUAGGUGAUAGAGGACAUACCUGGAUAGCAUAGAUAAUUUGUAAUGUGCUUCCUCAAGUUGUAAGGGGUUAGAUAACAAAUAAUAAAAUAUAGAAAUCCUAGCAUGCUCGUUAUCUAAUUAGCAUAGCAAAAGUGAUCACAGUAUACAGAAUCAUCAAUUAUCACAUACAUCUUGUAUAUAAUUCCUAAAAAAAAUAGAUAGACAUGAUUUCAACAAGUGUCAAAUGUGGCAACAAAAAUAAAUUUUGAAAAGAUUUUCUUAUGUAGGGGUUUCACCAAUUCCCCAAAUUAAUAUACACGAAUUUAGCUUAGAAUUAUCCCAUUUAUUUGGGACUACAAGCUUUGAUUCGUGUUUUUGUUCAAAACCAAAAAUUUUUGUUGAAAAUCAAGAAGGAUGCGAACCGAACAAGAUAUGGUUGCAUAUUAUUUUUAAAUAAAUAAAUAAAUAAAUAAAGGAGAUUUUGAUCCUGAGGACUUUAAUGAGUUUUUUUUUUUAAAAUAGAUUUUUAAAAUGAUUUUUUUGAGAAAAGUAUUUUAUUUUAAAAUAAAAGGGAUUAAUUUGGGAAAAAAAUAAAAUAUAAGAAAUAAAAUACCAAACAAAACAAAAAUGAAACCUCAAAGUAAAAUUUUUUUAGUAAUUAACAAAAAUGAUAAUGGUGAUGGUAGAGGGCAAUCUUCAUGAUUUUCCAAUGGCCUCAGAAAGAAAAUCAAAUUAAAUGAAGGAUCACUAACAGGCAAGACAUUCUAAAUUAGACAAACUAACAAAGUAUCAAUUCAUGAACUAACCGCUAGGAUUUUGAAAGCAUAUAAGCUAAGAUAAGGGUGAUCAGGAACUAAUAUUAAUGAUUUUGAAAUAAAAACUAAAAAAAAGGAUCAAUUCGGGUAAGGAACUAAAAUUAUAAAAGUACCUAAACUAAUUAUGACGAGUUUGACUAAAUUAAACUAAAAACAUGAACUUUCAAACAUAGAAUUAAUUUUACUAAUGAACCAAAGCAAACUAAAAAUAUGUACUUUCAAGCAUAGAAUUAAUUUUAUUGAUGAACUAAACUAUAACAAAUAUCUAAACUAAAUAUAAUGAAUCAAAUUAAAUUAAAGCAACUUAAAAACGCAAACUUUCAAACAUAGAAUCAAUUUUAUCAAUGAAUUAAAACUAUAAAUGUAUUUGAACUAAAUAGAUGAAUCAAACUAAAUCAGAGCAAAAUUAAAAAAAAAAAAGAACUUUCUAACAUGAAAUCAAUUUUAUCAACAAAUAAAUGAAUGAAUAACAAGUAAUUAAAAGAAUAGCUACUACAUGAAUAACUGAAUGAAUAAAAUUCAAAUGUUUUCAAUCUGAAGCAAUCAAUCAAAAUUAAAUAGGGAUCAAAUCAAAAUAAUCGAAAUCGGAAAAACAAUAUGCAAUCUUUCUAAAGGUUUAACCAGACAAUUGAAUUAAAAUUAUGAAUAGAAUAAAUUAAUAAACCAAAUCGAAACCUAAAUUGUACCUAAAAAGAUUAAUUAAUUAAACUAAGAAAUCAAAAUCAAUAACAAAACUAAACUAAGGAGUAAAUUAAGACAAGACUAAUUAAAUUAAACUCACAAACACGUUUUAACUAUCAUAUGGAUUAAAACAAAAUUAGCAUGGACUUAUGAAUUACGAACAAAAAUAAUCAAAACUAUUUUAAAAAACUCACCUCUAUUAUAAGAAAAAAUCUGCCUUUGAUGCGUUGAGGUGGCUCCCCUCUCUGUGUGGAUCUCUCUGCUCCCCAGAAAAAAAAUGUCUCUUCCUCCGUUCUCUUUUGUUUCAGCAAAAUAAUAUAUCCCCUGCUGUGGAUCUCUCUACUCCCAGAAAAUAAUAUAUUCUCUCCGUGUCCUAAAGUGGACCUAGGGUGCCUAAGUGGACCUAGGGUGCCUAAAUGGGCCUAGGGUGCCUAAAUGGGCCAAGUGUAUCUAAAUAGGCUUAGGGUGCCUAAGUGGGCCUAAGUCUAAGUGAGCCUAAGUCUAAAUCAAGACUACCAAGGAUCAUAAUAAGGGGUUAGGCAAUCCCUUAACCAAAGUCUCCAAGGUGGCUAAAAAAAAGUAAGUAGUAUGAGUAGCUAUGGGUCACCAAGGAACUACUGUGGAGCAUUGAAAACGAAUUUAAAGACAUGUGCCAAAGGGACAAAAUUGAGGGUCUACAGAUGGUUAGACACAUAGUUGCUCAUGGGAUAUUUGACUUUGGUAAACAAUUCAGAUUCAUAUGUGGGUUUAGGAAUACCUUUAUUAUGACGGUGUGGUAAUCGUUUCAUGAAUGGAUCAGGUUGCAAAUUAAGAACACCCUCAGCAAACAACGAUUGGUUUGGUAUUUCAGUGAAGACAUCUUCGAACCCAAAUUGUUGACCACUCAUAUCCAACUCACCCGCUUCCUGGUUCACUAGUUCAGAUUGUCCAAAUUCAUCAUUCUCAUAGAUAUGAUAAUCAUAAUCGAGAGUCUGAAUUUCCUUAUGGUACUCCCCCUGAAGUUCAGACUUAGAUGAAAAAUACAUCGAAUAUUCAUGAAACAGCNNNNNNNNNNNNNNNNNNNNNNNNNNNNNNNNNNNNNNNNNNNNNNNNNNNNNNNNNNNNNNNNNNNNNNNNNNNNNNNNNNNNNNNNNNNNNNNNNNNNNNNNNNNNNNNNNNNNNNNNNNNNNNNNNNNNNNNNNNNNNNNNNNNNNNNNNNNNNNNNNNNNNNNNNNNNNNNNNNNNNNNNNNNNNNNNNNNNNNNNNNNNNNNNNNNNNNNNNNNNNNNNNNNNNNNNNNNNNNNNNNNNNNNNNNNNNNNNNNNNNNNNNNNNNNNNNNNNNNNNNNNNNNNNNNNNNNNNNNNNNNNNNNNNNNNNNNNNNNNNNNNNNNNNNNNNNNNNNNNNNNNNNNNNNNNNNNNNNNNNNNNNNNNNNNNNNNNNNNNNNNNNNNNNNNNNNNNNNNNNNNNNNNNNNNNNNNNNNNNNNNNNNNNNNNNNNNNNNNNNNNNNNNNNNNNNNNNNNNNNNNNNNNNNNNNNNNNNNNNNNNNNNNNNNNNNNNNNNNNNNNNNNNNNNNNNNNNNNNNNNNNNNNNNNNNNNNNNNNNNNNNNNNNNNNNNNNNNNNNNNNNNNNNNNNNNNNNNNNNNNNNNNNNNNNNNNNNNNNNNNNNNNNNNNNNNNNNNNNNNNNNNNNNNNNNNNNNNNNNNNNNNNNNNNNNNNNNNNNNNNNNNNNNNNNNNNNNNNNNNNNNNNNNNNNNNNNNNNNNNNNNNNNNNNNNNNNNNNNNNNNNNNNNNNNNNNNNNNNNNNNNNNNNNNNNNNNNNNNNNNNNNNNNNNNNNNNNNNNNNNNNNNNNNNNNNNNNNNNNNNNNNNNNNNNNNNNNNNNNNNNNNNNNNNNNNNNNNNNNNNNNNNNNNNNNNNNNNNNNNNNNNNNNNNNNNNNNNNNNNNNNNNNNNNNNNNNNNNNNNNNNNNNNNNNNNNNNNNNNNNNNNNNNNNNNNNNNNNNNNNNNNNNNNNNNNNNNNNNNNNNNNNNNNNNNNNNNNNNNNNNNNNNNNNNNNNNNNNNNNNNNNNNNNNNNNNNNNNNNNNNNNNNNNNNNNNNNNNNNNNNNNNNNNNNNNNNNNNNNNNNNNNNNNNNNNNNNNNNNNNNNNNNNNNNNNNNNNNNNNNNNNNNNNNNNNNNNNNNNNNNNNNNNNNNNNNNNNNNNNNNNNNNNNNNNNNNNNNNNNNNNNNNNNNNNNNNNNNNNNNNNNNNNNNNNNNNNNNNNNNNNNNNNNNNNNNNNNNNNNNNNNNNNNNNNNNNNNNNNNNNNNNNNNNNNNNNNNNNNNNNNNNNNNNNNNNNNNNNNNNNNNNNNNNNNNNNNNNNNNNNNNNNNNNNNNNNNNNNNNNNNNNNNNNNNNNNNNNNNNNNNNNNNNNNNNNNNNNNNNNNNNNNNNNNNNNNNNNNNNNNNNNNNNNNNNNNNNNNNNNNNNNNNNNNNNNNNNNNNNNNNNNNNNNNNNNNNNNNNNNNNNNNNNNNNNNNNNNNNNNNNNNNNNNNNNNNNNNNNNNNNNNNNNNNNNNNNNNNNNNNNNNNNNNNNNNNNNNAACCAAAGGAAGCAUGUUCCAGACGUCGAUGCCACAACCAAAUUUCAGACUUUUUCUUCUCCUCCUUAGAUCCAUCUGCCAUCAAGGCUUGUUGCAACUUAUUUGAAUCCUUUGAUUGCAAGUCCAAGUAUAGAGUUUCCCCCGCUUAAUACGACAACCAAUCGUCUGUCUUGUUUGAAUGUCCUUAAUCACACAAAAUUCAGGCCAAAAAAUGACAAUACAAGAUAAGGCUGCAGUGAUUUGAGAAACUAACAAAAGAUUGUAAUCUAAAGAUGGAACAACUAAAACAGAAUCCAAAUUCAAAGUAUCAGUAAGAGUUAAGGAUCCUUCCCCAAUGACUGGGGUUGUGUUACCAUUGGCUGUGGAAACAAUUUUUUGUGAGGAAGGUCUAAGGGGUGAAACCUGUCUAGAAUCAAAAGUCAUAUGAUCUGUAGCACCAGAAUCAAUUAUCCAUGCACUAUUAAUAACAGGUGUAAAAGUAUUUAAAAACUUACCACAAUGAUCUGUAGCGGCUACUAAUGCAGAGACUUUCUCAACAACAUUAGUCUUUGUUUUUAUUUCGGUAACAGUUGCAAUCAAGGUUUUCUUGGAAUUCUUCUUCCGUUGAUCACGAUUAUUAUCAUUAAUAACAAAGUGUUGAUAGCCUAAACAUGAUCUAAAGGUCCAUGGUGCAAACCCUCGGUUCCUCAUUGUUUUCCUGGUCAUACCAAGAGUUGUUGCUUUGAAAUUGUGGGAUAUCCAGACUGGUGGGAUCAGUUUUAUUGCAGUGAGUGCAUUUGAAUGUUGACUUAUCAAUAUUAGGGCUUGUCUUCGGAUGGUUGAUUGCUGUUGGACUACCAUAGCGACAAAAUAUCCAGGAUUUCAAUUCCAGGGCUCUGAUACCAUCUUCAAAUUGAUGAAUGAUAGUUUUUCAUUCAUUCUUUCAUGUACAGAGUAUAUAUAGAGGGUAAUCACCAUUCUAAGAAUGGGAAAGAAUGAUACGAGGAAAUAAUGAUAUAAGGAAAUAAUAACUAAUAUCCUAAUAUCUCAACUUUCCUAAUAUCUCAAUAUUCCUAAUAUCUCAACUUUCCUAAUAUCUAAACAUUCAUAAUAUCUCAACACUAAAUGAUACAAGGAAAGAAUGAUAUAAGGAAAACAUUCCUAAUAUCUCAACACCACUUCAUGAUAUAUAUAGUUUCUUACCCUUAAUCAAUGGUUUCUAAGUGAAUUUAUAUAGAAAGAAAUCCAAACUGUAGACAGCAGUAUUGGUAACACUCAAUAUUCUGUAUAUAAUAGAAUAAAUAGCGUCACAGUGAUCGUCGCCUACAAGCAAGGUACAAAUACCACAAAGAGUGACCCACAUAGACAUUCCCCAACAAGAUGUAGUAGUGACUGACACAUAGCCACAAUUAACACGUAGAAAAGGAUAAGACCGGUGCACAGUAGCUCUUAUUUUACAUACUACUUAUGCCAACCAAAGUCACUCAGUUGGGAUGGGAGGGAGAUGGAGGUUUGUGCGGUGGCUUGUGGGGCGGAGUUGAUGGCUUCUUUCCAGGAGCUUCUGGCUUUUUCAUCGGAGCUGAAGGAGGCUCAAUCUUAUGAGGCGGCUUGUACGAGUCUUCUUUGCUCUCGAAAGGAGGGUGGCCAGGGUUGUGACCAUAAUGUGGUGGUUUCUCUCCCUUGGGAGGUUUACCAAUUGGGGUUGGUGGCUUGUGUUCUGGGAGUGGUUUCUCUCCCUUGGGAGGUUUAGUGGGUGACUUGUGUUCUGGAGGUGGCUUCUCCACCGAAGGCUUGUGCUCCGGUGGUGGCUUUUUGGUUGGAGGGGGCUUGGGGUAAUCAGCAAGAGAUGGGGUGGUGAGAACCACCAGUCCAAGGAACAACACUAGCAAGUAUGUGGGAGACAUUUUUGAGUUUGGGCUGAUCAGAUGAUGCAAAACUAAAGCAUUACGUGACCUUUUAUAGCAAGUAGCUCCCAAUACCUACUUGACACGUGUUACUGUGACCCAUAAAUAUUAUGGGGUCUAUUUGUGCCCUACCGGGUUGAAAACUUGGACAAUUGGGCAAGGACCCGCCUGACUAUGGAGGACUACUGAGGUGUGAUCACAGCUUUAGGAUUUUUCUUCCUCUGCAGCCGUCUUGCCGUUGGCAUGAUUUUCUUAAUCUCAAAUAAAGGCAUAGUUAUAGAGUUGUUUAAUCUCUAAAUGGGAUUUUAUAUAUCUUCAGAUAGCCAUUAAUACAUUUGAUGAAGAAAGAAAGACAAGUGCAUACAACAUGUAUACGACUAGCUUUCAUGGAGUUCAUUUAUGAUCAGUUUUCCUGUACAUGUAAACCAAGAUCAUAUAUGUUUUUGUUCCACAACAAUUUUGGAAUCUUGUUUAUCCGUUUUUAUCAUUAUAAUGUCACAUAGGCUGCCAACUUGGGCGCUAAAUUAAAGAUCCAGUUGGGCAAGUUCGUUUCAGAAUUUCAAUGGUGGAUUCAGGAAUUGUUUUAUAAGAUAUGCAAAAUAGUAGAGGGAUGAAUAGUGUUUCAUUAAGAAAAGAGCCCUGUAAAAAUAUUGUUUAAAGGUGCCAUAGAAACUAUAAUCAAUAAAUAACUUUUUUUCCCCAUGGGUGGUGUUUCUUGUGGGGAUCAGUGACUGGUUUGAGUCAACGCCGUGUCUCUUUAGUCCAGAAAUCAACUAUUUUAUGCAUUGAAUACAUCAACAAAGAAAAUAUGAAAGCCAAAUGACACCUCCCCCGCAAAAACUAAACCCUGGUUGCUAACUUUCUAUGUUUCAGUUCCAUUCACACAAGAAUAUUAGUUCAAGUUUGAGAAAAAUGGCGACUUACCUAGUGAUAACUCGGUCUUGGUUUGCGAUUUGACUUUAACGUCAUGGGUUGAAGCCUCCUACAAUCAUCGUGUAUGCUAGUUCAAAGCUCGUGGAAGAAGUUAUACAGGGAGGGAGAAACCUCCACAGCAAGCUCCAAAAGAGAAUUAUCACAUUGAAAGCUCCAGUUGAACACUGGGUGAAAGCCAUAACAAGAUUGGUUUUCUAUCGCUCUUUUAAGUAAUGGAAGAUUAUUAUCUCUGCUUGUCACUACAACCGUGCAUGCUGCUAGAUCUUUCUAGACACUUCAAACAGUGAAACCAAGUAUGAUUCUUUUUCUCUUGAGUGGGUCCACUUGCAUGCCAAUGAACGAGUUGAAAAGUUGGACAAUUGGCCACAGCGCGCACUUACCUUCUGGAACCGAAGGUCAGUGAAGUGGGGUUCCUUUUGGCCCCUUGUGUUUCUGUUCCAACCUACUCCAGGAACCGAAGUUCAGUGAAGUGGGGCUACUUUUGGCCUCUUGUGUUUCUGUUCCAACCAAACAAAAAUGGGAGGGAAAAAUAGCAUUAUGCUUGUGCUAAAGAUCAACGCAUGAUAGCUGAAUAAGGGAGAAAAAGGCAUUGCUAUCUCAAUUUCAUAAACUUGAUAAGUAGUGACAUUAAUAGUCUUCCUCAUAGAUGGAUACAUGGUUUUAUUUUAUUUAUUUAUUUUUAUUUUUUUGUUUUAUGUCAAUGCUAAUGAAUGAAGUGCAUUAGCUUGUUUUGUGACUAGAACUACAAAUGUCCAAAUUGGAGCUUCUCCAAUAUAUUUCUCAGUGAGUUAUUGAUUAGAACUCUUGGAUUGAGUUCCAAGAUUUGAAUCAGACCCCUCUAGCAGCUUCAGGGGUACGUAGCAACCUAUAGCAUAUUAAUGAAGACUUAGGAUUUAGACUUAGGAAUACAAAUUAAUAUGUACCUCAUGCUCUGACUAGCUUCCCUGCGUAUGCACAAAAUGGAGAUGACUCCCAAAAAAAUAGCAGAAUCGCCUUAGUAUGUUUUUGUGGUUAAGAUGAUUCUCCACUUUAUAUAUCCACAUUGGUUCAUUAUGCAAAUUAAUCAACUAAGCUAUUUUUAUUUUUUCUUAAAUGUGAAAUAGGAGCUCCAAAUUAACCUAACCAUUGGCCUGAUUGAAUUGAUUUCACUUGCAUAAUGUUAUAGUAGAAGUCCGUAAUUUGAAUUUUAUUUUUGCAAAAGGUAACGUAAAUGAAGCAUUGUAAUUAAAUUUAUUUGUAAUUACAAACUAAUUUUAUUUUAUUAAGAAUUAAUUUAAUUACUCAUUUAAAAUAAAAAUCAGUUAUACUUUUACCAAGAUGAUAAUAUUCAUAUUUUUCUAGUUAACAUAUAUAAAAUAGUACACUUUUUCAUAUAAAAAAAUAAUUUAUGAUUUAUUAUAAUGUUACUAUUCACAUUUUACUAAAUUGAUGGUACAUGAUAGUGAGAGAAGGGGGUGUCACACUCAGCUAAAGUUCUUUUCAAAAUAUUGCAUGGUGUUUAAUUUUAUGUGUCGGCGCGCGUGUGAAUGGAACCUGCAAAAGUCCAAAUUGGCGUUUCUCCAUUUUCCACAUAGGAUGGUGACGUUAAUAGACAAAGAUACAAUAUCUGUAGACAUUGCUUAAAAAUCGAUGUGAAGUAUUAGAAAUUACAGGGCACUGUACUGGGGGAGCGGCUGCCCCGCCAAAGGAGGAAGAAUGUAGCAAUUUCUUCUGUUAGCCAGGCCUUAGGAUUUAUGCAUGGGAUGCCUAAUAACAAACAGAGAAAAUAUACUUUUGGGGAAGGUAUCCAACAACAGACACCAUCAUUCAGAUGGUGGGAAGGUAUCCAACAGAUGCCAUCAUUCAGAUGGUAACAUAUAUAUACAUUUAUUAGUGAGUUUUUUUAAUACCUAUAAAAAAAAAUAUACACUUUGAUAUUGUGGCUGAAUCCAUUACAUACUCAACUAACCUUGCUCAUUAGGGAUUUGACUUAACAAGGGCAACGUUGCAGUACAAGCUCAAAACUUUAUGCAGGUGACAUUACAUUUGGUAAAGAAGAGGAAAAUAACGAAAGCCAUCCAUAAAAGCAAAAUUCCACAUGGGAUGAAAUUCACAAGCUUCAUUUACGAUAGAGUCGCAUCCAGGCAAUUAAUUCCACAUUAGACCGCCUGUUGACAUGUGUACCAAUCUUUUUUCAAAAAAUAUUUAUAAAUAAUUGAUACUCACAAAAAUAAUUUAAUAUUUAUAAAGGAUAAAAAAAUAUUUUCAAAUCUAUAACAAUUUAUAAAAUAUUAAUAAAAAAUUAUCUCUUAAACUUAGUAUAGUUUUAUCAGAUUAAACUUUUAUUUUGAACAAAUAAUUUUAAUCUAAGUUUUAAAUUCUAAAAUUAUUUCCUUAAAAUAAAAUUUUAAAAUUCAACACUUCAAUUGAAAUUGUCUUUUUAAAAAAUAUCUUCUUAUUUUAAUCCUUAUAAACUAUAGUUGAUUGAAAAUACUAUUGAAGUUCUCUCUUAAAAAAAAGUCUUAUUUUAAUCUUCAUAAAUUGCCCUUGAUUUGAAAAUAAAUUUUCAGUUAUCAUAUUUUAAAUAAUAUCUAUAUUUAAAAUACUCUAUUUAAAAAAAAAUGAACUAAUUUUAAUUAUAUUAUAUUUUAUUUUUUUAUAUAUUUUUAAUGAUAAACCAAACAUAGAAAAUCAUUUUUCUAAAUAUUUUAAAAUUUCUAAGCAACCAAACAUAAUCUUCAAAAUAAAAGGAAAAUAAGGAGGGACAUUUGAGAAAUGGCGAUUAAAAAAAAGUGUACAAAAGCUCAAUUAAUUUUCUUCUAGUCUUUUAUAUAAAAAAGUAAAGGAAUUGAAAAGUAUUGAUAUGUAAAUUAAUAUUUGGAUUUUAAUAGUAUUUUAUUUGUCUUUCUCUAUCUCAUGUAAAAGAGAAUUUAAGAUAUUUCCUAAAGCAAAGCAUUAGUUAUCUGCAAUCAGUGGUGAUCAUGCCCCAUGUCAAUUUCGGACCCAUAUCUUAAAACUGUAUAAUUUGCAUUCAAACAUUACUGAUUUCUCAGAUGUUUCAUACUCCACAGAAGAGCAUUGUUUGUGAAAGCAUGCAUUUAUGUUGGAUUUUGGAUGAUGUGGGAACUGGGGCAAGGAUCAUAUGGAAGAGUGGUCGAUUUUGUUCUGUACUUUAACAUUUGAAAUAGGAGAAGCUCGGGCAUUUGUGGGGCUUAAUUGAUUUUGAAGCCUGAAAUUGCGUUUCUGUCAUUUUGUAAAAAAUAUGGCAGAUUCCAUGCUCUCAUAUGUUUGGUCUGUGGCCAUGUAUAGAUGCCCCUUAGUGACCAGUUUGUAACUGUCAAUCAUAGUGUUUUGACUCUGGCUCAACAACAUCAGCCAUUGACGGAUUUUCAUACUUGCAAAUCAAAUAGUCUUCUUCCUCCCUUAGGAAUUUCGGUUUAAAUGUUAUUAAGCAUACAUUUGGCUGACAAUUAUUAACCACUUCAUGAUAUGGUUUCUUACCCUUAAUCAAUGGUUUCUAAGUGAAUAUAUGCAGAAGGAAAUCUGAACUGUAGACAGCAGUAUUGAUAACUCUCAAUAUUCUUUAUAUAAGAGAAUAAACAACGUCAUAGUGAUCGUCGCCUACAAGAAAGGUACAUUUCCCAACAAGAUGUAGUUGUGACUGGUACAUGGACGCAAUUAACUCGUACAAAAGAAUAAGACCAGUGCACGGCAGCUCUUAUUUUACAUGCUAAUUAUGCUAACCAAAGUCACUCAGUUGGGAUGGGAGGGAGAUGGAGGUUUGUGCGGUGGCUUGUGGGGCGGAGUUGGUGGCUUCUUUUCAGGAGCUUGUGGCUUUUUCGGAGCUGAAGGAGGCUCAAUCUUAUGAGGCGGCUUGUACGAGUCUUCUUUACUCUCGACAGGAGGGUGGCCAGGGUUGUGACCAUAAUGUGGUGGCUUCUCUCCCUUAGGUGGCUUGCCAACUGGGGUUGGUGGCUUGUGUUCAGGAAGUGGUUUCUCUCCCUUGGGAGGUUUACCAAUUGGGGUUGGUGGCUUGUGUUCUGGGAGUGGUUUCUCUCCCUUGGGAGGUUUAGUGGGUGACUUGUGUUCUGGAGGUGGCUUCUCCACCGGAGGCUUGUGCUCCGGUGGUGGCUUCUCCACCGGAGGCUUGUGCUCCGGUGGUGGCUUCUUGAUUGGAGGGGGCUUGGGGUAAUCAGCAAGAGAUGGGAUGGUGAGAACCACCACUCCAAGGAACAACACUAGCAAGUAUGUGGGAGACAUUUCUGAGUUUGAGCUGAUCAGAUGAUGCAAAACUAGAAGAAUUACGGGACCUUUUAUAGCAAGUAUCUCCCAAUACCCACAUGACACGUGUUACUAUGACCAUAAAUAUUAUAGGGUCCAUUUGUGCCCUACCGGGUUGAAAACUUGGACGCUUGGCCGAGGACACACCUGACUAUGGAGGACUAUUGACGUGUGAUCACAGCUUUUGGAUUUUUCUUCCUGUGCAGCUGUCUAGCGGUUGGCAUUAUUUUCUUAAUCUUAAAUAAAGGCAUAGUUAUAGAGUUGUUUAAUCUCUAAAUGGGAUUUUAUAUAUCUUCAGAUAGCCAUUAAUAUAUUUGAUGAAGAAAGACAAGUGCAUACAACAUGUAUACGGCUUGCUUCAAUCGAGUACAUUUAUGAUCAGUUUUCCUGUGCAAGUAAACCAGUUUUUUGUUCCACAACUAUUUUGGAAUCUUGUUUAUCAGUUUCUAUCAUUAUAAUGUCACAUAGGCUGCAAACUUGGGCACCCAAAGAUCUAGGUGGGCAAAUUUGUUUCAGACUUUCAAUGGUGGAUUCAGUAAUUGUUAAAAGGUGUUUCUUCAUUAAGGAAAGAGUCCGGUAAAAAUAUUGUUAAAAGGUGUCAUAGAAACUAUAAUAAAUAAAUAACUUCUUUUCCCCAUGGGUGGUGUUUCUUCUGGGGAUCAGUGACUGGUUAGGGUCACCCAAAAUGAGUCCAGAUUAAAAUUGGUUCGAGUCAAAGCAGUCUCUUUUGUCCAGAAAUCAACUAUUUUGCGCAUUGAAUGAAUCGAUAAAGAAAAAAUGAAAGCCAAAUCACACCUCCCCUGCAAAACCUAAACCCCGGUUGCUAACUUUCUAUGUUUCAGUCCUAUUCAUAUAGGAAUAUUGGUUCAAGUUUGAGAAAAAUGGCAACUUACCUAGGGUUUACUUGGUUUUGGUUUGCGACUAUUUACGCAACCAACCAUGAGUUUGACUUUAACGUCAUGGGUUGAAGCCUCCUACAAUCAUGUAUGAUAGUUCAAAGCUCGUGGAAGAAAUUAUACAGGAAGGAAGAAACCUCCAAAGCUAGCUCCAAAAGAGAAUUAUCACAUCGAUAGCUCCAGAGAUUCCCAAGGGAACUGAAUCAAAGACAAGUUCCUCACUUUUUCUUCUUUUGAGGCCAAAUAUGAACCAAGGAUCACACGACCUCAUUCAACUUCAUAAGUUUGAUUUCAUGCAGUUGAACACUGGGUGAAGGCCAUGACAAGAAUUGAUUAAAAAAUUCUACCACUCUUUUAAGUAAUGGAAGAUUAUUAUCUCUGAUUGGCACCACAACAGCACAUGCUGCUAGAUCUUUCUAGACACUCCAUGCAAUGAAAGCACAAUGGAUCUUGUAAUGAUAGAAACUAAGCCAUGCUACAGUACUAGAUGAGGGGGUAAAACUAGUAGACAUCUUUCUAGACACUCCAUGCAAUGAAAGCACAAUGGAUCUUGUAAUGAUAGAAACUAAGCCAUGCUACAGUACUAGAUGAGGUGGUAAAACUAGUAGACAUGGCUGGCAGUUGAUUACUACUCAAAAAGUACUCUUUUAUAGCUUGAAACUAACUGUUUUAAACACUUUUGAGUAGUAGUUAAUACCUUUUAACUUAAUUGGCACAUUAAGGAACCUAGCAAGGGUUACUAAUCAACAUUUGGCAAGUUUUGAUGUUUUUGGUAGCUAUUUGAUCAUUGAAACAAGCCAAGAAUGAGGGGGAAUUUUGUGAAGUCCAUGGCAAUGCAAGUUAAAGCUCAAAUACAUGAAGAAUCCAAGCUUUGGAGCACUUCAUAGCCCUUUGCCAAGCCAAUCAAAGAUGCAAGGAAGAAAACCAAAGGAAGAAAUCCAACAAUCAGCAUUUUGGCAUGGCUAUGUGAAAUUUCGCACACCAUGCGAAACCACAAGAGGCAGCCAAAGAAUUUCGCAUGGUAUGCGAAAUCUUCUUGUGCACUGACUCUGUUAGAUUUUUAUCUUCAGAUAUUUUGUGUAAUUUCCUAGUUUCUCCUUGUAACCAACUUAGAUAUUUUCUUUUAUAUCUUUUUUUAUAUUUUUUAGGUAACAUCAUAUAUAAGAGGAGAGACAUAAGGAGGAUAUGGAUGUUUUUCAUAGAACACUUGUAAAUUUUUGGUAGUAAGAAAUAUACAAAGCUUUUUGCUCUGCCUUACCUUCUCAAGGGAUGAGUGGCUAGGUUUUCUUGGAGUGAGGGAAGCUAGGUGAAGGACCUGAAUGCAAAGGUGGGAGUUUUCCUUACUUUAAAUGAAAGUAGUUGUUAAACAUUAAUGGUUUUUAUUUUAAGGUUUAGCUUUAAAUCCCUGAAAAACACCUUGAAUGGCCAAUACUUGGUAAGCUUUUUAGAUUCUAUGGAUGCUUAUUGCUAGAUCCAUGGAUGUCUAUUAGUUAUCAUUUACGAGCCAUUGGAAGGUGAUUCAAGGUGAGGGUCUUUAGUGUUUGAAGCCAUUAAUGGGAAGCAAUUACCAUUUUUUCAUGAAUCCUUUGGAUCAAAUCUUAAUUGCUAAAUAUAAAACCGGUUUCGAGAGAUAACCACCAUCCUUUAUGUUAUUAUCCCCAACGCGAGGAGAAGAUCCGAAAUCUUCCUUUUUAUCUAAGGAACCCGAUCCUAGUGACCUAAAGCUCCAAGAUACCUUUUCUUUGUAGUUAACUUCAUUUAUUGUUUUUGCUUAACUUAAAAUCAAUCUUUGCAACCACAAUUCCAUUUUCUUUAAAAGCUAAUUUUUAUAAGGAAAAACACCAUUUUAUUUCCUUCACUAAGUCAACUGUACGAUGAAAACCCAUCCCUGUGGACGAUCCUAGAGCCACUAUACUAUGUUAGCUAUGCUACCCUAGUGUGAGGUGAUUUAGGUUUUAUAAAUUUUUUUGAUAACACCCAUCUGAGCCAGAAUCAAAUGGCACGACUGAACCAGGGACGAAUCAAAUGACGCCGCUACCAAGGAUGGUGCCAAAGUACAUUGACAUGACUUUUGGUGAACACUUGUGAUCUUCACCACAAGUUUGGUGAUUUUUCUUUUACUAAUUUUUUUUAUUUUAGCUUAUCUUUUAUUUAGUUUUUAGUUAACCUUAAAUUUUUCCUAGAAUUGUAUUUCUUUUGUUUUCUUUGUUUUUGUUUCAGUGAUCUUUAGUUGUGCAUGCCCUAUUGGAUAAGAGAUAUUGAGGGAAUACUUGUGAAGAUUGAAACUCCUCGAGAAACUGAGUUAGAAGUGUGCUUGAACAUCAUGGAUGUUCCACCUGAAGACCAGAAUAGCCAACAUGGUUAAGAGGAUAAUUUCAACACAUACCGAUCCAUGAGGAACCGCAUACAUCCACCUUGUAUGAGUGCACCGUCAGGCAUAAUGCCUCCCACUGAGCAGCUAGUAAUCUGACCUCACAUUGUGCCACUCCUACCUACUUUCCAUGGGAUGGAGAGUGAGAAUCCCUACUCGCAUAUUAAGGAAUUCGAGGAGGUUUGUAAUACAUUCCAAGAAGGAGGAGCUUCAAUUGACUUGAUGAGGCUCAAGCUAUUUCCUUUCACUUUGAAGGAUAAGGCCAAGAUUUGGCUUAAUUCUUUAAGGCCAAGAAGUAUCCAAACUUGGAUUGAUUUGUAAGCCGAGUUUCUUAAGAAGUUCUUCCCUACCCAUAGGACCAAUGGUUUGAAAAGGCAAAAUUUGAACUUCUCAGUUAAAGAGAAUGAGAAAUUCUAUGAGUGUUGGGAGAGCUACAUGGAAGCUAUUAACGUUUGUCCUCACCAUGGCUUUGACACAUGGCUCUUAGUGAGCUAUUUUUACAAUGGUAUGUCUUCUUCAAUGAAGCAACUCCUAGAAACUAUGUGUGGAGGAGACUUCAUGAGUAAGAAUCCGGAGGAAGCCAUGGACUUUUUGAGUUAUGUGGCUGAAGUUUCAAGAGGAUGGGAUGAACCAAAUGCUAGAGAGGUGGGAAGAAUGAAGUCUCAACCUAAUGCUAAGGGUGAGAUGUAUGUUUUGAAUGAAGACAUUGACAUGAAAGCAAAGGUUGCAGCUAUGGCAAGGAGAUUGGAAGAGCUAGAAAUGAAGAACAUACAAAAAGUGCAAGCCAUUUCUGAGACAUCAAUGAAAGCUAUGCCUUGUUCCAUUUGUCAAUCUUAUAAGCACCUAGUGGAGGAGUGUCCUACAAUUCCAGCAGUGAGAGAGAUGUUUGGUGAUCAAGCAAAUGUUAUUGAUCAAUUCAAGCCUAAUAACAAUGCUUCAUAUGGCAACACCUACAAUUCAAAUUGGAGGAACCAUUCAAAUUUCUCUUGGAAACGAAAGCCACCUCAAUACACACAACCUACUCAAGCACCUUAGCAAUCCUCGAAUCUUGAACAAGCUAUUGUGAACCUUAGCAAGGUUGUGGGAGACUUUGUGGGAGAUCAGAAGUCCAUCAAUGCUCAACUGAAUCGGAGAAUUGACAGUGUGGAGAGUACAUUGAACAAAAGGAUGGAUGAGAUGUAAAAUGAUCUGUCUCAAAAGAUAGACAAUGUCCAAUACGUAAUCUCAAGGCUUACCAACCUCAACACAGUGUAAGAGAAAGGAAAGUUUCCUUCUCAACCUCAUCAAAAUCCUAAGGGUAUCCAUGAAGUAGAGGCUCAAGAGGGAGAAUCUUCAAAGGUGAGGGAAGUCAAAGUAGUUAUCACCUUGAAGAGUGGUAAAGAGGUUGAUCAACCCACAUCCAAGCCAAAGCAUAAUGAAGAGAGUGUAGCAGAAAAAGAAAAGAGAGGAAAAUAAAGGAAUUAGAAUAGAGAAAAAUACAAAGAAAGAUGACCAUGAGUCUAGUGUGGAUGAAGAGCCCGAGAGGAUGGUGAUCAAGGAAGAUAUGAUGAAGAAACACAUGCCUCCACCUUUCCCCUAAGCUUUGCAUGACAAAAAAAGAACCAAUAAUACAUCAGAAAAUUUUGAAGUAUUGAGGCAAGUGAAGGUCAAUAUCCCUUUGCUAGACAUGAUCAAACAAGUGUCGACAUAUGAAAAAUUCUUGAAGGACUUGUGCACUGUAAAGAGAGGGUUGAAUGUGAACAAGAAAGCUUUAUUGACCGAGCAAGUGAGUUCCAUCAUACAGUGCAAGUCCUAGUGAAGUACAAAGAUCCGGGUUGCCGUACCAUCUCAGUGAGUAUUGGAAGGACUUGUGUGGAGAAAGCUUUGUUGGACUUGGGAGCAAGUGUGAAUUUGCUAUCCUACUCUGUCUAUAAGCAGUUGGGAUUUGGAGAGUUGAAGCCAAUAUCCAUCACUCUAUCUCUAGCGGAUAGAUCAAUGAAGAUUCCAAGAGGGAUGAUCGAAGAUGUCCUGGUUCAAGUUAACAAAUUCUACUAUCCAGUAGAUUUUGUUGUUCUUGAUAUGGAUCCGGUUGUCAAAUGAACUAAUUAUGUUCCUAUCAUACUUGGAAGACCCUUCCUAGCUACAUCAAAUGCAAUCAUCAAUUGUAGGAAUGGAGUCAUGCAACUCACAUUUGUCAACAUGACAUUAGAGCUCAACAUCUUCCAUUUGUACAAGAAGCAUAUCCAUCAGGAGGAAAAAGAAGGUCUAGAGGAAGUGUGAAUGAUUGACACUUUAGUGGAAGAGCAUUGUGAUCGAGAAUGCAAAAAGAUUUAGUUGAGAAUUUUGGGGAUCUUGAUGAAAGGUUACUUGAACCCUCAGAUUUGCUUGCUACCCUACUCCAUUGGAAGAGAAGAGAAGAAAUUCUACCCUUAUUCAAUGAGGAGGAGACGCAAAGAGCUGCAAAGGAGAAACCCCCAAAACUUAUUCUUAAGCCACUACCCACAGAGUUGAAGUAUGUAUACUUGGAAGAAGACAAGAAGUGCCCUAUUGUUAUAUCUUCAACUCUUACCAUUCAUCAGGAGGAUUGUCUACUUGAAGUCCUUAGAAGAUGUAAGAAGACAAUAAGGUGGCUAAUUUCUUAUUUGAAAGGGAUCAGCCCUUUAGUCUGCACCCAUCAUAUUUACAUGGAGGAUGAAGCUAAGCUAAUUCAUCAACCUCAGAGAAGGUUGAACCCUCACAUGCAAGAGGUGGUUCGAGCUGAAGUUCUGAAGCUACUUCAGACCAGUAUUAUUUACCCCAUAUCAAAUAGCCCAUGGGUGAGUCCUACUCAAGUUGCGCCAAAGAAGUCUGGGAUCAUGGUGGUGCAAAAUGAUAAGGGAGAAGAUGUCUCUACACGCCUCACUACAGGUUGGAGGGUGUGUAUCAAUUACAGGAGGUUGAAUGCAGUGAUAAGAAAGGACCAUUUCUCAUUGCCCUUUAUUGAUCAGGUGCUUGAGAGGGUCUCUGGGCUUUUUUUUUUAUUGUUUCUUGGAUGGCUACUCCGGGUACUUUCAGAUAGAAAUUGAUGUUGAAAACCAAGAUAAGACCAUUUUCACAUGCCCAUUUGGAACCUAUGCAUAAAGGAGAAUGCCUUUCGGCUUAUGCAAUGCACCCGCAACUUUCCAAAGAUGCAUGUUAAGCAUUUUCAGUGAUAUGGUGGAGCGUAUUAUGGAAGUCUUUAUGGAUGAUAUCACCAUUUAUGGAAGUGCAUUUGAUGAAUGCUUGGUCAACUUAGAAGCUGUUCUGAACCGAUACAUUGAGAAAGACUUAGUGCUUAACUGGGAGAAGUGCCAUUUCAUGGUACACCAAGGGAUUGUCCUUGGGCACAUUAUCUCCAAGCAAGGCAUUGAAGUUGACAAAGCAAAGGUUGAACUCAUUGUUAAGUUGCCAUCCUCAACAAAUGUCAAAGGAGUAAGGCAAUUCUUUGGCCAUGUCGGGUUCUAUAGGAGGUUUAUCAAGGAUUUCUCUAAGCUUGCAAGGCCUCUUUGUGAAAUAUUGGUGAAUGAUGUUAAAUUCAUAUGGGAUGAUGGAUUUGAAAGGAGUUUUGAAGAAUUGAAGCUAUUUUUGACAACCGUACCAAUAGUGAGGGCUCCCAACUGGCAACUGCCCUUUGAAGUAAUGUGUGAUGUCAAUGAUUUUGCUAUAGGAUUUUUUCUUGGGCAAAGAGAAAAUGGAAAACCUUAUGUGAUCUACUAUGCGAGGAAGGCAUUGAAUGAGGCACAAAGAAACUACACAACCACCGAGAAAGAAUUGUUAGCUGUAGUUUUUGCCUUGGAUAAGUUUCGCGCUUACUUGGUGGGGUCCUUCAUCAUGGUUUUUACUGAUCACUUUGCUUUGAAGUAUCUGUUGACUAAGCAAGAUGCUAAAGCAAGGCUGAUUAGAUGGAUUCUCUUACUUCAAGAGUUCAAUCUCCAUAUCAAAGAUAAGAAAGGAGUGGAGAAUGUGGUAGCAGACCACAUUUCAAGGCUAGCUAUCGCACAUAAUUCCCAUGCUUUGCCCAUUAAUGACGAUUUUCUAGAGGGGUCUCUCAUGUUGGUGGAAGUUGUCCCUUGGUACGCUCACAUUGCUAACUACCUGGUCACGGGAAAAGUUCCAAGUGAGUGGAAAGCACAAGAUAAGAAGCACUUCUUUGCAAAAAUUCAUGCCUACUAUUGGGAAGAGCCAUUUCUAUUCAAGUAUUGUAUGGAUCAGAUAAUAAGGAAGUGCGUUCCUGAAGAAGAGCAACAGGGGAUCCUUAGUCAUUACCAUGAAAAUGCAUGUGGAGGCCACUUUGCUUAUCAAAAGACAGCCAUGAGGGUGUUGCAAUCGGGUUUCUGUUGGCCAUCACUUUUCAAAGAUGCCCACACCAUGUGCAAGAGUUGUGAUCGAUGCCAGAGGCUUGGGAAGUUGACACGCAGGAACAUGAUGCCUUUGAACCCCACUUUAAUAGUUGAUAUUUUUUAUGUUUGGGGCACUAACUUCAUGGGACCUUUCCCUAUGUCUUUUGGCUACUCUUACAUCUUGGUAGGAGUAGAUUAUGUUUCUAAGUGGGUUGAGGCAGUCCCAUGCAAACACAAUGACCAUAGAGUGGUUCUCAAGUUUCUUAAAGAGAAUAUCUUCUCAAGAUUUGGGGUGCCCAAAGCCAUAAUUAGUGAUGGGGGUACUCAUUUUUGCAACAAGCCUUUUGAAACUCUCCUAGCCAAGUAUGGGGUGAAGCAUAAGGUAGCUACACCUUACCACCCUCAAACUCAUGGACAAGUUGAGUUAGCAAACAGGGAGAUUAAAAACAUAUUGAUGAAGGUGGUGAACACAAACAGAAAAGAUUGGUCAGUCAAGCUUCUUAAUUCACUAUGGGCAUAUAGAACAACUUACAAGACCAUUCUCGGGAUGUCUCCUUAUCGCCUAGUUUAUGGCAAAGCAUGCCAUCUCCCUGUGGAAUUGGAAUACAAAGCUUGGUGGGCAAUCAAGAAGCUCAACAUGGAUUUGAGCAGAGCUGGGUUGAAGAGGUUCUUAGACCUUAAUGAGAUGGAGAAAUUGAGAAAUGAUGCCUACAUCAAUUCAAAAAUUGCAAAAGAAAAAUUGAAGAGGUGGCAUGAUCAGUUGAUUUCCCGCAAGGAUUUUCAAAAUGGACAAAGAGUCUUACUUUAUGACUCUAAACUCCACAUCUUUCCGGGCAAGCUGAAAUCAAGGUGGAUAGGUCAUUUUACCAUUCACCAAGUGCAUUCAAAUGGAGUAGUGGAACUACUCAACUCCAACAAUAUCGAGAACUUCAAAGUGAAUGGCCACCGUCUCAAGCCCUUUGUGGAGUCUUUUUCUCACAACAAGGAGAAAUUCAUCCUCCUUGAUCCACAUCAAGCUUAACAAGACCAAUUUUCUUGAUGGACUUAGUCUUUCUAAAGACUAUCGAGUCCAUAACUUUUUGUUUUAUUUUUUAUUUGAGAUUUUUUCGGUAUUGUUACUUGUUUUGUUUUUUAUUUUUCGUUUUAAUUUUAUUUGGUUUGAUUUAACUUAGGUUUUUGAUGAUCAAUUACAGGGGGGAUUUCAAAUAGAGGAAAAACCAAGAUAAUUCGCACACCCUACGAAAAUUUCGCAAGGCAUGCGAAAUUUAUGGCUUAUUUUGCAUGGGGUGAAAAUUUUCGUACAUCUUACGAACCAAUUUCGAACACUUUGCGAAAAUAAACCAACCCUGCGAAAUCAUUUCGAUUACUCUACGAAAUUUUCGUAGAGCAUGCGAAAAAUUUAGCACACCAAACACCAUUUCGCAUACUAUGCAAAAACCUAAGGGGUCUGCGAAACCAUUUCGCACCUCCAAAUCCAUUUCGCACAUUGUGCGAAAACCAAGAGGCGCUGUGCGAAAAUGAAAAGUCGCCCUGUCAUCCCUUUUUAAACCCCUCGAGCCCUAAAAUCUCCAUUUCGCAAGCACCCCUGUCCUUGCGAAUCCCUCAUUUUCCUCUACUACCUUGCAACCUCGUCCCUUUCCAUUUGAUAUUGUGCCCCGCGCACAUCUCAUUUCAGAGACUCGCACUCCGCGCCCCCUCAAAGCAUGGACUCGAGACCCACCUUCCAUUUCCGACGUGGCACGGACCCAAGGAGCCCUUUCUGCCCCUUCACUAAGACACACACCAAGGCAGAAAGCCUCCUUUGCUCAAGUGCCUAGUGAUUCUCCAUCUUAGGCCUCAGAGGCCUCGGAGGCCCCGUGGAUUCCACCUUCCGAGGGUAGAGCAGCCAUUGGUCCUUCCUCUUCUACUCCUUAGCGUAGAUACGAGACGAGGAGACCACCUACUACACAAGGGGCGACUACUUCGAGCCUUGAGAAUUCAGUACGAUGCCUUCCUGCCAAGAGGGUCAAGACUUCAGGUCCAAGUGAGUCAUCCAGAGCUUCAUAGCCUAAGCCUCCUGUAGAUUCCAAGGUUCCUACUGACAUAUCACCGGAGUCUAUUAUCAGAAGCCCGAUGCUCAUAGCACCGCCCAUUGAGGGCAACUCAGAUUAUAGAGCGAGAUCUUUCCACUUGGAGCUAUAUUUUGAUCAGGAGGCCAUACGACAGCAGCCUGAGCUCCGAGACUCUUAUGGCUUACUGCAGAGGUACCAUCUUGAGGAACUUAUGACUCCUCGUGAGUUUUUUUAUCCCAGAGUAGCACUAAACUUUUACCAGUCCAUGACUACUCGUGGCGUCCCGAGUCCUACCACGAUUCACUUCACCAUUGAUAGACGUCAUGGUAUCCUCAAGGCCAGACAUAUUACAGAGGCUCUACAAAUUCCUUUCGAGCUAGAGGAUCCAUCUGUUUUUCGCUAAUGGUCCCCAGUAUCUCAGAGGGACAUGGUCCGUAUUUUAUCUAGGGGAACAUCUACAGAUUCGAUCUUUCUACGGAAGGAGCUUCGACCUGGGAUGCUCCUCUUAGAUGUGGUGCUAUGCUCCAACCUCUUUCCCUUACAACAUUCGGUACAUAGGUGAUGAGCUAUUUUGGACGCUUUAUUCCGUAUAUCAGAGGGCUUCUACUUUGGCCCGCACCACUUGAUCAUGGUCUCCCUCAUCCACUUUGAGGAGAAGGUUCAUAGGAAGAAGCUUCAGAGGGUGGACACCAUUCCAUUACUAUUCCUGAGGUUACUUUGCCAGGUCUUGGAGUACAUGGGCUUUCCUACUGAGCCUCGGCUCGAGCUUUGCCGCCUUUGUCGAGAGUGAUCCACUCUCGACAAAUGGAAUUAGUUGGCGGGCUAUUCUGCACCUCCAGGAGCCCCUCCCAUGGUAGCACCUCCAAUGUCCCCACAGGCAAAGUAGGGCGAGCUCCCGGCAAAGACUGUACCACCAAUGCCCACACUUGAGGCUAUUUCUGCUGCUCUGCCUAUGACUCCUACUGUUCCACCAGUUGGUCCUUUUACAUCCGAGCCUUCCAUCACCAUCUCGGCUUCGGAGUUUCGCGCCCUUGUGCAUACCUUUCAGACACUCACCACCACACAUACUCCUCUCUUCUAGCAAAUGGUUGAGAUGUGUGCCCAUCAGGACCGGAAGACUACUAUACUCUGCCAAAUUCAGCAGCACCUAAGACUUUUGCCUCAACCUCAACCUAACCAUCCCAUAUCAUCAGAGCCUCUAGCUCCAACUGAGGAUACUAUUCCACCUGAGAACACUACCACAGUAGAGGUCCGGUUUCCACCACCUUAAGAGGCCACCACAGCUACAUCAGAGGAUGUGUCAUCUCCACUUGAGGCUCCCACUACUUGAUCAUAGGACAUAUCUUUAUCUUAUUGUAUUUACAUAUUAUAUUACUAGAGAUUUGUCCUUGUUUUGAUACUUUAUAUUCUGGGAUUGGAUGUAUUGCCUGAUGAUAUCUCAAUUGUACUUUCUCAUAUUAAUAUAUAGACAUCAAUUUUUUUUAGUAUACUUAGCAUUUUUCUAUUUCCUCUACUCAUUACUCUUUUGUUUUUUUUUACUCAUGUGGUUUCUCUUAUACAACUCAGACUCCAUUUCACUCAGGAGGUACCACUUCCUCCCUUUAUUUUCAAUUGCUCUUGAAAUAUUGAGUGCAAUGUUGAUCUUGGUUGGGGGGAGAGUUGAGGAAGGAAGUUUUGUUAAUAAUGCUAGGUUAAUUUGUUAAUUUAGUUACUUUCUGCUUAAUUUUAAAAGUUUUCACUCUACUUUCCAUGGUUAUUAAGGAAAAAUUCUCAAAAUGAAAUGGGAGAAAUCGAAUUCUUGCAUUUUUACUUGAAUCUUAGAAUUUGUAUCAUGCUUAUUAAAGUUGAUGAAUUAUUGAAACUCCUAUUGAAUUCAACCUUAUUUUUUCCACUUUAAUCUUACCACACACGGUGCACAUUAGGUUCCAGUUAUAAGAUAAAAAACUAUCUCACCCCCUAAACUUAGAAAAAUUUACACUUGGUACCUUUGACAUCGUUUUAAUAGUGUUGGGACACCUUAUAAAAGGCCAAUGAGCCUUUAAAAAAAAAAAAAAAAAAAAAAAGAGAAAGAACAAAGUAUUGCACUUGCCUUGAAACCUGAGCAAGAUCCGAGGGGUAUACAGUGAAAGUCUUUAAAACCUGGUGCCCUAAGCCUUGAUUGGUUGGGAGUCACCGACCUCAAUGCUCGUUAUAAGGGUGAAUAGGUGGAGUUUAACAUAUUGUAGGUGCUUGGGUAUUGAAUUUCAAUCUCAAAAGUCCGGGAAAAAAUCUAAGGAGUUAGUGGUCAAAAGAUCCUUAAAGCUUGAUGCCCUAAACCUUGAUUGGUUGAGAGUCAUUGAUGGAUCCCCGCUACAUGGACAUUUUAGAAAACAAUACCUUUAGCAUUGCACGCCUACAAUGAAAAAAAAAUGUGAAAUAAAAGAGGUGCGUUCUUAGCCUAUUGGAGGUUGGUCAGUUUGCUAAAGUUUGAGAAAUCUAGGUUGGGGGGAGAGAAUAGUCCGACAUACUAUAAUAAAAAACUAAUAACCUUAACACUUAGAUUUUUGUGGAAGAGUAAGGAUUGGACCUUUAGGGGUGGAAAUUCUUUUGAUGCUUAAAUUUGCAUAAUGCCUACUCUUUAUAAAUUAUGAUUAGGCAAGAGAUUUGAUGACUCUUGUUCAAAGUUGGGUUUUUCCUCUUUGAUGUUCCAUGAGAGAGUAUAAUCCUCAUCAUGCCACUUGAAAUCUUUUUGGAGUGAUUAACAUGAUUUUGUAAAUUAUUUUACUGUCUAUUUUUCUUUAUCUCUCUUUUAUUGCUAAUGGACUAGCAAUAUGUCAGUUGGGGGGAGUGAUUACUACUCAAAAAGUACUCUUUUAUAGCUUGAAACUAACUGUUUUAAACACUUUUGAGUAGGUGUUAAUACAUUUUAACUCAAUUGGCACAUUAAGGAACCUAACAAGGGUUACUAAUAAGUUUUUGGCAAGUUUUGGUGUUUUUGGUAGCUAUUUGAUCAUUGAAACAAGCCAAGAAUGAGGGAGAAUUUUGUGAAGUCCAUAGCAAUGCAAGUUAAAGCUCAAAUACAUGAAGAAUCCAAGCUUUGAAGCACUUCAUAGCCCUUUGCGAAGCCAAUCAGAGAUGCAAGGAAGAAAACCAGAGGAAAAAAUCCAACAACCAGCAUUUUCGCAUGGCUGUGCGAAAUUUUGCACACCAUGCGAAACCACAAGAAGUAGCCAAAGAAUUUUGCACACCAUGCGAAAUUUCGCAUGGUAUACGAAAUCUUCCUAUGCACCAACUCCGUUAUAUUUUUAUCUUCAGAUAUUUUGUGUAAUUUCCUAGUUUCUCCUUGUAACCAACCUAGAUAUUUUCUUUUAUAUCUUUUUUUUAUAUUUUUUAGGUAACAUCAUAUAUAGGGGGAGAGACAUAAGGAGGAUAUGGAUGUUUUUCAUAAAACACUUUUAAUUUUCUGGUAGUAAGAAAUAUACAAAGUUUUUUGCUCUGCCUUACCUUCUCAUUUUGUUUUCACCUAUCUUUCUAGCCAAACAACCUCUGAGAAUGAUUUCUCAGGGGAUGAGUAGUUAGGUUUUACGUUUCUUGGAGUGAGAGAAGCUAGGUGAAAGACCCAAAUGCUAAGGUGGGAGUUGUCCUUGCUUUAAAUGAAAGUAGUUGUUAAAUAUUAAUGGUUUUUAUUUUAAGGUUUAGCUUUAAAUCCCUUAAAAACACCUUGAAUGGCCAAUACUUGGUAAGCUUUUCGGAUUCUAUGGAUGCUUAUUGCUAGAUCCAUGGAUGUCAUUAGUUAUCAUUUAUGAGCCAUUGGAAGGUGGUUCAAGAUGAGAGUCUUUAGUGUUUGAAGCCAUUAAUGGGAAACAAUUACCAUUUUUUCAUGAAUCCUUUGGAUAAAAUCUUAAUUGCUAAAUAUAAAACUGGUUCGGGAGAUAACCAUCCUUUAUGUUAUUAUGCCCAAUGCAAGGAGAAGAUUUCGAAUCUUCUCAUUUGUCUAAGGAACCCGAUCCUAGUGACCUAAAGCUCCUAGAGACCUUUUCUUUGUAGUUAACUUCAUUUAUUGUUUUUGCUUAACUUAAAAUCAAUCUUUGCAACCACAAUUCCAUUUUCUUUAAAAGCUAAUUUUUAUAAGGAAAAGCACCAUUUUAUUUCCUUCACUAAGUCAACUGUAUGAUGAAAACCCAUCCCUGUGGACGAUCUUAGAGCCACUAUACUAUGUUAUCUAUGCUAUCCUAGUGUGAGGUGAUUUAGGUUUUAUAAAUUUUGUUGAUAACACCCGUCUGAGCCAGAAUCAAAUGGAACCACUGAACCAGGGACAAAUCAACAGCCUAUAUGGGAGGGACACAAGUUUAAUUGAUUUGCAUUUCAGCGUUAUAGAUAAGUAUGUUUUGGAAGAUUUGUUCUGGAAAUACUGCACCAAGUACGAUUCUUUUUCUCUUGAGUGAGUCCAUUUGCAUGCCAAUUAACGAGUUGAAAAGUAGGAGCACCUACCUCGUGCUCAUGGAACCGAAUGUCAGUGAAGUGGGGCUCCUUUUAGCCUCUUGUGUUUCUGUUCCAACCAAGGCGGCGUAGGGAAAAACAACAAUAUGUCUGUGCUAAAUAUCAACGCAUGAUAGAUGUUUUUUUUUUUUUUUUUGGUAUGUCAAGGCUAACGAAUGAAAUGCAUUAGCUUGUUUUGUGACUAUAACUGCAAAUGUCCAAAUUGGAGUAUCUCCAUUUCUCACUUCGGAUGGUUAACUUUAUAAACAAGAUAUAGGAAACAUGUGAACAUCUUGAGGAACAAUUCAAAUUAUUCAUUAGAAGUCCUGGGUUAAGUUCCAAGAUUUAAAUCAGACCCUUCUAGCAGCUUCAAGGGUACUUAGCAACCUAUAACAUAUUAAUGAAGAUUUAGGAUUUAGACUCCGGAAUACAAAUAAAUAUGUAUCUCAUGCUUUGACUAGCUUCCCUACAUAUGCAUAAAAUGGAGAUGACCCAAAAAAAAUAGCAGAAUCUAGCUUCCCUACAUAUGCACAAAAUGGAGAUGACCCAAAAAAUAGCAUAAUCGCCUUAGUUUCUGUGGUUAAGGUGAUUCUCCGCUUAAUAUCCACAUUGACUCAUUAUGCAAAAUCAACUGAGCUAAUUUUAUUUAUUUAUUUAAUGUCAAAUAGGAACUCCUAAUUAACUGAUUACUGUCGAAAAGUGCUAUUUUGUAGACCUAAUUAUAAGGGUUUUAAGCACCUUUGAGUAGUAAUCAUAUUCAUUUAACCUAAUUAAUUCAUUAAGCUCCUUAGUAAUUAGUUCUAACCAUUUUUAGUGGCAAGUUUACAUGUUUUUCAUCAGCUUAUGAACCAAUUCAAGCAUGCCAAUUGAUGGAGGAGCUACUUGGGCGAGUUAAGCAAGGAUUUUGGACGUUUACAGGCUUGAAUUUCAAGUGGAAACACGAGCACAAGCAAUGGGAACACCAUUUCGCAAGGGGAGGCAAUUCACCUUGCCAAAUGACCAAUUUCGCAAGGGGAUUUUCCUCAUGGUGCAAAAUUUGGUCAUUUCGCACCAUGAAGAAACCACCUUGCAAAAUUUCGCAAGGUGGAUUUAGGCACCUUGCGAAAUGCCAAAUUUCACAAGGUGGCUUUUCACCUUGCGAAAUUUGGACCUUUCAUCUUCCCCCCUUGCGAAAUGCCUUUGAAAUCCCCUGUUUUGAGACGCUGUUGAUGAUAUUCCACUGCCGGUUCUCCAAGAUAUUUUGCUUGACUUUUAGCUUUAUAAAUACCUAUUUUACCCUUGUAAUCAACCAAUGAAAAGGUUGCUUUUGUAAUAGCUCUUGUAAUUUAGCUUUUUAUUGUCUUUAAAUAGAGGUGAAGAGCCUCAGACACGAUCAUCUUGUAACCUGUAACUUUAUAAGUUAUAAGAGCACUUUUGUUCAUACGCUUCUUUUCUCUUUUCUUUCUCAUUUUCUUAGUAGCCAAACAUCCUUGGAGGAUGAAAUCCCCAAGGAUGAGAGGCUAAAACCUUUUAGUUUCUUGAAGUAAUGGAUGCCAUGUGAAGCUCCCGUGUCAGGAUGGAGAUUUCCAAGCCAUAAAUGUAAGUAGCUGAGCGUCAUAAAUGUUUUCAUUCAAAGUAAAGCUUUUAAUCCCUCUGACUUGCUUUGAAUGGCCAAUACUUGAUAACCUUUUGGUCUCAAUGGAUUCUUAUUGUUAGAUCCACUGACGUUCAUUAGUUAUCUCCUACGAGCCAUUGUAUUGCAAGUCGAGGAGAUGACCUAUACCAAUAAAAGAGCAUUUAUGAGGUUCAACUACCCUUUUUGUAAGUUUUCAAGGACUAAAACUCAGUUGUUAAACUCAUACCGGUUCGAGAAGUAAGCAUCACCUUAGUUGCUUCCCCAACUCGAGGUGAAAAGUCCCAAAAUCUCCAUUUUUACACAGUGAGUUAAGCAUGGCUAUCCAAAGCUUUAAGAAACUUCUUUUUCCAUCUUUUAACCUAUUUUCAUGUUAGUUUAGUUUACAACACCUUCAUCUUUUUAUGUUUUCAUCUUAACCUAAUUUUUAUUAAGAAAAGUUCACUCCAUCCUCCGAACUUCACCAGUUAAAGUAAAAACCCUUCCCAGUGUUCGAUCCUAGAGCCACUAUGCUAUAGUAGCUUUGCUACUUUAGUGUAAGGACCUUAGGUAUAAAUUUUGUUGAUACCCUUACAUGCCAAGCUACCAAGAGUCGGGUUAUCAUUAACCUAACCAUUGGCCUGUGUAAAUUGAUUUCACAUGCACAAUGUUGUAGUAGAAGUCCAUAUUUUGAAUUUUAUUUUUGUAAAGGUAAGGAAAAUGAAGCAUUGUGUAAUUAUAAAAAUAACUUCAUUGGAAUUCACAAGGUUCACCCAAAAUGGAGCUACAUCUGUAUUCUAUCCUACAGUAGACUAUAUAGAUUGUACAAUAGUAAAUUGCAAAUACAAUUAAUAAGUCUUGUGCUUCCUUACUAAUAAUCCUUUGACAUGAACAUUGCAGCACUAAGGUCCUCUUGGGAAGACACCUUGCACCCAUGAGAGCACUAAGAGGAAGCAAGGCAGAGUCAUGGGUGCAAUGUCAUGACUUGUUGUUGCACCAAGAGAGGCUUGGUGAUGCCAUGGUGUUGCAGUAGCAAGAAUGUUGCCUUGGCAGGGACACGAUCUAGGGAUAGAUGCCAAGAAAGGCUUAGCACUCACAUGAGUUGCACAAAGAUGAAUGUAAUAGAGCAUCAGAGAGACGUCUUGGCAAGUAAAUGAAUGGAUCCAAGAGACAACAACAUGAGGAGUUUCAAAUGGAUAAGGAAUGACUCAAAGACAUUUGAAAGCUACAAGUUGGAUUCUAAUUACGAUUGCAAUUUGAGUUUGAGUAGGAGUUUAGAUUUUGAUUGUAAUUGUAGUAUGAGUUGGACUAGGAUUGCUUAUCCUUAGUCAAUAUAGGAGCGGUUCGUGUCACCCUAUGAAAAGAGUUUGAGUAGGGACUAGGAUUGCUUACUCCUAGUCAAAUAUGGAGUAGGUGGUGCCACACCUAUAAAAAAAAGGGACAACAUGAGAGAGAGAGAGAGAGAGAAAGAGAGAGUGAAUUCACUAAAGAUAUUGUGGGAGUUUUGCUUUGUUACGUCUUGUAUUAUUACUUAGAAUAGGAAUAAAAUACAAGUUGGGGCUAGAGCCCCAUAAUUAAUCUCGUGUGCCUUUGUGGUUAUUCUUUAUUUGUCAUCUCGUGUGGAUUGGAUUAGGUUGACUUAGAGGGCUUCUAAGCACCACCUUUGUGGGUUAUUAUUUAUUUUCCAUCUCUUGUGGAUUAGAUUAGGUUGACUUAGAGGGCUUCUGAGCACCACCUUUGUGGGUUAUUAUUUAUUUUCCAUCUAUUGUGGAUUAGAUUAGGUUGACUUAGAGGGCUUUUAAGCACCACAUUUGUGGGUUAUUCUUUAUUUUCCAUAUCGUGUGGGUUGGAUUAGGUUGACAAGGAGAAAAAUUAUGUGGGAAAUUUGUGUUGGGACACUUACCAUAACCAAGUAAAAUCUACCAAGUCCUUUGUAAUAUCUUCAACAAAUAUUUUAGACUAGUUCUUUCAGUUAGUGUAAAGGAGGAAGAAGUGGUAUUGAUUCUAGAAAUAGGGUGUGUGUAUUUGAACUACAAUCCUUAUGAUCCUUAGGUCUCUAAACCUUCGUGAUGGGCUCCCUGACAUUUCAUAGGUUGUGCUACACAUGCGUUUGAAAUUUAGAGUGCGUUUGACAGUGAUUCCGGGAAGUGUUUUUGGCCUUUCUUACACUUGAAAAUUUUUAUUUUUCAAGUAUUAGAAAUGCUACAAACACUUUUGAAAAUUACUGUCAAACACACUCUUAGGAGCGCACAUAUAUAGUAGAAAACUAGAAAUUGUGGUUUUUUUAGGAUUUACUGUAAUGUCAUUAGGAGGGUAGUAAGUUGAAAUUGAGUAUGAACAAAUAUUUCUUUCUUUGGGAUGUUCUUCUAGUAGGUGCUGAUGAAACUGUUCUUUCUACUGCCAAUGUCACAUAUCAGCCAGAAAUUGAAAAUUUCAGUCAAGGUGUCCUCUGUUUUAGUGGUGAGGAAAGCUAGAAAUUUUAAGGUGAAGUUUUGUUAAAAACCUUAAGUAGCUGGGAUAUCAGGCCUGUUUUGCUUGAAAAAAAAAGUUGCAAGAUAACUCAUAUGCCAAACAGGUUCUGAUAUUGUGAAUCUAUCGGCAGACAUCAGUAAUCUCAUCUUCUGAGAUGGAUGUUGGGGGUGCAUGUGGUGGUGGAGGGGCAAGGUUUCAUUUGGUUUAUUUUGUUGAUGGAUAUUGUCUAGCCACCUGCGCCAAGUUUGAGGGGUGGUGGGUUGUGAUGACCCUACAAUUACUAUUAAUUUCUUCAUCUUUUACCGAUUAAAGUGUCCGAACAGUCGAAGUUACCCUUAUGCAUGUCAACUUGAUCACUUACCUCUUCAAUGGAGUUUAUGCUGGUUCAUUUAGGAACUGAUUUUUAUUGUUAUGUAUUAUAUGCUGAUGUUUAGGUCUCUCCAUCAUCACUAUAUACAAAAAUUCUAGGUUGAUACUAUAGGUUGAGAUUUAUUUUUUAAAUAAAAAAUAAUAAAAAUAAAAAUUAUGGUGAUGUUUAGUUGUUUUAUGGAAAAUUUUAACAAGUAAAAGUUAUUUUUGGGCAAGUUUUCAAACAAAAAGAAAAGUAAAAGUUGUUUUGACAAAAACAUAUAGAAAAAAAAAUCAUAGAAAAUAAAUAAUUUCCCCAUAUUCUAACUUUUUUGAAUUUUUCUCAAUGGGCAAAGGAAUAUCAAAUCAAGUUUGAGUAGGAUUUCUUAAUUUUUAAAAUAACUUACAAUUAAAAAAUUUUGGUGUUUUCAUUUUUGGACAAUUUUUUAUUAAGCAAAUGGACUCUGAGUCAUGCAAGAGAUAUGGUUCAUUAACCGGUCGAACAAUUUUUUUAAAUUAAUUUAAAAGUCAAAUACAUAAUCAAUUUCACAAAAUUUAUAAACAAAAAUAGGUUUAGAGAAGAUCUACACAUAAUUUUACUUUUCUAAUUUUAUUUUAUUUUAUUUUUUGUUGGAAAAUAGUCUUCAAAUCAUGUAAGAUUUAAUAGGUUAAAUUUGUUAACAAUAAAUUUUAAAUUAUAAAAUAUAAUCUGGAACUCAAAAAUCAAUUCAAGUAAUGCUAAAAAAAAAUCAAAUUUGGUAUAGAAUGACUUUGUAAAUUUUUUUACAAAACAAAUGAAUUUUAAAUCAAGUGAGAUUUAAUGCAUUAGAUUUUUAUCAAAUAUAGUAAUUUUAAAAAUAAAUUUGGAACUCAACAAUAGACACAAUAAAUACCAAAAAAUAAUGAACCAAAAUUGGUUUGGAAUAACUCCACAACCUUUUUUUUUUUUUUUUGGUGCACACGAAUUUUCUUACUAGGUAUAUUGCUUUCAAAUUGAGAAAGAUUUACCAUUUAGAUUUUUUUUUAAUGAGUUUAAUGGUAUUUUAAAAUAAUUCAAAAUUUAAAAAAUUGACUAAUUAAUAUUAUAAAUUGAUAAACCAAGACUAUUUCAAAAUGCAUUGGGGGCUAAGGGGGUUGAAAAUAGGGACAAUGGGAUGGGUUUGGGACAUGACACUCAUAUCUCAUUUCCAUUCCAAUUACACAGUUAUCUCCCAUCCUUAUCCCAAACUUGUGUUGGAGCAAGUUGAUUUGUUCCCAUCUUUGUUGACGAAAUGACUAAUAACCUCAUCCCCUCCUUAUCUUAGAUGUACAUUUUGUCAAAUUUGAUCAGGUAUGAUUGAUCCAAGCCCUAACCCUAAUUGGUAAUGAGUGAAUACUACACCUAAUUGCAUUCUUCUUUCAUUGCAAAAUAAUGAGAUUAUAAUAAUCUAGCAAAUAAGAAAAAAUAGUAUGGAAGUUCAAAUUAACACCAUAACUAUCAAUAAUUUUAAGCUUAUAGAUGACUUAAAUGAUUAAAAACUAAUGCAAAAUCCUAAAAAAAAUAAAAAUCAUAUAAAGAAUUCACAAGAGAACAGAAUGAACAAAAACCAAAUAUGAACAUGGGUCAACAUUAGUUAUGGAUUUGGAUUCCUUUCAAGGCCAAUCUUUGAACCAAGACUUCAUCAAAUCAACUACUUCAAAGGCUUUUGUGUUCUUCUUGGGUUGUGCUCUCAAACAAAGACUUCGAGGUGAUGUUCUAGAUGAUUGAAUUACACAUAUUUAGGGUGGAGAGAUUGGAGAAGCUUGAAGAUGCCAACGAUGGGUACAAUUGAGUGGUCAAUAAGAACAAUGUAGCCUAUGACUAGUUUGAUGUCAUGGUACAAGAGUUUUAGGCAUUGAGGUUAAAGCAAGAGCAACAUGGAAUUGAUUUCGGAGUCUUUCAGUUAGUGUAAAGGAGGAAGAAGUGGUGUUGAUUCUAGAAAUAGGGUUUUAAGUGGUGCGUGAUUACUACUCAAAAAGUGCUAUUUGAUAGCCUUUAAUUAAUCCUUUUUAACACUUUUGAGUAGUAGUUUAGGCCUUUUAACUCAAUUGGCAUGUUAAGGAUCCUUUAAAGCAAUUUUGAUCACUUUGUGCAAGUUUUGGUGUUUUUGUUAGUAUUUUGAUCACCAAAGCAAGUCAAGAAUGAGGAGAACUAUGAGGAAUCAUGGGCAAAGCUUAGAAUUCAAUUGCCAAGAGUGAAUCCGGAUUGCAAGGAGAAAAAGCAAAGAGAAUCUGUCAUGAAGCCUAUUCUUGAUGACAGUCGUAGCAGCCACUUUUGGAGCACUUUCUGAAGUCCAAAUGAUGCAAGCUAUAUACCAUUUCAAAGAUCAGGAAGUCAACAAUCCAAUGCUUCAAACGGUGCGCGAUUCGGAGUUGAAACGAAGAAGUUGCAGCCAUUACAAGCCAGUCACUCUAAAGUGUUGCGGAAUCAGCCUUUUGUUGCGAGAAUUUCGCAGCACUUUUGUACAGUAAGGUGUUUCUCCUUCUGACGAUGCACGAACCAUGCCGCGAGAGGGAAGCUAGGAACUUCAAGAUGGAAGCCAACUUUGCAGCCUGGUGAAGAUAGCUUGGUCUUGCGAAAUAAUUUCGCAGCCCUCUUGGGUGUCUGCGAAAUUUCGCAGGCACCACUUUUUUCCUGCGAAAUGGCUCCGGAAGCCUCCCGAAGCUUGCUACCGACAUUGGGAGAUAUUUUCCAUUAGAUUUUUGUUGUCUAAAUUCCAAAAUACUCCUUGUAAACCACCAAUUACAUGAUUCCUUAGUUUUUAAGUUAGUAAAAAGACCAAAUAUCUAUGUAAUAAUUAGUUUUAUAUUAGUUUGCUAUAAAUACCUCUCGGGAGCAUGUUCUCAGAGAGGAGUUCCUUCUGUAACCAUUUUGGUAAGCAAGUAAAGUCUUUUCUUUCUACUGCCUUACCUUCUCACUUUGUAUUUUCAUUUUAUUUCUAAGUUAUGAAUUCUCUGAGGAGCUUUCCCCAGAGAAUGAGUAACUAAACCUCCAAUUCCUUGGAGCUAAGGUUGCCGGGGAAGGUUCCAAGUGCAAGAAUGCAAAGCUCUGUGGUUUUAGCUAGUAAUGAAGAGGAAGUGAAAUCCUUUAGUGAUUUCAAUGUUUUUAGUUAACUUAAAACACCUUGGAGUCACCUGGGCCAACACUUGGUAAGGCAAGUGAUUUCCAACCGUGGAAAUGCACUAGUUUACCCCUUGCGAGCCUCUGGUAGGUGACUUCAAGGUAGGAUUUUCUGGAAUUACCAACACUUGGUAAGCUUUUGGACUCCUAGGAGACAUCCAUUAGUUAUCUCUUGCGAGUUUGUGAAGGGGAAUCCAAGGUUAAAGAUCACCUUGAAUGGUAAGUGCUCGUGAGAGGCAUGAACCAUUGCAAGUUGUAUCAGUGAGAGAAUUAAAGUGAAAUCUAAUUGAAGGAGUCUCUGUACAUCACCGGUUAGAGAAUUGACUAUAAGUUGAAUCUCUAAUGCGAGGAAAUGAACCAUCUGACCGGAGCUAUGUCUUUUGCAUGAGGAACCACCCCAGUGAACCUAAAUCUCCAAGGAAUGCUUUUCUUCCUAAAUUAUUCCAAACUUCUGUUAAGUUAGUUAGUUUAAGUCUAAACCUUUACCAAUCAAACUUUGUGUUUUAUUUCUUAAGCUAACCGUGAAAUGAAACAAAACCAAUUCACUUGGAAUUGGUAUCCUUGAUUGCUUGCAAAUCAUUCCCAGUGAACGAUCCUUAGAGCCACUAUACUAUAGUAGCUUUGUAUUUGCUACCCUAGUGUAUGGUGUUAUAGGUAUAAAUUUUGUUGAUCACUUCCUCAAUCAAGGAACACCAGCUGAACACAAAUCAGCUGAGACACCAAUUGGGCAUGAGUCAAAUGGCGCCGUUGCCGGGGAAUGAGUGUCAAGAUCAUUGUGAUACCAUUUUUGAGCACUUGUGAUUUUCAUCACAAGUUGGUAAAGUUUCUUUCACUUUACUAAUUUUCAUUCUCUCUUUGUUUAUUUACAAUCUAAGUUUAUCUUUUUAAAAUUUAGUCUAGUUUAAUUUUGCUAUUGUAGCCUUGUUUCUCUUGUUGUCCUCUGUUCUUGUUGUCCUCUGUUUUCAUUUUAGUUGCAGCUGAAUACUAGUUGUGUAUGCCAAAGUGGAUACGAGACAUUGGAGGUAGGCUUAUUAAGUGUGAUACACCUCAGAGAGGAGAAUUGGAAGUAAUCUUGAAUAUCAUGGAGGCUGCACCUGAAGAUCAGCAUAGUCACCAAGGUCGUCAAGACAAUCUCAAUGAAUUCAGAUCAAUGAGGGACCGUAUGCAUCCACCUCGUAUGAGUGCACCAUCAUGUAUAGUGCCCCCUACAGAGCAACUAGUGAUCAGACCAUAUCUUGUUCCACUUCUACCAACUUUCCAUGGGAUGGAAAGUGAGAAUCCGUAUGCACACAUCAAGGAAUUUGAAGAUGUUUGUAAUACAUUCCAAGAGGGAGGAGCUUCAAUUGAUUUGAUGAGGCUUAAGUUAUUUCCUUUUAAUUUAAAGGAUAAGGCCAAAAUUUGGCUUAAUUCUUUAAGGCCAAGGAGUAUCCGCUCUUGGACUGAUUUACAAGCUGAAUUCCUCAAGAAAUUUUUUCCUACUCAUAGAACAAAUGGCUUGAAAAGGCAAAUUUCAAACUUCUCAGCUAAAGAGAAUGAGAAAUUCUAUGAGUGUUGGGAAAGAUACAUGGAAGCUAUAAAUGCUUGUCCUCACCAUGGCUUUGAUACUUGGCUACUGGUGAGUUAUUUUUAUGAUGGUAUGUCCUCCUCAAUGAAGCAACUCCUCGAGAAAAUGUGUGGAGAAGAUUUCAUGAGCAAAAAUCCAGAGGAAGCUAUGGAUUUCUUGAGCUAUGUAGCUGAUGUUUCAAGGGGAUGGGAUGAACCAACUAAAGGAGAAGUGGGAAAGAUGAAGUCUCAGUUGAAUGCUUACAAUGCAAAGGCUGGGAUGUAUACUUUAAAAGAGGAUGAUGACAUGAAAGCAAAGUUGGCAGCUAUGACAAGAAGAUUGGAGGAGCUGGAGCUGAAAAGAAUGCAUGAAGUGCAAGCUGUUGCUGAAGCACCAGUGCAAGUGAAGUUGUGUCCCAAUUGUCAAUCGUUUGAACAUUUGGUAGAGGAAUGCCCUGCAAUUUCAGCUGAAAGGGAAAUGUAUAGAGAUCAAGCAAAUGUUGUUGGACAAUUCAGGCCCAAUAACAAUGCUCCUUAUGGAAAUACCUACAAUUCAAGUUGGAGGAAUCAUCCAAAUUUUUCAUGGAAGGCCAGAGCAACUCAAUACCAACAGCCGGAUCCACCAUCUCAACAAUCUUCAAGUAUUGAACAAAUAAUAGCUAAUCUCAGCAAGGUAGUGGGAGAUUUUGUGGGAAAGCAAGAAGCCACCAAUGCUCGAGUGGAUCAAAGAAUGGACAGAGUGGAUCAAAGAAUGGACAGAAUGGAGAGUAUGUUGAACAAAAGAAUGGAUGGAAUGCAAAAUGAUAUGAAUCAAAAAUUUGAUAACAUCCAAUAUUCAAUUUCAAGGCUUACAAAUUUGAAUACACUGCAAGAAAAGGGAAGAUUUCCUUCUCAACCUAACCAAAAUCCCAAAGGUGUCCAUGAAGUGGAAAGCCAUGAGGGAGAAUCAUCACAGGUGAAAGAUGUGAAAGCUUUGAUCACUCUAAGGAGUGGUAAGAAAAUUGAGCAGCCAACACCCAAGCCACAUGUUGAGAAAGAAGAAGAGAUGAAGAAAGGGAAGGAAAUGGAAGAUAAAGGCAGUGAGAUCAGUGAAGAAAAGAAGGACUCUGAUGCAACAAUGAAAGUAAUUCCAGAGAAGGAGCUUCUGAAGGAAGAAAUGCUGAAGAAAUCAACUUUUCCACCUUUUCCUCAAGCAUUACAGGGGAAAAAGGGGGUUAGAAAUGCAGCUGAAAUCCUAGAAGUAUUGAGGCAAGUGAAAGUUAAUAUUCCACUGCUGGAUAUGAUCAAACAAGUUCCAACGUAUGCAAAAUUCCUAAAGGACUUGUGUACUAUCAAAAGAGGGUUGACUGUAAACAAGAAAGCCUUCUUGACUGAGCAAGUAAGUGCAAUCUUACAGUGUAAGUCUCCUUUGAAGUACAAAGACCCUGGAAGUCCUACCAUUUCAGUCAUGAUUGGAGGAAAGGUAGUGGAGAAAGCCUUGCUAGACUUGGGAGCAAGUGUGAAUUUGCUUCCAUAUUCUGUCUACAAGCAACUGGGACUUGGAGAGUUGAAGCCAACAGCAAUCACUUUGUCUCUGGCAGAUAGAUCAGUGAAAAUUCCAAGAGGGGUAAUUGAGGAUGUAUUGGUUCAAGUAGAUAAUUUCUACUAUCCUGUAGAUUUUGUUGUUCUUGAUACAGAUCCUACUGUAAAGGAAGCUAAUUUAGUUCCUAUCAUCCUUGGAAGGCCAUUUCUUGCAACUUCAAAUGCAAUCAUCAACUGUAGAAAUGGGCUUAUGCAACUCACUUUUGGUAACAUGACACUGGAUCUAAAUAUUUUCUAUAUGUCUAAAAAGCAAAUCACUCCAGAAGAAGAAGAGGGUCCAGAAGAGCUAUGUAUUAUUGAUACUUUGGUGGAGGAGCACUGCAAUCAACAUAUGCAAGAUAAGUUGAAUGAAAGUUUUGUGGAUAUUGAGGAAGGUUUUUCUGAAUCUCCUAAUGGGCUUGCUACUCUACAAAGUUGGAGAAAGAUAGAAGGAAUUCUACCUUUGUUCAAUGAAGAAGAGGAGGCAGCUGUUGAAAAAGAAAUUCCAAAACUCAAUCUGAAGCCUUUACCUAUGGAGCUGAAAUAUACAUAUCUUGAAGAAAAUAAUCAAUGUCCUGUCGUAAUAUCUUCAUCUCAAACCAAGUCUCAAGUGAAGGAUGCAAGCUUCAAAUGGGAUCCGGGCAAACUGAAUCAGGAAGGGCAAAAAGUUUUGAUGUAUGACACAAGACUCCAUAUCUUUCCUGGGAAGCUCAAGUCAAGGUGGAUUGGUCCAUUUGUUAUUCACCGAGUAUAUUCCAAUGGAGUGGUGGACUUAUUGAAUUCCAAUGGCAAGGACAGCUUUAGAGUCAAUGGAUAUCGUCUUAAGCCGUUCAUGGAGUCAUUCAAAUCAGAAAAGGAGGCAAUCAACCUCCUUGAACCUCAAAAAGCCUAAGUGAAAUGGGUUUGCUGGACGUGGUUUUACCACAGUCCAAAAAUUUUUGUAAAUUUUGUAAAUUUUCAAGUUGUUUCCAUGCUUUUAAUCUUAGUUUUUGAUUUUAAAUCAUGUUUUUAGGUGUGUUUUAAUCGUUUUAUAUGAUCCCAGGCGGAAGAAAUUUCAAGGGGAUUGAAAAGAAAAAAAUCGGGUCGAAAUUGGAGCCGAAACAGAGCAAAAACAGGGGAAAAACAGAGCUCUGCGAAAUUUCGCAGGGUGAAGGAAACUUCUGCGAAAUUGGCAUUUUGCUGCCAAACCAUUCCGCAGCACUGUAGAAGCCUCUGCGAGUGUAUUUCGCAAUUGCGAAAGUGGAUUUGGCACACGAGUGCCACUUCGCAGCACAGUGACAUCAAUUUCGCAGCUGCGAAACUCACUGCGAAGUUGCUGCGAAAAUGGCAAGUUGCUGCGAAAUUGGCGUUUUGUUGCGAAACGUAAUCUGACCCCUGGGCUUCCGUUUUUCCUAUUUAUACCUGUCAAAAGUGCUGCGAAAAAGGUUUCAAAAAUUAGAGCACCAUUCUCGCAGCCCUUUCAUCUUCUUCGCCAAGCCACGCCGUCCGUUUCUCCGGUCGUCUUCUCCGUUUAGCAGCGCCGGCCAAAGAUCGAUAGCCCAAAAAUGGCACGAACGCGAGGGGCAAAGUCUUCAUCCCCUUCGAACCGCAAAAGGAGUCUGCGAAAGGAGCCAAGUUCAGGCUCUGUUCCAGAACCUGCUCCAAAGCCUUCGCCGUCGAGACCACAACCUUCUCCAGUGAAGCCGGCGCCACCAAAGCCGCCGGCAAGGCGAUAUUUAACCAGGUCAGGUGGUCAGCCAUUGAAGAAGAAAGCCAGAGUUGAGAGCUCUGAACCAAUCGAUUUGACUGAGCAAUCCCCUGAGAAAUCACCAAAUCCUUCACCGGUACAAAUUCCAGUGCCAUCACCGGUUCCCUCGCCAAUUCCCUCACCAGAAGCAACUCCAAUUCCAUCGCCGGUACCAUCUCCGGCACCCCAAGAAAAAGCUCAGGAGCCUCAAGCGCCAAUUCCAGAGCCCCAAAUUGCAGCUGAAGCACCUCUGGAAGAAGUGAUCCGAAGGCCAAUGCUGCCUCAGCCCCCAAUCGAAGGAAACCUGGAUUGCCGAACUCGGGCAUUCCAUUCUGAGCUUUGCUUCGAUUUAACAGCAUUCAGAGUGAGGCCAGAGCUUGCCCAAUCCUUCCAACUGCUGAGGAGAUAUCAUAUGGAGCAUCUGCUAGCUCCAAGGGAUUUUUUCUAUCCCCGGGUAGUCACGGAUUUCUACCAAACCAUGACAACCAAAGAAGUAAGAAAUCCAACUCUGAUUCAUUUCAUAAUUGAUGGAAGGCAUGGUAUUUUGGGAGCAAGACAUAUUGCUGAAGCCCUGCAAAUUCCUUUUGAGCCAACUCAAUUCGACAAUUUUAAAGCUUGGACAAAUCCUACUGAGUUAGAGAUGGUUAGCACACUAACCAGAGGAGCUGCAAAUCGAUCGCAUUUGUUGAGGGGGGAGCUACCUCCAGUUAUGUUUUUGAUUGAUGCCUUUUUGAGGCAUAAUAUCUAUCCCCUGCAGCAUUGGACCCAAAGAAGGGGAAUUCUCCUAGAAGCCUUGUACAAAAUGUCUGAAGGAUUCUUCUUUGGGCCUCAUCAUCUGAUCAUGGCAGCCCUUCUAUACUUUGAGGAGAAGGUUCACAAGAAGAAGCUUCAAAGAGCAGAUUGCAUUCCACUCCUCUUCCCAAGGCUGCUAUGCCAAGUUUUGGAGCAUCUCGGAUACCCCUCUGAGCCUCAGCAGGAAAGAAAGAGAAUAUGCCGUGAGCCUUUUACCCUUGAUAAAUGGAAUAAUAUGACGGCCUACAAAAUUGAUCAGCCUGGGCAGCCUCAGCCAGCAGCAAGGAGAGUCUCCCCAAGACAUAUACCUGAAGGUAUAACACUUGCUACUCCUGCCAUCCCUCGAGCUCCACCAGCUGCACCUGCUCCAUCACAGCCAUCCACAUCAGCUGAGCCGAGGAUGGCCAUCCCUAUAUCCGAAUAUCGAGAGCUGUGCCGUGCAUUGGAGACUCUUACAGCUUCUCAGAGCAAUCUUGCUCAGGAGUUGGCAGCCAUUAAAGCAUGCCAGGAGCAGAUGUUAGCCUCUCAGACUCAACAAGCUGCCAUCCUAAGGCAGCUUCAAGUCCAUUUCGAUCUGCCACAAGCUGUAGAGCCCUCUAUUCCUACUCCACCAGAGCCACACUCUCAGCCUUCAGAGUCUCAUCCUCCAGAACCCGAAGCACCAGCUGAUCCACCUACUGAGGAGGCAGAUCCUUCUGCCUAGCACCAUCACCCCCCUCAUCAGACAUUAUAUAUAUAUUUGCUGUUUAUGUUUUUAUGCAUGUUUGUUUUGUUUUAGUUGAAAAGAAAUCCCAGUAUUUUGGUACUAUAUAUGGGAUUCCUUGUGUUACUUGUCUUUAGUAUUGUAAUCACAUGAACUCAAAGUAAUACAAGUUGACUAUUUCUUGUUAAAAGUUAGCAUUAAAGUUUCCUUAUUUCCUUUUCUCACAUAUUCUAUUCUUUUUGAAACAUGUGGUUUUCCCCAAUCAAUAUUCGAAUUUGAUAUCAGCAUGGAGGUACCACUUCCUCCCUUUUAUUACAGUCACUCAAAUCACAUUGAGGACAAUGCUCAGUUCGGUUGGGGGGUAUGAGGAAGGAAGUAUUCUAAACCUUUUUGGUAUUGCAAUUAUAUUGGUUAAUUAGUUGUAGAUUUUACUUUUUACUAGUGUUACUCUAUUCUCCAUGAAUUUUGAGGAAAAAUUUUCAAAUUAAACCAAGAGAAAUUGAACUGUUGUUUUUCACUUGACUUAGAGUAUGGAUUAUGCUUACUAAAGUGGUUCAAUUGUUGAAACUUCUACUGAAAUUGAAUUGAGUUCUUCCACUUUAAGCUAUCCACACACUGUGCACAUUAGUUUCCGAUUAUAAGAUGAAAAGCUAUUUCCCUCUUGACUUAGUAUAUUUUUGGGACUUGGUAUAUUUGACCUCAUUUGAUAAAAAUUGAAACACCCUGCAAAAGGCCAAUGAGCCUUUGAAAUAAAGAAAGUUGUUUGCUUGCCUUGAAACCCGAGCAAGGUCUGAGGGGUAUAUGGUGAAAAUCUUUAAAGCCUGGUGCCCUAAGCCUUAAUUGGUUGGGAGUCACCGACCUCAAUGCUCGUUACAAGGGUGAAUAGGUAGAGUUAGCAUAUGGUAGAUGCUUGGGUAUUAGAAAUUCAUUCUUAAAAGUCCGGGGAAAAAUCCGAGGAGUUAGUGGUUGAAAGAUCCUUAAAACUUGGUGCCCUAAACCUUAAUUGGUUGGGAGUCAUCGAUGGACCCCCAUUACAUGGACAAGUCAGAAAGAGUACCCCAUAAAGCUACCUUAAAAAAAAAAAAAAAAAAAAAAAAAAAAAAAAAGAUGAAAGUGUGUUCUUUUCUUAUUGAUUUUGGUCAGUUUGCUAAAGUGUUGAAAAGAGAUAGGUUGGGGGGUGAGAUUAGUAGCAUAUUAUUCUCGGAACCUAAGGAACCAAUACACAUAGAUUUUUGUGGAAGAUUGAAGUUUAGUUCUUAGAAAAUGAAAUGAUUUUAAAACUUCAGUUUGCAUAAUGCACUCCCUUGAUUGACAGUGUUUAGCAUAGGUGUUAUGACUCUUGUUGAGAUUUGGGUUUGUAUUUCUUUAAUGAUUCAUGUGAGAAAUAGAUCAUCAUGCCACUUGAGAAUUAUUUUCCUUUUAGCAUGAUGUUGUAAAUUUUAGAUUAGUUUGCUAUUUAUUUUUUAUUUUCUCUCCUAUAUUGCUAAGGGACUAGCAAUAUGUCGGUUGGGGGGAGUGAUUACUACUCAAAAAGUGCUAUUUGAUAGCCUUUAAUUAAUCCUUUUUAACACUUUUGAGUAGUAGUUUAGGCCUUUUAACUCAAUUGGCAUGUUAAGGAUCCUUUAAAGCAAUUUUGAUCACUUUGUGCAAGUUUUGGUGUUUUUGUUAGUAUUUUGAUCACCAAAGCAAGUCAAGAAUGAGGAGAACUAUGAGGAAUCAUGGGCAAAGCUUAGAAUUCAAUUGCCAAGAGUGAAUCCGGAUUGCAAGGAGAAAAAGCAAAGAGAAUCUGUCAUGAAGCCUAUUCUUGAUGACAGUCGUAGCAGCCACUUUUGGAGCACUUUCUGAAGUCCAAAUGAUGCAAGCUAUAUACCAUUUCAAAGCUCAGGAAGUCAACAAUCCAAUGCUUCAAACGGUGCGCGAUUCGGAGUUGAAACGAAGAAGUUGCAGCCAUUACAAGCCAGUCACUCUAAAGUGUUGCGGAAUCAGCCUUUUGUUGCGAGAAUUUCGCAGCACUUUUGUACAGUAAGGUGUUUCUCCUUCUGACGAUGCACGAACCAUGCCGCGAGAGGGAAGCUAGGAACUUCAAGAUGGAAGCCAACUUUGCAGCCUGGUGAAGAUAGCUUGGUCUUGCGAAAUAAUUUCGCAGCCCUCUUGGGUGUCUGCGAAAUUUCGCAGGCACCACUUUUUUCCUGCGAAAUGGCUCCGGAAGCCUCCCGAAGCUUGCUACCGACAUUGGGAGAUAUUUUCCAUUAGAUUUUUGUUGUCUAAAUUCCAAAAUACUCCUUGUAAACCACCAAUUACAUGAUUCCUUAGUUUUUAAGUUAGUAAAAAGACCAAAUAUCUAUGUAAUAAUUAGUUUUAUAUUAGUUUGCUAUAAAUACCUCUCGGGAGCAUGUUCUCAGAGAGGAGUUCCUUCUGUAACCAUUUUGGUAAGCAAGUAAAGUCUUUUCUUUCUACUGCCUUACCUUCUCACUUUGUAUUUUCAUUUUAUUUCUAAGUUAUGAAUUCUCUGAGGAGCUUUCCCCAGAGAAUGAGUAACUAAACCUCCAAUUCCUUGGAGCUAAGGUUGCCGGGGAAGGUUCCAAGUGCAAGAAUGCAAAGCUCUGUGGUUUUAGCUAGUAAUGAAGAGGAAGUGAAAUCCUUUAGUGAUUUCAAUGUUUUUAGUUAACUUAAAACACCUUGGAGUCACCUGGGCCAACACUUGGUAAGGCAAGUGAUUUCCAACCGUGGAAAUGCACUAGUUUACCCCUUGCGAGCCUCUGGUAGGUGACUUCAAGGUAGGAUUUUCUGGAAUUACCAACACUUGGUAAGCUUUUGGACUCCUAGGAGACAUCCAUUAGUUAUCUCUUGCGAGUUUGUGAAGGGGAAUCCAAGGUUAAAGAUCACCUUGAAUGGUAAGUGCUCGUGAGAGGCAUGAACCAUUGCAAGUUGUAUCAGUGAGAGAAUUAAAGUGAAAUCUAAUUGAAGGAGUCUCUGUACAUCACCGGUUAGAGAAUUGACUAUAAGUUGAAUCUCUAAUGCGAGGAAAUGAACCAUCUGACCGGAGCUAUGUCUUUUGCAUGAGGAACCACCCCAGUGAACCUAAAUCUCCAAGGAAUGCUUUUCUUCCUAAAUUAUUCCAAACUUCUGUUAAGUUAGUUAGUUUAAGUCUAAACCUUUACCAAUCAAACUUUGUGUUUUAUUCCUUAAGCUAACCGUGAAAUGAAACAAAACCAAUUCACUUGGAAUUGGUAUCCUUGAUUGCUUGCAAAUCAUUCCCAGUGAACGAUCCUUAGAGCCACUAUACUAUAGUAGCUUUGUAUUUGCUACCCUAGUGUAUGGUGUUAUAGGUAUAAAUUUUGUUGAUCACUUCCUCAAUCAAGGAACACCAGCUGAACACAAAUCAGCUGAGACACCAAUUGGGCAUGAGUCAGUGCGUUAGAGGAUCAAGAAGAAGAAAAAGAAGGAACUGUUGGAAUUAGUAUGAGUGUGAAGAGAAAAGUAUAUAAAUAAGGGGAAGUAAAAGCAAAGUUCAAAAAGCUAUAUUUUUUUAUUGUUGGUGUAUGGUUGCAUGAUUAUCCCUAUAAAUAAUAGGAGUUUUUUGGUAUUCUACUAGUAGUUGAAGCAUAAUUUCAUAAAUUAAUAUUUAGAGCGGGGUGGGGUGAGUUGUGACAAAAUUCAUACCCGUCCCAAACCUUGGUUCAGAUUUUUAAAAUAUUCUCAAACUUAUCAUAUACCCAACUUUUAUAUUUCAUACUUGUCCUAAUAGAGGCACGUUAGGCCGGGUUACUUGAGUAACCUACAUAAUUGUCAUCCCUAGUUGAAAUACACUUUUUGGCAGUGGCCACCAACUGAGCUAGAAGCUUGAUUGAUUGACCUACAAGAUUAGUUCUCAUCAUUUUAAAAAAAGUUCUGGCUUUGGUUGUGAGUGCAAUUGAAUCUAAACUGGCAUUUGCUUAAUGCAUCUACUUCAAUCCUAAACUUCUUACUUCUUAAGCCUCAAUUGUUGUUAGGAUUUUGGAAAACCCAUUUCCUUAAAUUGUAAAUUUAAGAUAAAAUAAAAUAAAAGUGAGACAUUUCUUGAUUGAAUAUUGUUAAAGGUCCCUUGGCAUUAAGACUUGGUUGAAGCCUUGGAAGAUUAGUGGAACUCUCAACAUGUGUUUGAAUCUUGAGGAGAGUGGAUGUAAGCCAAAAUUUUGUCAAACCAUUAUACAAAUUGAGUUUGAAUCCUCAUUUCUUGAUUUCUUAUUUAUUUGCUUUUUCUUAUUAUUACUUGAAUUGUCAUUUGCAUUCAUUAAUGUUAAAAUUGGUUAUAAUUAACCAACACUAAUUCUCUUUCCCCUUCCCUUUCUUGGGUGUAAACCUAGGUUGGAUUAACUAGAUAAAUCUAUUAAGAUGGUAAAAGAAUAAUUAUUCUUAACAUACAUAAGAUCAUCUUCAAUCAAAUGACUCAUUGGCUAAUAUGUUGAAUUUGCUUAUUACUUGCAACUCAAAAUUGUGUUCUAGUUGUGUCAAGUCCCCAGUGUAUGGACAUUAAAUUUGUAGUACGUGAUGAGUAAUUAGAUGGUCCAACUCCAAGAAAGUGAUUGAAAAGUAGUUCAAGAAAGGUGCAAAAGGGAAUUGUUUUGGUAUUUUCGUUUUUAUUCUUGAAGGUGGCAGAGCUAAAAUUUGAGAAAUCAAGCAAAACAUACUGAAAUUACAUUGAAAGAAAGAAGAUGGGAGUUAAUGUCUUGCAGUACAUGAUAAGGACUUCAUGCAUGUAGUGUGACCCAUGUCUUGGACUGAUGCCAACUCACGGUUACACUUAUACCCUUGGUUCUCUCUUUACUACCUUGGCUAACCUAGAUCAGGCUAUGAGAUAGGCUCCUCACCACACCAUUACUUGCCCAUUAAUUAGAGACAUUUUCAAGCAAUGAGGUAACAUGGUGACACCAAGAGGGUCUAUUCCUCGCCCGGAACAAGUCUAGACUUGGUCUCAAAAAAAUGGAGAAAAAUGAGGUGUCGUUAUGUAGAAAUACAACAACCAUGCCUUCCUCAUUACUUAGAUUCAGAAUGUGAAGGUGAAAUUGAGAAACAGAAACUCUUGAAACCAAAAUGAAAAUUGAUACUUUUACGAAGAAUUACAACAACAUUAGAGGAAGACUACAUUCUUCCUCUUUAUUCCUACAUUUCUACACUACUUCUACUCCACUCCAUAUUUCUACAUACAUCUUUAAUCAGUCUUCCCUCCUUUAUAUAGAGCCAUCUUCACACAAAUUUCGCAAGGUAGAAAAGAGGAAUGAAACUUGGAGCAAGGUUCGACUACUGGUUGUAGCUUGUCAAGGCUGGAAGUGAACUUUUCUUGGCUUUCUGGGCAUGGGUAGUAACUUGUGGGUUCCUGUUUGGCAUAAAAAUGGCUAGAACAUGUGGCACUAUCUUGUUGGAUGAUGUGUCAAGCAUGUGGCAGCCAUCUAGUGGCGAUUAUGUCAAUUUUGGGAUGGAGAGUUGGCAUCCAAUUGCAAAGAAAUAUGACGUCUACCAACAUGCAAUGUAAACCUAUGUAGAUCAUAUGAAGAUAGAGAGGAAAAAUAUAGAAAUGGAUAUAUACCUAGAACUAGCUUUUUAUUAAAUGAAACGGAGAGACAACAAUGAAGGAAAAUAAAAUUUUUUGGCUUAUAUCAAAGAGUUCACAUUGUGUUACCCUAGGUUUUCUUAAAACUUACUUUUAUGAUAACAAAAAAGAAAAAACCAUUAUUGUUUAAUCCUUUGUUUUAAACGCAUGUAAGGUGUAAUUAAGUUAGUUCAAUGCAUUAAUUUAAGAAACUUGACCUAUCAAAAGUACAAAAUUAGAUGAAAUCCAUUUCAAUGGUUAAAAUGAUCAAAAUCAAACUUUUUCUAAGUAUUUUUUAAAAGCAUCAAUAGUGAAAGACAAUUUUAUAUUUAGUCGGAGUUUGGACAAAACUGAAAAACACACAAAAUCCAAGCGACCAUCUCUAGCUUGGAUGGUCGCUUGAUCCCACCUAGAGAUGUGCAUGAGUAAAAGGAUUUGAAAAUGGAAAUUGACUAUGUAGUCGAUCAAUUAACUUUGCAACAUCAUAUGCAAUCCUAAUUGCUAGUCAUCUAAUCAAUUAGGUAGUCAAUCAACAGGCCAAAAAUAUGUUUAUAAUGACUAUUUUGUACAAAAACCACCUGUAUAGUUAAAUAUAAUGCAUUUCAUUUAUAAAUCUUCUAAUUCUUGAAUAACGAUCCUAUCAUCCUUUGAAAGUUUUUAUUACACUUUUUUUACUUUUGUUCUAAAACUUACACAUCACCCUUAAUUGUACCAUGAGAACCUAGCUAUUUUUUAUUUUUUUUUUUGUAAUUCAUCAAAGUUAGCUUUUGUAUUCAUUGUUGUAUUAUUUUUAGUAUAACUUAGAAAGCUAGUGUUUUCAAGUGAGUAAAAUUAACUUGUAAAUAUUGUAAAGAUUCAUCGACAUGUAUCUUAAACUAAGUGUACAAGUUAAAACAUUUGCUAGUAGAUUUUCUCAAAAUUUAGAAUAGAGCUUGAGACUAUUGAAAUAGGUGGGGUUGCACCAAACCACAUCACAUCGUUGUUUGCACCUUUUUUCACUCUCUUUUACUUAGUUGCUCUAUAUUUGUUGUCUAGUAAUAUCCUAUAGGCUUGAUGGGUUAGGGAGCAUCCCUUUGUGAAAAAAUUUUAUUCAAUCCUUAGUUGUAUCACGCAUAUAUAAAAUGCCUCAUUGUUUUAAUGGUAUUCAGUCGUGGCAUCACAGAUAUGGGCAUCUAAAUUUUAAAAGUUUGAAACUUUUAUCUAAAGAAAAUAUGGUGCUUUGCCUUUUUGUAAAGCAUGUUGAUGAAAUCCAUGAGAAUUGUGUACUUGGGAAGCAACACCGAGAUGACUUUUUUUUUUUUUUUAUAAUAUUGUUUGUCCAAAUUCCCUACAAAUUAGGCCACCAGAUGUUCAUAAUUCUCCCUUCUUGAAUUUGAAAACUCGGACAAUUGGACAAUGCGACACCUAAGUCCGGUUUCUAAAUGCUAAAGUGAAAGGGUAGGUAUGGACCAUUGAAAUGUGAUCACAACUUUUCUCUGUAGCCAUGUUGUCUCUUUUUUCUUUUGCAUGAUUUUCUUACCUUAACAGAAUCAUAGACUUGUUUAGUCUCUAAAUGGGAUUAAUUUCAUCCAGCUUUAAGCUACUAUAUUAUAUCUAGGUGGAGGACUUUUAAGAGUGCAACCGACAUAGAGCACAUGGAAGUGGGUAUAUGGGACAUGAAAUUUCUUCUUAUAAAGAUUGCAUGAUUUUUAUAUUAGAGUUGUUGAGGCGCUAUGUAUUUAGCUUGUUUUGCAGUUAAAUUAAUUGGAUAAGUAGACAUUGGCGUUUCUAAAUCUACUGUGAAGUGCUUCAUGUACGUGUGAAGUAUUAGAAAUUUCUUUCUUGGCAACUUGUUUUUCUUUGCGGUCUACUGAUAGGUUUGACUAAAAUUAUAUUCCCUGUCAUGCUAAUUAAUUUUCACGUGCAUGCUCAAAAGAAAAGUAUGACCUUAGUGCACCAAAAUCACUUUGAUUAAUUUGUGAUAGGUUUUUGUGCAUCAUGACAUUAGCCUUAUUCAUUUAGAUAAUGUUUAGUUUUUAGAAAGUAUUAAGAAAAGGAAAAUAAAUAUUAAGAAAAAUAUUCUUAUAUUUGAUUGUAUUAUGAAAAAUAUCAUAAAAAAAUCAAAUAUAAUUUAAAUUAAUUAAUAAUUUAUACAUUUUCAAAUUAUUUAAUCUUUAUAUUGAAGAUAUAAUAUAAAUGAAAUGAGUUUUAAGUAUUAUAUAAAAGUGAUUUAUUGAUCUUACAUAUAUAUAUUUCUUUUUUUUUUCCUUCUAUUUUUUCUCUUUAUUUUAUUUUCCUUAUGUUUUCCUCAACAUUUUCCGGAACCAAACAUAGCCUUAGGAAAUCCACAAUUACCUUCAACUGAGUAGAUUCUGUUGUUUUAGCAAUGUUAGGCUGCUAACUUGUGUUGGUACGAACCUAUUAAGCCUAAAGAUGUAAUUAGUUAGGAUAUUCUUUUCCCUCUAGUCUUGUAGCUCCACGUGUACAGUUGGUUAGGACCUCAUUGUAUAUAAUGCUUGCCCUGUUAUUGUAGAAGACAACAAAGAUAAAUAAUAUUAACAUUUUUCCUCUCAUCUCUCUCUGUUUCCCUCUGUUUUCAUCUCCUCUCUCAUCUUGGUAUCAGAGCCUCCAUGGCUUCUUUCAAAGAAACCUCCGAAUCACCUUCUGCUAGCAUUGUUAAUGUGCAAAACCCAUUAUCUCAAUCAAACAACCUUCCUUCACCAGUAGCCACACCCUCUUUUUCUUUCUCGUCUAUGAAUCAACCUCUCACAGUGAAGCUGGAUAAUGGGAACUACCUCAUAUGGAAGAAUUAGCUUCUAAAUGUCAUCAUUGCUAACGGACUCGAUGAUUUCAUUGACGGAUCUCGACCCUGCCCUCCUCGAUUUCUCGAUCUGCAACAACAAACCCUCAAUCCAGAGUACUCAGCUUGGCAGAGAUACAAUCGACUUCUGAUGAGUUGGCUGUACGCAUCCUUGUCCAAAGAUAUAAUGGCUCAGAUUGUUGGGUAUUCAACAGCUAUGGAGAUUUGGAAUGCCCUUAAUCAGAUUUACUCUGCCUCUUCUAUGGCGCGGUUUACUGAGCUUCGCACCAAGCUUCAAACGCUCAAGAAAGAUGGACUCUCAGUUGGUGAAUAUAUUCAAAGGCUCAAAUCCAUUUGCAAUAGUCUUGCAGCAAUAGGAGAACCAGUUUCUGAGAAAGACCAUCUUAUCUAUUUGUUCAAUGGAUUAGAUUGUGAGUAUUAUUCUUUUGUUACCUCCAUUCAAAAUCGAUCUGACCAACCAACUAUUGACAAAAUCCAUAGCCUAUUGCUUAGCUAUGACUUCCGGCUUGAACAACAAAACUCUGUUUCUCUCCAUUCUGCCCAAGUCCAUAUGGCUCAUCUGAACAAGAAACCUUAUAAAUCAACUCCUCAACCUACAUUCAAUCAUAUUCACAUUCAACCUAGAUACUCUUCUCCACCUUUUAAGCCAACCACUAGUCAAUAUCAACCCAACAUUUUGGGCAAACCACAACCACAACCAUGACAGCCUCAACCUCAAUGGAAACCACAUUUUUCAAUCUAAAAUCAAAAGCCUCAGCGCCAAAUUUGUGGUAAAUUUGGACACACUGCUCUUAUUUGCUUCCAUCACACAAAUUUGAACUAUUCACCCCAACCUUCUCCUAAAUCUUUCAAUACUGUUCUCACCACAAAUUCCCAGCUCCCUAAUCCUCCAAAAUUUUCUUACCCUACAAUGGCUCAUCCUGCUGCUACGCAUAACACGGUUCCCGAUACAAAUUGGUACAUGGACUCAGGUGCUACACAUCACUUUACUCUGGACAUCAACGUGCUUGACACUGUGACACCAUUUAGUGGUUCAGAACAGGUGACAGUUGGGAAUGGUAAGCAACUCUGUAUCUCACAUCUUGGUACUGCAAAACUACCAUCUUCGUAUUCUCCUCCUGUUCUACAUCAGGUAUAUCACACUCCAAAAAUUUCAAAUAAUCUUAUUAGUGUUAAAAAAUUGUGUUCUGAUAAUAAAGUUUUUGUUGAAUUUUAUGCCACUCAUUUUCUUGUCAAGGAUCAGGUUUCGAAGAGAGUUCUCCUUUAGGGUCAACUUGAUAAUGGCUUAUACAAAGUUCAGUCGUCAUGCUCUCCUUCUGCUGUUUCCUUUCCUCCUCAAGUUUUCAUAGCCAACAUCAAGUAUCCAAAUCUGUGGCACAAGAGACUAGGCCACCCAGCUUUAUCUGUUGUUAAUCAAAUCUUGGAUUCUUGUAACAUUGCUCGAACACAGAAAAUUUGUUUUAAUUUUUUAAAUUCUUGUCAAUUAGCAAAGAGCCACAGGCUUCCUUUUUCUCUGUCUCCAUCCAUUGCAGAAAAACCUUUUGAGUUAAUUCAUACAGACCUAUGGGGUCUUUCGCUCGUUCGCUCUAUUUCUGGUGCUCUUUAUUUUUUACUUUUCAUUGAUGAUCAUACUCGUUUUACUUGGUUUUAUUUGCUCAAAACAAAAGAUGAAGCAUAUCCUACUUUUCUCAAGUUUCAAGCUCUCAUUGAAAAUCAAUUUAAUACCAAGAUUAAGGCUGUCCAAUCUGAUUGGGGAGGUGAGUUUCGAUCUCUCUCCAUACCGUUUUCAAAUAUGGGCAUUGUCUAUUGUUUAUCGUGUCCAUACACCUCACAACAGAAUGGGCGAGUUGAGCGAAAAAAUCGCCAUGCGAUUGUCCUUUCUUGCUUGCUCUAUGCCCUUAUCUUAUUGGCCUUAUGCCUUUCAAACUGCCACUUACCUUAUUAAUCGUCUCUCUACCCCUGUGCUGCAUCAUCAAUCCUCUUACUUCGCACUCUAUCACAAACUCCCAACUUAUACUCAUCUUAAGGUCUUUGGUUCCUCUUGUUUUCCGUAUUUGCACCCUUAUAAUACCCAUAAACUCCAAUACAGGUCACUAGAGUGUGCUUUUCUUGGUUACAGUUCACACCACAAAGGUUAUCUAUGUCUUGACAUUCAUUCUAGCAGGGUGUAUAUUUCUCGCCAUGUGAUUUUUAAUGAAGAUUCUUUUCCAUUCAAGAAUUUGAAAUCUUCUCUCUCUCAGUCUAUUUCUUCUUCCUCUUCUUUAUAAGUUCCUCUGUUCAUUCUCUUGCCUCCCCUUUCCCCAUCUCCUCUUAUUUCUUCAUCUAUACCUCAUUCUUUUCCCUCUUCUUCUUCUACCUCUAGUACUUGUUCCCCUCUCGUUGCUCCUACCUCUCUUCCUUCCUCUUCACACUCUGUGUCUCCAUCUAUUCCACCUCCUUCUCCACCUUCUCCGAGUGUGGACCUGCUUGCACCUUGUGUGAAUACAAAUUUACAUACUUCUUCUCGCACUCACAAUAUUCAUCCUAUGGUGACUAGAUCUAAGGUUUGUAUCUAUAAACCUAAGUUGUUGUUGAGUGUCUCCAUAGGUUCUCUCACUAAGCCUACUUCCUUUCUUCAAGCUAUUAAAGAUCCUUCAUGGAAGCAAUCCAUGGAAUUCGAGUUUGCUACCCUUCAACACAACAAGACCUGGCAUUUGGUUCCUUCACCUUCCUCAGGCGAAGUAAUCGGUUGUAAAUGGGUCUAUAAGCUAAAGCUUCAGCCUGAUGGCUAAAUUGAGAGAUACAGCCUGCUUAGUAGCUAAGGGUAUCAUCAAAUUGAAGUAUGGACUACUUCGAAACAUUCAGCCUGAUNNNNNNNNNNNNNNNNNNNNNNNNNNNNNNNNNNNNNNNNNNNNNNNNNNNNNNNNNNNNNNNNNNNNNNNNNNNNNNNNNNNNNNNNNNNNNNNNNNNNAGCUUCAGCCUGAUGGCUAAAUUGAGAGAUACAAGGCCUGCUUAGUAGCUAAGGGUUAUCAUCAAAUUGAAGGUAUUGACUACUUCGAAACAUUCAGCCUGAUUGUCAAGCUUUCUACUAUCUGUAUUGUGCUCAGUCUUACUUUUUCCCAGAAUUGGUGUAUUAGACAGCUGGAUGUUCAUAAUGCCUUCUUACAUGGUGACUUAGCUAAAGACGUUUUCAUGGAACAACUGCCUGGAUUUGUUGAUCCUCUCUAUCCUACUCAUGUCUGCAAGUUGGAUAAGUCUCUCUACUGUCUUAAAUAGUCACCUCGGGCUUGGUAUACUAAGCUGAGUACUUCUCGCUACACUUGGGAUUUGUUACUUCUAAGAAUGACUCUUCCUUAUUUAUUUGUCAUUCGUCUCAUGGGUUACUUCUUGUUCUUGUCUAUGUGGAUGAUAUAAUCGUCAUUGGGAGCCACUCUCCUCAGGUUACUCACCUUAUCCAACAGUUGCAUCAUUAGCUUUCUUUAAAGGAUCUUGGUCCUUUACAUUAUUUUCUGGGCUUGGAGGUUCAUCACACCCCUACUGGUAUUCACCUCAGCCAAGCAAAGUAUAUCACUGAUCUCCUUACCCGGGCGGCUAUGUUGGAUGCCAAGCCAUGUCCCACUCCUAUGUCCUCCAACACAUAUCUCUCUUUUCAUGAUGGAGUGGCUCUUGAAAAUGGUUCAGAUUAUCGAAGUUUUGUUGGUGCCCUUUAGUAUUGUACCAUGACACGCCCAGAUAUAGCUUUUGCAAUAAAUAAAGUGUGUCAAUUCAUGCACCAUCCCUCUAAUGUUCACUGGCAGGCUAUAAAACGUAUUCUCCGGUACUUAAAGGGCACAUCUCAUUUUGGUCUCUUCCUACAGCCUUCCUAUGACUUCAACAUCACUUGCUAUACAAAUGCCGACUGGGCUUCCUGUCCUGAUGACAAGUGUAGCACCAGUGGCUACUGCCUCUUUCUUGCCUCUAAUCUGGUUUCUUGGUCAUCUUCCAAACAAAAAGUGGUCUCCCGCUCCAGCGCCGAAUCAGAGUACCGAGGGGUAGCAAAUGGGGCUGCUGAAAUUGCUUGGACUGAAUCUCUUCUUUGUGAACUUUCCAUUACUCCCCCUCCCCUCAUUCUCUGUGACAAUAUCAGUGCCACGUACUUAGCUGCCAAUCCUAUUUUGCAUGCCCGCACCAAACAUGUGGAAAUCGACUAUCACUUUGUCACGGAACGUGUUCUUCAAUGCUCUCUUUUUGUCCAGUUUACACCUUCUGAUGAUCAACUUGCUGAUUGCAUGACCAAGCCUCUCUCCACCCAACGUUUCAUCACUCUACGCUCCAAGCUCACUGUUCUCACUAGACCAAUGAGCUUGAGGGGGGAUGUUAAGCCUAAAGAUGUAAUUAGUUAGGAUAUUCUUUUCCCUCUAGUCUUGUAGCUCCACGUGUACAGUUGGUUAGGACCUCAUUGUAUAUAAUGCCUGCCCUGUUAUUGUAGAAGACAACAGAGAUAAAUAAUAUUAACAUUUUUCCUCUCAUCUCUCUCUCUGUUUCCCUCUGUUUUCAUCUCCUCUCUCAUCUGAACCAAAUGAUCCAUGUUAACCUUGGCUUGGUUUGAUUUGGCUCUAUCUUAGAGAGCUCAAGGAUCACGUCAACUCUGGUUUCUACUAUUCAGGUCCAUUCCCAUAUGAACUGGUUCAAAUUUGAGAAAAUGGUAACAGACCUUUAGUGAUGUUGGUUUGGAGCCAGUUGCCAAACCCGCCCUGAGCUUUACCACUAAUGUCAAGGGAGAAAGCCAUUUGAACAAAAACAAUAGCUUCAAGGGACUGAAUCGUGGAUGAAAUCUGAUCCACAUUUCUUCUCAUUUUGGAAACAAAUGAGAACUUAACUAAGAAGAUUCUACGGCCUCAUAGUGCUUUUCCUGAUCUAAGGUUGGUUCGUUUCCCAAACUGUGAGAUGCACGUGCCAGACUUCAGAACUCUCACGCUCAGGAGUGUAUCCACGUGGUGGACAUAAGAUGGUGGCUUAAGAUCUGGUGUCGGUGGCUUUACUUUACUAGGAGAGUAGUGUGUCUUCAUCUCAUUCACUGCCGGAGGGUGGCGUAAGCAGUGACGCUAAGGUGGGGCACAGUCAAUAUCAUUUGCAUUUGACCAUUAUAGUUUUCUCCCGGCUUUAAAGUAACCUUAUCGUGAUAAAGGAUUACUAGCACUAGUUCAGAUGAUAGUCAUGUUAAAUUCGGACCAUGUUUGUGUCACAUUAUCAGCAACCAUGUGUUUAUGGUUCAUGCUUUCUGCAACUAAAAUUGAUAUAUAACCAGGUGAACUUCAAUCUAAAUUCUGAAAGUACUCAUGUGAUAGAUGGUGCCCGUCUGCAGAGUCCAUCAAUUGAAAAAUGGAGUGAGUGUAUCUAUAAGAGGGAAGGCUUGGAAAAUGUUCAGUUUUCUGGGAAUUCAACAAGGAUCUAAAAUAGAUUGUUUUCUUUGCUGAUUUCAAUGGUUGAAAUUUGAGAAGAUUGUGUCCACAUAACACAACUAUUACUGGUCCUUCUGUUGCAAUUUAUCCUCUAAAGCUCUAGCAUGUCUUCCAAUUCCCACUUCCCUGUUACUCCAGGAAAGCUAUUUCUGUCAUUGUGAAGAAGAAAAGAGAAUGUACAUAUCGAUGCUUUUAAGUGACUGGAGCAUUUAUAUCAGGUGGUCUGCAGCCAUAUAUGCCACUUUGUGAAGAUUGGAACAGUCAAUCACUAGGCUAUAUAUUAGUGUGGCCCAGCCACUUUAAUCAAGGACAAGUCUUCAUACUUAAAGUCAAAUUCUGCCUUUAGUCUCAUUAUAAAUUUCUGUUUAAAUAUUAAGCAAACAUUUGUUUAAUGCGAUUAAGACAGUACUAACUCAAUACCUGUUCUAUUUUUGGAUGCAAAUGCUUGAUGGUUUCAUCAUUGGAUGGGAUAAAGGUGCAUUCAUGAUUAGGAAUACUAGUAGUUAUAUUUUAAUUCUCUUUUUUCUCAAUGAGACUUGUUGGCACAAUUUUGCUGUUGAGAAACCUACCUCUCCAUGGAAAAUAAGUUGUGAUUGAUAGUACUGGAUAUAUUCAAGAAAUCUAAAUAUAGAUAGCACAAAAUAUUAUCGACAUAAAUAGCAUUAACAGCGUACGUAUGUCUCAGUGCUCAUCAGCUAUAAGCAUGGGGCAAACACUUACUAUGAGCAACUUACGUCAAAAUUCCAGAAUAGGACAUAGAAGUGACAGAUAUAGAACAUUGCAUAUGAGUCACAAGAAAGGAAAUUACGGGUGCAUAGCAGCUCUUAUUUUACAUACUACUACUCAUACUGAUCAAAGUCACUCAGUUGGGAUGGGUGGGAGUAGGAGGUUUGUGGGGUGGCUUGUGCGGAGGAGUUGGCAGCUUCUUUCCAGGACCUGGUUGCUUCUCUGCUGGAGUUGAAGGAGGCUUAAUCUUCCGAGGUGGCUUGUAUGAGUCUUCAGCAUUCUCAGCUGGAGGGUGACCAGGGUUGUGACCAUAAUGUGGUGGCUUCUCUCCCUUAGGUGGUUUGCCAACUGGGGUUGGUGGCUUGUAUGAGUCUUCAGCAUUCUCAGCAGGAGGGUGACCAGGGUUGUGACCAUAAUGUGGUGGCUUCUCUCCCUUAGGUGGUUUGCCAACUGGGGUUGGUGGCUUGUGUUCUGGGAGUGGCUUCUCCCCCUUGGGAGGUUUUUCCAAUGGGGUUGGUUUGUGUUCAGGAGGUGGCUUCUCCACUGGAGGCUUGUGUUCAGGAGGUGGCUUCUCCACCGGAGGCUUGUGUUCAGGUGGUGGCUUCUCCACCGGAGGCUUAUGCUCUGGUGGUGGCUUCUCGAAUGGGGGAUGCUUAGGAUAAUCAGCAAGUGAGGGGGCGGUGAGAACCACCAGGCCAAGCAACACCACUAGCAAAUAUGUAGGAGACAUCUUUGGGUUUGGGCUCAGAUGGUGCAAAACUAGGAGAAUUGGCUAGCCUUUUAUAGCGGAUCGUACCCAAUAAUGAAAUGACACGUGUCAUUAUGACCCAUGUGUAAUGGGGUCGAUUUGGGUCCUACAGUGUUGAAAACUUCGACAUCCACUUUUGGCCUUUUGCUUUCUCUACAGCCGCCUUGCUUUUUCCCUCUUUCCUUUUGUUUUCCUCCUGCCCCAUUCUAUCAACUAAACACAAUUAUGUAGUUGUUUAAUUCUUAAAUGAGAUAUUAUCCGUCAAUCGUAUUAUAUUUUAUCAAGAGAGAACGGAGUGCAAUGUGGCUGUAAUUUUAUCGUUUAGUUUUAUCUCUUGGACCACUGCAUUUUUGUUAAGAGGUGCAAUAAUACACGUCUUUAUCUGCCAUUCAAUAUUUACAGUAAAGAGAGGGCACAAAACUCUUCACUUCGCACCAUAAUUAUUUUGUUUUCUGGACACCCCGGGGCCCUUUGGUUGGUUUGGGGGUCAGAAAGUGAACAUCAUAGGGGGUUUUUCCCUUAUGUGCAUUUGUAUCUGAUGGCUUUAACUCGCCUUGUUACUACAAAGAAACUGUCACAGAUAGGAACUUAUUCCAGGCUGAGUAUCUCCUCAUAGACCCUAUAAAAGAAGACAAGUCAUAAUGAACAUCUAACCUUUGUUCAAUUUGAUUCAAUGCCCCCAUUGUGUCCAUCUCACAAAUCUGAAUUAUUAUAUCCAUUGAAUACAUAAAUUAAUGAAGAAAAUAUGAAACCCAAGAUACAUCUCUGCACAACCUCAACCCUGGUUGCUAUGUUUCCCUUCUAUUCACAUGAUUUGAUGCUAAUUGCCAAACUUGCAACAAGCCCUGAGUUUGACACCUAGUAUCGAUGGGCGAAUUUAAAGUCUCCUCCAAACAUAUAUUCCACAGCUUGAAGCUCACAGAAGAUGUUACAGGCAGGGAAAAACCUUCAGAGUUCGCUACCAAAGAUAAUUAUUAAGGAGAUAUCACAAAGAGAAUUCCAAGGGGUCUGAAUCAAAGACAAAUUGGUCGUUCGUGGGGGUUCUUACUUUCUUUUGGGUAUAACUCACUGAGGGCACUGUCUUUGUUAUUUGCAUUUCACAUUUAGAGUUCUGUUCUGGAAACAUAUAAAAGGAGCAUCAUUUUGUUCUUGGGUAACCCAUAGUCGUGAGUGGGUCCAUUUGCAUGCUACUUAGUUGAAAAGUUGGACCAUUUGCUCCGACGCCUACCUCCCGGAUUCCAUGCUCGGAUAAAACAAGAAUAAAAAAAAUAUUUAUAAUUUACAAAUGGGGGAAAGAAAAAAAUGUCAACAACAAACCAGGAAAAAAGAGUAGUAAAAUUCAUGUCACAUGCUAGUGAGAGAAGGGGUUGUUACACUCACUCGAAGUUCUUUCCAAAAUAUCGCAUGGUAUUUUAUUUUAUGUGUCAGCGCAGUUGUGAAUGGAACGUGCAAAAGUCCAAAUUGGCGUUUUUCCUUUUCCCGUGUAGGAUGGCGACCUUUAAUAAAUAUUUAAAACAAAAAACGAAAAAAAGGAGGGAAAAGGGAUCAGAAAAGAUAAAACAAUGUGUACAAGAGCUCAAUUAGUUUGCAAAUUACUGUUUGGAUUUUGAUAGUAUUUUAUUUGUCCAUCUAUAUUUGAUGGAAAAGAGAAUUUAAGAUAUUUCUGAAACAAAAGCAUUAGUGUAAAACUAAAUUAAGGUAUAAUUAAGUUAGUUCAAUGCAUUAAUUUAAGAAACUUGAUCUAUCCAAAGUACAAAAUUAGAUGAAAUCCAUUUCAAUGGUUAAAAUGAUCAAAAUCAAACUUUUUCUAAGUAUUUUUUAAAAGCAUCAAUAUUAAAAGACAAUUUUAUAUUUAGUCGGAGUUUGGACAAAACCAAAAAGCACACAAAAUCCAAGCGACCAUCUCUAGCUUGGAUAGUCACUUGAUCCCACCUAGAGAUGUGCAUGAGUAAAAGGAUUUGAAAAUGGAAAUUGACUAAAUAUUUAGUUGAUCAAUUAAAUUUGCAAUGUCAUAUGCAAUCCUAAUAGCUAGUCAUCUAAUCAAUUAGGUAGUCAAUCAAGUGUUUGUAAUGACUAUUUUGUACAAAAAACCACAUGUAUAGUUAAAUAUAAUGCAUUUCAUUUAUAAAUCUUCUAAUUCUUGAAUAACGAUCCUAUCAUCCUUUGAAAAUUUUUAUUACACCUUUUUUACUUUUGUUCUAAAACUUACAUAUCACCCUUAAUUGUACCAUGAGAACCUAGCUAUUUUUUUUUUUUUUGUAAUUCAUCAAAGUUAGCUUUUGUAUUCAUUGUUGUAUUAUUUUUAGUAUAACUUAGAAAGCUAGUGUUUUCAAGUGAGUAAAAUUAACUUGUAAAUAUUGUAAAGAUUCAUUGAUAUGUAUCUUAAACUAAGUGUACAAAUUAAAACAUUUGCUAGUAGAUUUUCUCAAAAUUUAGAAUAGAGCUUGAGGCUAUUGAAAUAGGUGGGGUUACACCAAACCACAUCACAUCGUUGUUUGCACCUUUUUUCACUCUCUUUUACUUAGUUUCUCUAUAUUUGUUGUCUAGUAAUAUCCUAUAGGCUUGAUGGGUUAGGGAGCAUCCCUUUGUGAAAAAAUUUCAUUCAAUUCUUAGUUGUAUUACGCAUAUAUAAAAUGCCUCAUUGUUUUAAUGGUAUUCAGUCGUGGCAUCACAGAUAUGGGCAUCUAAAUUUUAAAAGUUUGAAACUUUUGUAAAGCAUGUUGAUAAAAUCCAUGAGAGUUGUGUACUUGGGAAGCAACAUCGAGGUGACUUUAUUUUUUUUUCCUUUUAUAAUGCCACACCUAAGUCCGGUUUCUAAAUGCUAAAGUGAAAGGGUAGGUAUGGACCAUUGAAAUGUGAUCACAACUUUUGGCCUUUUCCUUUCUCUGCAGCCAUGUUGUCUCUUUUUUCUUUUGCAUGAUUUUCUUACCAAAACAGAAUCAUAGACUUGUUUAGUCUCUAAGCUACUAUAUUAUAUCUCGGUGGACUUUUAAGAGUGCAACCGACAUAGAGCACAUGCAAGUGGGCAUAUGGGACAUGAAAUUUCUUCUUACAAAGAUUGCAUGAUUUUUAUAUUAGAGUUGUUCACGUGCAAUGUAUUUAGCUUGUUUUGCAGUUAAAUUAAUUGGAUAAGUAAACAUUGGCAUUUCUAAAUCGACUGUGAAGUGCUUCAUGUACGUGUAAAGUAUUAGAAAUUUCUUUCUUGGCAACUUGUUUUUUCCUUGCCAUCUACUGGUAGGUUUGACUAAAAUUAUAUUCCCUGUCAUGCUAAUUAAUUUUCAUGUGCAUGCUCAAAAGAAGAGUAUGACCUUAGUGCACCAAAAUCACUUUGAUUAAUUUGUGAUAGGUUUUUUUGCAUCAUUUAGAUAAUGUUUAGUUCUAAGAAAAAUUUAUAUAAAAAUGGUUUAUUUAUCUUACAUAUAUAUAUAUAUAUAUAUAUUUUUUUUUUUUUCAUUUUUUUUUCUUCUAUUUUAUUUAUUUAUUUUAUUUUCCUUAUGUUUUCCUCACAUUUUCCGGAACUAAACAUAGUCUUACGAAAUCAACAAUUGCCUUCAACUGAGUAGAUUCUGUUGUUUUAGCAAUGUUAGGCUGCUAACUUGUGGUGGUACGAACCAAAUGACCCAUGUUAAUCUUGGCUUGGUUUGAUUUGGCUCUAUCUCAGAGAGCUAAAGGAUCACGUCAACUCUGGUUUCUACUAUUCAGGUCCAUUCCCAGAUGAACUGGUUCAAAUUUGAGAAAAUGGUAACAGACCUUUAGUGAUGUUGGUUUGGAGCCAGUUGCCAAACCCGCCCUGAGCUUUACCACUAAUGUCAAGGGAGAAAGCCAUUUGAACAAAAACAAUAGCUUCAAGAGACUGAAUCGUGGAUGAAAUCUGAUCCACAUUUCUUCUCAUUUUGGGAAAAAAUGAGAACUUAACUACAAAGAUUCUACUGCCUCAUUCAUAGUGCUUUUCCUGAUCCAAGGUUGGUUCGUUUCCCAAAUUGUGAGGUGCACGUGCCACUCUCACGCUCAGGAGUGUAUCCACGUGGUGGACAUCAGAUGGUGGCUUAAUAUCUGGUGUCGGUGGCUUUACUUUACUAGGAGAGUAGUGUGUCUUCAUCUCAUUCACUGCCGGAGGGUGGCGUAAGCAGUGACGCUAAGGUGGGGCACAGUCAAUAUCAUUUGCAUUUGACCAUUAUAGUUUUCUCCCGGCUUGAAAGUAACCUUAUCGUGAUAAAGGAUUACUAGCACUAGUUCAGAUGACCGUCAUGUUAAUUCGGACCAUGUUUGUGUCACAUUAUCAGCAACCAUGUGUUUAUGGUUCAUGCUAUCUGCAACUAAACUUGAUAUAUAACCAGGUGAACUUCAAUCAAAAUUCUGGAAGUACUCUUGUGAUAGAUGGUGCCUGUCUGCAGAGUCCAUCAAUUGAAAAAUGGAGUGAGUGUAUCUAUAAGAGGGAAGGCUUGGCAAAUGUUCAGUUUUCUGGGAAUUCAACAAGGAUCUAAAAUAGAUUGUUUUCUUUGCCGACUUCAAUGGUUGAAAUUUGAGAAGAUUGUGUCCACAUAUCACAACUAUUACUGGUCCUUCUGUUGCAAUUUAUCCUGUAAGGCUCUAACAUGUCUUCCAAUUCCCACUUCCCUGUUACUCCAGGAAAGCUAUUUCUGUCAUUGUGAAGAAGAAAAGAGAAUGUACAUAUCGAUGCUUUUAAGUGACUGGAGCAUUCAUAUCAGGUGGUCUGCAGCCAUAUAUGCCACUUUGUGAAGGUUGGAACAGUCAAUCACUAGGCUAUAUAUUGGUGUGGCCCAGCCACUUCAAUCAAGGACAAGUCUUCAUACUUAAAGUCAAAUUCUGCCUUUAGUCUCAUUAUAAAUUGCUGUUUAAAUAUUAAGCAAACUUUUGUUUAAUGCGAUUAAGACAGUACUAACUCAAUACUUGUUCUAUUUUUGGAUGCAAAUGCUUGAUGGUUUCAUCAUUGGAUGGGAUAAAGGUGCAUUCAUGAUUAUGAAUACUUGUAGUUAUAUUUUCAUUCUCUUUUUUCUCAAUGAGACUUGUUGGCACAAUGUUGCUGUUCAGAAACCUACCUCUCCAUGGAAAAUAAGUUGCGAUUGAUAGUACUGGAUAUGUUCAAGAAAGCUAAAUAUAGAUAGCACAAAAUAUUAUCGAUAUAAAUAGCAUUAACAGCGUACGUAUGUCUCAAUGCUCAUCAGCUAUAAGCAUGGGACAAACACUUACUAUGAGCAACUUACGUCAAAAUUCCAGAAUAGGACAUAGAAGUGACAGAUCUAUAUAUAUAGAACACUGCAUAUGAGUCACAAGAAAGGAAAUUACGGGUGCAUAGCAGCUCUUAUUUUACAUACUACUACUCAUACUGAUCAAAGUCACUCAGUUGGGAUGGGUGGGAGUAGGAGGUUUGUGGGGUGGCUUGUGCGGAGGAGUUGGCAGCUUCUUUCCAGGACCUGGUUGCUUCUCUGCUGGAGUUGAAGGAGGCUUAAUCUUCCGAGGUGGCUUGUAUGAGUCUUCAGCAUUCUCAGCUGGAGGGUGACCAGGGUUGUGACCAUAAUGUGGUGGCUUCUCUCCCUUAGGUGGUUUGCCAACUGGGGUUGGUGGCUUGUAUGAGUCUUCAGCAUUCUCAGCAGGAGGGUGACCAGGGUUGUGACCAUAAUGUGGUGGCUUCUCUCCCUUAGGUGGUUUGCCAACUGGGGUUGGUGGCUUGUGUUCUGGGAGUGGCUUCUCCCCCUUGGGAGGUUUUUCCAAUGGGGUUGGUUUGUGUUCAGGAGGUGGCUUCUCCACUGGAGGCUUGUGUUCAGGAGGUGGCUUCUCCACCGGUGGCUUGUGUUCAGGAGGUGGCUUCUCCACCGGAGGCUUAUGCUCUGGUGGUGGCUUCUCCACCGGAGGCUUAUGCUCUGGUGGUGGCUUCUUGAAUGGGGGAUGCUGAGGGUAAUCAGCAAGUGAGGGGGCGGUGAGAACCACCAGGCCAAGCAACACCACUAGCAAAUAUGUAGGAGACAUCUUUGGGUUUGGGCUCAGAUGGUGCAAAACUAGGAGAAUUGGCUAGCCUUUUAUAGCGGAUCGUACUCAAUAAUGAAAUGACACGUGUCAUUAUGACCCAUGUGUAAUGGGGUCGAUUUGGGUCCUACAGUGUUGAAAACUUCGACAUCCAGUUUUGGCCUUUUGCUUUCUCUACAGCCGCCUUGCUUUUUCCCUCUUUCCUUUUGUUUUCCUCCUGCCCCAUUCUAUCAACUAAACACAAUUAUGUAGUUGUUUAAUUCUUAAAUGAGAUAUUAUCGGUCAAUCGUAUUAUAUUUUAUCAAGAGAGAACGGAGUGCAAUGCAGCUGUAAUUUUAUCGUUUACUUUUAUCUCUUGGACCACUGCAUUUUUGUUAAGAGGUGCAAUAAUACACGUCUUUAUCUGCCAUUCAAUGUUUACAGUAAAGAGAGGGCACAAAACUCUUCACUGCUCUGCAUGUGUCCCAAAAAUGCGAUUGGACAAAUUAUGAUUUGCAUGCUAAAAAGAGGCAAAUGAGGUUAAUUCGCACCAUAAUUAUUUGGUUUUCUGGACACCAUAAAAAGAUGUUAUACAGGCAGGGAAAAACCUUCAGAGUUAGCUACCAAAGAUAAUUAUCAAGCAGAUAUCACCAAGAGAAUUCCAUAGAGUCUGAAUCAAAGACAGAUUGCUCGCUCGUGGGGGUUCUUACUUUCUUUUGGGUAUAACUCACUGAGGUCACUGUCUUUUUUAUUUGCAUUUCACAGUUAGAGUUCUGCUCUGGAAGGUUUGUUCUGGAAACAUAUAAAAGGAGCAUCAUUUUGUUCUUGGGUAACCCAUAGUCGUGAGUGGGUCCAUUUGCAUGCUACUUAGUUGAAAAGUUGGACAAUUUGCUCCGACGCCUACCUCCUGGAUUCCAUGCUCGGUAAAACAAGAAUAAAAAAAAAUAUAUAAUUUACAAAUGGGGGAAAGAAAAAAUGUCGGAAAAAAUAGUAAAAUUCAUGUCACAUGCUAGUGAGAGAAGGGGUUGUUACACUCACUCGAAGUUCUUUUCAAAAUAUCGAAUGGUAUUUUACUUUAUGUGUCAGCGCAGUUGUGAAUGGAACGUGCAAAAGUCCAAAUUGGCGUUUUUAUUUUUCCCAUGUAGGAUGGUGACCUUUAAUAAAUAUUUAAAACAAAAGACGAAAAAAAAAAGGAGGGAAAAGGGAUCACAAAAGAUAAAAUAAUGUUUACAAAAGCUCAAUUAGUUUGCAAAUUACUGUUUGGAUUUUGAUAGUAUUUUAUUUGUCGUUCUAUAUUUGAUGUAAAAGAGAAUUUAAGAUAUUUCCGAAGCAAAAGCAUUAGUUUGCUCUGUGAUGUCCCACAUCGAAUAGGGGAGAAAGUUUCUGGCGCUAUAUAUGUAGAGGCUCCUCUUAACCAAGUAGAUGCGUUUUAAAACCAUGAGGGCCCCCUUAGGUCCAAAGCGGACAAUAUCUACAUGAUUGGGUGUAAGUCAUUACAAAUGGUAUCAGAGCCGAUCCCCGACCCCGGUGUGGGGGUUUGUUUGGCCCUGUAAGGGGUGUUUGUCUGUUUGACCCCACAAUCCCAUGGGACACAACGAGGACGUUGUGUCUGCAUGGGGGGGCGUUUGUGAUGUCCCACAUCGGAUAGGGGAGAAAGUUCCUAGUGCUAUAUAUGUAGAUGUUUCUCUUAACCAAGUAGAUGCAUUUUAAAAUUGUGAGGGCCUCUUUGGGCCCAAAGCGGACAAUAUCUACAUGGUUGAGUGUAAGUCAUUACAUGCUCCAUGUCAAUUUCAGCAUUUCUCAUAUGUUUCACACAUACACAGAAGAGCAUCGUUUUUUAAAGCAUGCAUUUAUGUUGGAUUAAUUUGGAUUUUGUGGGAACUGGGGCAAGGAUCACAUGGAAGAGAGGUUGACUUUUUUCAGUACUUCAAUGGUUGAAAUAUGUGAAGGCUUGAUUGAUACUAAAGCUUGAAAUUGCGACUCUGUCAUUUGUAAAAAAAUAUGACAGCUUCCAUGCUCUCGUUUGGUUGCAUUGUCCGGUCGAGAGGUGCAAAAAGCAUUCUCUCUCUUCUAAUAGUCUUUUCGUUUAAAUCAAGGGAUUUGCCUUCCCGGUCGAGGUCCAAUAGAGGGUAACGGUCACCUACUAAACAUUAAAUGCUCCAACAACUAGUGAACUGAUCGACCCCAGCUCGACUAGUUGAGGUUACUUUUUGGUUUUCUUGUCUCCCGAGGUUAGAAACCUAUAAAUAGAGAGCUUCACUUCAUUUAUGAGUAAGAGAACACCUAAAUUUAUUUGUUUACCUACUUGUUUUUGCCAUAAAAGCUCUCAUUUCUUUUCUUGGUGUAUUAAAUCUCCAUUUGCAUAUCCUUUAGUGCACCUUUGUGAUUCAUUCUAGCCUUGAGUUGUAUUUAAGCCUUUGUUGAGCUAGGUUGAGAGUUUCAUACUUGUUUAUUGAGUGUUAAAGCCUUCAAGUGAGUUAAAACUUGAAGAGAUUGUGUAAGAGCCCAUUGGAGUCGGAAUCCAAGUGUAAAGGUGAUUAAAAGCUUGGUUGAAGCUUCAAGUUAGUGGAACUCUCACUCGGUUAUGAGCUUGAGAAGAGUGGACAUAGACAAGGCAGUGUCGAACCACUAUAAAAUCUGAGUUUGAUUUCUCUAACCUUAUCUCUUUAUAUUUGCUUCUCUUGUGCUUAAAUUUUUUGUGUUUAAAAAGAAUUUUUAAAAACUCAAUUCACCCCCUUCUUGGGAGUUUUUCUCUUUUAAGAUCAGCUUUUAUUUUCUCAAUUGGUAUCAGAACUAUGCCUCUUGUUUAAGACUUAAUCGUCUAAGAGGAAAUGGCUAAUCCAUCAAGUUCAUCUCACAUUGAAAGUUUUGCAACCAAUAGACUUCUUUUUUUUUUUUUGCGGGAACUGAUUAUCCCUAUUGGAAAACUAAAAUGACUUGGUUUUUACAAUCAAUUGAUUUAGAUGUAUGAGAUGCCAUUGAAGAUGACCUAACUUUUCCUUCAAAACUAGUUGAUGGAGUCAUGGUUCCAAAACCUAAGCAAGAAUGGGAUGAGCGUGAUUGAAGAAAUUUUCAAUUAAAUGCUAAAGUCGUUUAUACUUUGCAAUGCUCUAUGGACAGAAAUGAAUAUAAUAGAAUAUGUCAAUGCAAAUCGGUUAAAGAAAUUUGGAGAUUGCUUGAAAUAACUCAUAAAGGAACAAAUCAAGUUAAAGAGUCAAAAAUCAAUUUACUUGUUCAUAGAUAUGAAUUGUUUUUUAUGAAAGAUAAUGAAACUAUUGUUAAGAUGAUCACUAGGUUCACCAACAUUGUUAAUGGUCUUAAAGCCUUGGGAAAGACCUACAAGGAAUCCGAAAACGUGAUGAAGAUCUUGAGGUCACUUCCAUCAAAGUGGCAUACCAAGGUCACCGCAAUUUAAGAAGCAAAAGACUUGAUCAAGCUACCUUUGGAGGAGUUCAUAGGGUCAUUGAUGACAUAUGAAAUCAAUUUGGCAAAGAAGUAACAAAAAGGUGAAGACAAAAAGAAGAAGAACAUAACUCUCAAAGCUACAACUAAGGAAGAAGAAGUUGAAGAAGAAAAACAAAUUGAAGAAGAUGAAGAUUUAGCCCUCAUCACAAGAAAGUUCAACAAAUUCAUGAGGGGUGAAAGGUUUAGAAGAAGAAGGUUCACUUCUAGAAGAGACUUUUCUAAAAAGGAAUCUUCAUCUAAUGGUGACAAAAAGAGAUGGGAAGAGAAAAGAGACUUGGUGUGUUUCAAGUGCAAGAAACCGGGACACAUUAAAUAUGAUUGUCCUCUCUACAAAAGUGAAGUCAAGAGGAAAAAGAAUAAGGCAAUGAUGGCCACUUAGAGUGAAAGUGAAGAUGAAUCAUCCGAAGAAGAAAAUGAGAAAGAAGUGGCAAACAUGUGUUUCAUGGCAAUAGAUGAACUUGAUGAGGUAAAAUCUAACCUUAGUGAUUAAGAUAUACAUGAUGCAUUUGAAGAAUUGUAUGAGGAUUUUUAAAAACUUAGUUUGAAAAAUAUUUCUCUUAAAAAGAAAGUUCAACAACUUGACAAAGAACUUAGAGAAGUAAAAGAAAAAUUUUCAAAUGUUAAAGUUUCUAAAACUCAUCUUGAAAAAGAAAAUGAGAUUCUAAGAAAGAAAAAUGAAUAGUUGAACUCCUCUCUUUCAAUCUUUUCUUCUAGACAAAAAUCUUUUGAAAUGAUUCUAACUAGCUAAAAAUGUGUUUUUGACAAACAAGGGUUAAGAUUUAAAUCUUCAAAAAAUCAAAAGUAUUUUAAAAACUAUUUUGUAAAGGAAUCCACAAGUGCAAGUCCUUCCACUACUUGCAACUUUUGUGGAAGAGAAUGGCACAUUAGUAGUACGCCCUUUAAGAAAUGGUUCUCAAAAGAAUUUAAAUGCAAAAACUAAAAAAGAUUUGGAUUGAGAAAUCCAAGGUCACUAACCCUCAAGGACCCAAAAAGAUAUAGGUACCUAAAUCAACUUGAGUUUUAUGUUGUAAGGUUCAAAGAAUGAUAAGUGGUUCUUAGAUAAUGGUUGCUCAAGACACAUGACCGGAGAUGAAUCCAAGUUUGCUUUUCUUAAAAAGAAAAAUGGAGGAUAUGUUACCUUUGGAGACAAUGCAAAAGAAAGGAUGAUUGGUCAAGGCAACAUUGGUAAUGGCACAUCCUCUCUCAUUGAAAGUGUUUUAUUAGUAGAUGGUUUCAAACAUAACCUUUUAAGCAUUAGUCAAUUUUGCGACAAAGGUUUUUAAGUGAUUUUUUAAGCAUCUCAUUGCAUCAUCAAGGAUAUUCAAAAUGAUAAAACCAUUUUCAUGGGCCAUAGAUGUGAUAAUGUUUAUGCUAUAAAUAUUUCAAAAUAUGAUGGCCAUGAUAGAUGUUUUUCAAGCAUGCAUGAUCAAAGUUGGUUGUGCCAUAGGAGAUUGAGACAUGCUAACAUAGACCUCAUUUCCCAACUCAACAAAGAUGAACUUGUUAGAGGCCUUCCCAAAAUAAUUUUUUAAAAAGAUAAAGUUUGUGAAGCUUGUCAAGUGGGAAAGUAAAUCAAAAACUCUUUUAAAAACAAAAACUUCAUUUCCACAUCUAGGCCACUUGAGUUGUUGCAUAUGGAUUUAUUUGGUCCCUCUAGGACACCAAGUCUUAGAGGAAAUUCUUAUGCAUAUGCUAUUGUGGACGACUUCUCUAGAUACACAUGAGUCUUGUUUUUUAGUCAAAAGAAUAAAGUUUUUUAUGAGUUUUCAAAGUUUUGCAAUAAGAUUCAAAAUGAAAAAGGUUUUUCAAUUACUUAUAUAAGAAGUGAUCAUGGGAGAGAAUUCGAAAAUAUUGAUUUUGAAGAGUAUUGCAAUGAGCAUGGAAUUGACCACAAUUUUUUGGCUCUUAGAACUCCUCAACAAAAUGGGGUAGUUGAAAGGAAAAAUAGAACUCUUCAAAAAAUGACAAGAACCAUACUAAAUGAAAACAACUUACCAAAAUAUUUUUAGGCCAAAACGGUUAACACUUCUUGUUAUGUUUUAAAUAGAGUAUUAUUGAGGCUCAUACUUAAGAAAACUCCCUAUGAGCUUUGGAAAAACAAAAAACCCAACAUUAGUUAUUCCAAAGUCUUUGGAUGCAAUAUUUUAUAAUAAACACCAAAGACAAUCUUGGAAAAUUUGAUGCAAAAUUGGAUGUUGGAAUUUUCCUUGGUUACUCAACUUCAAGUAAAGCUUUUCGAGUUUUAACAAAAGAACCAUGGUUGUAGAGGAGUCCAUCCAUGUUAUUUUUUAUGAAUCUCCAAGAAAGAGAGAGGAUUGAUGAUGAUUUAGGUUUGAAGACCUCUAUAGGAAGAUUGCAAAUCGAAGAUAGAAGACAACAAGAAGAAAAUGGAGAGAAUCCAAAGAAAGAAGGAUCACCAUUGGCACUACCCCCUCAUCAACAAGCGCAAGGUGAAUCAAGUCAAGAGCUUCCUAAAGAAUGGAAGUUUGUCAUCAAUCACCCACAAGAUCAAAUUAUAGGCAAUCCAUCUAGUGGGGUAAGAACUAGAUCCUCUCUUAGAAAUAUUUGCAAUAAUCUAGCUUUUAUCUCUCAAAUUGAGCCUAAAAAUAUAAAUGAUGUUUUAGAUGAUGAAAAUUGGAUAAUUGCAAUGCAAGAAGAGUUAAAUCCAUUUGAAAGAAGUGGAGUAUGGGAAUUAGUACCAAGACCUUCAAAUCAAAGUGUUAUUGGAACUAGAUGGAUCUUUAGAAAUAAAAUGGAUGAAAAUAGCAUAAUUGUUAGAAAUAAAGCAAGAUUGGUAGCCCAAGGUUUUAAUCAAGAAGAAAUGAUAGAUUAUGAAGAAACCUUUGCCCCCGUAGCUAGGUUGGAAGCCAUUAGGAUGCUACUUGCCUUUGCAUGUUUUAAAGACUUUGUUUUAUAUCAAAUGGAUGUGAAAAGUGCUUUUUUAAAUGGUUUUAUAAAUGAAGAAGUAUAUGUUGAACAACCACCCGGUUUUCAAAGUUUCAACUUUCCUAACCAUGUUUUUAAACUUAAAAAGACACUUUAUGGUUUGAAACAAGCACCUAGAUCAUGGUAUGAAAAAUUGAGUAAAUUUCUUUUGAAAAAAAUGUUUUAAAAUGGGAAAAAUUGACACAACUCUUUUUAUAAAAACCAAAGAAAAUGAUAUGCUCUUAGUUCAAAUAUAUAUUGAUGAUAUCAUUUUUGGUGCUACUAAUGUCUCUCUUUAUGAAGAAUUUUCUAAGUGCAUGCAUAGUGAGUUUGAAAUGAGCAUGAUAGGAGAACUCAACUUCUUCCUUGGACUUCAAAUCAAGCAACUAAAGGAAUGAACCUUCAUCAAUCAAGCAAAGUAUAUAAGAGAUCUUCUCAAAAGGUUCAACAUGGAAGAAGCCAAAACAAUGAAGACUCUAAUGAGCUCAUCCAUUAAGCUUGAUAAGGAUGAGAAAGGUAAAUCCAUUGACUCUAUUAUGUAUAGAGGCAUGAUAGGUUCUUUGCUCUAUUUGACCACUAGUAGACCUUACAUUAUGUAUAGUGUGUGUUUGUGUACUAGAUUUCAAUCUUGUCUUAAAAAAUCUCACUUAAGUGUCGUGAAAAGAAUCCUCAAAUAUUUGAAAGGGACAAUGGACAUAGGCUUAUGGUAUCCUAAGAGUGAUAACUUUGAAUUAAUUGGUUUUUUGGAUGCUGAUUUUGUCAGUUGUAGGGUUGAAAAAUAAAACACUAGUGGCACUUUUCAUUUCUUAAGACACUUACUUGUCUCAUGGCAUAAUAAGAAGCAAAAUUUGGUAGCUUUGUCAACAGCAGAAGCUAAAUACAUAGCAACUGGUUUAUGUUGUGCACAAAUCCUUUGGAUGAAAUAAACACUUAGUGAUUUUGAUUUAUCUUUUGAGCAUAUUCCUAUUAAAUGUGAUAAUAGUAGUGCCAUAAGUAUAUCAAAAAAUCUCGUGCAACACUCUAGGACUAAGCAUAUAGAGAUUAGACAUAAUUUUCUUAGAUAUCAUACACAAAAGGAUGAUAUAACACUUGAAUUUGUAAGCAUAAAAGACCAACUUGCCGAUAUCUUUACAAAACCUCUAAGAACAUUUUGUUGAUAUUAGAGGACAAUUAGGAGUGAUUUCUUUAUGAUCUAAUGUGAUGAAUUCUUGAUGAAUAUACUUUUUGAUUGCAUGAAUUUCAUGUCAUAUAUGCAUCAUAUAGAAAUAUACUUAGAUAAUGGUCAAAUUUCGACCAAAAAUCAAAAUUCCCAUGGCAUUAGGCAUAAAAAUUUUGGAAUUUCAACUGAAAAUGGUAGGAGGAGGAUCACAAAAUGAGAAAGUAUGCAAAAAUUGAAAAAUCAAAACGUUGACCAAGCGGUCAAUCGGACUAGACCGAUCGACUAGUUUGUCGAGAUUUAGGAUUUUUAAGAGACUCCAACGCUUCAAUUUUUGCACCGUUCUCCUCUAUUUCUUCACGGUUUCUCUGAUUUUGUCUUUUAGAGACUAAUUUGAGUGCGUUUUGGAUCAAUUGAAGCAUUUUGGAUUGGAUUUUAGGAAGAUUGAAAGUUAAGGUUUCGGAUUUGGGUCGCCUUCUCUUCCUCUCGCGUGUCACAAUCAGCUUUAGCAUUGUUCUCUUUCCAUUUUCACACACCUAGGGUUUCAGUUGUGAGCAUCUCUCUCUCUUUACCAACCACUACUCCCUUGCUUCUUCCAUAUGGCUCCUAGGCGAGAGUCCGCUACUUCUAGGGCACAAGGCAAGCACCCAACUGAGUCGUCUCAGUCAAAGGCACGUCGAAAAGUGAGAUUUGACAUUGCCUUGUUCAGUUCCAUGGAGGACUACCAACUAUACAAGCAACACUUUGCUUAGAGACGAGUAGUUCCCAAGAGAAAUAUUAAUUUUCCUCAACUUCAGCAUUUCGAAUUUAAGGGUCUAUUUACUAGGAUGGUUGGUUGUCUAUUGUCACAAUUUCGGAGCCGGUUUUCCUGACCUUAGUGCGAGUUUUUUACUCGAGGGCGACUUAUGGCAUGGGUGGCAUGAUCAUUUCUACUGUUGGAGGAGUUGAGAUCUGUCUGGACCCAGAGAGCAUCUGCCAUAUUUUCGAUAUUGCUCUGGUUGGACUCAAAGUAUACAAGUCCAAAAUGUGGCCCAUUGUGCCAGGAUUUGAGCUUAGAGAGGUCAUUCAGAGGAUUUGUGAACUUCCAGACGCCCAGGAGAUGGGCAAACCAUUGCCACACAGUUUGACGGUCAUCAACAGGGUGCUACACCAUAUAUUGUGCUCUAUCUUUCUACCACGAAGUGGACAUUGAGAUGAGGUCUCUUAUUAUGAGGCAUUCCUUAUUGACUCCAUUCUAACGGAGAGACGAAUUCAUCUACUAUGUCAUCAUUCACUAAGCCUCCUCACAGUGACAUACCACCUCAUCAGGCACCUCUUGCUCCUGACCAUGCUCCAUUGAUGGAUUUAUUUACUCAUAUUAGCUCUCUAGGCACUCGCAUGAAGGAGUUUGUUGUAGUUAGUGAUACAUGGUUCUACUCCAUAGAGGAUCGCAUGGAUCAGUAUCAGACUGGCUUCACGUCACAGUUUGAGUAUCUCCAAUAGAGGAUUGAGCAUAUUGAGGAUCACUUGAGCAUGAGAAGAUGAUGGCUUUUCUAUGCUCUGUGUUUCCACCUCCACCUCGUCAACCUUGAUUUCUUAGAGACCCAUUGUUUUCAUUUUGUAAUGUUGCCAAAAGGGGGAGAUAUUUAGGAUCUAGGACUCUAUAGGAGACUUACAUGCAUAUCAUUUUCAUAUCAUUGUUUGGAUCGUACAUAUUGGAUAGUGAUACUUUUUACUUAUAUAUGAUAUGCCUAUAUGUUUCAUGUCUUACAUUGUUUCUUAUUGCAAAUUAUCUCUAACAUGUCUUGAUUAUCUUUUUUUUAACUUCAUAAAUUUUGAUUGUUAACCCAUGAUUGGUUUGAGGGGAAGAUUCUUCUUCUCCUAGAUAACCAAGGUUUGUCAUCAUAAAAAAAUUGGAGAUUGUUAGCCCAAGGGUUCUCCUAAUCAUGUUUUGAUGAUAACAAACCAUGCUUAAGUUACUAAUUGGUUUGAAUUAUAAAGAAUUUCAAGUGUUAAUUUGAAAAUUCAUCAAAGAACCUAAUGGAUGCAAGAUCAAGAUUUUUGGAAGACCUUUAAUCAUAAGAAACAUAUGUAAGAUGAAUGCAUGGGUGCACUUAAGAUUUGCAUAUCAUUUCAUGCAUAUUUGGAAAACACGGUUUAUGCUUUAAAGUUACAUUUCCAUCAAAAUUUGAGAUCCAUCAAAUGAACCUUAGGAAAAAUGUUUUAAAAUUGGCAUAUAAUUUUACCUAAAGACCUUGCCUAAGUGUUAGAAGCAAAAGGACAAAAAAAAUAUAGGUUUUCUGGUCAAAAAUGGUGAACCAGUCAAGGCAUUGUCUAAAUCAGCUCAAUCGGCCAAGGUACCGGUCGAUCGGUUUCCCUUUCCCUGUCGAGAUCUAGUCAAGAGGUACAAAAAUCACAAUCUCUGUCUCUUUCUCUCUUUGUCUAUCUUCCAGUAGUCUUUCCUUCCCGGUCGAGGGAUUUGCCUUCCCGAUUGAGGUCCGAUUGAGAGUAAUAGUCACUUGCCAAAUAUUAAAUGCUCCAACAGUUAGUGAACUGGUCGACCCCCACCUUGCCCAGUUGAGGUUACUUUUUGGUUUUCUUGGCUCCCGAUGUUAGAAACCUAUAAAUAGAGAGUUCCACUUCAUUUAUGAGCAAGAGAACACUUGCAUUUAUUUGUUUACCUACUUGUUCUUGCCUUAAAAGCUCUCAUUUCUUUUCUUGGUGCAUUAAAUCUCCAUUUUGAUAUCCUUUAGUGCACCUUUGUGAUUCAUCUUAGCCUUGAGUUGUAUUUGAGCCCUUUUUUUAGCUAGGUUGAGAGUUUCAUACUUGUUAAUUGAGUGUUAAAGCCUUCAAGUGAGUUGAAACUUGUAGAGAUUAUGUGAGAGUCGAUUGGAGCCGAAAUCCAAGUGUAAAGGUGAUUAGAAGCUUGGUUGAAGCUUCAAGUUAGUGGAAUCCUCACUCAAUUAGGAGCUUGAGGAGAGUGGACGUAGCCAAGGAAGUGUCGAACCACUAUAAAAUUUGAGUUUGAUUUCUCUAACAUUGUCUCUUUAUAUUUGUUUAUCUUGUGCUUAAAUUUAUUGUGUUUAAAAAGAAUUUUUAAAUACCCAAUUCACCCCCCUCUUGGGUGUUUUUCUCUUUUAAAAUUAGCCUUUAUUUUCUCACAAACUAUUGUAGUAUAGUGGUUUUUAGGUGUCAUCCAUUAGGAUGAAUUGUUCUCGGUAAUUAAGGCGUGAAUGAGAGGAGAAUUAAUGAUUGUGAUUAAGUAAAAUUGAUUUGAAAAUUCAUGGUGAAAAAUCAAUUUAACAAUGGUUUCUAAUUGAGAAAAACAAUGAAAUGUGAAAUAAAAUAAAAUUAAUAGGAAAUGAAAUUCUCGAAGUUAGAAUUUUCUAAAAAACAAAUUCCAUGGUGAAUGGAUGUUGAGAUCUAAUUUUCAUCAAGUUAGAUUGAAAACCGAAAUUUUCAUAUAAACUGAUUUUUUAUUUAGUUUUAGGUCUAGAUUUAAUUUCCCUUAAAAUUAGGUUAUUUAAUCCAAGAAAUCAAUUCAAAUCAUAUAUUCAAUUCAUCUUAAAUUAUCUUCCAAUUAUUCACACAAUGCAACUAUUCAAUCUCAUCAAAUCUAGCUUUUAAGAAUUUAAUGAAUCUACCUAGUUUGCAUUGUAAUAGUCAUCCAUGACAAUUUGAAGAGAAAAAUAAUUCAAUUAAUCAAUCACUUGGAUCAAAUUACCUUUGCAAUUAAAGUUCAUUUCUCUAAUUCACCACAGAUUUUGUCUCUAGAUCCUCCUUUCUCAAAGAAAAAUGAGAUUUAGCCACACAUGAUUGGAGAUUUGGUCUCAUAAGGCAUGUUUAGCUAGUGAUAAAAUGAGAGAAAAUAAAGAAAAAUAGAGAAUUCGAUUAAGAAAGAAAAUCUAAAAAAUUCUACAAUUAGAAAUGUCCAAAAAGCUUUUUCAUGAGAAAAUCAAGUUUCUAUUUAUAGGCCAAGGUCAAGUGGACACUUGACAUCAUCUAAGAGGUCUUCCGGAAGCUUCUUCAUCAAGAAAUCUGGAGUUUAAUAAUAAAAUGGUCAUUUCACAAGAGCUCAAACAAUUUCGCAUGAUUAUGUGAAAUAAAAAAUGCAACAACAGCAAUUUACAUCUUCUUGGAGCAUUUCGCAUGACUGUGUGAAAUUUUCACAUGAUCAUGUGGAAUCGACUUGACAACUCUCAUUUAGCCUACAACAUAAUUCCACCUUUUGGUCCAUUUUUCAUAGUCAUGCGAAAUGGAAAUAUUUGAUUUUUAAGUUUUCUUUUGUCAUUUCUUUCAUUUCCUUCUCUUGAUUCCACUUCAACUACCUCCGAAUCCUGGUCCAAACCAAUUGCAUUACUUCUUUCAUUAUGCAUUUGGAUCAUCAUCAACAUUAUUUGUUCUCUUCAAUUUGAUUCAUCUCUUUUGUCACCAAUUUAUCAAAAUCAUACCUUGAAAUGACUCCAAAACUUCAUAAAACUUGUUAGUAACUCUUGCAAGGGCAACAACAUAUUAAUUAAGUGUUUUAGGCAUAGUUACUACUCAAAAGAUGCGAAACUCAUGAUAAUUAUUAUAUAAAAUAUGCUCUUUUUGAGUAGUAAUCAACUUUCUUGCAUAAGCAGACCUUUUAGGGUGGAGUACUAAAGACCAAUAUGCUUGUCCUUGUUGUAAUAAAGAAACUUGCUCUUAUUGAUUGCACCAUGGGAGAAAAUUUUGCUACAUGAGUUAUCAUCAAUUUCUUCCCACCAAUCAUAGAUUUAGACGUGACAAGAGGCCUCUUAAUGGCAAGGAGGAACUGACACUCACACUUAUACAAUUAUCGGGCAUUGAUGUGUUGCAACAAUUAGAAUAACUUACACCAAUUAUGUUGGGGAAGUCACAAAAGGCAAACAUGAAAACUAAAAGGAAAAAAGAAAAAUGUUACAUAUCACCACAACUGGAAAGAAAAAAGUAUUUACUUUCAUUUGCCAUAUUGGAAAGCACUUAUUUUACAUCAUAAUAAUUUAGACAUAAUGCAUAUUGAGAAAAAUGUGUGACAAUAUAAUUGAGACAUUGUUCAGUAUUGACGAAGAAACAAGGACAACCUAAAUAGUCAUCUCGAUUUACAAGCUCUAACUAUUAGAAAUGAGAUUCACCCAAUAGAAAGCAGGACCAAAUUUAUUUUGCUUGCAACAUGCUACUCACUCACCCCAAAUGAGAUUAAGGAAUUUUGCAAGUUUUUGAAAUCAAUAAAGGUCCCCAAUGGCUAUUCUUUCAAUAUCUCUCGUUAUGUGCAACUCAAUGAAAGGAAGAUAUAUGAGCUCAAAUUGUAUGAUUGUCAUGUCCUAAUGCAACAACUUCUCUCACUUGUAGUUCGUGGAGUUCUACAUAAGAAUGUUUGUGGAGUUAUCAUAGAAUUGCGUAAUUUUUUCAAGCAAUUGUGCUCAAAGGUGUUAGAAACAAAUCACUUACACCAACUUGAGAACAAUAUUAUUGUCAUACUAUGUAAAAUGGAGCAAAUAUUUCUUCCAUCAUUCUUUGAUAUUAUGGUGCAUUUACUUGUGCAUCUAGUAAGGCAAAGGUUGCAAGACUUGUGCAAUAUUGUUGGAUGUACCUAAUUGAACGAUAUUGUUAUAAUUUCAUAUGAAUCAUUUAAUUUUAUUUUAUAUUAUGUUCAGUUCAUUAACAUGUACAUUGGUCUACAUAUGGAUGAUGAUAGGUACCUAAGCACUUUAAAGUCAUAUGUGCGUAAUAGAACUUUUCUAGAAGGUUCUAUUGUAGAAAGGUACCUUGCAAAAGAAUGUACAACAUUUUAUUCUAGGUACUUGAAUGAUGUGGAAAUAAAGUAUAAUCACAAUGAUAGAAACUUUGUUGGUUUCAACACUAGAGGAGAUGAAAGGGGUUAUCUUUAAACAUAUUGGACAUGCAUUGGGAAAGCCCAUAUUUCAUUAACUUAGUUCAAAAGAGUGGUCACAAGCACAUUUAUAUGUGUUGACAAAUUGCGAAGAUGUCAUACCAUUCAUUGAGUAAAAAAUUUAUUUGAAUUUUAAUUAAAGCUCUAGUUUAUAUCCUUAAUCAAUGUUUUUUAAAUUCACAAGGAGCACAAGCAAACCAUCAAGGCUAGACCACAUAUACGUGUUUGAGACGUAGAUUUAAUUCAUAACAAGGAAUUUAUCAAGUGGUUUGAAAGACAUGUAAGUAUAUUCCUUAUUAUAAGGGAUUUAUUUCACAUUAUGUUUAUAUUGAAUCCAAACCUAUUAUUGAAUUGUAGGUUGAACAAUUACAUAAUGAAGGUCAUAUAUCUGAACACCUUCUCACAUUAUCAUGUGUUCCAAAUUCAUUAGUUACAUGCUUCAAAUGAUAUAUUGUCAAUGGAUUUAGAUCCCACAUUAAAGAACGUGAUAAAAAAGUUUUUAAAAAAAGACUCAGAAUAAUGGAAUUGUUGUAGUUGCAAAAACGUCAAGCUUUACAAGUGCAUGUGAUAUGAGUCCAAUUAUUAGUGAUGCUCUCUACUAUGGUGUUCUAACUAAAGUUGUUGAGUUACAUUAUCUUGGUGAAAAUAAGGUUGUUUUAUUCGAGUUUGAUUGGUGGGAUGUUACAAAUAUUGGAAAAUUGAUAAAAGAUGAUGAGUACAAUUACACAUUUGUUAACUUUGCAUGAAUUCUAACCACGAACGAACGAUUUGUACUUGCAUCUCCAGCAAAGUAAGUGUUCUAUGUGAAGAAUGCGAAUGAAUCAGAUUGGCAUACUAUCAUGGAGAUGCAACCUCAAGACCUCUAUAAGAUGAACGGGAUAGGAUCCAAUGGUGAUUUUGAACCAUUUCAACAAAGUGAACUACAUGAUCACUAAUAUAUCUCAGAUUUAGUUGAUGAAGAUAUAAUCAAGUGGAACAAAAGUGAUGUUUUAGGACUAAUCAUCCUAAAAAAUAUUGUAGUUUCUUAAAAAAAAAAUGAAAAUGAAGAAGAUAAUUGAACCUUUGUCAUACUUUAAAAAGCAACUAUGCAUUGUUCAUUUUGUAUGUUUUGGUUUUCUUCAUUUAAUUUCCUGAUUUUUGUGAUUCAAUGUCAUAUUAUUGAUCUUGAAAUAUUUUUCUAAUUUUUCAUUCUACGAUGGUUUCAACAAGGAUGACAUCAAGUCAAAAAAGGAAAUGUGGUCCCACACACAAUAUUGCAUUACAGGGAUUAAGGUCAGGGAAGAAGGUAAAAGUUGCAUUUAAUGAGUACAAUCAAUUGGUUAAACAGAAAAAUGGAAAACACUUAUCGAGCUACAUAGGGACACUUGUAUCUAACCAACACAAUGUACCUCUCCAAGCUAGUGAUUGGAAAAAUGUUCCAAAUGAUGCAAAAGAGAAAGUAUGGCCUUUGUUUUGGUAUGUUGUAUUUCUCACUAUAUGAUGUCAUUUCACUGUUAUUCUAUUUUGUGACUAACGUUUGAAUCAUAUGUAAGAAAAAUUUGAAGUAGAUAAAGACUGAAAAGAUUACAUGUUGGGUAUAGCCUCAAAUAAAUAUAGAAGCUAUAAAAAUAUGAUGAAUGCAAAAUACUAUGACCCUUGGCAUAAGGAUGCAUGAGGAGAGGUUAAUACAUAAAUCACCAUUUGUCUCUGAUGUUGAUUGGAAGUGGCUUGUCUCUGAUGCAUAAACCAAAUCCCCCACUGAAUGUUUGAUAUUUGAUAGCAGGAAAAACACACCCGCAGCUAUACACCUCCAUCAUUCAGAUAAUUAUAGUGGGGGAGAUGAUUCAUGGUUGCCCUUAUACCCUUUAUUUGCACCAUCUAUUGAGAUUCUUUAUCAUGGCCAGGUUUUACUGCAGCAAUAAGAUAUGGUGGCAACAAUUUUAUCUAUAGGUGCGGUUCCAGACCGCCUCCAUAGGUGCGGUUCCUGACUGCCUCCAUAGGUGCCUCUUCUUGUAAUGUUUGUUCUGGGAAUUACACUUGAAAGCCUUAUCGUGAUAAGGGAUUACAAACACUAGUUCAGAGGACAGCCAUGUUAAACUUCCACUAUGUUUGUGUCACAUUAUCAGCAGCCUAGUGUUUAUUGGUCAUGCUAUCUGCAACUAAUAUAACCCGGUGAACUUCAAUCUAAAUUCUGAAAGUACUCAUGUGACAGAUGGUGCCUUUCAGCAGAUAUCAUCAAUUUAAAAGUAGUGUGUGUGCCUAUAGGUGGGAAGGCCUUGGCAAAUGUUCAGUAUUCCGGUAAUUCAAGAAGGAUAUAUCUAAAAUAGAUUUUCUUCUUGCCCAUUUCAAUAGUUAAAAUUUGAGAAGAUUGUGUCCACAUCACACAAAUAUUAUUGGUCCUUCUGUUGCAAUUUACCUCUGAACAUGUCUUCCAAUUCCCACGGUCCUGUUACUCCAGGAAAACUAUUUCGGUCAUAUUGAAAAAAAAAAUAUUAAAGAAGGUACACAUGCUUUUAAGUGGACUGGGGCAUUCAUAUCAGGUGGUCUGUAUCCACAUAUGCCACUUCGUGAAAGGUGGAACAGCCUAAUCACUAGGCUAUUUAGUGUGGCCCAGCCACGUUAAUCAAGCACAAGUCUUCAUACUUAAAGUCAAAUGGUGUCUUUAGUCUCAUUACACAUCGCUAUUUGAAGAUUAACUCAUCACUAGUGUAAUGCGAUUAAGACAGUCCUAACUCAAUAUUUGUUCUAGUUUUGGAUGCAAAUGCUUGCUGGUUUCAUCAUUGGAUGGGAUAAAGGUGCAAUCAGGACUAUGAAUACGUGCAGUAAUACUUCAUUCUCUUUUUUCUCAAUGAGACUUCUUGGCACAAUUUUGCUGCUCAGCAACCUACCUUUCCAUGGAAAAUCAGUUGUGACUGAUAGUAAUGGAUAUAUUCUAGAAAGCUAAACAUAGAUAGCAUUCAAUAUUAUCGAUAUAACAUUAACAGCGUAUGUCUCAAUGCUCAUCAGCUACAAGCAAUGGACAAACACUUUGAGUAACUCACAGCAGUCAAAAUUCCUAAACAGGACAGACGUGACAGAUCUAUAUAUAGAACACUGCAUAUGAGUCACAGGAAAAGAUAAUACGGGUACAUAGAAGCUCUUAUUUUACAUAUUACUCAUACUGAUCAAAGUCGCUCAGUUGGGAUGGAUGGGAGAAGGAGGUUUGAGGGGUGGCUUGUGCGGGGAAGUUGGCAGCUUCUUUCCGGGAGCUGGUUGCUUCUUUGCUGGAGUUGAAGGAGGCUUAAUCUUCCGAGGUGGCUUGUAUGAGUCUUCAGCAUUCUCAGCAGGAGGGUGACCAGGGUUGUGACCAUAAUGUGGUGGCUUCUCUCCCUUAGGUGGUUUGCCAACUGGGGUUGGUGGCUUGUUUUCUGGGAGUGGCUUCUCUCCCUUGGGUGGUUUGCCAACUGGGGUUGGUGGCUUGUGUUCUGGGAGUGGCUUCUCCCCCUUGGGAGGUUUUUCGAAUGGGGUGGGUUUGUGUCCUGGUGGUGGCUUCUCUCCCUUGGGAGGUUUACCAAUUGGGGUCGGUGGCUUGUGUUCUGGGAGGGGCUUCUCUCCCUGGGGAGGUUUAGUGGGUGGCUUGUGUUCUGGAGGUGGCUUCUCCACCGGAGGCUUAUGCUCUGGUGGUGGCUUCUCGAAGGGGGGAUGCUCAGGGUAAUCACCAAGUGAGGGGGUGGUGAGAACCACCAUGCCAAGCAACAACACUAGCAAGUAUGUAGUAGACAUCUUUGGGUUUGGACUCAGACAGUGCAAAACUACGAGAAAUCGCUAGCCCUUUAUAGCGGCUCGGACCUAAUACUGACAUAAUAUAAAAUAAAUAUUAUAUUUUAUCAAGAGAGAACAGAGUGUAAUUUUAUCAUUAAUACCGAUCGAGGCCAAAGAAAGAAGACCCAUAAUCCAUUUCCCACAAGCAUACACAAUGCAGCUGUAAUUUUAUCAUUUACUUUUAUCCCUUGGACCACUGCAUUUUUGUUGAGAGACACAAUAACACAUUUUUAUCUGUCAUUCAACAUUUACAGUAAAGAGAGGGCACAAAACGCAAUUAGAUAAAUUAUGUUUUGCCUGCUAAAAAGAGGCAAAUAACUUUAUUUGCAACAUAAUUAUUUUGGUUUCUAGUGACCCCGGGGCCUUUCGGUUGGUUUGGGAUCGGAAAAUGAACAUCAUAGGGGGGGUUGUGCCCUUAUGGGCAUAUAUAUCUGAUAGCUUCAACUGGCCUUGUUCCUAGAAAGAAAUUGCCAAAGAUAUAAACUUAUUCCAGGCUGAAAGUAGAUGAGAGUCAUAAUGAACAUCAACCUUUGUUCAGUUUGAUUCAAUGCCCCCAUAGUGUUCAUUUCACAGAUCUGAAUGAUUAUAUCCGUUGAAUACAUAAAUUAAUGAAGACAAAUAUGAAACCCAAGAUACAUCUCUGCAUAACAACCCCAACCCUGGUUGCUAUGUUUCCCUUCUUCUAUUCACAUGAGGAUACUGGUUAUAAUUGUCAAACUUGCAACAAGCCCUUUGACACCUAACGUCAAUGGACGAAUUAAAAGUCUCCUUCAAACGUCUAUUUCACAGCAUGAAGCUUAUAAAGGAUGCUGACAACCUUCAGAGUUAGCGACAAAAGAUAAUUAUCAAGGAGAGAUAGUUCCAUGAGAAUUCCAAGGAGUCUGAAUCAAAGACAAAUUGCUCACUCAAGGGUUCUUAUUUUCUUUUAGGUACAAAUCUCUUGAGUGUUGUUAAAGAAACACGUCACUGUCAUUUUGAUUUGCAUUUAACAUUUCACUUUUGUUCUGGAAGGUUUGUUCCGGAAACAUAUCAAAUGAGCAUCAUUUUCUUCUUCGGUGACACAUGGUCGCGAGUACGUGGGUCCAUUUUCAUGCCACUUAGUUGAAAAGUUGGAAAGAAAAAACAUGCCAACAAGAAGAUAGUGAGAGAAGGGGCACUUCAAGCCUUUAACAUGAACAAACAGUAAAUAAAAGAUGUUUCUCCACUCAUAAAAGUGUGUUAGAUAGCAAUAUAACGAAUCACAUCCAAAAUCUUUACUAGGCUCAAACAUAAAGAAGACUCAUUUUUAAGAAAAGAUAAAAAUGGCAUUGUCUGAUAGUAUCCAAUACACGAGAUGGCACUUAAUUUGUACAAGAUCUGUCAAUGCUGACGCACAUUUUCUGAUUAAAAAAAAACUGAUCAGUCAAAAGCAAUGAAGAGAAGUGAUGACAAUGAAUGAUGCUUCCAAUAUUUUCACCCCUUAUAGUGUUCUUCAUGAUUCAGAUAUAUAAUUGGAAAUAGAACAACCCUAUGCCAUACAUUCGUCUAAGUAUGGUGUCUAAUUUUUUGUGUCAGCGGUUGCGAAUGGAGCGUGCAAAAGUCCAAAUUGGCGUCUCUCCAUUUCCACAUAGGAAGGUGACCUUUAUUGACAAAUACCCAAUAUUUGUAGACAUUCCUUAAAUAUCAUAACUUCUUGUUGAUUUGAAAAUCAUUUUUCAACUACCAUGUUUUAAUAAAUAUUUUUUAAAAUGUAUUUUUAUCAAAGUCCACCAUGAUGGAUAAUAUUCACCAUGCAAUAAUUAAUAAAGUACAAACUAAGCGAAAUGAAAAGCAUUUUCUUUGCUUUGAGUUGAUUUUGGUUGCAUUGAGUUGAUUUUGGUUUCAUGGUUUUUUCAACUCUUAUUUUGAUUGGAAGAUGUCAAGAAAAGAAAACAUAAAGAAAAAUUAAAAGGGAAAAAAGAAGAAAAAUAAAAAAAAAUAGAUUUAAAAGUUAAUAAAUUAUUUUUUAUAUUUAUUUUAAUUCAUUUCACUUAUUUUUCUUUUACUAUAUAAAAUUUAAAUAAUUUAAAUUUUAUAAUUAAUUUAAUUACAUUUCAUUUUCUUCUAUAUUUAAAUAUUGGAAAAAUAUUUUACUUAAUAUUUUUUUCUUUAAUUUCUUUGGCAUUUUGGGAACCAAACUUAGCCUUUAAAAUAAAAAACAAAAAAAAAAUGAAAAUAAGGAGGGAAAAGUGAGAAAAGAUAAAAACAAUAUGUAAAGGAUUUGAAAAGUAUUAGUUUGUAAUUACUAUUUGGAUUUCAAUAGUAUUUUAUUUGUCUUUCUAUAUUUCAUGUAAGAGAGAAUUUAAGAUAUUCCCCAAGGCAAAGCAUUAGUUACCUGCAAUCAGUGGUGAUAAGGCUCCAAGCCAAUUUUGGGCCCCAUAUCUUAAGACAGUACAAUUUCCAUUUCAACAUUUCUGAUUUCUCAGAUGUUUCACAUACCACAGAAGAACAUUGUUUGUGAAAAUAUGCAUUUAUGUUGGAUUUUGUAUGCUGUGGGGACUGGGGCAAGGAUCAUAUGGAAGAGUGGUUGACUUUUUCUGUACUUUAACGGUUGAAAUAGGAUAAGCACGGGCAUUUGUGAGGCUUAAUUGAUUUUGAAGCCUGAAAUUGCGUUUCUGUCAUUUUGUCAAAAAAAUGGCAGAUUCCAUACUCAUAUGUUUGGCCUGUGGCCAUGUACAGAUGCCAUUUAGUGACCAGUUUGUAACUGUCAAUCGUUGCGUUUUGACUCUGCCUCAACAACAUCUGCCAUUGACGGGUUUUCAUACUUGCAAAUCAAAUAGUCUUUCGUCCCAUCAGGAAUUUCGGUUUAAAUAUUAUUAAGCAUACGUUUGGCUGACAAUCAUUAUCCAGUUCAUGAUUUGGUUUCUUACCCUUAAUCAAUGGUUUCUAAGUGAAUAUAUGUAGAAGGAAAUCCGAAGUGUAGACAGUAGUAUCGAUAACUCUCAAUAUUCUCUAUAUAAUAGAAUAAACAGCGUCAUAGUGAUCGUCGCCUACAAGCAAGGUACAAAUACCAAAACGAGUGACUCACAUAGACAUCUCCCAACAAGAUGUAGUAGUGACUGACACAUGGACACAAUUAACUCGUAGAAAAGGAUAAGACCAUUGCACAGCAGCUCUUAUUUUACAUACUACUUAUGCUAACCAAAGUCAAUUAGUUGGGAUGGGUGGGAGAUGGAGGUUUGUGCGGUGGCUUGUGGGGCGGAGUUGAUGGCUUCUUUCCAGGAGCUUCUGGCUUUUUCAUCGGAGCUGAAGGAGGCUCAAUCUUAUGAGGCGGCUUGUAUGAGUCUUCUUUACUCUCGACAGGAGGGUGGCCAGGGUUGUGAUCAUAAUGUGGUGGCUUCUCUCCCUUAGGUGGCUUGCCAACUGGGGUUGGUGGCUUGUGUUCAGGAAGUGGUUUCUCUCCCAUGGGAGGUUUAGCAAUUGGGGUUGGUGGCUUGUGUUCUGGGAGUGGCUUCUCUCCCUUGGGAGGUUUAGUAGGUGACUUGUGUUCUGGAGGUGGCUUCUCCACCGGAGGCUUGUGCUCCGGUGGUGGCUUCUUGGUUGGAGGGGGCUUGGGGUAAUCAGCAAGAGAUGGGGUGGUGAGAACCACCAGUCCAAGGAACAACACUAGCAAGUAUGUGGGAGACAUUUUUGAGUUUGGGCUGAUCAGAUGAUGCAAAACUAAAGCAUUACGUGACCUUUUAUAGCAUGUAGCUCCCAAUACCCACUAAGUAUUGUGGGGUCCAUUUGUGCCCUACGGGGUUGAAAACUUAGACAAUUGGGCAAGGACCCACCUGACUAUGGAGGACUAGUGAGGUGUGAUCAUAGCUUUAGGAUUUUUCUUCCUCUGCAGCCGUCGUGCCGUUGGCAUGAUUUUCUUAAUCUUAAAUAAAGGCAUAGUUAUAGAGUUGUUUAAUCUCUAAAUGGGAUUUUAUAUAUAUCUUCAGAUAGCCAUUAAUAUAUUUGAUGAAGAAAGAAAGACAAGUGCAUACAACAUGUAUACGACUAGCUUUCAUGGAGUUCAUUUAUGAUCAGUUUUCCUGUACAUGUAAACCAGGAUCAUAUAUAUGUUUCUGUUCCACAACUAUUUUGGAAUCUUGUUUAUCAGUUUUUAUCAUUAUAAUGUCACAUAGGCUGCCAACUUGGGCGCUAAAAGAACCAGUUGGGCUAGUUCGUUUCAGAAUUUCAAUGUGGAUUCAGGAAUUGUUUUGUAAGAUAUGCGAAAUAGUAGAGGGAUGAAUAGUGUUUCAUUAAUAAAAGUGUCCUGUAAAUUAGAAGGUGUCAUAGAAACUAUAAUCAAUAAAUAACUUUUUUUCCCCACGGGUGGUGUUUCUUGUGGGGAUCAGUGACUGGUUUAGGUUCACCCAAAAUGAGUUCAGACUAAAAUUGGUUUGAGUCAAUGCCGUGUCUCUUUUUUCCAGAAAUCAACUAUUUUAUGCAUUGAAUAAAUCAUACAAAGAAAAUAUGAACGCCCGCAAAACCUAAACCCUGGUUGCUAACUUUCUAUGUUUCAGUUCUAUUCACGCAAGAAUAUUAGUUUAAGUUUGGGAAAAAUGGCAACUUACCUAGUGAUUACUUGGUUUUGGUUUGCGACUAUUUACGCAACCAACCAUGAGUUUGACUUUAACGUCAUGGGUUGAAGCCUCCUACAGGAAGGGAGAAAGCUCCACAGCUAGCUCCAAAAGAGAAUUAUCACAUUGAUAGCUCCAGAGAUUCCCAAGGGGACUGAAUCAAAGACAAGUUCCUCACUUUUUCUUCUUUUGAGGCCAAAUAUGAACCAAGGAUCACACAACCUCAUUCAACUUCAUAAGUUUGAUUUCAUGCAGUUGAACACUGGGUGAAGGCCAUGACAAGAAUUGAUUCAAAAAUUCUAUCACUCUUUUAAGUAAUGGAAGAUUAUUAUCUCUGAUUGGCAUCACAACAGCACAUGCUCCUAGAUCUUUCUAGACACUCCAUGCAAUGAAAGCACAAUGGAUCUUGUAACGAUAGAAACUAAGCCAUGCUACAGUACUAGAUGAUGAGGUAAAACUAGUAGACACGGGUGGCAGCCUAUAUGGGAGGGACACAAGUCUAAUUGAUUUGCAUUUCAGCAUUAUAGAUAGGUAUGUUUUGGAAGAUUUGUUCUGGAAAUACCGCACCAAGUAGGAUUCUUUUUCUCUUUAGUGGGUCCACUUGCAUGCCAAUUAACGAGUUGAAAAGUAUGAGCACCUACCUCGUGCUCGUGGAACCGAAGGUCAGUGAAGUGGGGCUCCUUUUGGCCUCGUGUAAACUUGAUUCAGAAGUGAAGUUAAUAGUCUUCCAUUCAGAUGGAUACAUGGGAAUUUUUCUCUUUUAUUUAUUUAUUUAUUUUUUUUUUGUGUGUGUAUGUCAAAGGAUAAUGAAUGAAGCGCGUUAGCUUGUUUUCUGACUGGAACCGCAGAUGUCCAAAUUGGAGUUCCUUCAUUUCUUACUUAGGAUUGUUACAUGUAUAAACAAGGUAUAAGAAAUAUGCCAACGUGUCUUGAGGAGUUAUUGAUUAGAAAUAACAAGUCACCCGACUGUAGAGUUCCAAGAUUUGAAUCUUCAGACCCUAUAGCAGCCUCUGGGGUACGUGGCAUCCUAUAGCAUAUUAAUGAAGGCUUUUUCGAUUUAGACUUCACAAUACCAAUUAAUAUGUAUGCACAAAAUGGAGAUGACCCCAAAAAAAACAGAAUCGCCAUAGUUUAUGAGGUUAAGGUGAUUCUCCACUUAAUAUCUACAUUAGCUAAUUAUGUAAAUCAAAUGAACUUCUAUUUUUCCUUUUUUUUUUUGGUUUAUGUCAAAUAGUAGCCCAUAAUUAACCCAACCAUUAGCCUGUUUGAAUUGAUUUCACAUGCACAAUGUUGUAGUAGUUCAUAUUUUGAAUUUUAUUUUUACAAAGGUAGUUAAGGAAAAUGAAGUAUAAUAAUUAUAAAAGCAGACUAUAUACACUACAAUAAUUGUUAGAAUGGUAUCUCAAAUUCUAAUUUAAAAUAUUAUUUUUUGUAAAAGAAAUAUUAUAUAGAAUAUUUCCUAAUUUUAUAAAUGAUUAUAAUUAGAUCUUUAUAAAAUAAGGAAAGUUGGUAAGAAUAUCUUUAUAAAUAUUUUAGGUCAUGAGAGAAAGAAAUGGGAUAAAAAUGUGAUGAAGAGGUGAAAUAAGAGAGUUGAUUAGGAUAUAGAUGUGAAGAAGAAAGGGAUUCAAUAUAUAUAUAUCUUUCAAUUACCACAUUAAAACCCUGUGAACCUUUUAUAUGGUUUACUUUAUUUUUAUAUUCCUCCUUUAAUAUAUUUACAUUAAUGCUUCCAUUGGCACAACAAUAACGAAUUACAAAUACAAGCAACAAGUCCCAUGUUUUAUUACCAAAAGCAGGUAAAAUCCACCUAAUAUAUUACAAUAUAUUCAUCCAAUAUUUUAGACCAAUUCUUCACCAUAAAUAUCAUAAUGUGGCUUUUGUUCUUUCUUAAAUUUAAAUUGAAUUGUCUUAUAUCAAUUUGUUUGUGAUUUUUUCAUUAACUUCACUUUCAUUUGGUUAUCUUUGGUUUUUGAAAAGUAUUAAGGAAUUAAUUAACAAAAUAAUGUUAAGAAAAAUAAUUUUCUCUCUUUUGAUUUUGAUUUUGUAGUAGAAAAAUAUAAUUAAAAUUAUUUAAAAAGUAUGUAAUUUUAAAUUAUUUAAUAUUUAGAUAAAAAAAAUAAGUCUAAUGAGUUUAAAAUAACAUAUAAAAAUAAUUUAUUUAUUUUAAAUUUAUUUUUUAUUUUCCAUUAUGUUCUCUUUCUCUUUUACUUUUUCAUAUUUUUUCUUACGAAGAAUCAAACACAACCUCAUAUUAUAUGUCAAGUGUUUGUCUAUAUUUGAGCAAUGUUAGAUACGGCCAUGGAUUCAUCAAACUAAACUGAUUUUAAUAGAUACUUCACAAAUUGAUUUAUACACUAAAUCAUUGGAUAGCAAUGAUGCAUUGGAAUUAAACGUAGGAUGAAGCUCGAAGAACACUGUUUGUGUAACAACAUAUUUAUGAAAUUAUGCAAAGGAUGAGCUUCGGGGUAGUAGUACAAGGUCAUUAAUGGAGAGCCGUGUUAAACCUUGAUUGUGAUUGGAUUCCGUUAUCAGCAACAGCAACCUUGUUUGUAACCUUGAAAGUCAUUCUGUCCACAUCGAAACUCCAAUUUGACGUUUGUAAUUACCAUUCCUGGAGUGUUCCUUGAUUGAAAUUUAAAUAAUAAUUGCGGCCCACAAGGAAUAUUUUCGAUUCUGUGGGAAUUUGACAAGGUUUGUUAGAGAAGACUGGUGACAUGUUGACUUCAAUGGUUCAAAUAGGAGACGUAUGUGGAUUUGGGGGGUUUAAUUGAAACUGAGUCCCUAUGGCUUUUUAAUAUUUGCAUUGAGCAGUCUCCAUGUGACUUCCUAAUUCCCACCAACCCUCCUGUCCAUGCUGUGAAACUAAAUUGUAAUUUAUCAGCCUUUGUCAAUGGUUUCUAAAUUAAAGAUAUAGACCAUGCAUGUACUUUAAUAAAAGCAAAUCUAAAGUGUAGAUAGCAGCAAUGGUGACACCCAAUAUUCUCCAUAAAAUAGAAUUAGAAUAAGCAGUGUUACAUUGUUCAUGAUCACCUACAAGCAUACAAGAACUUCCAUGAAUAACUCAUAGCAAUUGCCAACAGGGCGUCGUAGAGACUCAUACAUAGAACACUAUCCACCCAGAGGAAAGGACAAGACCAGUGCGCUGCAGCUCUUAUUUUUCACAUGUAUACCACCACUCGUAAUAACCAAAUUCACUCAGUUGGGAUAGGUGGGAGAUGGUGGUUUGUGGGGUGGCUUGUGGGGAGGAGUUGGAGGAGGCUUUAUUUUCUGAGGCGGCUUGUAUGAGUGUGCAGGAGGAUGCCCGGGAGUGUGACCAUAAUGUGGUGGCUUCUCUCCCGUAGGUGGUUUGCCAAAUGGGCUUGGUGGCUUCUCUCCCUUAGGAGGUUUACCAAUUGGGGUUGGUGGCUUGUGUUCUGGGAGUGGUUUCUCUCCCUUGGUAGGUUUGCCAAUUGGGGUUGGCGGCUUAUGUUCUGGGAGUGGCUUCUCUCCCUUGGGAGGUUUGCUAAUUGGGGUUGGCGGCUUAUGUUCUGGGGGCGGCUUCUCUCCCUUGGGAGGUUUGCCAAUUGGAGUUGGCGGCUUAUGUUCUGGGAGUGGCUUUUCUCCCUUGGGAGGCUUGCCAAUUGGGGUUGGCGGCUUAUGUUCUGGGGGUGGCUUCUCUCCUUUAGGAGGUUUGCCAAUUGGAGUCGGCGGCUUAUGUUCUGGAAGUGGCUUUUUUCCCUUGGGAGGUUUGCCAAUUGGGGUUGGCGGCUUAUGUUCUGGGGGUGGCUUCUCUCCCUUGGGAGGUUUGCCAAUUGGAGUCGGCGGCUUAUGUUCUGGGAGUGGCUUCUCUCCCUUGGGAGGUUUUGUUGGUGGCUUGUGUUCUGGAGAUGGCUUCUCCCCUGGAGGCUUGUGCUCCGGAGGUGGCUUCUGAAAUGGCGGGGGCUUGGGGUAAUGAGCAAGAGAUGGAGUACUGGUGAGAACCACCAUUCCAAGCAACAAUACUAGCAAGCAUGUGGGAGACAUCUUUGAGUAGUUGUAGCUAAGAUGGCGCAACACUGUAGGCAUUGGGUGGCCUUUUAUAAAGGGCUGGACCCAACAGCCAUAUGACACGUGUCAUGAUGACAAAUGAAGUUGAGGGGAUCCAGAUGGGUCCUACUGAGUCGAAAACUUGCACUAAUUGAUCUGGUGAGAUGACUAUUUCUGUCCUUUUGCCCUUCUCGGCCACCCUGUGCUGUUUUCCUUUUGCACGAUUUUCGUUGCCAAACAAGCAAAUAAUAUUUCGCCAAGAAAGAGGAGAGUGAAUGUGGAAUGCAUCAAGUCCCAUCAAGGAUGGCAGAGAAGAAAUAGAAGAUUGCCCAACUGUGAUAAACAUAGCAUACACGUAGCACCAGGAACUUCAUUUACUUCCAUCUAAUGGAACAUAACAAUCUUCUAAAGUUUUUGCAUGAUUUUGUUAUAUGUCUCUUAGCCUAAAGUUGGAAAUGCGCAACAAAUUUUGUCACUUCUCUAUUUCCCACUGAUGAUGUUAAUUAGCCUUCAUAGAUAUCAUCCUUUCUACAAAGUGCUUCAUUUGUGUGUUAUUGUAAAGUGUAAGAAAAGUAAUUGAACAUGUUCUUUUUCCUUUCAUAGAUGACUUUUGAUGUGCAUUUUAAAAGCAGCGCUGUGAGUCGGUGACCUUGAUUCACACGGAAACUAAGGCUCCUAUAGGACCCACUUUUAGCUGGUUAGGGGUGAAGAAAAUAUCAACUUUUCAGAGUGAUUUAAGUCAAGGCCAAGCCUCACUGUGUCAUUACUCGUGUGAAUUUUAUAUGCACAUACAUACAUAAAUAAAGUAUGAGACCCAAAUAACACCUUCCCUUUACAAACUUAACCCCAGCCGCUCUCUUUCAAUUCUUUUCACACAAGGGUAUUGACUCUAUAAAGGUCAAGAAAAUCAUAAUUUCCUAGGGUUUACAAGGUAAUUGGCUUAAUGCUAAUGUGAAAACAUAAAAGAUAAUAGUAUAUUGUAAGCUAACGAAUAUUCUAUAGUUAUAAUUAUUUGUGAUGUGCAUAAAUAAAUCUUCAUAUAUAUAAUGGAACAAUGAAUAAAGAACCAAUGAAAAAAUACUAUAUAUCAUUGCUUGGCAUUUAAACCGUAUAUGCUGCUCUUUCUAGCUACUCCAUCCACUGAAAGACAACAAGGUAAUCCAUGUUAUAAUGAUAGAAGAUACUGUCUCUAGGCUUUUUGUGAUGAAAAAUAUAAGAUAUGGGUAGGGUUGACCCUUGUAUGUUUGUCCUAUAAACACUUCAAAGUAACAUAUUUUUCUUCUUUAGCAACUCAUAAUGAUGGGGUUCAUUUGCAUGUCACUGAGUUGAAAAGUUGGACAAUUGCCCAUGUCGCCUUCCUCCUAGAUUCCGUAGUUCACGGGAAGGUAACUCAAGUUUGACAUAUUUUGAAUUCUUUUCACUCGGACGUCUUCAUAACCUGACAAAACAAAAAUGAAAAACAGAGGAUUGGUAUAUUAUUCAUGGUAAGCCUCAAAUUAUAGUAGUAUGAGAAAGGAGAAAAAGAUUUUGGGAACUCCAAUCUGGAUAAUUCUCGUUUCUUCUCUUGAAUAAAAAUUUCACUUACCUAACUUCGUUUGGAGAAAUGGCAUAUUUUAAUUUUGUACGUCAUUGCUAAUAAAUGGAGCAAUUUAGCAUGUUUUGUGACUGAAACUGCAAAUGUCCAAUUGGCAUUUCUUCAUUUCCCACUUAGGAUCUGAUCUUGUAGACCAUAUAACGAUAUGUAUCUGUGCAAGCAUUGAAAACUAAUGUGAACUAUGAGGAGUUACAAGCCACUGGACUGUAGAGCGAGUGCCAAGAUUUAAAUCUUCAGGCUCUAUCUGGGUAAGGGGAGGAUAGCGACCUAACCUUUUACCAAAGGCUUAGAAUUUAGACUUUUGGAAAAAAAUUUCUCAUGUUUUGGCUGGAUUUCUUGUGCUUGGCGCAAAAAGGAGAUGGCCUCAAGAAAUAGCAGACUCACUUUUGUUUUCAGCCCUUAAUAAUUCUCCACUGCUUUCCAUAACUACAUGGGUUAUACAUGCAGUCUGCUGCAAUAUUCCAGUUAUAUUUAUUAUUUCAAAGAGGGUGAAUGACUUCACAUGCAAUAUGUUGCAGUAACAACCCAAAUUUUGGCACACCAUCUUAAGAAUAGAAAAGUAUAAUAAAAGAAAUCAAUCAGAGAAUCACUUUGCAUGCAGUUCAUAGAGUUCGCCCAAAAUGGAGCCACAUGUACGGACAACCCCACAAUAGACAAUCUUCUCUAUACAGUAAUAAAAUACAGAAAUGGUUAAUGAAGCUCUGUAUUUCCUUAUCAUAUAUGACCGGUUGAAAACUCAGCAAGUCUUCCUCAAUCACAGACAGUUGGAGUUGCUUCAUCAAAAUCAUGCCUUCAUUACUGGCUUCAUUUUGGUUUCAAUGUCUGUUCUACCCUUAAAUUGGGUCUCUGCUUACUACCGGGAUAUCCUUUAGCGUCCUGCAAUUCUACUAGAUUAAAGAGAAUGACUUAAUUCUGCAUUCUGCCGUCCCUAGUCCAAGUGGUACUAGAAUUGAUGUUUCCUUUAGUGUCCUUUCUUCAUACUUUCAGGUUCUUCCCUUGUUUCAAUAAUGCUGUUUUCCUUCAUGUUUAACCUCUGUUGAACCACUUAAAACAACACAAUUUGCACACCAAUGUUUCUUUACAGAAAAGACUGUUUGCAAAAAUGCACAUGUUAUAAGGUUAAUGGAAGAAUUAAUUUGGGGAUAAGGGACUAGGAUUGGGCCAAUGAAGUUUGGUGUUAAAUUUUGAUUAUGAUUGCUUUUCAUUAUCAGGUACCUUAUAUUUGCUGAUGCUAUCUGGAACUAAAUUCAAAUCAGACAUUAUCCGAUUACUAACAGGACAUAUCAUGUCCCUCUGCAGAGUUUCUAAACUAACAUGUAUCGAAAUGUGGCCCCAAAAGGAAGGCUAGGAAGAUGGAGGAUUUUGUAGGAAUCGACCAGAAUCAGAUGGAAGAGAGAUAGUCCUGUUGACUUUAAUGGUUGUGAUAGGAACAUGCAUCAUUAUAUGAGAAGUUGCAUGAAUUUAUGUAUCCUGUUAUCGUUCCUUGACGAUUUCCCAAUGCAAUUUCACUGUCCACAAGACUAACCUCUCCAUGCAGUCAAAUGAAUUGUAAUUUCUCUAUUGGUACCAGUAGUACAUUUCAUACCAAACAUAUAGUAAAUAUAAAAUAUAAAUAGAUCAAGGAAAUCUGAAUUGUAGAUAGCACUGCAAGUAACACUCAAUAUUCUCUAUAUAUAAUAAAAUAAACAGUGUCACAAUACUCAUCACCCAGUGGCAAGGGAGAAAAACCUACAAUGAGUACUCAAAUCACCAUUCUCAAACAGAAACAUAGCAGUGACUGAUACAUAGAACCUAUAUGCUCACAGGGAAAGAAUAAGAUGACCAGUGCACAGCGGGCAGCAGCUCUUAUUUUACGUACAACUCAAAUCCCAAACUAACCAAAGUCGCUCAGUUGGGAUGGGUGGGAGAUGGUGGUUUGUGGGAUGGCUUCUGGGUAGGAGCUGGUGGCUUCUGUCCCUUUGGUGGUUUGCCUAAUGAGCUUGGUGGCUUGUGCUCCGGGAGUUGUUUCUCUCCCUCGAGUAGGUUUCGAGUCUUGUCAGAUGGCUUGUGUUCUGGUGGUGGCUUCUCUCCCUGGGGUGGUUUGCCGAAUGGGCUUGGUGGCUUGUGUUCGGGGAGUGGCUUCUCUCCCUGGAGAAGGUUACGAGUUUUGUCAUAUGGCUUUUGUUCUGGUGGUGGCUUCUCUCCCUGGGGUGGUUUGCCGAAUGGGCUUGGUGGCUUGUGUUCGGGGAGUGGCUUCUCUCCCUGGAGAAGGUUACGAGUUUUGUCAGAUGGCUUGUGUUCUGGUGGUGGCUUCUCUCCCUGGGGUGGUUUGCCGAAUGGGCUUGGUGGCUUGUGUUCGGGGAGUGGCUUCUCUCCCUGGAGAAGGUUACGAGUUUUGUCAGAUGGCUUUUGUUCUGGUGGCGGCUUCUCUCCCUGGGGUGGUUUGCCAAAUGGGCUUGGUGGCUUGUGUUCGGGAACUGGCUUCUCUCCCUUGGGAGGUUCAGUUGGUGGCUGCUGUUCCGUAGGUGGUUUCUUCACCGGCGGCUUGUGCUCCGGAAGCGGCUUCUCUACCUGGAGAAGCUUACGAGUUUUGUCCGAUGGCUUGUGUUGUGGUGGUGGCUUCUCUCCCUGGGGUGGUUUGCCAAAUGGAGUUGGUGGCUUGUGUUCGGGGAGUGGCUUCUCUCCAUUGGGAGGUUUAGUUGGUGAUUGGUGUUCCGUAGGUGGUUUCUGAAGUGGGGGAUGCUUGGGGUAGUCAGCAAGAGACGAGGUAGUGAGAACCACCAGUCCCAGCAGCAACACUAGCAAGCAUGUGGAAGACAUCUUUGAGUUCAGGCUGAGAUCUGUGCAAGGAUAACAGAAUUAGGUGGCCUUUUAUAGAGGCCUGGACCCAACACCCAUAUGACACGUGUCAUGCACUCAUGGUGACACAUAAUUCUAUGGGACCAUUUGGGUCCUACAGAAGUUGCAAAGUUGGACUACUGAGGUGUGAUCACAACUUUUGUCCUUAUUGCUUUCUCUGCGGCCAUUGCACGAUUUCCUUUAGCAUCAUUUUCUUGGCUAAAUAAGCGUAUUAUAUUUGUGGCAGACCGUCCACGUGUCAUAAACAGAUAUAUUAUAAUAAUGUAGUAUGCUUUUCUCCAAUGGAACAUGACACUCUUCUAAGUCUUGUUUUAAAUAUUGUGCAGGAUUACUUUAUACGUUGCAGUUCCAAGUCAAAAUUGGUGGGCAAACGUUGGCCUUUUUUCAUUUCACCUAAGAUUAAUGCUCACCUGGGAUAGGCACUACAUGACUUAUCUGCUCUUUUACUGUAAAGUUGCUUUGUGUAUGAGAUACACCUCCCCUGCACACCCUCAACAUUCGUUGCUCUGUUUUCCUUGUGUCCAGACGAGGAUAUUAAUUGGAGGCUGACAAAACGACUGCUAGCCCAGGAUUUACAAGGUCCUGGUUUGAGGCUUCGGUGAAAGUAUUUUUGAAAAGACACACAUAGAGAUAGUGCGUUUGGUGCAAUGCAGCACUGUGAGCCAUUCUGACGCGUUCUUAAUUUCAAAACUAAUGAAUGCUUCAAAAUUUUAAGAAGUGACAUUUCCAAAUAUUUGAGUUCGUUUAAUUGAACAUUGGAUAACUAGUGAUCAUAGAUUAUUAUCUGUGCUUGGCACUAUAAGAGGGUAUAUGCUUCUUUUUCUGGCCCCUCCUUCAAGGGAGGAGGGACAAUGUGAUCUGUAACGUUAGAAGCUAUUCCAUGUCAUCUUUGGGCUCAGUUCAAAACUAAAAGAUAAUGGGGGGGGGGGGGGGGGGCAUAUCAUUUUAUAUUUCUUCUAGAAGGUUUGUUCUGGAAAUAUUUCACAGGAGCAUAUCUUUUUCUUCUAUUACGUCAUCCGCAGCCUCCAAUAGGUCGGUUAACAAGCCACCGAGUUGAAAAGUUGGAAAAAUGGGAACACAGCCCGCCUCUUGUAUUCAGUAGUUAAAUAAAAGGUCACUAGAAGUGAGAUCCCUUUUGGCGUCUUGAUUUUCAAUCCAGCACCUCUGUGACCUGACAAACCAAAAAAACUAAAAAAUAAAAAACAGUACGUGGGUUGGUGUUAAGCAUCAAGACAUGUUAAUGAAAGAAGGUAGAGAAUAGGAUAUUGAAAUCCCAAUCCUGAUAACAUGAUUUUCUUUGCUAACAACCAUAUUAUAUUUUAUCAAGAAAGAGUAAUGCAUGUGGCGUCCAUCAAGACCCAUUAGAGUUCCGCUAAAGCUAUAGUUCUGUCAACGUUAUCAUUUACGUUUCCUCUAGAUAAUGGCAUUUUCCUCUAAAGCUCUUGCACCAUUAGGCUUCAAGUCAAAAUUUCACAUGUGAACUUUGGAAAUUUUCUCCAUUUGCCCCUAAGGAUACAGUUAGAAUUGACUUAAAAUCCUGAUUGAUAUGUACUAUUAACCAAAGAAUAUUGUAUAUAAUAAUUGAAAUAUUGUUGAUUCAUCGUGGAAAUACAUUUUGUAAGGAAAGUUGUUGAGAAUUUAGUAUGCUAUAUGGAGAAAAAAGUCAUGACUUAAGGUUGUGUAUGUAUAUUCUAUAUCAAAUAUUAGGUAGGAAUGUGGGAAAGAGCAGAGUGUAAUGAUAAGAAACAAAGAAAUAUAAGAUAUUCUUGAAAGUGGAAAAUAUAAAAUGGCUAACGAGUCAAAUUUAUGAUGCGUAAGGGGGAUCAUGUCACAUAAGAAAACCAUGGCAUACUAAAGACGUACGUGUGGUAUGGAGUAAUAAUUUUGUUAAAAUAAGUUUCUUGUUGGAGUACAUUAGGUGACUAUUCAUAACGUAUCAAAUUAAAGAGUCAAGUGCAUCAAUGAAGGCAUAUGUAGAAAAUUUGUUUGUGACAUGUACCAUAAAGAUAAGAUUGACUUGAUAGAAUUUAGUCUAAGUAGGAGUUGUUAAAGGUGUCUUAAAUUUCUAAUUGAUGUAUAUUUUUUUCUAAAAAAAUAUUAUAUAGAUAUUUUAAUAAAUGAUUAAUUCUUUGUAAAAAUACUUACAUAAUAAAAAACAUCAUUAAAAAUAUCUUUAUAAAUAUUUUAAGUUACAAGAAGGAAAAAAACCACUGUGAGAUAAUGAUGAACAUGCAACACUGUACCAAGUAAAUAAAAAUGUGAUAAAAAAAAAAGAGAAACACUCGAUAAAGGAAGGCUCGUAUAUAAAGAGUAAUAUUUUUAAUCAUAUGAUAGAAUGAUUUUCUCUCAUUCAUGAAUAUAGGCAAGAUUGGGGAACCAUUAUAAAAUUUUGUACACCUCGUGUAAAUUGAUGUUUGUCUUCAUAUUUUACACCAACAAAUGACAUUGAAGUUGUCAUUGAUAAAAGGGAAAAGGCAUGCCUCCACACCAUGUGCUUGAUUCGAAUGGUUCAAGUUUGAAGAAUUUUCUCCGGAAGAUCUAAAACAUUUUCGCCUUUAAAUUUCAUUUGAUUAUUAAUAUCCGAAAAAAUAGUUAAAUACUCUUUCUAUUUUUGAGUUGUUGAAUUUUUUGAAAGUUUUUAUAUUUGUUAUCAAGAAUUUCUAUUUUAUUAAGGGUGAAUAUUUAUAAAUAAGAUAUUAUAUAAUAUUUGGAUAAGAGAGAAUGGUGGAAUAUAAUAAAGUUUUAAUCCUUCCCAAUUUUGAACCUUUUUUUUUUUUUUUGAUAUAAUCGCCUUUCUCUUGCAAUCCUAUUAUCAGGUACCUUAUAUUUGCUGAUGCUAUCUGGAACUAAAUUCCAAUCAGGCAUUGUCCAAUUACUAAUAGGACAGAUCAUAUCUCUCUGUUUCUAAACUAACAUGUAUCGUAAUGUGACCUCAUAAGGAAGGCUAGGAAGAUGGAGGAUUUUGUGGGAAGCGACCAGAAUCAGAUGGAAGAGAGAUAGCCCUGUUGACCUAAUGGCUGUAAUAGGAGAAGCGUGUGGUUUUAUGGGACUUAACUGAUACUAAACCUGUAUGAUGCUUGGAGUGGUGUUUCUUUCAUUUUGUUAAGAAAAUAUGGCAGCAUACAUGCUUUCAACUGAGUGCAUCAGAGCAUCCAUAACAGAUGGUCUGCAACCCUAGGUGCAUGCCACUUUCUGACUGAUAAUGAAAUUGUCAGGUACCUGGCCUUGACUAAGCUCAACAGCAUCACAUAAAGAGAAGCUUUCAUACUUAGAUUACUGUUUAAAGUUUUUGCUUAUUUGAUUUCUUAAUGCCAUUAUGACAUUAUUGAUUCAAUUCUGCUUCCGAUUUUCGAAGUUCUGGGCAUCUACUGAUUGCAUCAUUAUAUGAGAAGUUGCAUGAGUUUAUGUAUCCUGUUAUUGUUCCUUUGCGAUUUCACUGCUCACGGGACUAACCUCUCCAUUCAGUCGAAAUGAAUUGUAAUUUCUUUACUGGUAGCAGUAGUACUUUUCAUAGCAAAGAUAAUAGAAAAUAUGAAAUAUAAAUAGAAGGAAAUCUGGAUUGUAGAUAGCACCAUAAGUAACACUCAAUAUUCACUACAUAAUAAAUAGACAGUGUUACAUAGGUAGAGAAACCUACAAUGAGUACUCAUCACCAUUCUCAAACAGAAACAUAGCAGCGACUUAUACAUAGAACCUAUAGGCUCGCAGGGAAAGAGUAACAUGAUAAGUUCACAGCGGGUAGCAGCUCUUAUUUUACGUAUUACUCAAAAUCUCAAACUAACCAAAGUCACUCAGUUGGGAUGGGUAGGAGAUGGUGGUUUGUGGGGUGGCUUCUGGGUAGGAGCUGGUGGCUUCUUUGUUGGAGUUGAAGGAGGCAUAUUCUUCUGAGGUGGCUUGUAUGACUCUUCGGCACUCUCUGCAGGAGGGUGCCCAGGGUUGUGACCAGAAGGAGGUGGCUUCUGUCCCUUUGGUGGUUUGCCUAAUGGGCUUGGUGGCUUGUGCUCCGGGAGUUGUUUCUCUCCCUCGAGUAGGUUUCGAGUUUUGUCAGAUGGCUUGUGUUCUGGUGGUGGCUUCUCUCCCUGGGGUGGUUUGCCGAAUGGGCUUGGUGGCUUGUGUUCGGGGAGUGGCUUCUCUCCCUGGAGAAGGUUACGAGUUUUGUCAGAUGGCUUUUGUUCUGGUGGCGGCUUCUCUCCCUGGGGUGGUUUGCCAAAUGGGCUUGGUGGCUUGUGUUCGGGAACUGGCUUCUCUCCCUUGGGAGGUUCAUUUGGUGGCUGGUGUUCCGUAGGUGGUUCCUUCACCGGCGGCUUGUGCUCCGGAAGCGGCUUCUCUACCUGGAGAAGCUUACGAGUUUUGUCAGAUGGCUUGUGUUGUGGUGGUGGCUUCUCUCCCGGGGGUGGUUUGCCAAAUGGACUUGGUGGCUUGUGUUCGGGGAGUGGCUUCUCUCCAUGGGGAGGUUUAGUUGGUGGUUGGUGUUGCGUAGGUGGUUUCUGAAGUGGGGGAUGCUUGGGGUAGUCAGCAAUAGACGAGGUAGUGAGAACCACCAGUCCCAACAGCAACACUAGCAAGGAUGUUGAAGACAUCUUUGAGUUCAGGCUGAGAUCUGUGCAAGGAUAAAAGAUUUAGGUGGCCUUUUAUAGAGGGCUGGACCCAACACCCAUAUGACACGUGUCAUGCACUCAUGGUGACACAUAAUUCUAUGGGACCAUUUGGGUCCUACAGAAGUUGCAAAGUUGGACUAUUGAGGUGUGAUCACAACUUUUGUCCUACUUGCUUUCUCUGCGGCCAUUGCACGAUUUCCUUUAGCAUCAUUUUCUUGUCUAAAUAAGCGUAUUAUAUUUGUGGCAGACCGUCCACGUGUCAUAAACAGAUAUAUUAUAAUAAUGUAGUAUGCUUUUCUUCAACGGAACUUGACACUCUUCUAAGUCUUGUUUUAAAUACUGUGCAGGAUUACGUCAUAAGUUGCUUGUUCCAAGUCAAAAUUGGUGGGCAAACGUUGGCCUUUUUUCAUUUUCCCUAAUAUUAAUGCUCACCUGGGAUAGGCACUACAUGAUUUAUCUGCUCUUUUACUGUGAAGUUGCUUUGUGCAUGAGUUACACCUCCCCUGCACACCCUCAACAUUUGUUGCUCUGUUUUUCUUGUGUCCAGACGAGGAUAUUAAUUGGAGGCUGACAAAACGACUGCUAGCCAAGGAUUUACAAGGUCCUGGUUUGAGGCUUUCACGAAAGUAUUUUUGAAAAGAUACACAUAGAGAUUGCGCGUUCGGUGCAAUGCAACAAUGUGAGCCAUUCUGAAGUCUUAAAUUUCAGAUUAAUGAAUGCUACAAAAUUCUAAGAAGGGCCGUUUCCAAAUAUUUGAGUUCAUUCAUCCGAACAUCGGGUAUAUGCUUCUUUCUCUAGCCCCUCCUUGAAGGGAGGAGGGACAAUGUGAUCUGUAUCGUUAGAAGCUAUUCCAUGUCGUCAUCUUUGGGCUCAGUUCAAUACUAAAAGAUAUGGGCGGGGCCCUUAUCAUUUUAUAUUUCUUCUAGAAGGUUUAUUCUGGAAAUCUUUCACAGAAACAUAUCUUUUUCUUCUCUACGUGAUCCGUGGUUUGAAAGUUGGAAAAAUGGGUCCGUUAACAAGCCACCGAGUUGAAAAGUUGGAAAAAUGGCAACACCGCCAACCUCUUGUAUUCGAUAGUUAAAUAAAAGGUCACUGGAAGUGAGAUCCCUUUUGGCCUCUUGAUUUUCAUUCCAGCAUCUCUAUGGCCUGAUAAAUUAAAAAACUAAAAAAAAAGACAGUACGUGGGUUGGUGUUAAGCAUCAAGAGUCAAGACAUGAUAAUGGAGAGAAAGGAUAUUCAAAUUCCAGUUCUGACAACAUGAUUUUCUUUGCUGAACUACCAUAUUAUAUUUGAUCAAGAAAGAGUAGUGCAUGUGGCCAGGAUCAAGACAUACAUUAAUUUCCACAUGAUGAAGACAGUUUCUGAGAGUUUCUUCUAAAGCUCUUGCGCGAGUAGGCUUCAAGUCAAAAUCUCCCAUGUAAACACUGGUUUUUCUUUCAUUGCCACUAAGGAUGCAGUUAAUAUUGACUUAAGAUCCUACGUGAUAUAUUUUUUUAAAAGAGCUAUAUUGUAGAUAAUAUUUGAAAUAAUGUUGAUUCGUUGUGGAAAUAUAUUUGUAAGGAAAGUUGUUGACAAUUUAAUAUAGUAUAAGAAGAAAAAAGUUAUCAACUAGCUAGAGAUGAGUAUGUAAAGUGAGGCUCACGAUUCAACGCGUAAAUAUAAGAUAUUUUAAGGCUCAAUAGUUAUGAUAUCUAUUUUAUUUUUUGUAUCUCAUAUAUUCAAAGAUAUAGUAAAAUGAUUUUACAUAUAUAUAUAUAUAUAUAUAUGAACAUAACUAUUUGUGCCAAUUGAUUUUUAUCUUUAUUUUGUAUAUUAGUAAUUAUAUUAAAGUUUUUACUAAUAUAAUAACUAAUAUAAAAGCUUUUUCUAAAAGAGUCAACAGAGCAAAACACUUAUUAUAAAAAAUAAUUUUGAUUGAAGGUGGAGUCAAUUAUUCUUUAUUUAACAUGUAAUGCAUACGGCGUGUACUUCAUAACUAAAGUAUAUAAGUGUAACAUCUCUUAUAUAUUCUCAUUCAAUCUCGAAAGUGGAAAUUUUAAAAAGAUUAAACGGUUCAAAUUUGUCGUGCAUAAAGGGGAUCAUGUCACAUAAGCAAACCAUGGCAUACCAAAGACAUAGGUAUGGACUAAGAAUUUUUUUCAAAUAAGUUUCUUAUUAGGGUACAUUAAUAGGUGACUUUUUAUGACAUAUCAAAGGAGUCAAGUGCACCAAUAAAAACAUAUAUAGAAAAUUCAUGCAUGACAUGUAUCACUAAGAGAAGAUUGACUUGAUAGAGUUUAAUCCAAAUAGGAGAUUGUUAAAAGGUGUCUCAAAUUCUUGAUUGAUAUAUAUUUUUUUUAUUAAAAAGGUUAUUAUAUAGAUAUUUCAAUAGACUAUUAAUUCUUUGUAAAAAUAGUUAUAUAAUGAGGAUGGUGAUUAAAAAUAUCUCUAUCAAUAUUUUGGAUUAUAAAAAGAAAAAAAAUGAGAUAAUGAUAAACAUAUAAAACUUGUACAAGUAGAUAAAGAUGUGAUGAAAGACACUUGAUGAAUGAAGGCUUUGUAUUUCAAGAUAUAAAUAUAUGGAGCAAAACUCUUAAUUAUAUGAUCAAAUGAUUCUCUCAUAUUCAUGAAUAUAAGCAGGAUUGGGGAACCAUGAUAGAAUCUUAUAUGCCUCUCCAUGUAGAGUGAUCGAUGUUUAUCUUCAUAUUUUACACCAGUGAAUGACAUUGAAACUCUUAUUGAUAAAAGGGAAAAGGCAUGGCCUCCACCCCAAGAAAAACAAGUAACCUCGGUUUAAAUCACUAGUCUACACCCCGAAGAGAGAACUAGCCAAACCUACUAAAAGAGAAACUUAACAAUUUAGAAAGAAACCGUCCAUGAUAAAGGGCCCCUAAAGGUCCAAUUCAGUGAGGUCGUGAACAAAAACACUUUCAUGUCAAAACAGAGAUAGGUACCACCAAAAUGUAAAGGGAAAGAUGUAAACCACGUCGAACUUUGGUAAUCAAUGGUAAAGAUAGCAUGAUAGCUAAAAGCACUAAAGCUGUGCUUGGUAUGCAAAAAUGAAAAGUGGAAAUCAGCGUCUUAUUCUUUUUCACCUUUAUUCACAUAUUAGGAUAACUAAUAUCUAAUGUUUUUUAUGUCUCAAAUUCUAUUCCAUGUUAUGGUAAACUUUCAUCUUGUUUAGAUCACUUUUGUCUGGUUUGGGCUCAAGACGAUAAGCCUAUAGAGACUUCAUAUUGGGUUGAAUCGAUGCCCUUGAUCUGAUCUGUUCGUUAGAAAAAUCUGAAUUAUUAUAAGCAUUUAGAUAAAAAAUAAAUAAAUGUGAAACACAAACUACUCCCUGCACAACCUUGACCCUAGUUACUCAGUUUCACUGCUCACAGGACUAACCUCUCCAUUCAGUCGAAAUGAAUUGUAACAAGAAGAUUUUUGACAGGAGGACGGUAGUUUAAAAUAAUAAUUUCUAAAGUACUUUUGUGAAAAAAAAUAAUUCCAAACGUGGAUUUUAUCAAGUAAAAAGAAAAAAAAAAGUUAUUUUCUUUUAAAAUCUGUUCUUCUAAAGAUGAUAUAUAUACCAAAAAAAAAAAUUGUUUUCUGAAGGUAAAAUUUUUAAAAUUCAUUUUUAAAAAAAUUUACACACUAAAAUUAUCUUUUCAAGAGAAGAUUUUUUUAAUUUUAAAUAAUUAUUAAUUUAUAAUUAAUUUGUUAUUAAUUAUUUAUUAAUUUUUUUAUUUGAAAAAUGCAUUUAUAAAAAACAAAUUUGUUAUUAAUUUAUUAAAUAAUUUUUACAAAAUAAAUAAUUUUUUUUUAUUUUAAUUUUAAAAUUAAUUUUAUUAUAUAAAUUUUAAAAUUAAAAAUAUUAAUAUUUAAUUUAAAAUUUAACUAUAAAAGGAAUAAAAUAUAGAAAAAUAAAUUAAUUUAUUAUUCAAUAAAUUAAUUUUCAAUAAAAUUUUCAGCAUUAAGAGAUAAAUUUUUAAGUAUUAAUCAAUUUAAAAAGAAAUAAUGAUCAUUUGUAUAUUAAGAUAUUUUAUUUAGUAAUUAUGAAUGAUAAACAACUAAAGUAAUUUGAAAAAAUAAUAAAAUAUUUAAAAAAUAAUAAUUUAAUACACGUAAAAUUAGAAAUGAUUAACUAUUUUUUAUUAAGAAAAAAUUGAGGAAAUAUUUUGUUAUUUAAAAUUUUUUAUUUGUUUUCAAUUUUUAAUGUUAUAGGUUUCAAGAAAAUUGAUCAAAUAAAAAUUAAGAAGUCAUUUUUUCAAAAACUAUAUAUCUAAAUAAAAGCCUUGAAAUUCAAAUACACAAUAUCAUAAAUAUAAACACCAAGUCAAUCCUUAAUUAUCAAAUGUUUUUAAUAUUAAAGAAUCAAAAUCACCUACUAUCAUGAUAAUAAGAAAACCAAUAAUAUUGUUCAUAUAAAUACUAAAAAGCUAACAAAUAUCCCAAACAAUUAAUAAAGUAUCAAACAUGAUAAAAAGUCAAUUAUUAUCAUGAAUGCAAAAAAUCAAUAAUUUUGUUUAUAUGAACCAUCAACAAAGAAAAAAAAAAUCAAUAUCUAAAUAUUAAACAUAAUUUAUAUUUUUAUAAAUAUUAUUGUUGAUAAAUAUCUUAACAAUUAUAAUUUUAGUAAAUAAAAUUAAUUAAUUUUAGUUUAAGAAUUAUUUUUUUAUACUUUCGUAUUCUUAUCAAAAAUCCCCAUUUUGCAUGUCUCCUUUGGCAUGACUUUCUUACCUAAACAAGCAUAUAUAUAUAUAUAUAUAUAUAAAAUAUUUGGUUAAGAAAGAGUACUAAAGUUUAUAUGGCACACAUCAAGAUAGAAACAGAAGUGGAAGAUAAUCCAAAUGUAUGAACAGAUAUAUUAUAUCCAUGUAGUGGUAGUGACUUCAUUAUUUACUUUUAUCUAAUGGAGCAUGACACACUUCUUCUGAAUAUUUUGCACGAUUAUGUUAUGUGUCAGCUUGUUCUAAGUCAAAACUAGUGAUAAAAAUCGGUUUUUUUUGCAUUUCCUUCAUGAAGAUGGCACCUGGAUGGGGCACUACAUGAGUGGCAUAGCACGAAGUGAUUUAUCUGCUCCCUUUACUAUAAAGUGCUUUGUGUAUAAGUUACACCUCCCCUGCACUGCCUCAACAUUUGUUGUUCUGUCUUCCGUCUGUCCAAACGAGGACAAACGUAUGUUGUAGGUUGACAAAACCACAGCUAGCCUAGGAUUUGCAAGGAUCUAGUUUGAUUCGUAUGCAAAAGGAUUGGUGAAAAGAUUCACAAAGAUAAUGCUUUUUGCAAUGCAAUCUUGUUCUAAUUCAACAGUGUGGACCAUUUUCAUGUAAUGCUUCAACUAGAUGUCAGUUUCAUGAAUUUUUGUUCAUCUAAUUGAUCACUGGAUAGGCCAUAACCCGAAGAAAUUCAAAAUUCCCUUCAGUACUGUAGCUAAGGAAAGAUCCCUAUCUACCACUGGGAUUUUAAGAGGGUAAAAAUGUAGGUGGGUGCCUAUAUCAUUUGCACUUCACUAUAGGCCUCUUUGGGAAGAUUUCUUCUGAAGACAUUUCAAAGAAACAUAUUUUUCUCUUCUCUCCGUAAACGGCAGCUGCAAGUCAGUCCAUUCACAGGCCACCGAGUUGAAAAGGCUGGAAAAUUGGCCAAAGCACCCGCCUCCUGGAUUCCAUGGGUAAGGAAAAGGUCACUGGAGGUGUGAUCCCUGUUGGCCUCUUGAUUUCCAUUCCGCCAUCUAUAUGACCUGAUAACCCAAAAACACAGAAGGAAAACGUCACCUGGGUUCAUAGUAAGCAUCAAGUCAUGAUAGAGACCAGACAACAUGACCAACAAAGAGUAGCGAAUGGGGCCAACAUCAAGCCCCAUUACGGUUAGAAGAUGGAAGAAGUAGAAGACAAUCCAAUUCUGAUAGAUUCGGGCAAAUGUAGUGCUGUUCAAACUUAAUCAUUUACUAUUUCUUCAUGAAUCACGGCAUUUUUCUUCUGAAAAUUUUCCAAGAUUAGGCCUCUGAAGAAAAAUUUCAUAUGUAAAUUGGUAUAUUAAGGAAAAGGCGUUACAAAGGUGAAAAAAAACCAAUCAAAUCUUAUAUAUGACAUCUCAAAAAUAUGAACUUGCUAUAAAUAUUUAAAAUCAAAAUCUUGCACAUCACCUCGUAGUACGAACUUGCUAUAAAACUUGAAAAUCAAGAAGAAAGGGGCAGUAUUGGACGAGACUACUUAGCACAUAUUAUUAUGAUGUUUUUUCAUUUUCUUAAUGUUGUUUUUAUGUCUUAAAUUCUAUUAUUCUAUGUUACGGUAAACAUUCAUCUUGUUUGUGUGGAAUAGGAUCACUUUUCUCUGGGUUGAGUCGAUGCCCUUAGUUAAUUUGUUCAUUUGAAUAAACUAAAUUAUUAUAAGUAUUUAGAUAAGAAAAACGUGAUACAUAAAUUACGCCUCUCGGCACAACUUCAACACUGGUUACUCUGUUUCAGUUUCCUCACACAAGAUUAUUGGUUCUAGGGUUUAUUUGGUUUUGGUUUGAUUCUAAUUGCUAAACUUUCUCAAGGAAGAUGUUAUAUAGGGAGUGAGAAACCUUCACUCUUGGCUACCUCCAAGAGAAGAGCAAGUGGUCUGAAUCAAAGAUAUACUGCUCACUUUUUCUUCUUCUAAGGACAGCUAUGACCUUGCUUUAAGGUUCGAAUAGCCUAAUGCAACCUCCCAUUUCUCAAGUCAGCUGAUGAUGUAAGUCACCUUGGCUUUCCACAUUCAUACGGUGAGGACGUUUGUGGGUGUAAUUCUCUUAACAGUUUUCAUUUUAUAUGGAAAAAUUCAUAAUUAAGGGUAAUUACUGAUUCCAUUUGACAGUGACCAAGUUUAAAAUAUUAAUUCAUAUAUUAAAUGCACAUUAAAAAAUCAUGGAAUAAAUAUAUUUACUAAUAUAUAGUUCUUUUGCCAUGUUCUGUCACAGAAGCAUCGAACUUUCCCUAGAAAUUUUUGCAUGGUAUUCUACUUAUGAUUUUGAAAACUCUAGGCACCUGAGGCCACUAAUUGCAUGGUUGGAUGAGGAGCUGCAUGAGAUUAUGUAUCGUGUUGUUCCUUAACUACAAAUAUCAGUUUUAAGUAGCAUCUCCAUGUGACAUUUUCCUGAUGCAAUUUCGCUGUCCACCAACAAAUUUCACCAUGCAGCAAGAUGAAUUGUAAUUUCUUUAUUGUUAUCAACAGCUUUAAUUAAUCUUGAUAUAUAUAUAUAACUUAGUAGAAGUAUAUUAAUCUAGAUUGUAGUUGCACUAAGAUAAUAGGCAAUAUUAUAACAGUGCCACAAUGCUCAUCGCCAAAUAGAAAGGUAGAAAAACUACAAUGAGUAACUCACAACAUUCUCAAACAGGACAUAGCGGCGACUGAUACAUAGAACACUAUUGGCACUCAGGAAAUGAUAAGAUCAGUGCCCAGCAGGCAGCACGUCUUAUUUUACAUACUACUUAAAACUAACCAAAGUCAUUCAGUUGGGAUGGGUGGGAGAUGGUGGUUUGUGCGGUGGCUUUUGGGUAGUUGGUGGCUUCUUUCCUGGAACUGAUGGUUUUUUUGUUGGAGUUGAAGGAGGCUUAAUCGUCUGAGGUGGCUUGUAUGAGUCUUCAGCACUCUCUGCGGGAGGGUGCCCAGGGUUGUGACCAUAAUGGGGUGGCUUCUCUCCCUUAGUUGGUUUGCCAAGUGGGCUGGCUGGCUUGUGCUCCGGGAGCGGCUUCUCUCCCUUAGGUGGUUUGCCAAAUGGGCUUGCUGGCUUGUGCUCUGGGAGCGGCUUCUCUCCCUCAAGAAGUUUACGGGUUUUGUCAGAUGGCUUGUGUUCUGGUGGUGGCUUCUCUCCUUGGGGUGGUUUGCCAAAUGGACUUGGUGGCUUGUGUUCGGGGAGUGGCUCCUCUCCCUUGGGAGGUUUAGUUGGUGGCUGGUGUUCCAUAGGUGGUUUCUCAACCGGGGGCUUGUUCUCCGUUGGUGGUUUAUGAACUGGGGGAUGCUUGGGGUAGUCAGCAAGAGACGGGGUGGUGAGAACCACCAGUCCCAGCAGCAACACUAGCAAGUAUGUGGAAGAGUACAUCUUUGAGUUCAGGCUGAGAUUUGUGCGAGACUUGAAGAAUUAGGUGGCCUUUUAUAGCUGGCUGCACCCAACACUCACAUGACACGUAUCAUGGUGACACAUGUGCUAUGGGUCCAUUUGGGUCCUACAGAAGCUGAAAACUUUUGACUAUUGAGGUGUGGUCACAACUUUUGUCCCUAUUGCUUUCUCCGCAACCGUUUUACAUGUUUCCUUUGGCAUAAUUUUCUAAGCUAAACAAGCAUAUAUCAUAUUUGGUUAAGAAAGAGUAAAGUGUAUAUGGCACACAUCAAGGAAGAGAAACAGAAAAAGUGGGAGACAAUCAAUUGUGAUAAACAGAUAUAUUAUAUUCAUGUAGUACUAGUGACUUUAUCAUUUACUUUUAUCCAAUAGAUCAUCACUCUUUCUUCUAAAUAUUUUGGAGGAUAAUGGUACAUGUUGCUUGUUUCCAAGUCAAAAUUGGUGGCAAAAAUCGGCAUGAUACGAAAGGAUUGGUGAAAAGAUUCACAUAGAUGGUGCUUUGUGCAAUGCAGUCUUGCUCUAAUUCAACAGAGUGGACCAUGGUGAUGUAUUUUAAAUUUUAAAUUUUAAAUUAAUGCAUGCUUCAAAGUUUUAACUAGAUGUCACUUCCAUGGAUUUUUGUUCAUUUAAUUGAGCACAGGAUAGGCUAUCAAACUUGAAGUAAUAUAAAAAUCCCUUCAUUACUGUAACUAAUGAAAGAUCAUUAUCUGCGCUUGGUAUUUUGCCAAGGUAUUUGCUGCUCUUUCUAGCCCUGUCUUACAGUUAAGGACAAUGUGAUCUAGUUAACCUUAGAAGCUAUUCCAUGUCAGAUACAAGAGAUCAAGCACAUUAUCUUUGGGCUCAGUUCAAAACUAUAAUAUAUGGGUGGGGUGGAGGCCCAUAUCAUUUGCAUAUCACCACUAUUGGUUUAGUUUGGAAGGUUUCUUCUGGAAGAUUGCUGCUUUCUGGAAUCAUUUCAAAGAAAUAUAUCUUUUUGUUCUCUUGGUGACGAGCAGCGGCAAUCAAGUCUGUUGACAAACAACCGAGUUGAAAAGUUUGAAAAUUGGUCACAGCCCACGUCCAUGGUUAAGGAAAAGGUCACUGGAAGUGAUCCCUUCUGGGCCUCUUGAUUUCCAUUCUGACAUCUAUAUGACCUGAUAAAUAGAAAGAAAAAAAAACAGAAGAAAAGCGGCACCCGGGUUCAUAGUAAGCAUCAAGACAGGAUACUGAAAGAAGGGAGAAAGGAGAUUGCAAGUCCAAUCCUGAUAAAAUGAUCAACAAAGAGUAUCAAAAUGGGGCCAACAUAAAGACCCAUUGAGGUUAGCAGAUGGCAUGGCAUUUUUCUCCUUAAGUUUUCCAUGAUUAGACUUGAAGUCAAAAUUUCACAUGUAAAUUUGUAUUUCUACAUUUCCCACUGACGACACCCAACUUCAACUUGAGUUAGAAUAACAUUGUGUGAACUUAUCUGGCCCUCAAAAUUUACUGUGAAGUGCUUUCUGCGUGUGAAGAUUCAGAAAAGCACCAAGGGAACAUGUAUGGUCUGCCUUUUUCUGAUGUUAUGUUUGUCUCUAAUUCUGUUCCAUGUCAUGGUAAAUGUUCACAUUGCUUGUAUGGAACACACCAGGAUCACUUUUUCGGGUUUAUUUUGAGGCUUCAUAUUGGGUUCAUAUUGGGUUCAAUGCUUUUAAUGUGUUCAUUAGACAAAUCUGAAUUAUCAUAUGCAUUUAGAUAAGAACAAUAAUGUGAAACCCUAGUUACACCUCCCCUGCAUAACCCCAACCCUGCUUACUCUAUUUCAGUUUACUCACACAAGUUUUACCGGUUCUUAUAAGUCAAGAAAAGGCAACUGAUGUUGGAUUGACUCUCUUCCAUGUAUAAAAAGCAACUUUUAUAUAUACAUAAAAUAACUUCUUCCCCUCACCAAUGUGGGAUAUCAUGGAUUUAUUCUGGAAACACAUCAAAGGAACAUCUUUUCUCUUGGGUGACCCUAAGUGGUGAGUCAGACCAUUUGCAUGCCAUUGAGUUGCACAGUUGGAUAAAUGCACCUACCUCCUGGGCUCCAGAGUUAAAAGGGUGGAUCCCUGGAUCGCAACCCUCUUGGCAUCUUGGUUUCCAUUCCAACAUCCACAUGACUUGACAAAACAAAAAACAGAAUAAAAUCAUCACUAUUUUCAUGCUAAGCACCAAUACAUGAUGGAAAUCAUUGCUUAAAGAUUUGGGGUCAUUUAGGUUUUGACUGCCUCCUAACACCUCACCUAAUCACAAGUUUUUAUGCUUACAAAUCAAAUAUCGUUCUUCAUUAUAUUAAAAUCAUUUUAAGAUUUCAGAUCCAUCUGCUAAUUAUGAUUAUGAUAACAUUAAUUCACCUGUGCUUCUCAUUUUCGACACACAAGGCAUCUAGGUUUGCAGGAUUUCCUUAUUAGAUGAGAUAAAUGAGUACGCAUGGUUAUGUAUGCAGCAUUCAUUAACCAUGGUAUGUGACAUUUAGAAUUAAGAUAGCAAGCAAACUUUCCCUGCAGCUUGAGUAAAUUGUGAUUUCUUAGCCUCUAUGAGUGGUUCCCAAAUCAAAUUAACAUAGUGAAAUAUACGUAGUCCAGUGAAAGGAAAUGUAAAUUAUAAACUAACAGCACUACACUACUGGUAACACUCGAUACUCUCUAUAUAAUGCAAUGAAAUAUACGUUAUACGUUGCUUGUUCCAAGUCAAAAUUUGUGGCCAAACGUUGGCCUUUUUUCAUUUUCCCUAAGAUUAAUGCUCACCUGGGAUAGGCACUACAUGAUUUAUCUGCUCUUUUACUGUAAAGUUGCUUUGUGUAUGAGUUACACCUCCCCUGCACACCCUCAACAUUUGUUGCUCUGUUUUCCUUGUGUCCAGACGAGGAUAUUAAGUGGGGGCUGACAAAACGACUGCUAGCCAAGGAUUUACAAGGUCCUGGUUUGACGCUUCCGCGAAAGUAUUUUUGAAAAUAUACACAUAGAGAUUGCGCGUUCGGUGCAAUGCAACAAUGUGAGCCAUUCUGAAGUUUUUAAUUUCAGAUUAAUGAAUGCUACAAAAUUCUAAGAAGGGCCGUUUCCAAAUAUUUGAGUUCAUUUAUCCGAACAUCGGAUAAGUAAUGAUCAUAGAUUAUUAUUAUUAUCUGACGUUCUUAUAAUGGUUGGCAUUAUAAGAGGGUAUAUGCUUCUUUCUCUAGCCCCUCCUUCAAGGGAGGGACAAUGUGAUCUGUAUCGUUAGAAGCUAUUCCAUGUCGUCAUCUUUUGGCUUAAGUCAAUACUAAAAUAUAUGGGCGGGGCCCCUGUCAUUUUAUAUUUCUUCUAGAAGGUUUGUUCUGGAAAUCUUUCACCGAAACAUAUCUUUUUCUUCUCUACGUGAUCCGUGGUUGGAAAGUUAGAAAAAUGGGUCCGUUCACAAGCCACCGAGUUGAAAAGUUGGAAAAAUGGCAACACCGCCAACCUCUUGUAUUCGAUAGUUAAAUAAAAGGUCACUGGAAGUGAGAUCCCUUUUGGCCUCUUGAUUUUCAUCCCAGCAUCUCUAUGUCCUGAUAAACUAAAAAACUAAAAAAAAAACAGUACGUGGGUUGGUGUUAAGCAUCAAGAGUCAAGACAUGAUAAUGGAGAGAAAGGAUAUUCAAAUUCCAGUUCUGACAACAUGAUUUUCUUUCCUGAACAACCAUGUUAUAUUUGAUCAAGAAAGAGUAGUGCAUGUGGCCAGGAUCAAGACAUACAUUAAUUUCCACAUGAUGAAGACAGUUUCUGAGAGUUUCUUCUAAAGCUCUUGCGCUAGUAGGCUUCAAGUCAAAAUUUCCCAUGUAAACACUGGAUUUUCUUUAAUUGCCACUAAGGAUACAGUUAAAAUUGACUUAAAAUCCUACGUGAUAUAUAUCUUUAACAAAAGUAUAUUGUAUAUAAUAUUUGAAAUAAUGUUGAUUCGUUGUGGAAAUAUGUUUGUAAGGAAAGUUGUUGACAAUUUAAUAUAGUAUAAGAAGAAAAAAGUUAUCAACUAGAGAUGAGUAUGUAAAGUGAGGCUCACGAUUCAACGCGUAAAUAUAAGAUAUUUUAAGGCUCAAUAGUUAUGAUAUCUAUUUUAUUUUUUGUAUCCCAUAUAUUCAAAGAUACAGUAAAAUGAUUUUAUAUAUAUGAACAUAGCCGAUAGUAUCAUGUUAAAACCUUAUAUGACUCUUUGUGCCAAUUGAUUUUUAUCUUUAUUUUGUGUAUUAGUAAUUAGUAUUAAAGUUUUUACUAACAUAAUAAUUGAUAUAAAAGCUUUUUCCAAAAGAGUCAAACAGAGCAAAACACUUAUUAUAAAAAGAAUUUUGAUUGAAGGUGGAGUCAAUUAUUCUUUAUUCAACAUGUGAUGCAUACAGCGGGUACUUCAUAACUAAAGUAUAUAAGUGCAACAUCUCUUAUACAUUCUCAUUCAAUCUCGAAAGUGGAAAAUUUUAAAAGAUUAAAUGGUUCAAAUUUUCCGUGCAUAAAGGGGAUCAUGUCACAUAACCAAACCAUGGCAUACCAAAGCCAUGAUAUGGACUAAGAAUUUUGUUAAAAUAAGUUUCUUAUUAGGGCACAUUAUGUGACUAUUUAUGACAUAUCAAAGGAGUCAAGUGCAUCAAUAAAGACAUAGAAAAUUCAUGCAUCACAUGUACCACUAAGAGAAAAUUGACUUGAUAGAGUUUAGUCCAAAUAGGAGAUUGUUAAAAGGUGCAUCAAAUUCUUGAUUGAUAUAUAUUUUUUUUAUUAGAAAGGUUAUUAUAUAGAUAUUUCAAUAGACUAUUAAUCCUUUGUAAAAAUAGUUAUAUAAUGAGGAUGGUGAUUAAAAAUAUCUCUAUCAAUAUUUUGGAUUAUAAAAAGAAAAAAAAUAUGAGAAAAUGAUAAACAUAUAAAACUUGUACAAGUAGAUAGAGAUGUGAUGAAAGACACUUGAUGAAUGGAGGCCUUGUAUUUCAAGAUGUAAAUAUAUGGAGCAAAACUCUUAAUUAUAUGAUCAAAUGAUUCUCUCAUAUUCAUGAACAUAAGCAGGAUUGGGGAACCAUGAUAGAAUCUUAUAUGCCUCUCCAUGUAGAUUGAUCGAUGUUUAUCUUCAUAUUUUACACCAAUGAAUGACAUUGAAACUCUGAUUGAUAAAAGGGAAAAAGCAUGGCCUCCACCACAAGAAAAACAAGUAACCUCGGUCUAAAUCACUAGUCUACACCCCGAAGAGAGAACUAGCCAAACCUACUAAAAGAGAAACUUACCAAUUUAGAAAGAAAUCUUCCAUGAUAAAGGGCCCCUAAAAGUCCAAUUCAGUCAGGUUGUGAACAAAAACACCUUCAUGUCAAAACAGGAAUAGGUACCACCAAAAUGUAAAGGGAAAGAUGUAAACCAAGUCGAACUUUGGUAAACAAUGGUAAAGAUAGCAUGAUAGCUAAAAGCACUAAAGCUGUGCUUGGUAUGCAAAAAUGAAAAGUGGAAAUCAGCGUCUUAUUCUUUUUCUCCUUUAUUCACAUAUUAGGAUAACUAAUAUCUAAUGUUUUUUUUAUGUCUCAAAUUCUAUUCCAUGUUAUGGUAAACUUUCAUCUUGUUUAAGUGGAAGAGUAGGAUCACUUUUGUCUGGUUUGGGCUCAAGACGAUAAGCCUAUAGAGACUUCAUAUUGGGUUGAAUUGAUGCCCUUGAUCCGAUCAGUUCGUUAGAAAAAUCUGAAUUAUUAUAAGCAUUUAGAUAAAAUAAAUAAAUAAAUGUGAAACAGAGACUAUUCUCUGCACAACCUUGACCCUAGUUACUCAGUUUCACUGCUCACGGGACUAACCUCUCCAUUCAGUCGAAAUGAAUUGUAAUUUCUUUACUGGUAGCAGUAGUACUUUUCAUAGCAAAGAUAAUAGUAAAUAUGAAAUAUAAAUAUAUAGAAGGAAAUCUGGAUUGUAGAUAGCACCAUAAGUAACACUCAAUAUUUACUACAUAAUAAAAGAGAUAGUGUUACAAAGGUAGAGAAACCUACAAUGAGUACUCAUCACCAUUCUCAAACAGAAACAUAGCAGUGACUUAUACAUAGAACCUAUAGGCUCGCAGGGAAAGAGUAACAUGAUAAGUGCACAGCGGGUAGCAGCUCUUAUUUUACGUAUUACUCAAAAUCUCAAACUAACCAAAGUCACUCAGUUGGGAUGGGUAGGAGAUGGUGGUUUGUGGGGUGGCUUCUGGGUAGGAGCUGGUGGCUUCUUUGUUGGAGUUGAAGGAGGCGUAAUCUUCUGAGGUGGCUUGUAUGAGUCUUUGGCACUCUCUGCAGGAGGGUGCCCAGGGUUGUGACCGGAAGGAGGUGGCUUCUGUCCCUUUGGUGGUUUGCCUAAUGGGCUUGGUGGCUUGUGCUCCGGGAGUUGUUUCUCUCCCUCGAGUAGGUUUCGAGUUUUGUCAGAUGGCUUGUGUUCUGGUGGUGGCUUCUCUCCCUGGGGUGGUUUGCCGAAUGGGCUUGGUGGCUUGUGUUCGGGGAGUGGCUUCUCUCCCUUGGCAGGUUCAGUUGGUGGCUGGUGCUCCGUAGGUGGUUUCUUCACCGCCGGCUUCUCUCCCUGGAGAAGGUUACGAGUUUUGUCAGAUGGCUUCUGUUCUGGUGGCGGCUUCUCUCCCUGGGGUGGUUUGCCAAAUGGGCUUGGUGGCUUGUGUUCGGGAACUGGCUUCUCUCCCUUGGCAGGUUCAGUUAGUGGCUGGUGUUCCGUAGGUGGUUUCUUCACCGGCGGCUUGUGCUCCGGAAGCGGCUUCUCUACCUGGAGAAGCUUACGAGUUUUGUCAGAUGGCUUGUGUUGUGGUGGUGGCUUCUCUCCCUGGGGUGGUUUGCCAAAUGGACUUGGUGGCUUGUGUUCGGGGAGUGGCUUCUCUCCAUUGGGAGGUUUAGUUGGUGGUUGGUGUUCCGUAGGUGGUUUCUGAAGUGGGGGAUGCUUGGGGUAGUCAGCAAGAGACGAGGUAGUGAGAACCACCAGUCCCAGCAGCAAUACUAGCAAGGAUGUGGAAGACAUCUUUGAGUUCAGGCUGAGAUUUGUGCAAGGCUAGAAGAAUUAGGUGGCCUUUUAUAGCGGGCUGGACCCAACAACCAAAUGACACGUAUCAUGAUACACAUAUGUGUUAUAAGAUCCUUGUGGGUCCUACAGAAGUUGAAAACUUUGACAAUUGAGGUGUGAUUACAACUUUUGUCCCUAUUGCUUUCUCGUCAGCCGUUUUGCAAGAUUUUUGACAGGAGGACGGUAGUUUAAAAUAAUAAUUUCUAAAGUACUUUUGUGAAAAAAAAUAAUUCCAAACGUGGAUUUUAUCAAGUAAAAAAAACAAAAAAAAGUUAUUUUCUUUUAAAAUCUUUUCUUCAUGAUUCAUAUACCAAAAAAAGAAUUGUUUUCUGUAGGUAAAAUUUUUAAAAUUCAUUUUUAAAAAAAAAAAAUUACACACUAAAAUUAUCUCUUCAAGAAAAUAUUUUUUAAAUUUUAAAUAAUUAUUAAUUUAUAAUUAAUUUUUUAUUAAUUAUUUAUUAAAUUUAUAUGUGAAAAAUGCAUUUAUAAAAAACAAAUUUUUUAUUAAUUUAUUAAAUAAUUAUUUACAAAAUAAAUAAUUUUGCUUUAUUUUAAUUUUAAAAUUAAUUUUAUUAUAUAAAUUUUAAAAUUAAAAAUAUUAAUAUUUAAUUUAAAAUUUAACUAUAAAAGGAAUAAAAUAUAGAAAAAUAAAUUAAUUUAUUAUUCAAUAAAUUAAUUUUCAAUAAAAUUUUCAGCAUUAAGAGAUAAAUUUUUAAGUAUUAAUCAAUUUAAAAAAUAAUAAUAAUCAUUUGUAUACUAAGAUAUUUUAUUUAGUAAUUAUGAAUGAUAAACAACUAAAGUAAUUUGAAAAAAUAAUAAAAUAUUUAAAAAUAAUAAUUUAAUACACUUAAAAUUAGAAAUGAUUAACUAUUUUUUAUUAAGAAAAAAUUGAAGAAAUAUUUUGUUAUUUAAAAUUUUUUAUUUGUUUUCAAUUUUAAAUGUUAUAGGUUUCAAGAAAAUUGAUCAAAUAAAAAUUAAGAAGUCAUUUUUUCAAAAACUAUAUAUCUAAAUAAAAGCCUUGAAAUUCAAAUACACAAUAUCAUAAAUAUAAACACCAAGUCAAUCCUUAAUUAUCAAAUGUUUUUAAUAUUAAAGAAUCAAAAUCACCUACUAUCAUGAUAAUAAGAAAACCAAUAAUAUUGUUCAUAUAAAUACUAAAAAGCUAACAAAUAUCCCAAACAAUUAAUAAAGUAUCAAACAUGAUAAAAAGUCAAUUAUUAUCAUGAAUGCAAAAAAUCAAUAAUUUUGUUUAUAUGAACCAUCAACAAAGAAAAAAAAAAUCAAUAUCUAAAUAUUAAACAUAAUUUAUAUUUUUAUAAAUAUUAUUGUUGAUAAAUAUCUUAAUAAUUAUAAUUUUUUAUAUAUUAAAUUUAGUAAAUAAAAUUAAUUAAUUUUAUAAUAUAAGAUAUAUAUAAUAAUUAAGAGACUAUUUGUCCCAAACAAUUUAUUUAUUUUUUUUUUAGGAAAUUGUCUCUUCAAGAGACGACUUCUCCCAACAUUUUUAAAAAAAAAAAAAAAAACAUCUAUUCAAAAGACGAUUUCUCCUCAUUUUUUAAAAAUGAAUUUUAGAAAUCAUAUUUUCAAAAAUGAAUUUUAGAAAUCAUAUUUUCAAAAGACGAUUUUUUUUUAUAUAAAUUAUUUUUUAAAAUGACGAUUUUAAAAGGAAAUAACGAUCUCUCUCCUACUUGGCAAAAACUAUGGUAAAUUUGGAAUUAUUUCUUCCACAACCAUAGUUUAAGAAUUAUUUUUUUAUACUUUCGUAGACUUAUCAAAAAUCCCUAUUUUGCAUGUCUCAUUUGGCAUGACUUUCUUACCUAAACAAGCAUAUAUAUAUAUAUAUAUAUAUAUAUCACUUUUGUCUGGGUUGAGUCAAUGCCCUUAACUAAUUUGUUCAUUUGAAUAGUCUAAAUUAUUAUAAGCUUUUAGUUAAGAAAAAUGUGAAACAUAAAUUACACCUCUCGGCACAACUUCGACACUGGUUACUCUGUUUCAGUUUAUUCACACAAGAUUAUUGGUUCUAGGGUUUAUUUGGUUUUGGUUUGAUUCUAAUUGCUAAACUUUCUCAAGGAAGAUGUUAUAUAGGGAGUGAGAAACCUUCACUCCUGGCUACCUCCAAGAGAAGAGCAAGUGGUCUGAAUCAAAGAUAUACUGCUCACUUUUUCUUCUUCUAAGGACAGCUAUGACCUUGCUUUAAAAUGUUCGAAUAGCCUAAUGCAACCUCCCAUUUCUCAAGUCAGCUGAUGAUGUAAGUCACCUUGGCUUUCCACAUUCAUACGGUGAGGACGUUUGUGGGUGUAAUUCUCUUAACAGUUUUCAUUUUAUAUGGAAAAAUUCAUAAUUAAGGGUAAUUACUGAUUCCAUUUGACAGUGACCAAGUUUAAAAUAUUAACUCAUGUAUUAAAUGCACAUUAAAAAAUCAUGGAAUAAAUAUAUUUACUAAUAUAUAGUUCUUUUGUCAUGUUCUGUCACAGAAGCAUCGAACUUUCCCUAGAAAUUUUUGCAUGGUAUUCUGCUUAUGAUUUUGAAAACUCUAGGCACCUAAGGCCACUGAUUGCAUGGUUGGAUGAGGAGCUGCAUGAGAUUAUGUAUCCUGUUGCUCCUUAACUACAAAUAUCAGUUUUAAGUAGCAUCUCCAUGUGACAUUUUCCUGAUGCAAUUUCGCUGUCCACCAACAAAUGUCUCCAUGCAGCUAGAUGAAUUGUAAUUUCUUUGUUGUUAUCAACAGCUUUAAUUAAUCUUGAUAUAUAUAUAACUUAGUAGAAGUAAUUAAUCUAGAUUGUAGUUGCACUAAGAUAAUAGGCAAUAUUAUAACAGUGCCACAAUGCUCAUCGCCAAAUAGAAAGGUAGAAAAACUACAAUGAGUAACUCACACAACAUUCUCAAACAGGACAUAGCGGCGACUGAUACAUAGAACACUAUUGGCACUCAGGAAAUGAUAAGAUCAGUGCCCAGCAGGCAGCACGUCUUAUUUUACAUACUACUUAAAACUAACCAAAGUCAUUCAGUUGGGAUGGGUGGGAGAUGGUGGUUUGUGCGGUGGCUUCUUUCCUGGAACUGGUGGUUUUUUUGUUGGAGUUGAAGGAGGCUUAAUCGUCUGAGGUGGCUUGUAUGAGUCUUCAGCACUCUCUGCAAGAGGGUGCCCAGGGUUGUGACCAUAAUGAGGUGGCUUCUCUCCCUUAGGUGGUUUGCCAAGUGGGCUGGCUGGCUUGUGCUCCGGGAGCGGCUUCUCUCCCUUAGGUGGUUUGCCAAAUGGGCUUGCUGGCUUGUGCUCUGGGAGCGGCUUCUCUCCCCCAAGAAGUUUGCGGGUUUUGUCAGAUGGCUUGUGUUCUGGUGGUGGCUUCUCUCCUUGGGGUGGUUUGCCAAAUGGACUUGGUGGCUUGUGUUCGGGGAGUGGCUCCUCUCCCUUGGGAGGUUUAGUUGGUGGCUGGUGUUCCGUAGGUGGUUUCUCAACCGGGGGCUGGUGCUCCGUAGGUGGUUUAUGAACUGGGGGAUGCUUGGGGUAGUCAGCAAGAGACGGGGUGGUGAGAACCACCAGUCCCAGCAGCAACACUAGCAAGUAUGUGGAUGACAUCUUUGAGUUCAGGCUGAGAUUUGUGCAAGACUAGAAGAAUUAGGUGGCCUUUUAUAGCUGGCUGCACCCAACACUCACAUGACACGUAUCACGGUGACACAUGUGCUAUGGGAUCCAUUUGGGUCCUACAGAAGUUGAAAACUUUUGACUAUUGAGGUGUGAUCACAACUUUUGUCCCUAUUGCUUUCUCCGCAACCGUUUUACAUGUUUCCUUUGUGGUGUUUAAUAGUGUUUUUUUCCUUAAUUCUAAAUAAACCUUAAUACUUAAUAAUGUUAAAUAUUAGGUUAUUUAUUUUUAUAAUAUUUUAUUUAUAUUAAGUAUUAAAAAGUAAAGAAAAAUCAAUAUAUUUAUUUUUCUAUUUAGAAAAAACUAUAUAUUUUUAAUUUUUUUAUUUAAUAAAAAAUUUAUAAUAAAUCAUGAAAAAAUAGAAAAACAAACAACCUAAAUUUUAAAAAUAAAUUGUUUUUAGUAAAAACCCAAAAAAACAAACACCACCUUAACUAAACAAAUAUAUAUUAUAUUUAGUUAAGAAAGAGUAAAGUGUAUAUGGCUCAAAUCAAGGAAGAGAAACAGAAUAAGUGGAAGACAAUCAAUUGUGAUAAACAGAUAUAUUACAUGCAUGUAGUACUAGUGACUUUAUCAUUUACUUUUAUACAAUAGAUCAUCACACUCUUUCUUCUAAAUAUUUUGGAGGAUAAUGGUACAUGUUGCUUGUUGCCAAGUCAAAAUUGGUGGCAAAAAUCGGCAUGAUACGAAAGGAUUGGUGAAAAGAUUCACAUAGAUGGUGCUUUGUGCAAUGCAGUCUUGCUCUAAUUCAACAGAGUGGACCAUGGUGAUGUAUUUUAAAUUUUAAAUUUUAAAUUAAUGCAUGCUUCAAAGUUUUAACUAGAUGUCACUUCCAUGGAUUUUUGUUCAUUUAAUUGAGAACAGGAUAGGCUAUCAAACUUGAAGUAAUAUAAAAAUCCCUUCAUUACUGUAACUAAUGAAAGAUCAUUAUCUGCGCUUGGUAUUUUGCCAAGGUAUUUGCUGCUCUUUCUAGCCCUAUCUUACAGUUAAGGACAAUGUGAUCUAGUUAACCUUAGAAGCUAUUCCAUGUCAUAUACAAGAGAUCAAGCACAUUAUCUUUGGGCUCAGUUCAAAACUAUAAUAUAUGGGUGGGGUGGGGGCCUAUACCAUUUGCAUAUCACCACUAUUGGUUUAGUUUGGAAGGUUUCUUCUGGAAGAUUGCUUUCUGGAAACAUUUCAAAGAAAUAUAUCUUUUUGUUCUCUUGGUGACGAGCAGCGGCAAUCAAGUCUGUUGACAAACAACCGAGUUGAAAAGUUUGAAAAUUGGUCACAGCCCACGUCCAUGGUUAAGGAAAAGGUCACUGGAAGUGAUCCCUUCUGGGCCUGUUGGAAGCAGGGGAGGUUAACACACCAAGCAACAAAGAACAGAGAUAUGCUGCUACUGAUCUAUAUUUUUUAUUUGAUCAUAAGGCUAAAUUUAUACAGAUUGUGUAACAGAUAUGACCUCAAAAAAAAGCAUCAAAUCAAGCUACUUGUUGAACAAACAACUACCUUCUACAAAAUAACAUCAAAAUUUAACUUAAAAGCAAAAACAUAAAAAUAGCAACAGCAAAAAUAGAAACAUAAAAAUAGCUUCAGCAUUCUAGUAAUCUCGUUGACUUCAAUUGCAUGUGGUUGACGAUUUCAGCCUUUUCCUCAGCAGCUACUAAGGCAUAACUCUCAACACUCCUCCUUGACUUAGGAGGUGCAAACUCCAAGUCUUUCUCAUAGAAACUCAAAUCUUAUUUUAGGAAGAGCUUUAGUCAGAAUAUCUACAUUUUGACUGUCUGUAUUGCAGUAGACUAGUUGUAUAUCUCCUUCUUUCUGUACUUCCCUCAAAAAUUACAAUUUAAUCUUGAAGUGCUUUGUUUUACCAUGAAAAACUGGAUCAUUUGCAAUAGAUAUAGUGGCCUGGUUGUCUACAAACACCUUUGUACUCACUUCUUGCUUCAUAUCCAAAUCUGUCAGCAACUUUCCAAGCCAUAAGGCUUGAUUUACAGCUGUAACAGCAGCAAUAUACUCUGCCUCAGCUGUGGAUUGAGCCACGACUUCUUGCUUCCUUGAACUCCAUGAAAAAACACCAGAACCAAAACUAAAACAAUAGCCUGAAGUACUUCUCAUAUCGUCAACACAACCAGCCCAAUCACUAUCAGAAAAUCCAUGAAAAUUGAAACUUUGAACUUGACUGAACUUAAUGCCAUAAUCCACAGUGCCUUUAACAUUUCUUAUCACACGCUUUGCUGCCUGGAAAUGAAUUUCACUAGCACAAUGCAUGUAUCUCGAAAGUAGACUUACAGCAUGCAUUAUAUCGAGUCUUGUUGCAGUCAAGUACAUUAAGCAUCCAAUCAUGCUUCGAUAAAGUCCUUCAUCUACCUUUUUAGCACCGUCCUCCUUACAGAACUUCUCUUUCUGGUUCAUAGGGGUAGAUGUAGGUUUGCAUUCCUCCAUUUUGAAUUUCUUCAUAAUUUCUUUGGCAUAUUUUUGUUGGCAGAUGAAAAUCUCAUUCUGCUUCUGGUGUACUUCCAUUCCCAAGAAGUAAGACAUCUCAUCUAGGUCUGUCAUCUCAAAAACCUGCUCCAUUUCAGCCUUGAAUUUGUUCACAAACCCUGCAUUACUUCCUGUUACAAGCAAAUCAUCAACAUAUAGAGAAACAAUUAAUAUAUCUUCUUCAAUCUUCUUAAUGUAGAGUGUAAAUUCACUCAAGCUCUUGUGAAAGCCUAAAGUUAGCAGGUGAGUGUCAAUCCUGCUGUACCAAGCUCUAGGGGCUUGUCUUAACCCAUACAAGGCCUUCUUAAGAAGGUAUACUUUUUCUUCUUUUCCUUUGAUAGCAAAACCUUCUGGUUGUUCGACAAAAAUCUCUUCCUCUAAGUAGCCAUUCAAAAAUGCUGACUUCACAUCUAGUUGAUAAAUCUUCCAUUUUCUUUGAGCUACAAGAGCCAACAACAUCCUGAUUGUAUCCAAACGAGCUACUGGUGCAAAGGUUUCCGAAAAGUCAACACCAAACAUUUGUGCAUACCCUUUGACAACCAGCCUUGCUUUAUGUUUGUUUAUAGAACCAUCAGAGUUGAGUUUGGUUCUGUAAACCCACUUAACCCCAAUAGGUUUUUUGUGUGAAGGUCUAUCUACUAGCUCCCAAGUGUUGUUCUUGUCAAUCAUAUCUAGCUCCUCCUGCAUUGCAACCCUCCAUCUUUUAUUUUCAGCAGCUUCAACAAACCCUGCAAGUUCAAGAACAGCUAUAUUACACCUUUGAUAAAUAUCAAAAAGUGUCAUGAAACCUCUAACUGGAAGUUCAUCAACAUCUUCAUCAAUAUAUUGCUGAUUCUGCUCAUCCCAACUCCAUUUCUCCGUUUCCAAAAACUUAACAUCUCUACUUACCACAAUUUUACUAUUUUGUGGCAAGUAGAUUCUGUAAGCUUUUGAGGUGCUGUUGUAUCCAAUGAAAAUUCCUGGUUCUGACUUUUUAUCUAGCUUGUCUCUUUUCACCUGAGGAACAUAAGAGAAACACAAGCAACCAAAGGUCUUUAAAUUCAUUAGCAUAGGCUUAUAAGCAAACCAGGCCUCAAAAGGUGUCUGUUUCUGCAAUGCUUUUGUUGGUAGUCUAUUUAGCAAAAAUACUACUGUAUUUGCAGCUUCAACCCAAAAACUUUUUGGCAGCUCUUUCUCAUGCAAAAGACAUCUUGUCAUUGAUUACUACUCAAAAAGUGCUAUUUGAUAGCCUUUAAUUAAUCCUUUUUAACACUUUUGAGUAGUAGUUUAGGCCUUUUAACUCAAUUGGCAUGUUAAGGAUCCUUUAAAGCAAUUUUGAUCACUUUGUGCAAGUUUUGGUGUUUUUGUUAGUAUUUCGAUCACCAAAGCAAGUCAAGAAUGAGGAGAGCUAUGAGGAAUCUUGGGCAAAGCUUAGAAUUCAAUUGCCAAGAGUGAAUCCGGAUUGCAAGGAGAAAAAGCAAAGAGGAUCAGUCAUGGAGCAUAUUCUUGAUGACAGUCGUAGCAGCCACUUUUGGAUCACUUUCUGAAGUCCAAAUGAUGCAAGCUAUAUACCAUUUCAAAGCUCAGGAAGUCAACAAUCCAAUGCUUCAAACGGUGUGCGAUUCGGAAUUGAAACGAAGAAGUUGCAGCCAUUACAAGCCAGACACUCUAAAGUGUUGCGGAAUCAGCCAUGUGUUGCGAGAAUUUCGCAGCACUUUUGUACAGUAAGGUGUUUCUCCUUCUAACGAUGCACGAACCAUGCCGCGAGAAGGGAGCUGGAAACUUCAAGAUGGAAGCCAACUUUGCAGCCUAGUGAAGAUAGCUCGGUCUUGCAAGAUAAUUUCGCAGCCCUCUUGGGUGUCUGCGAAAUUUCGCAGGCCUCAUUUUUCACCUGCGAAAUGGCUCUUGAAGCCUCCCGAAGCUUGCUACCGACAUUGGGAGAUAUUUUCCAUUAGAUUUUUGUUGUCUAAAUCCCAAAAUACUCCUUGUAAACCACCAAUUACAUGAUUCCUUAGUUUUUAAGUUAGUAAAAAGACCAAAUAUCUUUGUAACAAUUAGUUUUAUAUUUUGUUGUUAUAAAUACCUCUCGGGAGCCUGUUCUCAGGGAGGAGUUCCUUCUGUAAACGUUUGGUAAGCAAGUAAAGUCUAUUUUCUUUCUACUGCCUUACCUUCUCACUUUGUAUUUUCAUUUUAUUUCUAAGUUAUGAAUUCUCUGAGGAGUUUUCCCCAAAGAAUGAGUAACUAAACCUCCAAUUCCUUGGAGCUAAGGUUGCCGGGGAAGGUUCCAAGUGCAAGAAUGCAAAGCUCUGUGGUUUUAGCUAGUAAUGAAGAGGAAGUGAAAUCCUUUAGUGAUUUCAAUGUUUUUAGUUAACUUAAAACACUUUGGAGUCACCUGGGCCAACACUUGGUAAGGCAAGUGAUUUCCAACCAUGGAAAUGCACUAGUUUACCCCUUGCGAGCCUCUGGUAGGUGACUUCAAGGUAGGAUUUUCUGGAAUUACCAACACUUGGUAAGCUUUUGGACUCCUAGGAGACAUCCAUUAGUUAUCUCUUGCGAGUUUGUGAAGGGAAUCCAAGGUUAAAGAUCACCUUGAAUGGUAAGUGCUCGUGAGAGGCAUGAACCAUUGCAAGUUGUAUCAGUGAGAGAAUUAAAGUGAAAUCUAAUUGAAGGAGUCUUUGUACAUCACCGGUUAGAGAAUUGACUAUAAGUUGAAUCUCUAAUGCGAGGAAAUGAACCAACUGACCAGAGCCGUGUCUUUUGCAUGAGGAACCACCCCAGUGAACCUAAAUCUCCAAGGAAUGUUUUUUUCUUCCUAAAUUAUUCCAAACUUCUGUUAAGUUAGUUAGUUUAAAUCUCAACCUUUACAAAUCAAAGUUUGUGUUUUAUUCCUUAAGCUAACCGUGAAAUGAAACAAGACCAAUUCACUUGGAAUUGGUAUCAUUGAUUGCCUGCAAAUCAUUCCCAGUGAACGAUCCUAGAGCCACUAUACUAUAGUAGCUUUGUAUUUGCUACCCUAGUGUAUGGUGUUAUAGGUAUAAAUUUUGUUGAUCACUUCCUCAAUCAAGGAGCACCAGCUGAACACAAAUCAGCUGAGACACCAAUUAGGCAUGAGUCAAAUGGCGCCGUUGCCGGGGAAUGAAUGUCAAGUUCAUUGUGAUACCAUUGUUGAGCACUUGUGAUUUUCAUCACAAGUUGGUAAAGUUUCUUUCACUUUACUAAUUUUCAUUCUUUCUUUGUUUAUUUACAAUCUAAGUUUAUCUUUUUAAAUUUUAGUCUAGUUUAAUUUUGUUGUUGUAGCCCUGUUUUUCUUGUUGUCCUCUGUUUUCAUUUUUUUUUUCAGGUAGAUACUAGUUGUGUAUGCCCAAGUGGAUACGAGACAUAGGAGGUAGGCUUGUUAAGUGUGAUACACCUCAGAAAGGAGAAUUUGAAGUAAUCUUGAAUAUCAUGGAGGCUGCACCUGAAGAUCAGCAUAGUCACCAAGGUCGUCAAGACAAUCUCAAUGAAUUCAGAUCAAUGAGGGACCGUAUGCAUCCACCUCGUAUGAGUACACCAUCAUGUAUAGUGCCCCCUACAGAGCAGCUAGUGAUCAGACCAUAUCUUGUUCCACUUCUACCAACUUUCCAUGGGAUGGAAAGUGAGAAUCCGUAUGCACACAUCAAGGAAUUUGAAGAUGUUUGUAAUACAUUCCAAGAAGGAGGAGCUUCAAUUGACUUGAUGAGGCUUAAGUUAUUUCCUUUUACUUUAAAGGAUAAGGCCAAAAUUUGGCUUAAUUCUUUAAGGCCAAGGAGUAUCCGCUCUUGGACUGAUUUACAAGCUGAGUUCCUUAAGAAAUUUUUUCCUACUCAUAGAACAAAUGGCUUGAAAAGGCAAAUUUCAAACUUCUCAGCUAAAGAGAAUGAGAAAUUCUAUGAGUGUUGGGAAAGAUACAUGGAAGCUAUAAAUGCUUGUCCUCACCAUGGCUUUGAUACUUGGCUAUUGGUGAGCUAUUUUUAUGAUGGUAUGUCCUCCUCAAUGAAGCAACUCCUCGAGACAAUGUGUGGAGGAGAUUUCAUGAGCAAAAAUCCAGAGGAAGCUAUGGAUUUCUUGAGCUAUGUAGCUGAUGUUUCAAGGGGAUGGGAUGAACCAACUAAAGGAGAAGUGGGAAAGAUGAAGUCUCAGUUGAAUGCUUACAAUGCAAAGGCUGGGAUGUAUAAUUUGAAAGAAGAUGAUGACAUGAAAGCAAAGUUGGCAGCUAUGACAAGAAGAUUGGAGGAGCUGGAGCUGAAAAGAAUGCAUGAAGUGCAAGCUGUUGCUGAAGCACCAGUGCAAGUGAAGCUGUGUCCCAAUUGUCAAUCAUUUGAACAUUUGGUGGAGGAGUGCCCUGCAAUUUCAGUUGAAAGGGAAAUGUAUAGAGAUCAAGCAAAUGUUGUUGGACAAUUUAGGCCCAAUAACAAUGCUCCUUAUGGAAAUACCUACAAUUCAAGUUGGAGGAAUCAUCCAAAUUUCUCAUAGAAGGCCAGAGCAACUCAAUACCAACAGCCGGAUCCACCAUCUCAGCAAUCUUCAAGUAUUGAACAAAUAAUAGCCAAUCUCAGCAAGGUAGUGGGAGAUUUUGUGGGAAAGCAAGAAGCCACCAAUGCUCGAGUUGAUCAAAGAAUGGAUAGAAUGGAGAGUGUGUUGAACAAAAGAAUGGAUGGAAUGCAAAAUGAUAUGAACCAAAAGUUUGAUAACAUCCAAUAUUCAAUUUCAAGGCUUACAAAUUUGAAUACACUGCAAGAAAAAGGAAGAUUUCCUUCUCAACCUAACCAAAAUCCCAAAGGUGUCCAUGAAGUGGAAAGCCAUGAGGGAGAAUCAUCACAGGUGAAAGAUGUGAAAGCUUUGAUCACUCUAAGGAGUGGUAAGAAAAUUGAGCAGCCAACACCCAUGCCACAUGUUGAGAAAGAAGAAGGGAUAAAGAAAGGAAAGGAAAUAGAAGAUAAAGACAGUGAGAUCAGUGAAGAAAAGAAGGACUCUGAUUCAACAAUCAAAGCAAUUCCAGAGAAAGAGCUUCUGAAGGAAGAAAUGCUGAAGAAAUCAACUUUUCCACCUUUUCCUCAAGCAUUACAGGGGAAAAAGGGGGUUAGAAAUGCAGCUGAAAUCCUUGAAGUCUUAAGACAAGUAAAAGUUAAUAUUCCACUGCUGGAUAUGAUCAAACAAGUUCCAACGUAUGCAAAAUUCCUAAAGGACUUGUGUACUAUCAAAAGAGGGGUUGACUGUAAACAAGAAAGCCUUCUUGACUGAGCAAGUAAGUGCAAUCUUACAAUGCAAGUCUCCUUUGAAGUACAAAGACCCUGGAAGUCCUACCAUUUCAGUCAUGAUUGGAGGAAAGGUAGUGGAGAAAGCCUUGCUAGACUUGGGAGCAAGUGUGAAUUUGCUUCCAUACUCUGUCUACAAGCAACUGGGACUUGGAGAGUUGAAGCCAACAGCAAUCACUUUAUCUUUGGCAGAUAGAUCAGUGAAAAUUCCAAGAGGAGUAAUUGAGGAUGUAUUGGUUCAAGUGGAUAAUUUCUACUAUCCAGUAGAUUUUGUUGUUCUUGAUACUGAUCCAACUGUAAAGGAAGCUAAUUUAGUUCCUAUCAUCCUUGGAAGGCCAUUUCUUGCAACUUCAAAUGCAAUCAUCAACUGUAGAAAUGGGCUUAUGCAACUCACUUUUGGUAACAUGACACUGGAUCUCAAUAUUUUCUAUAUGUCUAAAAAGCAAAUCACUCCUGAGGAAGAAGAAGGUCCAGAAGAGCUAUGUAUUAUUGAUACUUUGGUGGAGGAGCACUGCAAUCAGCAUAUGCAAGAUAAGUUGAAUGAAAGUCUUGUGGAUAUUGAGGAAGGUUUUUCUGAAUCUCCUAUUGGGCUUGCUACUCUACAAAGUUGGAGAAAGAUAGAAGGAAUUCUACCUUUGUUCAAUGAAAAAGAGGAGGCAACUGUUGAAGAAGAAAUUCCAAAACUCAAUUUGAAGCCUUUACCUGUGGAGCUGAAAUAUACAUAUCUUGAAGCAAAUAAUCAAUGUCCUGUUGUGAUAUCCUCAUCUCUGACCAGUCAUCAAGAGAAUUGUUUAAUGGAAGUUCUCAUGAGGUGUAAGAAGGCAAUAGGAUGGCAAAUAUCUGACUUGAAAGGCAUUAGUCCUUUAGUUUGUACUCAUCAUAUAUAUAUGGAGGAGGAAGCAAAGCCAAUUCGUCAAUUUCAAAGAAGGUUGAAUCCUCAUCUACAAGAGGUGGUGCGAGCUGAGGUGCUGAAGCUACUUCAAGCAGGAAUCAUUUACCCUAUUUCUGAUAGCCCUUGGGUGAGUCCUACUCAAGUGGUACCAAAGAAGUCAGGGAUCACAGUGAUUCAAAAUGAAAAAGGGGAAGAAAUUACUACACGCCUCACUUCAGGUUGGAGGGUGUGUAUUGAUUAUAGAAAGCUGAAUGCUGUCACCAGGAAGGAUCAUUUUCCAUUGCCAUUUAUUGAUCAAGUGCUGGAGAGAGUCUCUGGACAUCCAUUUUAUUGUUUCUUGGAUGGGUAUUCAGGCUAUUUUCAAAUUGAAAUUGAUUUGGCAGAUCAGGAAAAGACCACUUUUACAUGUCCAUUUGGAACAUUUGCUUAUAGAAGAAUGCCUUUUGGUUUAUGCAAUGCACCUGCUACAUUUCAAAGAUGUAUGUUGAGUAUUUUCAGUGAUAUGGUGGAGAGAAUUAUGGAGGUUUUCAUGGAUGACAUCACCGUAUAUGGAGGUACAUUUGAGGAGUGCUUGGUUAAUUUGGAAGCAGUUCUUCAUAGAUGCAUUGAAAAAGAUUUGGUGCUGAACUGGGAGAAAUGCCAUUUUAUGGUACGUCAAGGAAUUGUCCUUGGCCAUAUCAUCUCUGAAAGAGGCAUUGAAGUUGAUAAAGCAAAGGUGGAGCUUAUUGCCAAAUUACCAUCUCCAACAACUGUGAAAGGAGUAAGACAGUUCCUUGGCCAUGCAGGGUUCUAUAGGAGGUUUAUAAAAGGUUUUUCAAGUCUUUCAAAACCUCUUUGUGAGCUGUUAGCUAAGGAUGCUAAGUUUAUAUGGGAUGAAAGGUGUCAGCAUAGCUUUGAUCAACUGAAGAAGUUUUUAACAACAACUCCAAUAGUGAGAGCCCCUAACUGGCAAUUACCUUUUGAACUGAUGUGUGAUGCCAGUGACUUUGCUAUAGGAGCUGUGCUUGGCCAAAGAGAAGAUGGGAAGCCCUAUGUGAUUUACUAUGCAAGUAAAACACUAAAUGAAGCUCAGAGGAACUACACAACUACAGAGAAAGAAUUGUUAGCUGUGGUAUUUGCUUUGGACAAAUUUCGAGCUUAUUUAGUGGGGUCUUUCAUCAUUGUCUUCACUGACCAUUCAGCCUUGAAGUAUUUAUUGACAAAGCAAGAUGCAAAAGCAAGGUUGAUUAGAUGGAUUCUAUUGUUACAAGAGUUCGAUCUUCAAAUCAAAGAUAAGAAAGGAGUGGAGAAUGUAGUAGCUGACCACUUGUCAAGGUUAGUUAUAGCACAUAAUUCCCAUCCCUUGCCUAUCAAUGAUGAUUUUCCUGAAGAAUCACUCAUGUUCCUAGUGAAAACUCCUUGGUAUGCUCAUAUUGCUAAUUAUUUAGUAACUGGGGAAAUUCCAAGUGAGUGGAAUGCACAGGACAGGAAGCACUUCUUUGCCAAAAUUCAUGCUUAUUAUUGGGAAGAGCCCUUUCUCUUUAAGUAUUGUGCAGAUCAGAUUAUUAGGAAGUGUGUCCCUGAAGAUGAGCAGCAAGGGAUUCUAUCUCAGUGUCAUGAGAAUGCAUGUGGAGGCCACUUUGCCUCUCAGAAAACAGCCAUGAAGGUAUUACAAUCAGGGUUUACUUGGCCAUCUCUUUUCAAAGAUGCCCACAUCAUGUGUAGAAAUUGUGAUAGAUGCCAAAGGCUUGGAAAGCUAACAAAAAGAAAUCAAAUGCCUAUGAACCCCAUUCUGAUAGUUGAGAUAUUUGAUGUUUAGGGCAUUGACUUCAUGGGACCUUUCCCAAUGUCUUUUGGUAAUUCUUACAUUUUGGUGGGGGUAAAUUAUGUUUCUAAAUGGGUUGAGGCAAUCCCCUGUAAGCAAAAUGAUCACAGGGUGGUUCUCAAGUUUCUUAAAGAGAACAUUUUCUCAAGAUUUGGGGUGCCCAAGGCCAUAAUCAGUGAUGGAGGAGCUCAUUUUUGCAACAAACCUUUUGAAGCUCUGUUAUCCAAGUAUGGAGUGAAGCAUAAGGUAGCCACACCUUAUCAUCCUCAGACAUCCGGGCAAGUUGAGCUAGCUAACAGGGAAAUAAAGAACAUUUUGAUGAAAGUGGUGAAUUCCAACAGAAAAGAUUGGUCUAUUAGGCUUCAUGAUUCAUUGUGGGCAUAUAGAACAGCUUAUAAAACUAUUCUUGGGAUGUCUCCCUAUCGUCUUGUCUAUGGCAAAGCAUGCCAUCUCCCUGUGGAAGUUGAAUACAAAGCUUGGUGGGCAAUAAAGAAGCUGAAUAUGGACUUGAUCAAGGCCGGAGAAAAGAGAUUUCUAGACCUUAAUGAGAUGGAGGAAUUAAGAAAUAAUGCUUAUAUCAAUUCCAAAGUUGCAAAACAGAGGAUGAAGAAGUGGCAUGAUCAACUCAUCUCCAACAAGGAAUUUCAGGAAGGGCAAAAAGUUUUGAUGUAUGACACAAGACUCCAUAUCUUUCCUGGGAAGCUCAAAUCAAGGUGGAUUGGUCCAUUUGUUAUUCACCGAGUAUAUUCCAAUGGAGUGGUGGACUUAUUGAAUUCCAAUGGCAAGGAUAGCUUUAAAGUCAAUGGAUAUCGUCUCAAGCCGUUCAUGGAGUCAUUCAAAUCAGAAAAGGAGGCAAUCAACCUCCUUGAACCUCAAAAAGCCUAAGUGAAAAGGGUUUGCUGGACGUGGCUUUACCACAGUCCAAAAUUUUUGUAAAUUUUGUAAAUUUUCAAGUUGUUUCUAUACUUUUGAUUUUAGUUUUUGAUCUUAAAUCAUGUUUUUAGGUGUGUUUUAAUCGUUUUAAAUGAUCCCAGGUGGAAGAAAUUUCAAGGGGAUUGAAAGAAAAAAAAUCGGGUCGAAAUUGGAGCCGAAACAGAGCAAAAACAGGGGAAAAACAGAGCUCUGCGAAAUUUCGCAGGGUGAAGGAAACCUCUGCGAAAUGAGCAUUUUGUUGCGAAACCAUUCCGCAGCACUGUAGAAGCCUCUGCGAGUGUAUUUCGCAGCUGCGAAAGUGAAUUUGGCACACGAGUGCCACUUCGCAGUACAGUAGCAUCCAUUUGGCAGCUGCGAAACUCAUUGCGAAAUGGAAAAGCGUGAUUUCGCACCAAAAGUCCCAUUCCGCAGGGUAUUUCGCAAUUGCGAAAGUGGUUUUGGCACACGAGUGCCACUCCGCAGCACAGUAACAUCAAUUUCGCAGCUGCGAAACUCACUGCGAAGUUGCUGCGAAAAUGGCAAGUUGCUGCGAAAUUGGCGUUUAGUUGCGAAACUUAAACUGACCCCUGAGCUUCCGUUUUUCCUAUUUAUACCGGUCAAAAGUGCUGCGAAAAGGGUUUCAAAAAUCAGAGCACCAUUCUCGCAGCCCCUUCAUCUUCUUCGCCAAGCCACGCCGUCCGAACCUCCGGUCGUCUUCUCCGUUUAGCAGCGCCGGCCAAAGAUCGAUAUUCCAAAAUGGCACGAACGCGAGGGGCAAAAUCUUCAUCCCCUUCGAAUCGCAAAAGGAGUCUGCGAAAGGAGCCAAGUCCAGGUUCUGCUCCAGAACCUGCUCCAAAGCCUUCGCCGUCGAGACCACAACCUUCUCCAGUGAAGCCGGCGCCACUAAAGCCGCCGGCAAGACGAUAUUUGACAAGGUCAGGCGGUUGGCCAUUGAAGAAGAAGCCCAGGGUUGAGAGCUCUGAACCAAUUGAUUUGACUGAGCAAUCCCCUGAGCAGUCCCCAAAUCCUUCACCAGUUCAAACUCCAGUGCCGUCACCGGUUCCCUCGCCAAUUCCCUCACCUGAAGCAACUCCAAUUCCAUCGUCGGUACCAUCUCCGGCACCCCAAGAAAAAGCUCAGGAGCCUCAAGCGCCAAUUCCAGAGCCCCAAAUUGCAGCUGAAGCACCUCUGGAAGAAGUGAUCCGAAGGCCAAUGCUGCCCCAGCCCCCAAUCGAAGGAAACUUGGAUUGUCGAACACGGGCAUUCCAUUCUGAGCUUUGCUUCGAUUUAACAGCAUUCAGAGUGAGGCCAGAGCUUGCCCAAUCCUUCCAGCUGCUGAGGAGAUAUCAUAUGGAGCAUCUGCUAGCUCCAAGGGAUUUUUUCUAUCCCCGGGUAGUCACGGACUUCUACCAGACCAUGACAACCAAAGAAGUAAGAAAUCCAACUCUGAUCCAUUUCAUAAUUGAUGGAAGGCAUGGUAUUUUGGGAGCAAGACACAUUGCUGAAGCUCUGCAAAUUCCUUUUGAGCCAACCCAAUUCGACAAUUUUAAAGCUUGGGUAAAUCCUACUGAGUUAGAGAUGGUUCGCACACUAACCAGAGGAGCUGCAAAUCGAUCACACCUGUUGAGGGGGGAGCUACCUCCAGUGAUGUUUUUGAUUGAUGCCUUUUUGAGGCAUAAUAUCUAUCCCCUGCAGCAUUGGACCCAAAGAAGGGGAAUUCUCCUGGAAGCUUUGUACAAGAUGUCAGAAGGAUUCUUCUUUGGGCCCCAUCAUCUUAUCAUGGCAGCCCUUCUAUACUUUGAGGAAAAGGUUCACAAGAAGAAACUUCAAAGAGCAGAUUGCAUUCCACUCCUCUUCCCAAGGCUGCUAUGCCAAGUUUUGGAGCAUCUCGGAUACCCCUCUGAGCCUCAGCAGGAAAGAAAGAGAAUAUGCCGUGAGCCAUUUACUCUUGAUAAAUGGAAUAAUAUGACGGCCUACAAAAUUGAUCAGCCUGGGCAGCCUCAGCCAGCAGCAAGGAGAGCCUCCCCAAGACAUGCACCUGAAGGUAUAACACUUGCUACUCCUGCCAUCCCUCGAGCUUCACCAGCUGCACCUGCUGCAUCACAGCCAUCCACAUCAGCUGAGCCGAGGAUGGCCAUCCCUAUAUCCGAAUAUCGAGAGCUGUGCCGAGCAUUGGAGACUCUUACAGCUUCCCAGAGCAAUCUUGCUCAAGAGUUGGCAGCCAUCAAAGCAUGCCAGGAGCAGAUGUUAGCCUCUCAGGCUCAACAAGCUGCCAUCCUAAGGCAGCUUCAAGUCCAUUUCGAUCUGCCACAAGCUGUAGAGCCCUCCACUGAGACUCCACCAGAGCCACACUCUCAGCCUUCAGAGUCUCUUCCUCCAGAGCCAGAAGCCCCAACUGAUCCACCUACAGAGGAGGCGGAUCCUUCUGCUUAGCACCAUCACCCCACUCAUCAGACAUUAUAUAUAUUUGCUGUUUAUGUUUUUAUGCAUGUUUGUUUUGUUUUAGUUGAAAUGAAAUCCCAGUAUUUUGGUACUAUAUAUGGGAUUCCUUGUGAUUACUUGUCCUUAGCAUUGUACUCGAAUGAAUUGAAAGUAAUACAAGUUGAAUUUUUCUUGUUAAAAGUUAGCAUUAAAAUUCUCCUUAUUUCCUUUUCUCACAUAUUCUAUUCUUUUUGAAACAUGUGGUUUUCCCCAAUCAAUAUUCGAAUUUGAUAUCAGCAUGGAGGUACCACUUCCUCCCUUUUAUUACAGUCACUCAAAUCACAUUGAGGACAAUGCUCAGUUCGGUUGGGGGGUAUGAGGAAGGAAGUAUUCUAAAUCUUUUUGGUAUUGCAAUUAUAUUGGUUAAUUAGUUGUAGAUUUUACGUUUUACUCUUGUUACUCUAUUCUCCAUGAAUUUUGAGGAAAAAUUUUCAAAUUAAACCAAGAGAAAUUGAACUGUUGUUUUUCACUUGACUUAGAGUAUGGAUUAUGCUUACUAAAGUGGUUCAAUUGUUGAAACUUCUACUGAAAUUGAAUUGAGUUCUUCCAUUUUAAGCUAUCCACACACUGUGCACAUUAGUUUCUGAUUAUAAGAUGAAAAGCUAUUUCCCUCUUGACUUAGGAUAAUUUUGGGACUUGGUAUAUUUGACCUCAUUUGAUAAAAAUUGAAACACCCUGCAAAAGGCCAAUGAGCCUUUGAAAUAAAGAAAGAUGUUUGCUUGCCUUGAAACCCGAGCAAGGUCUGAGGGGCAUAUGGUGAAAGCCUUUAAAGCCUGGUGCCCUAAGCCUUAAUUGGUUGGGAGUCACCGACCUCAAUGCUCGUUACAAGGGUGAAUAGGUAGAGCUAGCAUAUGGUAGAUGCUUGGGUAUUAGAAAUUCAUUCUUAAAAGUCCAGGGAAAAAUCCGAGGAGUUAGUGGUUGAAAGAUCCUUAAAACUUGGUGCCCUAAACCUUAAUUGGUUGGGAGUCAUCGAUGGACCCCCAUUACAUGGACAAGUCAGAAAGAGUACCCCAUAAAGCUACUUUAAAAAAAAAAAAAAAAAAAAAAAAAAGAUGAUGAAAGUGUGUUCUUUUCUUAUUGAUUUUGGUCAGAUUGCUAAAGUGUUGAAAAGAGAUAGGUUGGGGGGGGAGACUAGUUUAGCAUAUUAUUCUCGGAAUCUAAGGAACCAAUACACAUAGAUUUUUGUGGAAGAUUGAAGUUUAGUUCUUAGAAAGUGAAAUGAUUUUAAAACUUCAGUUUGCAUAAUGCACUCCCUUGAUUGACAGUGUUUAGCAUAGGUGUUAUGACUCUUGUUGAGAUUUGGGUUUGUAUUUCUUUAAUGAUUCAUGUGAGAAGUAAAUCAUCAUGCCACUUAAGAAUUAUUUUCCUUUCAGCAUGAUGUUGUAAAUUUUAGAUUAGUUUGCUAUUUAUUUUUAUUUUUCUCUCCUUUAUUGCUAAGGGACUAGCAAUAUGUCGGUUGGGGGGAGUGAUUACUACUCAAAAAGUGCUAUUUGAUAGCCUUUAAUUAAUCCUUUUUAACACUUUUGAGUAGUAGUUUAGGCCUUUUAACUCAAUUGGCAUGUUAAGGAUCCUUUAAAGCAAUUUUGAUCACUUUGUGCAAGUUUUGGUGUUUUUGUUAGUAUUUCGAUCACCAAAGCAAGUCAAGAAUGAGGAGAGCUAUGAGGAAUCUUGGGCAAAGCUUAGAAUUCAAUUGCCAAGAGUGAAUCCGGAUUGCAAGGAGAAAAAGCAAAGAGGAUCAGUCAUGGAGCAUAUUCUUGAUGACAGUCGUAGCAGCCACUUUUGGAGCACUUUCUGAAGUCCAAAUGAUGCAAGCUAUAUACCAUUUCAAAGCUCAGGAAGUCAACAAUCCAAUGCUUCAAACGGUGUGCGAUUCGGAAUUGAAACGAAGAAGUUGCAGCCAUUACAAGCCAGACACUCUAAAGUGUUGCGGAAUCAGCCAUGUGUUGCGAGAAUUUCGCAGCACUUUUGUACAGUAAGGUGUUUCUCCUUCUAACGAUGCACGAACCAUGCCGCGAGAAGGGAGCUGGAAACUUCAAGAUGGAAGCCAACUUGGCAGCCUAGUGAAGAUAGCUCGGUCUUGCAAGAUAAUUUCGCAGCCCUCUUGGGUGUCUGCGAAAUUUCGCAGGCCUCAUUUUUCACCUGCGAAAUGGCUCCUGAAGCCUCCCGAAGCUUGCUACCGACAUUGGGAGAUAUUUUCCAUUAGAUUUUUGUUGUCUAAAUCCCAAAAUACUCCUUGUAAACCACCAAUUACAUGAUUCCUUAGUUUUUAAGUUAGUAAAAAGACCAAAUAUCUUUGUAACAAUUAGUUUUAUAUUUUGUUGUUAUAAAUACCUCUCGGGAGCCUGUUCUCAGGGAGGAGUUCCUUCUGUAAACGUUUGGUAAGCAAGUAAAGUCUAUUUUCUUUCUACUGCCUUACCUUCUCACUUUGUAUUUUCAUUUUAUUUCUAAGUUAUGAAUUCUCUGAGGAGUUUUCCCCAAAGAAUGAGUAACUAAACCUCCAAUUCCUUGGAGCUAAGGUUGCCGGGGAAGGUUCCAAGUGCAAGAAUGCAAAGCUCUGUGGUUUUAGCUAGUAAUGAAGAGGAAGUGAAAUCCUUUAGUGAUUUCAAUGUUUUUAGUUAACUUAAAACACUUUGGAGUCACCUGGGCCAACACUUGGUAAGGCAAGUGAUUUCCAACCAUGGAAAUGCACUAGUUUACCCCUUGCGAGCCUCUGGUAGGUGACUUCAAGGUAGGAUUUUCUGGAAUUACCAACACUUGGUAAGCUUUUGGACUCCUAGGAGACAUCCAUUAGUUAUCUCUUGCGAGUUUGUGAAGGGAAUCCAAGGUUAAAGAUCACCUUGAAUGGUAAGUGCUCGUGAGAGGCAUGAACCAUUGCAAGUUGUAUCAGUGAGAGAAUUAAAGUGAAAUCUAAUUGAAGGAGUCUUUGUACAUCACCGGUUAGAGAAUUGACUAUAAGUUGAAUCUCUAAUGCGAGGAAAUGAACCAACUGACCAGAGCCGUGUCUUUUGCAUGAGGAACCACCCCAGUGAACCUAAAUCUCCAAGGAAUGUUUUUUUCUUCCUAAAUUAUUCCAAACUUCUGUUAAGUUAGUUAGUUUAAAUCUCAACCUUUACAAAUCAAAGUUUGUGUUUUAUUCCUUAAGCUAACCGUGAAAUGAAACAAGACCAAUUCACUUGGAAUUGGUAUCAUUGAUUGCCUGCAAAUCAUUCCCAAUGAACGAUCCUAGAGCCACUAUACUAUAGUAGCUUUGUAUUUACUACCCUAGUGUAUGGUGUUAUAGGUAUAAAUUUUGUUGAUCACUUCCUCAAUCAAGGAGCACCAGCUGAACACAAAUCAGCUGAGACACCAAUUAGGCAUGAGUCAGUCAUCUCCAUUAUUGUUUUAUUUUUUCUUUCCACCACCCCAUUUUGUUGUGGGGUGUAUGGUGCAAUGAGCUGGUGAUCUAUGCCUGCAUCUUCACAAAAUUUGUUGAAUUUUUCUGAAGUAUAUUCUGUACCAUUAUUCGACCUUAUAACCUUGAUUCUGUAUUCACUUUGAUUUUCAACCAUGGCCUUAUAUCUCAAAAACACAUCAGCAACCUCAGCUUUGUAAGUGAGAAAAUAAAUCCAACAAAAUCUUGUGAAGUCAUCAAUAAAUGCAAUAUAGUACUUACUCCCUUUCAAAGAUGGUGUCUUUUGAGGUCCACUCACAUCUGUGUGAACCAAUUGUAGUUUCUGUGUUGAUUUCCAUGCUGCUUUUUGAGGAAAAGGAAGUCUUGUUUGCUUCCCAUAUUGAUAGGCUGCACAUAUAGGAAGUUCUUCUUCCAAAUCAGGGAGUCCUUCUACAAUCUAAUUCUUCUUCAUGUAGAGCACGGUAUUGUGGUGGAAAUGCCCUAAUCUUUUAUGCCAAAGCAUUGUAUUGUUCUCGUGUUGUGCAGCAGUAAUUUGCUCAUCUUCUAACAUAUUUAAGGCAAAACUUUUGCCUUUCAUUUUUAUGUUGAACACCUCUUUGCCUUCAGCAUCCUUGAUUAUGCAAUUUUUGUCUUCAAAACAAACUUUAAACCCUUUCUCAACAAGCUGUCCAACACUUAGCAAAUUUUGGUCAAUGUCAGGCACAAACAAAACAUCAGAAAUGAGCUUUAAACCUGUUAGGCUUUCAAUAGCUAAUGUUCUUUUACCUUUUACUGGAAUAUACUCACCAUUUCCUAUUCUAACUUUGGAAAUAGUUGUCCUAUCAAUCUCCCUAAAGCGAUCUUGAUCAUGUCAUGUGGUUUGUGCAACCACUGUCCACGAGCCAGCUUUCAGAGGUGCUACCGUUUGCAAAACAUGUUGCUGAAAAUAGUUGUUCCUCCUGGUAUUGUUCAGCUGCUACAUUGGUUUCUCCCUGCUGCUGCUGAGUUCUACAGAUCCUUUCUAUGUGUCCAUGUCUACCACAUUUGUUGCAUUUCACAUCUGGUCUCCACCAACAUUUUUGUUGAGGAUGAUUUGUUUUCUUGCAAUGAGGACAGGGUGGAUAGGUUCCAGUUUUUUUAUUGUUGUUGUUGCUUGGCUUAUUGUUGUUCUUUUUGUUCUUCCUCCUUCUUGUGUUACCUUCAUUGGUCUGUGUCUUUGCUUGAAAAGCUCCUUCUACAGAACUUCCUUGCCUCAUGAGUCUUCUUUGUUCCAAAGCUUGUAAAGCAUUUAGUAGUUCUGCCAAGGUGAUACUUGACAAAUCUUUUGUGUUUUCCAAAGAAGAAAUUGUAGCUUCAUAUUUUUCAGGAAUUGUGACAAAAUUGUUUUGAACAACUCUUUCAUCAGAAAACUCUUUACCUAGCAACCUCACCUUGUUUGCUAUGGUAAGAAGUUGUUCUGCAUAAUCUUUUAUGGUUUGAGACUCUUUCAUCCUCACCAUUUCAAAUUCUCGAAUUAGAUUCAUUACCUGCACAUUUCUGACUCUUUCAUUGCCUUGAUAUUCUUCCCGUAGAUGCUUCCAGAUUUCUGCAACAGAUUCAAGUUGCAUGAUUCUGGUGAGAAUUAAUGGUGAGACUACAGAAAAUAAGCAAGCCUUGGCCUUAGCCUUCCUCGUCUUUUUCUCCUUAUGGUUUUUCAUCUGUGACACAGUUGGAUUGGCUCCAAGUGGAGAAAUUUCAUAAUCUUCCUCUAUUGCUUCCCAGACAUCAAGAGCCUGUAGAUGAACAGUCAUCCUGACAGCCUAAGUUUGGUAAUUUUCUCCAUUGAAGACUAGUGGUGCUGCUGUGAAGCUUGCUUCUUCCAUUUCUGCAAGGUUUUCAGAUUCAGGUUUGGUAUACGGUGUUUAGGCUCACACACCUCACUGGUCCCUCAAGACAAAAAUUGCUCUGAUACCAAACUGUUGGAAGCAGGCGAGGUUAACACACCAAGCAACAGAGAACAGAGAUAUGCUGCUACUGAUCUAUAUUUUUUAUUUGAUCAUAAGGCUGAAUUUAUACAGAUUGUGUAACAUAUAUGACCUCAAAAAAAGCAUCAAAUCAAGCUACUUGUUGAACAAAAAACUACCUCCUACAAAAUAGCAUCAGAAUUUAACUUAAAAGCAAAAACAUAAUAAUAGCAACAGCAAAAACAGAAACAUAAAAAUAGCUUCAACAUUCUAGUAAUCUCAUUGACUUCAAUUGCAUGUGGUUGACGAUUUCAGCCUUUUCCUCAGCAGCUACUAAGGCAUAACUCUCAACAGGGCCUCUUAAUUUCCAUUCUGGCAUCUAUAUGACCUGAUAAAUAGAAAGAAAAAAAAACAGAAGAAAAGCGGCACCUGGGUUCAUAGUAAGCAUCAAGACAGGAUGCUGAAAGAAGGGAGAGAGGAGAUUGCAAGUCCAAUCCUGAUAAAAUAUCAACAAAGAGUAUUAAAUGGGGCCAACAUAAAGACCCAUUAAGGUCAGCAGAUGGCAUGGCAUUUUUCUCCUUAAGUUUUCCAUGAUUAGGCUUGAAGUCAAAAUUUCACAUGUAAAUUUGUAUUUCUACAUUUCCCACUGACGACACCCAACUUCAACUUGAGUUAGAAUAACAUUGUGUGAACUUAUCUGGCCCUCAAAAUUUACUGUGAAGUGCUUUCUGCGUGUGAAGAUUCAGAAAAGCACCAAGGGAACAUGUAUGGUCUGCCUUUUUCUGAUGUUAUGUUUGUCUCUAAUUCUGUUCCAUGUCAUGGUAAAUGUUCACAUUGCUUGUAUGGAACACACCAGGAUCACUUUUUCAGGUUUAGGGGGAUACAAAAGGCUUCAUAUUGGGUUCAAUGCUUUUAAUGUGUUCAUUGGACAAAUCUGAAUUAUCAUACGCAUUUAGAUAAGAACAAUAAUGUGAAACCCUAGUUACACCUCCCCUGCAUAACCCCAACCCUGCUUGCUCUAUUUCAGUUUACUCACAAGUUUUACUGGUUCUUAUAAGUCAAGAAAAGGCAACUGAUGUUGGAUCGACUCUCUUCCAUGUAAAAAAUGCAACUUUUAUACAUAUAAAAGAACUUCUUCCCCUCACCAAUGUGGGAUUUCAUAGAUUUAUUCUGGAAACACAUCAAAGGAACAUCUUUUCUCUUGGGUGACCCUAAGUGGUGAGUCAGAUCAUUUGCAUGCCAUUGAGUUGCACAGUUGGAUAAAUGCACCUGCCUCCUGGGCUCCAGAGUUAAAAGGGUGGAUCCCUGGAUUGCAACCCUCUUGGCAUCUUGGUUUCUAUUCCAACAUCCACAUGACUUGACAAAACAAAAAACAGAAUAAAAUCAGCACUAUAUUCAUGCUAAGCACCAAUACAUGAUGGAAAUCAUUGCUUAAAGAUUUGGGGUCGUUUUAGGUUUUGACUGCCUCCUACCACCUCACCUAAUGACAAGUUUUUAUGCUUACAAAUCAAAUAUCGUUCUUCAUUAUAUUAAAAUCAUUUUAAGAUUUCAGAUCCAUCUGCUAAUUAUGAUUAUGAUAACAUUUAUUCACCUGUGCUUCUCAUUUUCGACACACAAGGCAUCUAGGUUUGCAGGAUUUCCUUAUUAGAUGAGAUAAAUGAGUACGUAUGGUUAUGUAUCCAGCAUUCAUUAACCAUGGUAUGUGACAUUUAGAAUUAAGAUAGCAAGCAAACUUUCCCUGCAGCUAGAGUAAAUUGUGAUUUCUUAGCCUCUAUGAGUGGUUCCCAAAUCAAAUUAACAUAGUGAAAUAUACGUAGUCCAGUGAAAGGAAAUGUAAAUUAUAAACUAACAGCACUACACUACUGGUAACAAUCGAUACUCUCUAUAUAAUGCAAUAAACAAUGUCACAAUUGCCUACAAGCAAGGCACAAACACUAGAACAAGUAAAGCACAAACCUUUCCCAACAGUUCCCAGUGACUGAUGCAUAUCAUACCCUCAACUCACAGAAGGGGAUGAUAUCAGUGCACUGCAGCACUUAUUUUACACAUACUACCACUACUACUACUACUACUACUACUCAUUAGCCAAAGUCACUCAGUUGGGAUGAGUGUGAGGUAGAGGUUUGUGGGGUGCUAUGUGGAAAGGAGUUUGGCUUCUUCUCAGGAGAUGGUAGCUUCUUUGCAGGAGUUGAAGGAGGCUUAAUCUUCUGUGGUGGAUUGAUUGUAUGAGUCUUUGGCACUCUCUUCUCUAGUACAGGUGAAUACCCAGGGGUGCAUCCAUAAUGCGGUGGCUUCUAUCCCUUAGGUGGUUUGCCAAAUUCAAAAUCGAAGGAUUUUUUUUUUUUAAGUAUACGUAUCUUUGAAAGCUUUUAUUUUGUAUGGCAAAUGGAAUGAGAGGAGCAGUCAUAUUCUAUUUGGCCAGAGCAACAUAUCACAAAUGAACAAGCUAUUUACUGCCACACUGGGCAAAACAUACAUAAUCCUUGUACUUCAAACAUCCAUGAAUUCUCAUCAUUUUCAGGACACGUUGCAUGGUCUAUCAUUCUAUAUGUCGGCAUAGUAAGUGCAGCUAAUAAGCCUAUUCAGAGCUGAAAUUCAAAAUCUAUUCACAGGAUAAUGACCUUAUUAUUGGAUUUUGCUCACUGUCAUACACACAUAUCAGAUAAAGCCCCACAUGCUCAUAAGCUACAAGCAACCUACAAGCACUAAAAUGAGUGUUAGACGUAUGAAACAUUCCCCAAUACUAGUAGUAUUACCUGUUCCAUAGAACACUAAAUUAGAAGAGAGAAGAUGUGAGACUCCAGCUUUUCUUUCUACAUAUUACUCAUAUCAAGUUGGAAUAGUUAGGCGGUAGAGGCUUGGGGUGGCUUGUGUAGGGGACUAGGCAGCUUCUCUCAGGAGUUGAUUUCGUCUUAUUCUGGAUGUCCAGGUUUCGUCCUUUCGAAUUUCCCAUGCAAAUCAGCAUUCUCCUUGGGAAACUUCACUCCGUUGGGAAACUUGUGUGAAUCUUUGGCAUUCUCUACCAGAGAAGGCCCAGGGCAGUGACCAUAAGGUGGUGGCCUUUUUUCAGGUGGUGGCUCCUCUCCCACUGGAGGCUUGUGGUAAUCAGCAAGAGAGGCAGUGGAGAGAA
rnacentral:lncRNA from 1 species